UUUAAGAGAGUUUCUGGACUUCUCGGGGAAACAUAACUAUUAUCUACGAGCUGGGUCCAUAAGAUCUAGUAAGCAUAUAGAAAUCUCAAUGUUCAUCUUAGUGAAACAGACAACAACUUGGUGAAUCUUGGACAACCUUGAUUGAUGCAGAGGCUUGCAAUAGUUUUAUAAAUCAUUUAAAAUUGGACCCUCUGCAUGUAUAUUUGGUGUAGAUGAGUUUGGAUUAUGAAUUGAAUGUGAUGGAGACAUUUGGAUUAUGAAUUGAGUGUUAUGGAGACAUUACAAUGCCAAUGCAUGAUAUGAGCAGCUUCUUUAUAGCUAGUUGAUUGAGAGAAGAGAACAAUGACAUCCAUUGCGAGGUUCCAUUUGACUUUAGAAUUAUGAGGUUCAUAAAAAAGGAAGGAGAAAGUCAUAGCUUAUGAGCUACCACUAGCUGAGAAAAUGACAAUGCUGUUUAAUAAUGGCUGAUUCUUUGGGGGAUCGGGUGGCUAGUACACAAGUUCUGCAAUUCAUGAAAACAAAAUCUGUUAGGACAGAGUUGAACAAUGAUAGAUGACAGGAUGAUUCGAUGUUGUCUUAGCCCUUGGAUCAAUGCUUGUGUCAUCUUAAUGCGAUGCUAACUCGAUUAGAUCAAUUAGGUUUCAGAUAUGUCGCAUCUUAAUGCAAACCUACUGUUUCUUAGAAAAUCUAGGGAAUGUACAUAAAUUUUUGCCAUGCGGUUGAUUCUGGUUAUUGUUGUUGAGCGAGUCGCAAGCUGGCAAAAAUUCCACUUUUUAUCCUACCUACUAAUAUACAAAGUGGAAUUCAAAGUUGAACCAAACAGAAAUGUUCCUGAAACUGCAAAUUUUCCCGUGGUAGAUUAAUGCUGUAACUGUCAUACAAGUAUUCAACACCGUUUCAUCUAAAGAUAACGUACUUCUUUUGAUUUUAGAGCGGUAUGUAUUAAUCUUCCUCUCCCUCUAUUUUGUGCUCUCUUUUUGGUUCCACUUUAAUUUAGAGAAUGACUUUGUCUUUUGGAGUUGUGUUGGUGCUCAUCGAUCUAUCAUUUGAAGCGAUAUAAGCAUUAGAGACUGAGCACUGAAGAAGCGCAAUCUUGUUCUGUGGUAGUUUUACCUAGUUGAACAUAUGGACAGACUUUUAUCUUUAAGUACAAACAUCAAUAGGACCACAUAAAAAGGUUCACACGGUCUACAGCUUGAAAUCAGGAAGUGCAGAAGCUCCAUACAGGCCUUUGGAAAUGUAAUGGGCAGUGUAGUUUGGGAGCGUAGUCUCCUUGUAGAUUGGUGGGUUGUCUGCUGAUGUUAAUUCUUUCAUGGGCCCAUACAAUCGUGAAGAUGGUCGAGGAGUGUCGCCGAAGAAGCACGCCACCAACACUGUUGGGUCUCUCUUGUUUGCCAUGAUUCGGUUCUCAACACUCUCAAACCGGUUGUUUGUUAUGAGCUGCAAAUGCAACAAUUAGCGAAUCGUUCCUCAGUAAGGAACGUAAUUUCUAUCUGAGAGUGCUAGUAUGAACAAUAUAAAGGAGUUAAGGAAGAGAAUAAGAACACGAGAUUUAUAGUAGUUCGGCUUAAUCCAAGCCUACGUCCACUCUCCCACGAUAACAGCCUUCUUGGCUGGAUUCCACUAUGCAAUCAACAAGAGAUUACAACUUCGAGUGCAAAUACUUAGUAGAUCACACUAUCUCACUAAGUCACUCUCUUGGUAUUUCUCUCACGAUUACAAACGUUUAAGCUCUCAAGAGACAAGUAUAUGAUCUAAAGUCGCUCAGACUUUGGAAUUAUAAAUUCUACGCUCCGUCUCUUACUUGCUCAUCGGUCCAUGAUCUUCUUAAAUACUCCUCCACUUCCAAACUACCGUUGGACAGUAUCCCGGAGAAUCGUCUUCCAAUAUACCCAUUGGACAGCUCUGUAUCUAGAAGAUUUGGUAGCCGUUGAGUGACAAAGGUAAAAUCCCAAAUUGAUUCCGAUCGCCCAUACAAACGAAAUCUUGGUUUCCAUAAGUAAAGCUUCUUCGUAUAGAAAGUUCUUGUCUUCAAUCAAAUCAAUCUUGAUGUGGAAUCCAAACCAGAUCACUAGCCGUUGUAUGAUUGGGCUUGAGUUACGAUUCAUUGAAUCUGGAUGUAAAGUCUGAGUCUUUAGACUUUACGAUAUGAGUCUUGAGACUUUACAAUCUGGGUCUGUAGACUUUACAAUCUGAGUCUGUACCCAGUUCAGCUUCAGCAUAGAGUCUGUCUUCUGGUUCAUCAUUCACGUUCAGUCUGGAAUUUGUCAGAGUGAACAGACUUCUGAUGUAGAACAGACUUUGACACUAAAGUCUGGCAGUCUUCAGACUUUGAGUCUAGAGUCUAACAGUCUUCAGACUUUGAGUCUUGAGUCUGGCAGUCUUCAGACUUUGAUAAUAUCCUCUACAUGUUCUAACAUCUGCAUGGCCUAUUACUCAACCAUCAAAUAUGUUAGUAGCCUUUGAUUUAUUUUGUCAUCUUCAAAACAUCAUAAGGGAUUUCCCUAACAAUCUCCCCCUUUUUGAUGAUGACAAAACAAUCUCUGAAUAUGCAGAUUUGUAAACAUGCUUUUAAUUUAAAUCAAAGGAUAUCAGAAGAUAGCAAAUAAAUUGAGCAUAAUAAUAUAUAGAAAAUAAUCACAGCUCAAUAUUAUGCAAUAAAUAAUAUAAACCAAUUAGCACAUAUGCAUAUUCAUAUCUUCUCCCCCUUUUUGUCAUAAUCAAAAAGCGAUAAUAAUGGAUUCACGUAGAGAAUGAUAACAAAUAUCUUGCAUGAAUCACAAUUUCGAAAAAUCAGCUUUUAUCGAAUAUUAAAGAUAUGCAAUAUAGCUCACUUCGAUUAUAUCAGCAAAUAUCCAAUAAAAAUCACGGAUGCAUCAUAAAAUUCACGUACCAUUUUUGUCAUAAUAAAAUGAUAAUAUCAAUAUGAGAUUUGUUAAUGACAAAAGGUAAUAAGAGAUGCACUGACCGGAUUUUGUAGAAUAAAUUCUGACACAAUUACCUUUCCUUCCAUCCAUAAUAAGAUCACGAUCAAUCAAAAAAGAUUUUUCCAUAAUUGAUCAAAGCUCCCCCUCAAUUUGUUGCCUUUUUGAGAUGAUCACGAUUCUUUUCCUUUUCUUUUGGAUUUGCUUUCUCCCCCAACUUCUUCUUUUCCUUUAUUUCCUUGAUUUCCUCAUCGGAUUCUGAGUCUGGUUCUGAAUCAGACUCUGAUUCUGAGUCUCUGUCUGAGUUAGACUCAGAUUCUGAAUGUGCCAUCAAGCAUAGAUUUCUUUGCUCAUCAUCUUCUUUCAUGAUUCUUUUCUGGCCAUUAUGCUUGUAUUGACUUCUUCCACUGAAUUUCCUUUCUUUUCUACUCAGCUUUUUGAAUUUCUCGACCAUAAAGGCAAAUUCUUCAUCGGCACGGCGAAGGCCGGCGACCGGCCAGGCGAGCCUCGAGCUCGCCGGCGUCGGGCGAGCUCGAGCUCGCCGGAUCUGGCGAGGCGGAGGCCUCGCCGACGCCCGGCGAGGCUCGAGCCUCGCCGAUCUGGCGAGACUCGAGCCUGCUGGCGUCGGCAAGGCUCGAGCCUCGCCGAUCUGGCGAGCCUCGAGCUCGCUGGCGUCGGGCGAGGCUCGAGCCUCGCCGAUCUGGCGAAGCCUCGAGCUCGCCGGCAUCGGGCGAGGCUCGAGCCUCGCCAGUUCCGGCGAGGGGCGAGCUCGAGCUCGAGGCUCGCCUGUGGCCGGUCGCCGGCCGUCGUCGUGGCCGGCGGCCGGCCAAAGAUGAAGAAGAAGGAGAAGAAAAAAGAAAAAAGAAAAAAGAAAAAGAAAAAGAAAAAGAAAAAGAAAAAGAAAAUUAUAUUUUAAAAAUAAAAUAAAAAUAAUUAAAAAUUUAUUUUUUUUAAAAAAUAAUUAAAUUUCGAUUUUUUUAAAUAAUUAUUUUAAAAUUUAUAAAAAUUGUCCAUUAAAUUUAUAUUGUAUAAAACUAUUUUAGCAAUACAAUUUUUAAAAAAAUAAUAUAUAUAUAAAAGCUUGGAAGUAUUUUAAUAAUAUAAUCUUUAAAAAAAACAUGGGAAUAAGUUUUUCUAAAUUUGUUAAAUAUGAAAAUAUUUUAUUAAUAUGAGUUGGGUCGGGUCGGGUUUGGGUCGAAAAAUUUACAUUAAACAUUAAUGGGUCAUAAAUGGGUUAAUGGGUCAAUUUGGCCGGACCCAUUAAUGACCCGACCCAAACCCGACCCGACCAACCCGUUUAACGGCUCUAAUGUACACUAACGUAUUAGAAGCUACCUAGAGAUGCAUCACUAACAAAAUUUCAUUUUAUCUUUGUUUGCAUUGAUAUCAGUAAUACGUAGUUUUGUUAAAUUUGUAUACUCUUUCAAAAUUCUAACGAAAUCAUAAACAAAACUGUAUAUAAAACCCGUGCAAAGCACCAAAGUUCAACUGGUAGUAUGAUAUGCAUAACACCCUAAAAAUUAAUGGUGAAAUAUCUAAUUUUGUGGCUAGUAAAUUCGAAUUUCGAAUCAGAGUCGUCACCCAAGUUGCGUCUACCAUCCCCGUGCGUGGAUGGAACCUUAAUUAGUAGAAGCUGAUGUGUGUGAUUCACAAAUAUUCAUGAAGAUUAGUCUAAUAAAGGAUUUCAAUUCCUUGUGUUUCAAUUUUCUUGAGGAUAUUUAUUUCGCAUAAAAUGAAUCAUUUAAAAAACGUCUUCUUAAAUGUCAUUUUUUGUGUCGCUUAUAAAUAUUUAUGAGUAAGAAAACAUAUUUAUUAUCCACGGGAAUGUUUAGUCAUAAACUAUUGUCGAUUACGAAAAUAUUUUUAAUUGAAUAUUUAUUUUAAGUGACACAGACGAUUAAUUUUAGAAAAUUAUUUUUAAAAAAUAAUUUAUUUUUCACGAAAUAAAUAAAUUCGGGACUAAAAUCACAAAAUGCGACAAAGAACUUGGCGCUCUUUCUAUCACGCAGCCUCUGCCUCUGGGUUAGGGUGGACCGACCCAAAUAAACUUUCUUUACUCUUGCGUUUAAGCCUCGUUCGUUAGCAAUCAACAGCAAAAUCGUCGUCCCUCUGGCAUCAACUGCUUCUGUCUAAUAAGUCGCCAGUUCUCUUUCGCUUUCGGAGACAGCGAGAGACUCUCGCACGAGAAGCUCUUCGACCUCGCUUCGCUUCAGCCAUGGUGAUCAUCUCCUCUCUCUUCUCUCCUGAUGUCUGCUUGAGUCGUCGAGCUUAUUCACUGAAUCUCUUGCAAUUUCAUUUUUUUUUUUUUUCAGAAUUAUUUGAAGACGGCGAUCCCUUCGCAGCUAAUCUCGGAGAGAGGCUCCAACCUCGUCGUCAUCAACCCUGGUACUCCUCCCACCCACUUACCCUCCCUCUCUCUUAUAUUGAAUAGCUCGACGCGUUGAAUUCUGUAGCUUGAACGCGGCUCGUUUCUUCCUUUGCUUUUUAUAGGUUCUGCGAACAUCAGAGUGGGCCUCGCUCAGCAGGACGCGCCUUUCGUCGUUCCUCACUGCAUCGCCCGAUACACCAGCCAGGUCCCCAAGCGAAACGUGCAAGAUCGGGUCCCACAUUGUUCGCGACUUCCCUUUUCUUUUGUUCGGUUUUCCGUGUGUGUUUGGGUUUAGCUUUGCGGGGUUUCCGUUGAGCUGAGCGUUUUCUGAAUUCGCUGGGUUUCCUUCUGCUUCGUUGUUGUUGUUUUGGAGUUUUUAGAUGCUCAGUUCUCAAGUUACCUCGGCACAACACAUGGAGCGAGAGAAGGCGUAUUAUAUCGCGAGUUUACUUCAGCUGCCUGUCUUUAGUUGUGACAAUGUAAACUGCUUUACAUUUUCUCGUUAUUAACAUGUGGAUUAGUGUAUCUCAGAUGGCUUCAUUGUUGAAGAUUCCAUUCUCGGACGAGGAGGUCGCGAACUAUGGCUCUUUCCAGCGCAAGGUCUGUAAGCUUUUUGGAAAAAGGUUGCCCUUAGUUCUUCAUCGCCUGAGUUGAGCUGCUUUCUCGAUCCUACUUGAUCUUUACAAUGAUAUGGAAAACUUAGAGGAGGGCUUUUGUGUGAACUUCACUGGUUUCAUCGUCCAGUUAUCUUUUUAUUCUGUCAGUUGAGUGGGCUACUUGAAGGUUUAGUAUUUAAGCAAUUCCCUCAGCUUGCUUUUUGUUUAAAGUAUUUUCGUUUCUAUGAGCGUAUUGUCCUCUGAGGAAGUUUUGUUUCUCUGAUGGUUAGUAAAGGACUUGAAUUAUUUUAAUGUCUUUUCCUUGAUAACUUAGUAUUUUCUCUCUACUUGUUCUAUGUAAAUGUAUACUGCAUCGUUAUCCAAGAGGAGACUCUGCUGAGGCACCGCCCCCUGGAUGUAGUAUAUUCUAGAACAUAAGUACUGUCAGCUCAUUUCCUGCCCCCCAAAAACAUACACAUUUACACAAACAAAUUAAUAAAUGAUCCAUCCAGUGCCACCCAAAAAGGAAAAAGAAGUGCAUCCAAAGUGCUUGGAUGUCUAUAUGUCAAUGUAAGGACGUGUAUUUGAAUGGCCCUUGCUUCCUUUUAUUUGUAUUGUUUUGAAGUCUUCAGUUUCUAAUGCAUCAUGAUAUUUGUUAUUGGAGCUCGUCUAUGAUUGUGUCGGGCAACCCAUUUCCUUGUCAGUGUGUUUCUACUGUGAAAGAAAAACUGACAUACUUGUUAUACAGAUGGGAUGCGUUGAUGUUUAUAAUCCACAGAAUGUUAGGAAAGACUCAGUCUUUGCUUGAACAGAUUUGUAUGACAAGCAAAGUUCACUCUGGUAACAGGUCUAUAUAUAACUAUUAUUUCCACUUAGUGGGAUAAUGAUUCUUUUGAGUUUUUUGUCAUCACUUUGGCUCAUACCUUUUACCUUUCUCUUUUUGCUAAUGUUAUCUGCUUCUGCUAAUUGAUAUGUCAUAGACUCAGAAUUUAAAACCACUCUGGCAGAUCAUGGACCCGGUCGUCUAUGCAAAGAAAAUUGGCAAGAUAGAACUUUAUAAGAUUCUUUGCUUUUGUCUGCAUUGGAGCAUGUUUUCAAUAUACUAGAUAACUAGGAUAGCGACACUCUGCCACGAAAAAGUGAUCAUCUCUAUGUACAUUUUGGAACUUAGUAGAGAAAUUAUAUAGUAGAUACAAAAUAAAAAUUCCAAAUGAUUUUCUUGUUUCUAAUUUGGAGUACCAGGGAUGUUAAUUAGCUUAGAUGAUUAACAUGCCACGUAAUGAAAACUGUCAUUAAAAAUCGUAGAUAGCUGGCAGGAUGGUGCAUUCUGUCAAUGUUAGGAACUUCUGACCGUCAACCUUAGAUCAUGUCUGAAGUUGAUUUUACACGCAAAUGCUUGUUCUGAUUUUACACGUCAACCUUAGUUCUGCCCCCUGUACAGAAGAGUUUGUACCAGCUUAUGUUUUCGAGCAGAAGCAUCCAGUGUCAACAGCCCUAGCCUGUAGUCAGUCUACUGAAAUUGUUCUGUUGGGUGCAUAGUGCGUUGUUUUGUUUAAGGAUGUGUGGAGUUGACAAGGAGAUGGGUUGUUUUCAUUUUAUUUCUUGCUAUUCGAUGAUAUGUGGAGUUGGCUCCCAGCUAGAGCAAAGGAUAAGUAAUCAAGGUUGCUAAAAUGACCUGCAGAGUUCGUGGAAGCAUAUCUCUUUCCCCUGCAACUCCAUGCCAUCUGCAUCUAUGAUUGCCGAAGUAUAUGAAUAAUCAAGUUUACAUUUUUUAUACAAUGGUUGCAUAAUGCAAUAUGAUUUUUAUGCUGAUAUAGAAAUCUGCAGCAUGUGCUUCUUUAUAUGACUUUCAAAUUUGCUUUGCAGAUAGCUAAAAGGAAGCUCUGAAAAUAUGUGGCGAGGAAGCUCUGAAAAUAUCAUCCAUAGAGCCGUGCUGCUUGCACCGUCCUAUCCGAAGUGGUCAUUUCAACAUUGGGCCACGCUAUUUCCACCCUGGUUUUUGCUUUAAAACUCCUUUUUACAGUGUUUUCCUAUAUAUUCCCCUGCUGUUCCUCUUUUGUUUUGACUGCUUCCUUUUAUUUCCUUGCCGGUCCCACGUUCUUCUUUCUUCUUCUCUUCGUUUUCUCUCUUUUCAACUCAUGGUGAUGUUGAUCUAAAGGAACCUAUGCCCGACUGCAGAUGCCGGCUUCACAACAUUAUAUUCCUUCUUUCAAAAGGAUCCAAUGCUCUGUAAUUGAUAUCCUGUUAAGGUGGUGCUUCCUGACUGUAAUGCUUAGAUAUGCACCCUGCAGAUGCAAUUUUCUUACCAAAGAAACUUGUGCGAGUCCCUCAACCGGCUUGCCAGCAAGAUCCCACGGACUUUGUCAGGAGGAUCCCAAAUUCUCCUUCAAAGAGUUCGCCGGCAAGCCGGAGUCUGUCGUGCUGAUGAACCAGGAUGAGAAGUCGUUCAAUGUGAGCCGAACCUCUUUUUCAGGAAUUUUAAAUGUGCGCAUUUUGAACAGAUGUUGUAAGAAACCUCAAAAUGAAAGAAACAGAUGAUUGGAUUUUCAACAAAGUCUAGUCUUGGAUUAUGCACAGAGAAUCAAGACGGUUGAUUUGAUCACAUCUGAACUAACUUGUGAAACAGGUGAGAAAUAUUGUGGUCCAAUUAGUGCAGCCUCAAAUUGACUUCAAAUGGCAUCUUCCUUUUUCCUAUGAAAUUACUAAAACAUAAGCACGAAUCAUAGUUUUCCGAUGAUAUAAAAUUUUCUGGUAAAAAAAAAUUUGCUACAUAAUUUAAAUUGGUCAUUCCCUCAGAUGCAUUCCCUCGGAUUUGCCACAUUUCCUCUUCAUCAUCUAAGGUAUCAUAGGUCGAGACAUCCAAUGUUUCUGCAAUGAAAGUAGGAAUCUGACUGUCAUUUUUUUCUUAUUUAAUCCUAAAACAUACAUCAACCAUAGACUUAGAUGGACAAUAAGAAUGCAAUAGGUAUCAGAGUGAUAGCCAAGAACAAGCUCUAUGAAAGGUUAACACUUACCACAUGAUGCGACAAAUGCAGAAUAGUCUCGAAGAUAUCUUUAGCGAACUUAAUUACGUCUUCAGCUGAUUCCGCCUAUGGCUUUGCCAAGAUUUGCUAGGAUCGAGACUUGUUUGAGGUAGUCGACGGGAUCAACCUCGAUCCAAGGCCACAAGGGCUCAGUAGCAGCCUCUAUUUCCAAUCAUUGGGAGGUACCGGCAAUGCUGAGAUAUGGAAGAGAGAGAGAGAGAGUGUUGGCUGGGUCCACCUUCAUGUGGGGCCCAGCCAGCAUUAAAAAAAAACAAAAAGAAAAGAAAAGAACAAAAAGAAGUGGAAGUUGUCGUGCGUGGGGUGUCCGUCGAAAAGUGAAGAGAGGAGAGAGAAAAAGAAAACAAAAACUGCACAAGGAAGGAAGAAGAAGGAAGAGGGCUGCAACUUUGCGGUUUUGAUUGGAAGGCUAAAUAUUGACGGAAUCGGCUCAAAUUUCAGUAUGUUGUUUGUGAGACCGAGGGCUAAAAGUUGAUGGUUUUUGUUCGUAGAGAACCAUCUCCGAAUUCUCCAGUUGCGGUUAAGGUUUUCUUGCUCCCAACUUGUUUGUCUACCUAUGUAGUGAGAAAAGAUGAUUGUAAUGUUGAUGUUGAGCCUCUAGUUGUGACUAGAGAAGAAUACUUUGUGUAUCCUGCUAUUCUUGGUGAUUAGUGGAUGUUUUUGGGCGGUCCGUGGUUUUUCCCGUAUCGGGUUUUCCACGUUAAAUCCUUGGUGUUGUUAUUUGCUUUGUCUACUUAUUAUUUCGGCGUUAUAUUUGUAUUUUGUGAGGCUAUACAUUGCUGGUUGUUGCUGGGGGUUAAGAAAUUUUUAGUUGAUUUUGCUUUGGGGGAGAAAUUGAUCCUGGAUUGCGUUUGGACGUGGUGAAUUAUUGUACCCGAGUUCUCCCCAACAAGUGGUAUCAGAGCACGGUUGAAUUUUAGUGUUAAAUGGAAGAAACCAGCAGCACCAUGUUUAAGUUAAAUGCCUCGAAUUAUUCUAUUUGGAAGCCUCGGAUGGAAGAUGUGUUAUAUUGCAAAGACUUAUUUGAUCCUAUUGAGGAUGAUGAAGCCAAAGGAGAUAAGGAAGAUAAAGAAUGGGAGAGAAUGAAUUGGAAAACAGUUGGGUUUAUCCGACAAUGGAUUGAUGAUAGUGUGUUUCAUCAUGUUGCUCAAGAAACGAGGGCAGACACUUUGUGGAAGAAAUUACAAGAUCUUUAUGAGAGAAAAACUCCACAAAAUAAAGUUCUUCUAGUUAAGCGACUUGUGAAUUUGAUAUACAAGGACGGGAGUAACAUGGCGGAACACUUGAGUGAAUUUCAAGAUGUUGUAAAUCAAUUGACAAAUCUUGAGAUUGAUCUUGGUGAUGAAUUGCAGUCAUGCUUGUUACUUGGUACUCUUCCUGAUAGUUAGGACAUAUUGGUUGUGGCAUUAAAUAACUCGACUCAUUUUGGUGUGCUUUCUAUGAGCAUGGUUAAAGAAAGCUUGUUCAAUGAAGAAACAAGAAGAAAAAACUUGAAUUAUGCUUCUACAUCGGAUGCUCUUGUUAUAGAAAACAGGGCGAGAAGUCAAUCAAGAAGGUUUCAAAGAAAUGAUACCCGAGGCAAGUCAAGAGGAAGGUCGAAAUCGAGACCGAGGAGGAGUGUCAAGUGUUAUAAUUGCGGCAAAAUGGGACAUUAUGCAAAAGAGUGUUGGUUGCCAAAGAGAGAUAGAUUCCAUGAUAGAAAUGGAGAUCAAAAGAAAGAAGAGAAACAAGCUACAACGGCGGUUGCAUCCGAUAAAGAUAUUGUGUUUGUAUGUGAUGACGGAUAUGUGAAUUUUACAUGCCAAGACUCUAUGUGGGUUGUUGAUUCCGCGGCUUCUUUUCAUGUCACCUCACGGCGUGAUUACUUUGCUUCUUAUUGCGGCGGCGACUUUGGUUGCAUAAGGAUGGGAAAUAGUGAUGUUUCCAAGGUUAUUGGCAUGGGAGACGUUUAUUUGGAAACUGAUGUCGGAUGUAAUUUGCAUUUGAAAAAUGUGAGACAUGUUUCGGAUAUUCGACUUCACUUGAUCUUUACGGGUGCCUUGGAUGAUGAUGGUUAUUGUAAUUCAUUCUUUGAUGGCAAAUGGAAGUUGACUAAAGGUUCCAUGGUAGUGGCAAAAGGUAAGAAGACAGGCUCUUUCUACACCAUGCAAACUGACUUGAUUAAAGAAGAGGUAAAUGUAGUGGAGGAUUCCUCAGUUGAUUUAUGGCAUAUGAGGCUGGGUCAUCUUAGCAAGAAAGGACUUGAAACUCUUGCUAGAAAGAACCUUUUACCUUUGAAAGAGAAAAAUCUAAAUGAAUGCACUCAUUGUUUGACUGGUAAGCAACAUAGAUUCUCAUUUCAUAGUUCCUCUCCACACACGAAAUCAAAUGUACUUGAUUUAGUUCACACUGAUGUUUGUUGCAUGGAUGCUAGAACUCUUGGAGAUGCAUUAUACUUUGUGACAUUUAUUGAUGACUGUUCUAGAAAAGUGUGGGCUAUUGCUUUGAAAUCUAAAGAUCAGAUACUUGAGGCCUUCAAGCAAUUUCAUGUCAAUGUGGAAAGAGAAACAGGGAAGAAGCUAAAAUGUGUCUGGGCUGAUAACGGUGGUGAAUAUAGAGGCCCAUUUGAACACUAUUGCAGAGAUUAUGGUAUCAAGCUUGAGAAGACUGUUCCAAAAACACAAAAGCAUAAUGAAGUGGCAGAGAGAAUGAAUCGGACAAUUAAUGAUCGGAUUCGGUGUAUGCUUUCUCAUGCGAAGUUGCCCAAGUCAUUUUGGGGUGAAGCGAUGAGAACAGCAGUAGACUUGAUAAAUCUAUCUCCAUCGGUUCCUCUUAAGGGGGAUGUUCUGCAAAGAGUUUGUGCAUGUUCCUAGAGAUGAAAGAUCCAAGCUUGAUGAUAAGUCUAAACAGUGUAUCUUCUUAGGUUAUGGACAUGAAGAGUUUGGCUACAGGUUAUGGGAUCCAGUUGCAAAGAAAGUCAUUAGAAGCCGAGAUGUGGUGUUUUGUGAGUAUCAAACUAUUGAAGACAUUGACAAGGUGGAGAGACCAAAGAAUACAGCUUAACGUUCAGUUAGUUUCAGCCCAAAUCCUUCUAAUGUUGAUAGAAAUCAUGGGGGAGAAGUGCAUGGAAGUCAUGAAGAUGGUGAGUCCUCACAUAAUGUUGAUUCUUCAGCUGAUAUAAGUGAAAUAGCUAAGCAAGAGCAAUCUAUCUUACCUCAAGUUAGAAGAUCUGAAAGAGAGCGUAGGCCUUCUCAAAAAUAUUUACCGCAUGAGUAUGUGUUACUCACUGAUGCAAGGGAGCCAGAAACUUAUGAAGAUGCUAUAUCAUGUGAACGAAAGAAUGAGUGUCAUGAAGCCAUGCAAGAGGAGCUUAAAUCCUUGCAUGAGAACCACACAUUUGAAUUGGUGAGGUUGCCUCAGGGUAAGAGAACACUCACAAAUAAGUAGGUGUACAAGUUGAAGAUGGAAGAAAAUAGUUUACAACCACGAUACAAAGCUAGACUUGUUGUGAAGGGGUUUCGUCAAAAGAAGGGCAUAGACUUUGAAGAGAUUUUUUCACUGGUUGUAAAGAUGUCUUCUAUUCGAGUUGUUCUUGGGUUGGCCACCAGUUUAAAUUUAGAAAUUGAACAACUUGAUGUAAAGAUGGCUUUUCUUCAUGGAGACCUAGAAGAGGAGAUAUAUAUGGAGCAACCAGAGGGUUUUGAAGUUGAAGGCAAGGAGCACCUUGUAUGUAGAUUGAGAAAAAGCUUAUAUGGUCUCAAGCAAGCGCCUAGGCAAUGGUAUAUGAAGUUUGAGUCAUUCAUGGAAGAACAAGGAUACGGCCAUUUCAAGUUGAGUAUUAAUGAGUGUCCUUCAAGUGAGAAAGAGAAGGUUGAGAUGAUGAAAAUUCCUUAUGCAUCGGCCGUGGGUAGUUUGAUGUACGCCAUGGUUUGUACAAGACCGGAUAUUGCUCAUGCAGUUGGUGUUGUGAGUAGAUUUCUCUCUAAUCUAGGUAAGGAGCAUUGGACCGCUGUUAAAUGGAUUUUGAGAUAUCUUAGAGGCACUUCUACACUUUGCUUGUGCUAUGGAAAUGCAAAGCCUGAGUUGAGUGGCUUCUCGGAUGCGGACUAUGCCGGUAAUGUUGAUUCCCGAAAAUCCACAUCGGGUUUUAUAAUAAUCUUUGCAGGGGGAGCUGUUUCAUGGCAAUCGAGAUUGCAAAAAUGUACCACUUUGUCUACAACUGAAGCGGAGUAUAUUACUAUUACUGAAGGAGGUAAAGAACUUUUGUGGAUGCAAAAAUUCCUACAAGAGUUGGGCUUGAAGCAAUAGAAGUUUGUUCUAUAUUGCGAUAGCAUGAGUGCCAUCCAUCUUAGCAAGAAUCCGGUGUUUCAUUCAAGAUCGAAGCAUGUUGAUGUGAAGUAUCAUUGGAUCCGAGAAAAGCUAGAAGAGAAGCUCUUCCUACUUGAGAAAGUUCAUACCGACAACAAUAAGUCCGAAAUGAUGACCAAAGCCUUGCCCGUGAUGAAGCUUGAUGCUUGUAGAAGAAAAGCGGGCAUGACGAAUCUUCCCACAUGAGGUGGAGGGGGAGAUUUGUUGGCUGGGUCCACCUUCAUGUGGGGCCCAGCCAGCAUUAAAAAAAACAAAAAAAAAACAAAAAGAAAAGAAAAGAACAAAAAGAAGUGGAAGUUGUCGUGCGUGGGGUGUCCGUCGAAAAGUGAAGAGAGGAGAGAGAAAAAGAAAACAAAAACUGCACAAGGAAGGAAGAAGAAGGAAGAGGGCUGCAACUUUGUGGCUUUGAUUGGAAGGCCAAAUAUUGACGGAAUCGGCUCAAAUUUCAGUAUGUUGUUCGUGAGACCGAGGGCUACAAGUUGAUGGUUUUUGUUCGUAGAGAACCAUCCCCGAAUUCUCCAGUUGCGGUUAAGGUUUUCUUGCUCCCAACUUGUUUGUCUACCUAUGUGGUGAGAAAAAGAUGAUUGUAAUAUUGAUGUUGAGCCUCUAGUUGUGACUAGAGAAGAAUACUUUGUGUAUCCUGCUAUUCUUGGUGAUUAGUGGAUGUUUUUUGGCGGUCCGUGAUUUUUCCUGCAUCGGGUUUUCCACGUUAAAUCAUUGGUGUCGUUAUUUGCUUUGUCUACUUAUUAUUUCGGCGUUAUAUUUGUAUUUUGUGAGGCUAUACAUUGCUGGUUGUUGCUGGGGGUUAAGAAAUUUUUAGUUGAUUUUGCUUUGGGGGAGAAAUUGAUCCUGGAUUGCGUUUGGAUGUGGUGAAUUGUUGUACCCGUGUUCUCCCCAACAGAGAGAGAGAGAGAGGGGCGCGCACUACGGCCUUCGCUGCCCCUGGCUCCGGUCUCGCCGUUCUCAAUCAACUCACUCCUGGCUUCAAGAGUCGAGACCUUUUCCGACUCUUUGAUGCUCGUCGUGACCUUUUUCCAACUUGACAGGGUAAACUGUUACCCCCUCGAAUAAUUGGGCAGAGCGUCGCCGGCAUCAUCCUCGUCAUGUCGCUGGCAUCGUCCUCUCAACUGACCACCAUGGCCAGAUGUUGUUCAGUGAAAUUUCCCAGCUGUAGCCGCAUGCACCGCGUCAGACCUCGCAUCUCCAUGUCUCGCUUUUCGUCUUCAAAUUCAUUCAAGCAAUUACAGCGGCGUGGGCUUAGAGGUUGUGCGGAUGAGGACAGAGGCGCACACCCGAGGGGCGGGCAGAGAAUUGUGCUAAACCGCGAUCUUCCUGUAAUUCCAAGCGGAGUAGUACUCACCAUUGAUCACAAUGAGCUUCGCUUUCGUGUCGAGAGCCUCCUUUGUGCAUCUGAGAGCAACAUCACAUCAAAAUCAGUUCCAAAAAACCUGAUCAAAAGAAAUCGUUAUCGUUCCACGCUUGUAUGACGCUUCUGAUCUUGCAGAGGAGGACAGGACAGAAGUGAAAUGGGCUUGAGCGGCUGAUGCUGCUGUAUCCUCCCGGUUUGGAGCUGUCCGAGCCUGGCCAUGCAUUUUUUUUUUUUUUUCCGGCGGAGAGGGAGAGAGGAAGUGUGAACUUGGAACCAAAGGGAGGCUUAAGGAUUAAGGAAGCUGCUGAACUUGAAACUGAGCCUUCUGAUCAGACAAAAUUGAGAGAGAAACGUGGGACCCAUGAUUUUAGUAUUUCUGUCAUUCUGACCAUCAAGGGUGUGGAUGAAGCCGAAGGAGGGGUGGAUUUAGCGCCGCACCUUGAAAUUAUUCCAUGAAUAUGUACUUUGGGCUUUUCACGAAGAAAAAAUGUUCACGCUAUUCUUUUUCUCUUUUGCAAGUUAUGCUAUUUCAUCCGGUGGAUUAACUGAGCAUGAAGUAAGAUGGAGAUGCAUUUGGCCUUGCUAUAUAUUCGUGCCUGAAGUUGAUCGUGAGGCACCACCAGACCAUUGUUUCACCACAAAAGCAUCAGCUCUGCAACCUCCUCUCAAACACUUCUCAGCCCCCGCGUUUGCUUUUGGAAAUGGCGGAAGCGGUUCUCUUCAGCCUUGCCACCGACAUACUUAAAAGCCUUGCCACCGAAAUGGUGAAACCUGGAGGUUCCUUCGCUUCUCAAAAGAUCAUGUUGCUCUGCUGUGCCAAGGACGAGCUCCAAAGCCUCAAGGGCACCGUCCAGACCAUCCAAGCUUUGCUUUUGGAUGCUGAGAAGAAGCAAUGGCACAACAACCAGGUCAAGCUGUGGCUCACGAGGCUCAAGGAUGUGUUGUACGACAUACAGGACUUGCUCGACGAUGUUGCAACUGAAGAUUUGAGGCAGAAGGUCACUCUCGGCAACAAGAUGUUGAAAGCGGUAUGCAUUUUCUUCUCUAAAUCGAAUCAGCUUGCACACCGCCUCAAAGUGGCUAAUGAAAUUCAGGAACUUAGGAAGAGACUGGAUCUAAUUAAAAAUGAUAGGCAAUUCCAUUUCGAUGAGCAUCGUGAGGAAUCAAUGGCCAUUGUGAGAGGAAGAAAACCUGAAAAUUUAUCACCCGACAGAGAAAUAAUUGGUAGGGAAGAGGACAAGGAAAAUAUCAAACGACUUUUGUUUGAUUCCUCCUCUAGCCAGAGUGUGUCAUUUGUUGCCAUAGUUGGUAAAGGAGGUAUUGGAAAAACCGCACUCGCACGACUAGUGUACAAUGAUGGGGAAGUAAAAGAACAUUUUGGGCCUCAUAAGAUGUGGUGGGUGUGUGUAUCUGAUGUCUUUGAUGUGAAUUUGAUUAUCAAACAAAUUCUUAAAUCAGCAAAGUGUCAAGAUCUUGAUAAUAAGCCUGAAGACCAAUUGGAGAGUCUUCUAAGUACAAACAAAUACUUGCUUGUUUUAGAUGACUUGUGGAAUGAAAAUCGGCUUGAAUGGUUGAAGCUUGGAGAGUGGCUAAAGGCUGGUUUACAGGGGAGCAAGAUACUUGUAACCACUCGCAGCCACAAAGUUGCAACAGUCACGGAUGCGAAAUCAGACAUCCAUGUUCUCGGUGACUUGUCUGAAGGGAAGUCAUGGGACUUAUUUAGGAAGAUGGCUUUUGGAGAUGGGGUAGAAUUAUUAGACCCAGAACUCGAGAAGAUGGGUCGAGAUAUAGUUAAAAAAUGCACCGGGGUUCCCCUUGCCAUUAGAACUAUAGGAGGCCUUUUGUACGACAAAAACAAAGAUGAAUGGGUCCGUUAUAAAGUGCAUGAACUUCCAGAAAUACCAGAAAUUUAUGUGGAUGGAGGAAUUAUGCAAGUCCUCAAGUUCAGUUACGAUCAUCUCCCGUCAUGCUUGAAAAAUUGUUUUGCAUAUUGCUCAUUGUUUCCGAAAGAUUAUGUCUAUGAUAAAGAUAUGAUGAUUCAUCUUUGGAUGGCACAAGGCUUUAUUGAGUCACACAACAGGGAAGAUAACCUUGAAGAGGUCGCCGACAAUUACUUGUCAGAACUACUAUGUAGGUCAUUCCUCGAUGCUGAAUCCACAACAAAAAAUGGUGAUGUGGUCCUACAAUUCAAGAUGCAUGAUCUCAUGCACGAUCUUGCUCUUGCCCAAAAAGUUGCUGAAGGUGAAUGCAAGAUUGUUCAUUUUAAAGAAUCAGACAAUGAUCAAGGAAUUCGACAUGCGUCCUUUAUUUCGGAGAUACUCUCUAAAGAGAAAUUGGUGUCUCUGCUCAAAACAUCCAAAUUGCGGACGUUUCUCUAUUUGAAAGGUGAAUCCUCCGAACUUUUUUUUGGUCGAUCAUCCUCCAUACUCAAUAAUAGUCACAAAGUUUUUUCCAGAUGUGGACAUUGUCGAGCGUUGUGUUUGCACCAUGCAAAUAUUUCUCUCCCUCCUUCCUCCUUAGGAAAGUUGAAGCAUUUAAGAUUACUUCAUAUUUUGAUGAAUGAAUCCAUCCAGAAUUUGCCAGAUUCAAUCACUGAUUUGGUGAACUUACAGACCCUUAAACUCUCGGAUUGUAUGUGGCUUCAAACAUUUCCUAGAGAUUUGAGGAAAUUGGUCAAACUUAGACACCUCUUAAUUGAAUACUGUAUCUCACUAAGCCAGCUACCACCCCUGAGUGAACUCCCUUCCCUAAGGACGUUGAGUCUUGUGUUCUUAAAUGCGUUAAAGUUCAUUCAACAGACAAGUGACCCAAAGCCGUCUAAUACCACAAUCCCCUUCUUUCAAUCUCUUGAACGUCUGACUCUCUUCUGCUGCGAACAGCUGGAAGGAUGGCGGGGAAGAAUGCAAGAAAUGGGAGCACAUCAAAAGCAUCGGUCAGACAACUCAUGGCCAUCCUUCCCGAAACUUCAGUUUGUGAGUAUAAACGAUUGUCCCCACUUGAAUUCUAUACCAUCAUUCCCCCAGGUGGAACACUUGUGGAUAGAUGGCACAAAAAUGUUGGAACAACAAUUGCUGGCCAAUCCAAAUUGCCCAUCAGAAGGAACAGUGGAAGCCACAUUCAUUCCUUUCCCUAAACUAAAACAUCUAACAGUUUCUAAACGUUAUAUGAGUGAAGAGCCCUUGAUGCUUAAGACUCUACUUCGAUCGGCCAGCAACCUCGAGUAUAUGACAAUCAUCGAUUUCAACCUAAGGAGUCCCUCUUGUGAGAUGCAGCACCUUUCCUUGCUCAAGGGACUCAACAUUCAGCGUUGUCAAGGACUCGAUUUUUUUUUCCAAGAAGGCGAGCAUGGCACCCAAUGGCAAUGCCUUACGAAUCUUCGUGUUCUUACCAUCAAAGGUUCAAAUUUGGUGGCAUUACCUAAGGGGAUUCAACAUGUGACAACUCUGCGAUCUCUCAAGAUUUCAGAAUGGAUGAAGCUUAGAGGUUUGCCGGAAUGGAUUGGAAAUUUCUCUUUACUCGAAGAGCUUAAAUUAAUUGGCUGUUAUAGAUUAAAGUAUAUACCAUUUGAGAUACGCAAUCUCACACGUUUGAAGAAAUUGGUAAUUCAUGGUUCUCCCUUAUUGGAUGAAGGGUGCCUAGCUGAUGUGCACAUGCCAAUCAUUGAUUGGAAGGAUUCCUACUACGAUUCGGAUUAGCAUUAGAGGUACGAGAAAAGACUUACAUCACCUAUCAAUAGUGUUCCUUUUUCAACUAUUUUACCUUCUUUAUUAUUUAACUAAUUUCUCGCCUCUUCACUGUAUAUUCACAGAUCGCAGUGCAAAUAUUUAUCAAAAAGAGAGAUAGCGUCUCUCCACUCACACUUCAGUUCGCCACCGUCUUCUUCGUCAUGUCGCGCGUGUAGAACAAACGCCUCCUUUGCGGUCUUGCUCGUACACCUCCUCACUCGCCCUCCCCUCCUUCAUUUCCUCCAUCACUGCCGUCUGAAGAAACCUAGCGUCCCCGACGCGCAUCGCAUCCUGUCGAUCGCCUCCUUCCUCUUUGGCCGGGUCCGCCGAGGUCGAUGAUCGGGAAGCUGAGAUUCUCGGAUCCGCCGCUCGAUUCGGAGCUGCCUGCCUUCGGAUGUCUCCUGCGGUCGGAUGGCGAAAUUCUAGGGAUUUCGGUGAUCGCGGCGUCGACGAGGCCUUUGACGCCGGCUUUUGAGUCGUCGCCCGCUCUGUCGUAGCUUUCUGCUCGCCUGAGUCGGAGGCCAAAUCGAUGGUAGGCAUUGUUCCUCUCUCUCUCUCUCUCUACUGCAAUUCAAUUUUCACUCUGAAUGUGUAAUAAGUUUGGAUUAUGAAUCGAAUGUUAUGGAGACAUUUGGAUUAUGAUUUGAGUGUUAUGGAGACAGUACAAUGUCAAUGCAUGAUAUGAGCAUCUUCUUUAUAGCUGAUUGAUUGAUUGAGAGAAGAGAAGUGAAGAGAAUAAUGACAUCCAUUGCGAGGUUCCGCUUGACUUUAGAAUUAUGAGGUUCCUAAAAAAUGGAAGGAGAAUCUCAUAGCUUAUGAGCUACCCCGAACUGAGAAAAUGACAAUGCUGUUUAAUGAUGGCUGAUACAAAAUCUGUUACAGAGUUGAACAAUGAUAGAUGACAGGACAAUUCGAUGUUGUCUUAGCCCUUGACUUCUUCGCAGUUACAGAAAUCUAUAUGUAGAGGAAUCUUUGGUUUGUAGCCCUUUCUUUGUCAUCACUUUAGGAGAGUUUCUGGACUUCUCAGGUAAACAUAACUAUUAUCUACGAGCUGGGUCCAUAUGAUCUAGUAAGCAUAUAGAAAUCUCAAGGUUCAUCUGAGUGAAACAAACAACAGGUUGGUGAAUCUUGGACAACCUUGAUUGAUGCCGAGGCUUGCUAUAGUUUUAUAAAUCAUUUAAAAUUGGACCCUUUUGAAACUAAGUUACUGAGCUCUUUGAGCAGGCAAUUUAACAAUUAUAUGCCUCUGGACAUGAGAAGCUGAACUGCGAAAAGAUGUGGUUCUGAUGUUACUGAUUAGAGGAAAAACCCUUCUUGCCUUCUUUCUGGAUUCCAUGCGUUGAAAAGUCAUGUUAGGAUGGGGACUUGCCUUUGCAUUGUUUCAUAAGGUGGGGCCAUCCUCUCAAGCGAUACUCGAGAUAUUGCGAUGCAUUAGAAAACUGAACUAGAGUUGCUGUAAAAGUAUGGUGGAGGCCUAAGGCUUCUGAUAAGUGCUCAAACAGACAAGAGUCCAUUCUCAUCACAUGCUUUAAGUACUCCAGCAUUUCUCUGCUAGAAUGUUGCGAUGCAUUAGAAAACUGAACUAGAGCUGCUGUAAAAGUAUGUUGGACGGAUUCCUAGAGAGUACAACAAAGGGUGUUGAUAGUUUAUAUCAACUCAUGUGCAAAAGUUUGCUACUGCUACCGCUAGAACGUGAAUAAAGUCAACCGUCAAGGAACAUCCUUUUUUUUCCCUGUAAAGAACGGAACGACCACCUCCGAGGUUCCCAUCAGUGAAAAUGAUCAGUCAUUGAGGAUCGUCUUACUGAUUCAUAUCAUUCAUUGAGACUAGAUGCAAGAUUAUAUGCUAUGACAGGUAGUGGAAUUUAGGUGAGAAACUUUGUACAAAUUCAUCGGUGGCAGUUGUCUUCGCUGGCUGAACAAUUUAACUGGGCACUUUCAUUUCAUGAGUGUUCAACAUCUAUUCUGGCCGAUUCAAUGGAAAAGUAAGCGAAUAACUCAAGUUUCGUACGCUUACUAGUUUAGCCCUUGAUUUGUUGAAGAAAAUAGAAAAGGCCAUCAAGUAUCAUGCUGUGAAAACCAUUUCCUUGCAUUCCAUGGAAACCAUAGCGGCCACAUCUCAUCCCUUGUGCUUAUAUUGAUGAAAGAAUAUUUAUGUUCUUGACAUGUUAAGCUACCACUCUUUCUUCUUCUUCUUGAAAUAGUGAGUACCUAGCACGGCACAGGUUCACUUUUUUCUCUAGAUGAAGGGGCAGCAACCCCCAUUUGUGUCUUCCUUUUUGGAAUACAAGGAUCAAGCCGAAAAGUAACCUACGACCAAAAUCUCUAGUACUAUGACUUGUUUACAUUUGGAAUAUUUCCGUAUUGAUUACAACUUGCGCGGUUAACUAGGGGUGAGUGCGGUUCCUGGUUCUUAAGGGACUGGUUCUGGUUCCCGGUUCCCUUUUUCUGGGAAUCGGUGAAUCGGCAGUUCCGGUUCCUAUGGGAACGGAACCGGAACCGGAACCGAAACCGGAACCGAUUAGGGCUCCAAAAAAAAGUCCCCAAAUCAGUUCACCCUUAGAUGACACUUUCAGUCUUUCACAUCUUCUCUUCUUUGAGUUUCUCUCAUUCUUACUCGACGCCACUGCCGCUCACCCUUAACGCCAUUGUUGGACGUUGCUCGCCCUCAACGCUGCCGCCGGACGCCGCUAGACGCCAAUCGCCCUGCGUCGCCUCGCCCUUUCCUCCCUCGACGCCAUCACCCCUCGCCCGCCUCGUCGCUCAGUCGCUGCCGGAUGCCGGUCGUCCUGCUGGACACCAAUCAGCCCGCGCUUGCCCUGUCCUUGCCUCCCUCGACGCCGUUAGCCCUCGCUCACCUCGUCUCUCAACUGCUCGCCGUCAAUGCCGCCGGUGGAUGCCGCUCGUCCCCUCGGUGGAGGCCACUCGCCGCUCGCCCAGCCGCCCCCAACACUGCUCGCCCGGUCGCCCCCGAAACAGCUGUUGUAUAGGAAGUUGUGCAUUUAUACAGAGGUUUUUGCUAAGUUGAUGUUAAGUUACUUUAAUUAAGUUUCCUUUAUUAUCAGAGUUUUAUUUCCUUCUUUUAUUAUCAAAGUUUUAUUUCAUUUUUUACUUACAUAAGGGUAUUAUUGUCAUAUACAAUUUAUAUUCAAUAUAAAUACAAUGGGUGUAGAGUUUCUGUUACUACAGAAAUCUACAGCUCCCUCUUUGUUUCUUUCUUUUACAUUCUCCUUCUCCUCUUCUCUAUUCCUUCUCCCUUCUUCUUUCUCUCUUACUAUUUGUUGCAGUUUCUCUAAUAAGUUUUGUGACAUGGUAUCAGAGUAGGUCUAACUACCUGAUUACUUGAUCCUAUUGCUGGUUUGAGAGUCCCCCAAUAACCCUACUUCUUCUCUAGUGCACAGACACCUAAAGCUGUAAUUUUUAUCUGUUUUCUCUUCAAGUCUUGAUACAUAUGAGUUCAGAAGAUAUCAUAUUCAUCAGGUUCGGUUUGUGAACAUGGAUUACAACACUUACUGAUAAAUGGAUUCAAGAAUUGGAGUACUUUAUUGAUUAUGGUUGACUAGUCUUGCUGGGUUUCCGUCAAGCAUAUAAUUAUUUGAAUCGAGAUUUCUGGUCAGAUAUCUUCUUCUAUACAGCAGUCUAUAUUUAUGAGUUUUCAGCAUCCCUUUGGUUAAUUGAUGGAGCCAAUUACAUCUGAUUAUACAUCAGUGUUGCUGUUGUUUUAUUUCUCGCACUAAAGUUUCAGCCUACUUGAUUAGUGGUGGAUAUAUUUAUAUUGAGAUUAUCGUCAGUGAUACUAAGGCUCCUACAGAUAGUGUCAAUGUUCAAAUUACCACUAUUAAGUUAAAUGGAUCCUCCAAUUACUUAUUAUGGGCUCAAGCUGUGAAGGUCUAUAUUAAUGCCAAAGGGAAACUUCAUUAUCUUACCACAGACCCACCUACUGAAAAUUCUAGAGACUAUAGUGAUUGGAUGAAAGAGAAUGAUACACUUUUGGUGUGAUUAUGGAAUAGCAUGGAACUGUCCAUCACUGCUAAUGUCACGUUCCACACAACUGCUAAGGGAGUAUGGGAUGAUCUUAUGGAGAGUUACUCACAAGACAAAAAUAUGUCUAGAGUUUAUGAACUAUAUGAGAAGAUCUUUAAUUUUAAACAAGGAGACAAGUCUCUUGGAGAGUAUUAUAGUGCUUUGAAAAGUAUGUGGGAAGAACUCAAUCUUUAUCAGCCCAUCACUACUGAUCUUGAGACUUAAGACACAACGAGCUGAAUUUCAAGUGGCCAAGUUUUUAUCUGACCUGAAUGCCGACUUACAGCCUAUGAAGAGUCAUCUUCUUGCUGGUGAGAGAGUUCCUUCUAUGAAUGAAGCAUUUUGUCGAAUUCAGCGCAUUGUCCCUCCGUCUUCUAAGUCAUCUAAAGACAAUUCAGCAUUUGUGGCUAGUAAUGGUGGUCGUGGUUGUGGUGGAUUUUCCAAUAGAGGUCGUGGUUUUGGGGGAGGUCAUAGUCAUGGUGGUGGACGUAGUGGACAAAGUUUUGAUCAAGAUAGCUGUCAGUGUAUAUAUUGCGGCAAAUCCGGUCAUAUUGUUGACACUUGUUGGGCCAAGCAUGGCAAGCUUGAGUGGGCUCAACAAUUAGUUACUGCAAAUACUGCUGUGUGUGAAGGGAGUGCUCGAAAUGUGUCUUAUAGCGACAUGAACCCAUCUAUCCCACCUGGGGGUAGUUCUUUUGAGUCUACGGCUCGAGAUGAUAUGGUUGCACAACUCAUCAAGUGUGUCCAACAACUAGAGGCUUCCAAUUUCUCAUCCACGGCCACUCUUGCAUGUACAAGUAACAUGGCCUCCUUCUUUACUUUGUCUCCUAACACCUCCUGGGUCAUUGACGCAGGAGCUUCUAGUCAUAUGAUGGGUAAGCAAGAACUAUUUUCUUCCAGCCAUAACUCUAGUCCUUCAACAGAAGUUGUUUUAGCUAAUGGUUCCUCGACUCAAGUGGUUGGAUCAGGGACUGUUUCACUUACAUCUUCCUUAUCUUUGUCCUCUGUUUUACAUGUUCCCCUAACUUCCUUUAAAUUUGUUAUUUGUUAGUCAGUUAACUAAAGCUCUUAGUUAUUUAGUUACAUUUUACCCAUCUCAUUGCAUUUUUUAGGACCUUUAGACAAAGAAGAUGAUUGGUGGAGGGCAUGAACGUGAUGGACUCUACUAUCUAAAUGGUGUCUCCACUGCUGACACUAAUGGUCUAGCUGCUAGUUCUAUUACCCCCUAUUAUGGCAUUCUCGUUUAGAGCAUUUAUCUUUAUUUAAGUUACAACAAAUAAUUCCUGAGUGUAAAUCAAUUUCUACUCUUGAGUGUGAGGCUUGUAAACUUGGGAAACAUCAUCAUAGUUCUUUUCCUAGUCGUAAUAAUUCUCGUGUAUCUACUUUACUUGAACUUGUUCAUUCGGACAUCUGGGACCUUCCCGUAUUGCUAGUAGAAAUGGUUUUAAGUACUUUGUUACUUCUAUGGAUGAUUAUUCUCGUUUAACGUGGCUCUAAAUGCUUCAUGACUGUUUUGAAUUUUUACAUGUUUUCCAAUUAUUUCAUCGUGAGGUUACUAAUCAGUUCAAUACAUCCCUUAAAAUUCCGCAAACAAAUAAUGCUUUAGAAUAUACACAGAAAUCAAUUUCUUUGUUUUGUUCUAAUCUUGGCAUUAUACAUCAAACAAGUUGUACUUAUACCCCUUAGCAGAAUGGUGUGACCGAGAGAAAGUACCGUCACCUUCUAGAAGUUGCUCGUUUACUCUUAUUUCAUAUGAAUGUACCAAAAUCAUUUUGGAGUGAUGCUGUCCUUACUGCAUGUUACCUUAUAAAUCGUAUGCCUUCCACUGUCCUCAAUCAUCAGUCACCAAUCAGUGUUGUAUUUCCUGAAAAGCCGUUAUUCUCUCUUACCCCGCGCAUCUUUGGGUGUGCCUAUUUUGUUUAUAACCUACGUUCCGGUUCUGAUAAACUAUCUUCUCGUGCUACUAAAUGUAUUUUUCUUGGCUGUUCACGUACACAAAAGGGAUAUCAGUGUUAUGAUCAUACAACUUAUACCCAAUAUGUUAGUGUUGAUGUUACAUUUUUCGAGGGCACACCUUACUAUUGUACUGAGGGUAAAGAGUUUUCAACUGACAUUGUAGCUGAUCCUCCUAUCCCACAACAAAUCCCCCUAGAUUCUGUUAGUCAUUCUCUAGUAUCUCCUCCCUUGCAGGUGUAUCAGCGGCGAAAGCAGUCUACGACGCCACCAAUCUCCAGCUCUUCCAUGCCCUCCAAUCAAUCUUCCUCCUUGUCUCCUGGUCCGAACGAUCUUUCAAUUGCCCUUCGCAAAGGUACUCGGUCUUGCACACAAAAAUCCUCUUUGGCUUACCCUAUUGAGCGUUAUGUGUCUCUCUCACAUCUUCCUUCUCCGUUACAUGACUUUGCUCUAUCAUUACAAACUCACACAAUUCUUACUUCUACCACUGAGGCUUUGUCUCGCCUUGAGUGGAAGAAAGCUAUGAAUGUGGAAAUGGAAGCUCUGGUGUCUCACCAAACGUGGUCAUUGGUUGGGUGUACACUAUCAAGUACAAUUCGGAUGGCUCAAUCGAGCGUCUUAAAGCUCGACUCGUUGCUAAAGGUUUUACUCAAACUUAUGGAGUGGAUUAUUUUGAGACUUUUUCUCCUAUGGCAUGUCUCAAUUAUGUUCGUGUUAUUAUUUCUCUUGCUGUAAAUUUUGAUUGGCUAUUAUAUCAAUUGGAUGUCAAGAAUACUUUUCAUUAUAGUGAUUUUUCUGAAGAAGUAUAUAUGGAGCAACCUCCUGGGUAUGUUGCUCAGGGGGAGAAUUGUAGUAAAGUAUGUCAGCUACAUAAGGCCAUUUAUGGGUUGAAACAGUCUCCAAGAGCAUGGUUUGAAAAAUUCAGUUCAGUGAUUUCCAAAUGUGGUUUUCACCAAUGUUAUUCUGAUCAUUCUAUUUUUGUUCGCAAGAAGGAAUUGGGAGUGGUCAUUCUUGUGGUAUAUAUGGAUGAUAUAAUUGUCUCCGGUAGUGAUAUGACCGGCAUUUCUGAGGUUAAGUCCUUUCUUCAGCAGCAAUUUCAAAUUAAAAACUUUUGAACUCUUAGGUAUUUUCUAGGUAUUGAAGUUCUAUAGAGUAAAAAAGGUAUUAAUUUGUCUCAAUGAAAGUAUGUUCUUGAUCUUUUGUUUGAGAUAGGUACACUAGCUGCCAAGCCAAUUGAUACUCCUAUGGAUCCAAAUCAAAAGUUUGGAGUUAAUGAUGGAAAUGAAAUUGAAGACAAGUAUCAAUAUCGACGUCUAGUUGGGAAACUAAUUUAUCUUAUUGUUACACGUCCUGAUAUUUCUUUUGCUAUUGGUGUGGUGAGUCAGUUUAUGGAGUCACCUAAGAAGGCUCAUUGGGAUGUUGUAUGUCGCAUUUUUCAAUAUCUUAAAAGCUCUCCUGGUAAGGGACUAAUUUAUAAAUCUAAUGGUUCUUCCACUCUGGUUGGCUAUUCUGAUGCUGAUUGAGCUGGGUCAACAUAUGAUCGACAGUCUACAAUUUGGUUACUUGGAGAAACAAGAAACAGACUACCAUUGCCAGAUCUAGUGUAGAGGCUGAAUAUCGUGCUAUGGCACAUACUGUGGCCGAAUUGUUGUGGUUGAAAUCUCUUCUUCAGGAGCAUGGAUUUUCGAUUAAUCAACCUAUUGAUAUGAUGUGUGAUAAUCAAGCAGCUAUUUAUAUUGCUGGGAAUCCUGUUUUUCAAGAGUGAACUAAGCAUAUAAAAGUUGACUGUCACCUUGUUUGGGAUGCUGUGAAGCAGAAGUUGGUUGCUACUCCUUACGUUGCCUCUAGAGAUCAGUUUGCUGAUAUGUUUAACAAAGCAUUAUUUCGUCCUGCUUUUAUUGCUGGUUGUUCCAAGCUAGGCAUGGGUGACCUUUAUGCUCCAACUUGAGGGGGAGUGUUAAGUUACUUUAAUUAAGUUUCCUUUAUUAUCAGAGUUUUAUUUCCUUCUUUUAUUAUCAAAGUUUUAUUUCCUUUUUUACUUACAUAAGGGUAUUAUUGUCAUAUACAUUUAUAUUCAAUAUAAAUACAAUGGGUGUAGGGUUUAUGUUACUACAGAAAUUUAUAGCUCCCUCUUUGUUUAUUUCUUUUACAUUCUCCUUCUCCUCUUCUCUAUUCCUUCUCCCUUAUUCUUUCUCUCUUACUAUUUGCUGCAGAUUCUCUAAUAAGUUUUGUGGCAGUUGACUUGUUGCAAUGUUUUCAUAUGAUUUGCCUUUCUUCUGCCCUCAUUGGACCUUAGCUAUCACGUUCCUUUUUUUUUAAAAUUUUUUUUACAAUUUCCCGGUUGCCUUGUGUCUGACAUCUUUUCCUUUUAAUGUACUCUUUAGAGUUCAUAAACCUUGUGUCAUAUGAAUCAAAUGAAGUUUGUAAUCGAGAGGAGAAAAGAACGAUUACUCCUGAGCAUGUACUCAAGGCAUUAGAGGUAAUGUUCUUGUUCUUGUUCUUCAUUGAACAUACUCCUGAGCAUGUGAUCGAGAUUGAGUCAUGAUAGGCUGGAAUUUUUCGAUUUAGUAAACAUCUGUCUCGAAGGUUUUAAAUAGAAUGCACUGCUUUCAUAUAUGGUGUCCCUUAGUUGUUAUAUAUUGUCUAAUGUGCAGGAUAAUGGCCUUUUGCCCAUUUUUGAACCUAAGAUUCUUCUUGAUGGAGACCACCCUACUGAGAGGACUUUUGAAGUGGCAGAGAAGGUUUGGUCUGAGGUCUUUUUCUAUUUGGCUGAGAACAAUGUUUUGUUUGAGGGUAUCCAGCUUAAACCCAGCAUGGUAACUCCUAGAGCUGAGCAUAAGGAGAAGGCUUUGAUAUUGCUAGUAUAAACACCUAGAGGGGGGUGAAUAGGCGCACAAACAAUUUUUCUCAAAUACGGAAGCAACAGAUUGAAAUACGAUCGAUGUAGAGAGAGUAAGGAAGAGAAAAUCAAACACAGGAUUUAUAGUGGUUCGGCUUAUUCCAAGCCUACGUCCACUCUUCCGCACUGACAGCCCACCGGCUGGAUUUCACUAUGAUCAAAAGAGAAGUUACAGCAAAGCUUUGCCUUGAUUCCACAGUGUAGAUGUUCUAUCACACUUCCUCAAGGUCUCUCACAAAUAUAGACUCUCUUUUGUAUACAAGUAUUCGCUCAAGAGAUUUAUCUAAAACAAAUAGGAGCUUCAGACUUUGGAAUUUUUCUAUCGCGCACACUUCUUAAACAACUAAGAACGUCUUCCUUAUAUACUCCUUUAUGCCAUCAUACCCGUUGGCACUUUCCAAAGGAAUUCCUCCAAUCUACCCGUUGGACAGAAUCAAUUAGGAAGAUCGUUCGAGCUAUAAAAGGAACGUGUUGAUAGCCCAUCAAUCCUGUUCGCCCAUACAAUCAGGAUCUCGGUUUCCAUAAGCAGAACCUUCCAAUAAUAUUUAGACAAUCAUCGAAUUUUCAGUCAUUGAAUCAAUCUUUGAUCAAUUAAAGGAUUCUGAUACGUCUUCUCCAGCCACGAGACCUUCUCCAGAUGAUAAGGUUAAAUCCUGAACAAAGCAUCCAGUUCGGGAUAACCUUUCUUCAACGGAUCAGAGACUGUCAAUGAGGAUAGACUUUGAGUCUUGAGUCUGGCUGUCCGGAAGUCUUCAGACUUUAACUAACAAAGUUUGCAGACCUUCAGACUAGACUGACGGAAACAUUUUGUCAACUUCAAAACUCUUCACGAGGAUUUCUCCAACAAUCUCCCCCUUUUUGAUGGUGACAAAACUUUCCUGCAGAUUUGGAUAACUUUGACCUGCAAAACAUUUCUCAAACACAUAUGCAUAUAAAUGGCUAAUAGAAUAACACUAGAAUCUGCAACCACAGAAAAUAGGUUAGUCCAAUAUAUGAUUAAGCCAUUCAUAAGAUAUCAAUAUUGAUAAAUAGAAACAGUCAAAUCCAAGUCUAGGCAGUUCUUAUCCAGACACAAAACAAAGUCAAAGUCUAUCAAAAACAGACAGAUAAACACAAUCCAACAAACAGUUAAAAAGAUUGAAAGGUUUUUGAUCAAAUCAGCAUCUCUCCCCCUUUUUGUCAUCAUUUAAAAAGGAUGAGAUGAAAUCAAGUUUGCUUGGGAACGCGGACAAGCUGGAAAUCUUCCAUAGACUGAACAAUGCCUUCCAGCCUCUUAAAGUCUUCCUUAAGCUGUACAACCUCCUCACUCUUGGCAUUGGCCUGAUUCUGAAUAGAGAGGGCUUGCAUCUUUUCAUUUAAAGAACAGGAAGAAGCUUGACCAUCAUUCUUCAAGCUUUGAACUUCGCAUCCCAAGGCAUAAAUCUGACCUUUCAUCUCCAAGAGAAUAUCCAUAAUUCUGCGAAAAUCUGCUCCAUUAUUAGUCUGAGUACUUGCUUCUGCUCGUUCUGAUGGAGUAAAAGCAGACGAUGGUGGAUCAGCAUAAUCUCGCAGGUUGGGUGAUGAAGCUUCAUGACCUUCCUCUGGAAAUUGAGAUGCAUAAACAUCUUCUGGGUCUGCAGGCGAGCGACUGACUCCUUCACUUGCAUCUGGAUGUGAAGACGUCACUCCUUUCUCCUGAUCUCCCCCUGUUUCCAUGCCUACAGGUGGAGAAGAGAUUUCCUCAGGUUCUCCUUCUCUUCUUUCUUCUUCAGGUCUUUCUUGCUCUGCUUCUUGCUCUGUUUCUCUUUCUUCUUCUUCCUUCUCCUUUGCUUCUCUUUCUUCUUCUUCCUUCUCCUUUGCUUCUUUCGUCUUUUGUUCCGAUUCUUUCUGUGGAACAGGACGACUCAAGUUCUUCAAAGCCAUUGCGAAGAUGGUGAUGUCAUCGUCAUCAUCUUCAUCCUCAACGAGGAGAGCUCUUCUUUUCUUUGAUGGAGCAGCCAUGGGCUCCUUCCCUUUUCUCUUAGCAGCAGAAGAGGGUUGAUGAGACUUGGCAGGAGUCUUCUCCUUGAAUUUCUCCAAUUCCUUGCUCAGUUCCUUCAGACGCAUUUUGGUCACCAUUUUCAGUCCUACCACCAUAUGAUCGCAUGAUCGAACACAAAAGAUUUGCGGAGGCUGAAUAUUCAGAUGUUUGAAUAACUUCGUAACAAGGCUUGGGUAAGGGAGUUGACCUCUGUCCUUCAUCACUGCUCUAUACAUGUGAAACAUGACAGUAUGAGGAAGAGAAAACUUCUUUCCACAGAGGAUAACAUACAUCAACUUUGCCUCAGAGCUUGAAACAUCAGUUUUGGAAGUUGAUUUCGGCCGAAGGCAAUUAAUCACAGUCUUGUGAAGCAAGAUGUUGAAUGCGUUCAUCCUUGAGUAGGUGAUCUUCUCUUCUGUUCUCCUGUCCUUCACCAAUUCAAGUGUGGCCCGAGCAAUGGAAACUUUAAUCGGUUGAUAUCUGCCUCUCUCAACUUCUAACACAUCUGCCAGCAUAUCCAUAUCCACAACAUAGUCUUGUUCUUUGACACUAAAGGAAAAUCUAUUCGCAUCUAAAAAGCUAAGAUUUGAAUAGAAGUAAGCGGUCAAUUCAGCAUAAGCCUCAGUUGAGUCAGAACAGAAUUUUUCAAGUUGAAGAUAACUGAACUUUUCUCUCAAGUUCACUUUCACAGCAUCCAGAAAAUCAAAGUCCACACUCCUAGGGUUUAUUACCCCACGCUUCAGCAAUUUCGAGUACAGAUCCUUUUGUUCCUUUGAUCUGAACAAAUCUCCCCUUUUUCCUUGAAUUUCAGCCGCAAUACCCAUUUUCGGUUGAAAUAGACUGAACAGAUUGUCAUCAUCAUUCCCAUCUACAGGAUUUGGCCCCCAGUCACGAGGAUCACUUGGGAUAUUCGCAAGGGUUUCCUCAGCCACCCCUUUACGAGCGAUUCCCAAACUUUCCAUUCUUUUCAGAAAGAUAUAUUCGUUCCUAUAUCCUUUUUCUUUAACAAAAUCAUCAACAUAUUUCAAAGGAGUACGAAUUCCUUUUAAAGCACGAUAUAGCUUGUAGAUAAAAGCAGGCUUUUGAACUCUUACGGGGUCUGCUUCCUCGAUGAUUUCUUCCUGAUGAACAACGCCUUGAGGACUAGAUGAUGGAGAAUGACGCUGCUGAGAAUGUUGUGGGCUCGGUUGCUGAUCUGGAGAAACUUCAUCUUCAGUAAGAUCGAAGUGCGUAGGCCCCUCACUCAUUCUCUGUGGUCCCCUGCUUGCGAUUCUUGACGACUUUCGUGAAGAAGACAUCUUUAACAGUGUUUGGAAGUUUCCUUGCUUGACUUUCAUAGAAAAGAUGACAACUUUCUGAAGAUUUAGCGAAUAAGACAAACGGGAAUGGAGGAUUGAUGCUUUCUAGGGUUUUUGAGAGGAAAGAGAGUAGAAAAGUGAAGAGAAAUCGACAGUGCUUGUUCGGUUAAAAAGAAGGAUAAACGAACCGUCACAAAGGAAAUAAAAAUAUGCCUUUUCAAAAUAACUGUUUUUAUUCGCAAAAAUAGCUAUUUCAAAAAUAACUUCCCUUUUGAAAAUGAAUCGAUGCAAUACUUACGUUAAUUAAAUAUAGCAACAAUUUAAACAAGUCUGAUGAUCGUACCUUUUCAAAAUAAGAUUGGAAAGAGAAAGACUUACAGUCUGAAGGUCGAGACAAGACUGUAGAUAAAGUCUUGUAAGCCUGAGUCUGAAAGUCUUUAGACUUUGAUAUCUUCAUACCUCAAAAUAUUGAGUCUAGUCCGAAUAGACUCAAAUUGAUUUUUCUCCAAAGGCUUCGUGAGUAUAUCAGCCAGCUGAUUCUUUGAGUCAACAAAUUGAAUUGAAACAUCUCCAUUUUGAACAUGAUCUCUAAUAAAGUGAUGUCGAAUCUCUAUAUGCUUCGCUCUUGAGUGGAGAAUUGGAUUUUUGGUGAGGUUGAUAGCGCUGGUGUUGUCGCAAUUAAUCUCUGUGCAUGAGUCUUCAAUUUCAAAAUCUCUUAGCUAUUGUUUUAUCCAUAGAAUUUGCGAACAGUAGCUUCCAAGAGCUACAUACUCUGCUUCUGUUGUUGAAAGAGACACAGUACUUUGUUUCCUUGAAAACCAAGACACUGUUAUGUUUCCAAGCAACUGGCAAGUUCCUGAAGUACUCUUUCUAUCAACUCUGCAACCGGCCAGAUCUGCGUCUGAAUAUCCCAGAAGUUUAAAGUCUCCCUUCUUAGGAUACCAAAGACUGAUGCUUGAUGAUGAAGCGACGUAUUUAAUGAUGCGUUUGGCAGCACUGAGAUGGGAUUCUCUAGGAUCUGAUUGAAACCUAGCACAGAUGCAAACACUCAACAAAAUAUCAGGUCUAGAGGCAGUAAGAUAAAGAAGUGAUCCAAUAAUGCUCCUGUACAGCUUUUGAUCAACUUUCUUCCCUUCUUCAUCUUUGUCUAUCUUUAAAGAACUUGACAUUGGUAUGUCUGUCUUUUUGCAAUUUUCCAGUCCAAACCUUUUGACAAGAUCAUUAACAUAUUUUUCUUGAAAAAUGAAAGUUCCUUUCUUCAAUUGUUUUAUUUGAAGACCAAGAAAGAAUGUUAAUUCUCCCAUCAUACUCAUUUCAAACUCAUCCUGCAUAGACUUUGAAAAUUUCUUGCACAGACUUUCAUUGGAGGAUCCAAAAAUAAUAUCAUCCACAUAUAUUUGAACAAGUAAGAAACUUUUAUUUUCCUUCUUGAUAAAUAAAGUUGUAUCUACUUUACCUUUGACAAAACCAUUUUGUAAUAGGAAAUUACUUAACCUGUCGUACCAAGCCCGAGGUGCUUGCUUUAAACCAUACAAAGCCUUUUUCAGUCUGAAGACUAAGUCUGGCUUCUUUGGGUCUUCAAACCCUGGCGGUUGUUCCACAUAAACUUCCUCAUGGAUAAAUCCAUUUAGGAAGGCGCUUUUGACGUCCAUUUGGAAUAACUUGAAAUUCUUAUAACAAACAAACGCAAGUAAUAAUCGAAUAGCUUCUAACCUUGCCACUGGAGCGUAAGUCUCAUCAUAGUCUAUUCCUUCUUCUUGCGUAUAUCCCUUGGUCACGAGUCUUGCUUUAUUUCGUACGACUUUCCCUUUCUCGUUCAUCUUGUUUCUGAACACCCAUUUAGCUCCAAUAACAGUUUUACCUUUUGGGUUGGGAUCUCAAUUCCCAAACAUCAUUUAUGCUGAACUGUCUGAGCUCUUCUUGCAUAGCUUCAAUCCAGCUUUCAUCAGAUAAAGCUUCUUCUAUGCUCUUUGGUUCAAUUUCAGAAACGAGUGCCACAGCACUAGACUUUUCUCGCCUUUUAGAUCUGGUGCGAAUUCCUUCAUUCAUUUCGCCGAUUAUAAGAUCUUUGGGAUGACUGGACUUAUGCUUCCAGUUACUUGUUGAUUUGUCUGGUUGAUGAUCUCUUUCUUUAUUGGAUCUUCACUAACAACCUGAUGCUGGUUUUCAAGAGUCUGAGGUGCUUCUUGAGUUGUAGACUUUGGAGGGUCUGGAGUAGAUUCAGAUUCUUCUUGAUGAGUCUGACUUGAUUCAUCUUGCAUUGAGUCUUGAAAUUUGACAUUCAUUGACUCCUCUACAGACUGGCUCUUCUUGUUAUAGACUCUGUAAGCUUUGCUUGAUGUAGAAUAUCCAAGGAAGAUACCUUCAUCUGAUCUUUCUUCAAACUUACCAACUCGAUCUUUUGCAUUUUUCAAUAUAAAACACUUGCAACCAAAUACAUGAAAGUAUGAAACAAUAGGCUUCUUUUCUUUGAAUAACUCAUAAGAGGUUUUCUGAAGAAUAGAUCUUAAGAAGACUCUAUUGAUGAUAUAGCAAGCUGUUGAAACAGCUUCUGCCCAAAAUCGAGAAGAAAUUCUACUUUCAAUUAAAAGAGUUCUAGCCAUUUCUUGAAGAGAUCUGUUCUUUCUUUCCACAACUCCAUUUUGCUGAGGAGUAUACGGAGAGGAAAACAUAUGCUUACAGCCAGAUUCAUCACAGAAUUUUGUAAAAUCUUGAUUUUCAAAUUCACCUCCAUGAUCUGUUCUUAUACUGGAGAUAACACAACCUUUUUCAUUUUGAACCUUUUUAGCAAAAUUUUCAAAAUACGAAAAGGUUUCGGACUUACUUGAAAGGAAAUAUACCCAAGUAAAACGGGAGUAAUCAUCAACAAUUACUAGGCAAUACUUUUUACCCCCAAUACUCAGAGUUCUGGUUGGUCCGAAGAGAUCCAUAUGCAGCAACUGUAGAACAUGAUUAGUAGAGACAUGAUUUAUUGGCUUAAAAGAAUUUUUUACCUGUUUUCCCAGAAUACAUGGAGUGCAUGAAUCAGUCUUUUGGUAUGGCAAUUUUGGUAGACCUCGAACAAGCUGCUUUGAUGAGAUUUUGGCUAAUUUCUUCAUAUUGACAUGUCCAAGCUUUUUGUGCCAUAAGCUUGCUUCGUCUUGAAUUGAGAUAAGACAUUGCGAUUCAUUUGGUUUCACAUCCAGAAGAUAGAUGUUUCCAUGUCUUCGACCUAGAAAAGAUUGAGUAGAAUCUUUACUGAUUCCGGAACAUGUUCCUUCUUGAAAGGAGAUCUUGAAACCAGUAUCACACAAUUGACUAAUGCUGAGAAGAUUGUAAUUGAGUCCUUCAACUAAGGAAACAUUACUUAUUGUGAGAGUUCCAAUUUUCACGGUUCCAAAUCCCACAAUACUUCCUUUGCUGUUUCCUCCAAAUGAAACUUUUCCACCAUUUACUUGAGCAAGCUUUAUAAAGCAAUUUGAGUCUCCUGUCAUGUGUCUUGAGCAUCCGCUGUCAAGAUACCACUUUACCUGUUUCUUGAUGGAGACCUGCAUUUAACAAAGAGUCUCAAGCUUUCUUUGGUACCCAAAUUUUCUUGGGUCCUUUGGUGUUAGUAAGAUAAACAGUAUUAGCCCAUACUUUCUUAAUAGGUUUCCAUACCAUAGGACACUCUUUUUCAAAGUGAUCUGGACUGUUGCACUUAGAACAUCUGAGAGCAUUUCUACCUACAGGUUUUACAAAGACUUUUUUGAAGUGAUUUUUGUAAACCUCAUUCGAAAGCAUUUUCUUAAUUCUUUCUUUUACUUUAGGAAAAUCAAUCAAGGGAAUUGUUUCUUCUGUCAUACCUAGACCAGACUUAUUAAAGUAAGGUCUUUGUGCUGAAAGAAUUUUCUCAAGUUUUUCAGAUCCCAUAGAAAAUUUCUUUGAUAUAUUAGAUAAAUCUGUUUUUAAGAAAGCAUUUUCUUUUAAAAGAUUUUCUUCAUUUUCUUUAAGAUUGGAAACAGACAAGUCUAGACUUUUAACUUUUUCUGCUAAAACAUUUUCCUUUUGCUUUAGAGCUGAGUUUUCCUUUUUUAGUUUGGAAAUACUUUUGAGAGAAGUCUUAAGACUAAAGCAUAGUUCCUCAAUAUAUUUAGAAACUUUGACAGGAAUUUUAAAAUUACUUGCCUCAAAUUCACUGUCUGAGUCUGAUCCAGAGUCUGAGUCUGAUUGUGCCAUCAGACAUAGAUUGGCAUAUUCAUUAUCACUUUCUUCACACUCAGUAUCACUCCAGGUUUCAGCUUUGAGAGCUUUUCAAAAAAUUUCAGCUUUUCCUUUCUUUUUCUUCAAAAGAGGACAGUUGGGUCUGAUGUGUCCCUUUUUCUUGCAUUCAAAGCAGACUACAUCUUUGUUUGGUUCCUCAUCAUCAACAGACUUGGUCUGCUGUCUUUGAAAGCCUUGUUUCUUUGAGUUGAACCUUCUUCCUUUUCUGUUUAGUUUUCUGAAUCUUCUUAUCAUGAGAGCAAGCUCCUCAUCGUCCAUAUCUUCUUCAGAAUCUGUAACAUCAGAAUCAUCAUUUGAUUUUAAUGCAAUGAAUUUCUUACCUCUUGGAUCUUCAUCUUCAUUGAUUCUUUCCACUUCAUAGGACUGAAGAGUUCCAAUCAGCUCAUCGACAGAUAAUGGCAUAAUUCUCUGCGUCUCUCUUAUCGAAGUCUUUAUGUGAUUCCAAUCCUUGGAGAGUCCACGUAGUAGCUUGUUUACCUUCAUGGGAUCAGAAGUUGGUUGACCUUGAUUUUCAAGACCAUUUACAAUAUCUGUAAAACGACUAAACAUGUCAGAUAUUGAUUCUCCUGGUUUCAUUCUAAAGGCUUCGUAUUGACCGAAAAGAAUGUUGAUUCUUGUUUUCUUCACUCGAUCUGUUCCUUCAUAGGUGAUAUGCAAUCUGUCCCAAACUUCUUUUGCUGUACCACAAGAAGAUAUUCUAUUAUAUUCAGUUGGUGAUAAAGCACAAUAUAAGGAAUAAAUUGCUUUUGCAUCGAGUGUCUGUCUGUUGGUUAUUUCUUCCUGAGACAUUCCAUUGGAUUCUUCAGUUUCUUUUCCUCUUUCAGAGACUGAUGCAGUGGUAGGAGUAAUUCCUUUUUCUACAACGUCCCAUUCCAGAGGAUCCUUUGAUCGUAGGAAAGCUUUCAUCUUGUUCUUCCAGAUGUUGUAAUCCUUUCCAUCAAAGUAAGGUGGUCUGGUAUUGCUUUGCCCUUCCAUCAGCCCUGGUGCUAGCAUACUAGCCAUGGAUCUUUUACUAUGAAGUAAAACACUUCAAAUAAAGUAAGUACACAGGCUCUGAUACCAAUUGAUAUUGCUAGUAUAAACACCUAGAGGGGGGUGAAUAGGCGCACAAACAAUUUUUCUCAAAUACGGAAGCAACAGAUUGAAAUACGAUCGAUGUAGAGAGAGUAAGGAAGAGAAAAUCAAACACAGGAUUUAUAGUGGUUCGGCUUAUUCCAAGCCUACGUCCACUCUUCCGCACUGACAGCCCACCGGCUGGAUUUCACUAUGAUCAAAAGAGAAGUUACAGCAAAGCUUUGCCUUGAUUCCACAGUGUAGAUGUUCUAUCACACUUCCUUAAGGUCUCUCACAAAUAUAGACUCUCUUUUGUAUACAAGUAUUCGCUCAAGAGAUUUAUCUAAAACAAAUAGGAGCUUCAGACUUUGGAAUUUUUCUAUCGCGCACACUUCUUAAACAACUAAGAACGUCUUCCUUAUAUACUCCUUUAUGCCAUCAUACCCGUUGUCACUUUCCAAAGGAAUUCCUCCAAUCUACCCGUUGGACGGAAUCAAUUAGGAAGAUCGUUCGAGCUAUAAAAGGAACGUGUUGAUAGCCCAUCAAUCCUGUUCGCCCAUACAAUCAGGAUCUCGGUUUCCAUAAGCAGAACCUUCCAAUAAUAUUUAGACAAUCAUCGAAUCUUCAGUCAUUGAAUCAAUCUUUGAUCAAUCAAAGGAUUCUGAUACGUCUUCUCCAGCCACGAGACCUUCUCGAGAUGAUAAGGUUAAAUCCUGAACAAAGCAUCCAGUUCGGGAUAACCUUUCUUCAACGGAUCAGAGACUGUCAAUGAGGAUAGACUUUGAGUCUUGAGUCUGGCUGUCCGGAAGUCUUCAGACUUUAACUAACAAAGUCUGCAGACCUUCAGACUAGACUGACGGAAACAUUUUGUCAACUUCAAAACUCUUCACGAGGAUUUCUCCAACAGGCUUCUCCUGAGACAAUUGCCAAGUACACUCUUACAAUGUUGAGAAAGAGAGUUCCACCUGCUGUUCCAGGAAUCAUGGUAUGUUUAUGUUAACAUUUCUACAUCUUUGCAGCCUGUUGUAGUACAUAUAAGCCUAAUGAUUUGGCAGGCUGGCCGUGUGUUGUCAUGAGAGUUCCUUGUUCUUUCCUGCUGCAAUGUGUCUAAUUGUAAUGUUUCUUUGCAUGAUAAAAAUAGACGAUCUUUCAGCCUGUCUGCUUAUUGUUAUAUUGUCUAGUCUUCUCGGCAUCAAUGCAAUUGUAGCUUUGGAUGGGACACUGUUGUUAGAAGAACUAAUCUAAGCAAAAGAGGUUAUUAGCUUUCUGUAUCAUGUUCUCUGUAUUGAAGGAGAAUAGGAAUCGCAUUCUCUGCUUUGACUUCCUUCUUUUUACCUUUUGAUAGGUUUGUGUUGAUUCCUUAACAACUUUGCAUUUUGCUUCUUUGAACUGUUUAUGGUUUGAUGCUUGGCAAUUUUUAGUUUCCUAAAGAAAAAAAAAAAACUAAUUUCCAUCAAUUUGGUGGUGAAGGAACUCUAAAAUGGAAGGAAAAAGAAUCUCCUUCUUGCGCUUGAAAAAGGUCUAGACAAAGCAUCUAUUGAGGAAUCAACCUCUUCUUGCCUAACAUAGCCCAAGUGUGGCAUCCCAAAAAUUCAAAGUCAAGUUAUAAGGUGUGUUAAAGCCUCUAAUUAGGUAAUGAAAUUUCCUAUGAUUUAUGCUUUAGCCAUUAGUCUCUUUUUAAGAUUAGGUGAUUUGUGCUUGUGUUUAUGAGAUUUUAAAUUAGAUAGAUUAAUGAUAAUAAUCUAUGCUUGGCCAUGCACCUUAUGAAUUAAAUUCCUCUAAAUAAAAUGUCACAAGACUUUGGCCAUGUGGAAUUUAAAAUUUAAAAUUCAUAGAAGAAAUUAUAAAAAGGAAAAUUUAAAAUUUAAUUAGGUUGGGCCUUAGGCCCAUUGGCCUAAGCUUUAGUGGGCCAAGCUAGUCGGCCCAAUUAGGCCCACGAAAGGGGGCUGUCGACCGGCCUAAGAGGAGGCCCAAGAGAAGAAGGCCCAAGCCCAUGCAUGAGCUUUGCCAAGUGGCAAGAAGGAGCUCAUGCAUUGGCCAAUUGAAAGGCAAUCUAAUGAUUGCAAAUGAUGAGGUUUAAGGGGGGAAUAAAAGGGAAGAAGAGGAGAGAGAGUGGCCGGUUGCUUUGUUCGGCCAAGGGAGAGAAACCGUGCGAGAGAGAGGGAGAGAGUGGCCGAGAGAGGAGAAGCCGAGAGGGAGAGGAAGGAGUCGUCGCCGUUCGCUGCUGUGUGCCGCCGUGUUCGCCGCCGUGUGCCGUCGUCCGUUCGGUCUAGAGGCAAGUUGGGGUCCUCUUGCUGCUCUUGCAUGUGUGUGUGUUACAUGUAUGUUGUAGAAAAGUCGAAUUUUGGGUGAAUAGGAGGGGGAAACCGAAGCUUGGAUGACUUGUUCUUGAGUGGUGUUGCUGUUUUCGCUUGAACCGCCUGAGUCAGAAAUUUGUAAGAGCUUGCAUGUAUGUUUGGAGUUUUAUUUUGGCUUCUAUUUCUUCAUGAAAGUUGUAGCUAACGUCUUAAAAUACAACAUAAUAAAAUUUGGUGGAAAAUUAUGGAUAUUUAAGGGGUUAAACUCUCAUCCUACGGAGACCUCAGAUCUGGAACGAUUUCACUGACCUUUUGAUGGAUUUGUGGUUGCAUGUUGAGUUGUGCUAAGAAUCUCUCUUUUAUUUAUUCAUGAAAGUUGUAGGGGACAUCUUAAAAUACAACAUACUCAAAUUUGAGGAAAAAUGAACAAGUAUAACCUAGUAAAUCGACUGAAUCUAGGAGACGGUAAUUCUGGAGAUGUAGUACAGGACACCCGAGACUUCAUGGACCUAAACGACGACUAUAAUCUGGAGUUUUGACUUAUAUCUAUUCAUCAAACAUGUAGAAAACAUCUUGAUGUAAAACAUAUCCAAAUUUCAGAGGAAACGAAGAAGGAUAGGUAGGUGAAAACUCAGUAUUUCGGAGAAGCAUGCACUGGACGUUUCGGUGUUGGAUCCAGAAGCUUCGUGAGACUGUAUAAAUUAAUCUGAAAAUAAUUUGGCUUAGAAGUCUUCAUGAAAAAUGUACUUUAGUGUCUUGGCUAUAAGUCGAUAAAAUUUCGUAAUUUUUGGAGGUCGUAUGGAUAUUUUAAUCAAAUUAUUUUGGAAACUGUGCAUUCUGAUUUCAUCCGAAAAUUUCAUGCUAUUUUGUGUGAAUUAUGGAAUUGUGUGGAAUUCUAUUUUGGCCAUGUAUUUUGCAUGAAAUCAUUAUCCUAUUGUCUUGAUUAUCACUUGCCUUAAUUUCUAUGAUUUUGAGAAUUAUAUAGAUAUUCAAUUUAAUAUUUUUAAAAGUGGCACAAGCUGGAAUUUAAAUAAAUGUAAAAAGGGCAUGAUAAAUGGAUUAUUUUAAUUGUCAAAAAUUCCAUAAAAUUUUAUUUCAUAAAUAAUUGUACCAUGUAGCAUGUAUGAUGAGGUCUUGAUGUAUGCAUGACAAUAAAUUGAGAUGCAUGUAUGAAUUCCAUGCUGAAUAAUGACUUUGUUUGCCAUCACAUCAUAUGCCAUGUUAAAUUGAGACCGAAAUUGGUGAACAUGAAUAAUGUUAAAUGAGGAGAUUGUUGUGGCGGAUGAUAAUGCCCGGAGUGUAUAGAGAUAUAUUGCCGGAUGGCCCGGGGAGUUUCAGGAUGCCCGGAAAGUUGGGGGUGCCGGAAGCCCUGGAGGUUUGUGCCCAGGGGGAUGCCUCACGAUGCCAGUUGGGAUGCGGGAUACUCGGCUAGGGAGUGUAAAUGCCGCAAGCCUCAGAGGUCUUUGCCCGAGGGGAUGCCUCGUAAUGCCAGUUGGGAUGCGAGAUGCCCGGAAUGUGGGGGGCCAGAUGCCCGGUGGCCUGGAAUGGCUGAAUGCCAGAGGGUUUUCUCGCGAUGCCAGGAUGAGGCGCGAGUGUAUAAUAUGAGAUGAAAUUGGUGAUCCGAGGAAUGGUGAUGUGGUGAUCGAAUGGAAAGUAAAAAAGUGGAAAAUUGAACCAUGCAUGAUAUGAUAUGACAUGAUGAUGAUGAUCACCUAUGGCAUGAUGAUAUGCAUGAUAUGAUGAUGAUGUGCACAUAUGAUAUGAGACAGCAUGAUGAUGAUGAUGAUAUGCACGUAUGACAUGAUAUGAUGAUGAUGAUGAUGAUGAUGAUAUGCAUGAUAUGAUGAUGAUGAUAUGCACAUAUGACAUGAUAUGAUGAUGAUGAUGAAGAUGAUGAUGAUGAUAUGCAUAUAUGAUAUGAUAUGAUGAUGUCAUGAUGACGAUGAUACGAGUAUGACAUGAUAGUAUGCAUGUAUGUGUUAUGAUUGUGAUGAUGAUGCAUGAUAGUAUAUGCAUGGCUUCAAGAUAAGUAAUGCCUGGAAUGCAUGUAUGAUUUGUAUGAUGUUUGAAGUGACUAUUGGAUUCCUUUACCUGCUAAGUGGUUGUACUCACCGCUUUUGGGGACCAACAUUUCAGAUUAGCAACAUGCCGCUCCCUGCCGUCACGCGGGGUUUGUUUUACGGUCUACCAUCUGAUGUCGAGGUCGAGUGCGAGGAGUUUGGCUGUCCUUCUGUUCCUGGAUUGACGUAUAUUCGAGUGCGCUGUUUAGUCAUGUACGACGUAGGCCUGGCUGGGGGCCCGGUUGUCCAGGAGUUCAUCUCCGUCCACAUUCGUCAUGAUGGGGUGAUGCGAGGGAUGUUGCCGCCGUCACCGCCUGAUGCACCGGGUUGGGUGUGAGGGCCCGUGCAUGACGAGUAGGAGCUGGAUUUUUGGGGAUAGUUAGCCGACACUGAUGAUGGGGAUUGUUGCACGUGAGUUUUAGCGGGUCGAGGGUUCUUUUUGGGGUUUUAGGCCGGACAUGGCUGAGUCCUGGCUUUUCCUUUUGAUGUAUCGACCCAAAGAAAUCCCAUCUUGAAAAUAUAUGUAAAUAAAGUGUCGUGGCUUGUCUAUUAAUCAUGGUGAUUAGUGGUGUGUAUUUGUAUCAUGGUUGGUAGGGGGAGAGAUGGUGAUGUUUUAUUUUGCUUCCACUAAUGAGUCGCGCUAGGACCGUUUUUAAAAAGAAAAAAAAAAUGUCUAUGAAUUACGACGCUUCUUCUAGAGAGAGGUAGUAAGGUGUAACGUUGGUGCCUGUGGCGACCCUUGAAGGGUUCGGGGUGUCACACCAAGAAAGCAAACAGACUUGAAAUCACUAAUGAAAAGUUGCUUAUAUACGUCUCUUUCCUUCUACUUCAGAUAUUAAAUUGGGUUUAUAAAGAUAAAUUUUAAGGCUUUCUAUUUUGCAGCAUUUGAGGAAUCAAUAUGACGAACUUUUUCCUGCAUUGUGUGAAGAUCACCCUGACAUAUUUCCUCGAGAGCUUUAUGUAUGGGAACAAUUUUUAUGGGCUUGCGAACUUUAGUAGUCUAACAGCAUGAAAAUUCAGUUUGCUCAUGGAGCACUCAAGACUUGCCUAAUCCCCAUUGCUGGAUUUCUUAACCAUUCAGUAUGUUGUUUGACUAUUCUCAUUUUAUUGUCAUGAUUUCUUAGGUCUCGUGAGCAUUUCUCAACAUGUUUGUUUACUAUUUUGAUGUGGCUAUCUUCCAAUGGGUAUCAGUUUAGUCUGACUGAGACUCUUUUCUUGGAUCUGACCUCAUCGCAGUAGCAGAAUUACCAUUAAGUAAACAGAUGAUGAACACCAACUUUAUGAUUCGCAGAACUUUCUUGAGCAUGACUUUCUUCUUGAGAAACUAUCUCGUGAAGCUCCAAUAUAUGUCAUCAUGGAAGGAAGUGAACCACCUUUCUUCACGCGCUUCUUCUCAUGGGACUCCGCAAAAUCUGCUGUAGGUAAUUGUAAUCAUUAUACAUCUGAGUUUUUGCUGUCCUAGAAUUCUGAUUGAUUUUUUUUUCCUGGUGAAGAUGCAUGGGAACUCAUUCCACGAGAAGCUUACAAUUGUUAAGCAUGGUGGUACACCAACUAUUGAUGUAAGACUUACGUACUUCGAAGCUUCUAAACAUGCCUGCUUGAAUGAUUCUUAGCUGUUUAGGACUAUCGUGCAUAUCCACUUUUAUCAGCUUAUUUAUGCUUGUAUGUGGAUAUCUUGACUCUUUAAGGAACUCAUGCUUGGUCCAAGUUUGUUGCUUGUAUCAGUGAUUUUCUUGUGUUUGUCACAACAAAAGUUGCUAAGUUGCCAUCCUUUUUUUUUUUUAUCUUGGCUUGAGCUAACAUAGAAGUUUUGGUUUGUCUCUCUCCUUAUUCAUUAUAGUUCAAAUCUGAAAAUGAAACCACAAAAAAAAAAAAACUCGUUGGAACCUGGAACCGACCCUGGAACCUGUGACAAGGUAGGCUCCAGGUUCUUGGUUCUAAUGGGUAGGUUCCAGGUUCCAAAAAAUGAGGAACCUGUACCCGAGGGUAGGUUCCAGGUUCUAGAUGAAACCGAACCGAAACCUGGAACUGCUCACCCCUACGAUUAACCCAAUCACGUCGUGUGAUUUUGUAGUUUGAAAUUUACAGUUAGCAAGAUUAUAACAAUCGGACUCCUUGUGCCACUUCCGUAUUCGAGUUCUCAAUCUUUUUUUUUCUGUUCAUUUAAGAAUUAAAACUUGCAUUAAAAAGUAUUUGAGAGAUUCGGUUUGGUCCAUCAAUUUCUAAUGGACAGAAAGCAUAGCUGCCUUCUUUAAUUCCCUAUAGACAUAAUGAUAGAUAGUAUGUGGAUAUGUCUAAAUGAUCAUGAAUUCCCAUGUGAAAAAGUCGUAAUUUAUUAAUUAUCCUUUUUUUUUGUAAGGAUUAAUUAUCCUUUUUUACUAAUACAAUGAUCGAAAAAUUUAAAAUUAAUAUGUGAUAUUUUACUAAAUCAUCUCUUUGGUUUUAUUGUCACAAACAUGGAUGAUCCCGGAAUUAAUCAUUUCAAUAAGUCUCCCAACUCUAAAGUUUACAUGUAUUCUUAAAUAUAAAGGCAAUUAUGAAAUUAUUUUUUCAUUGAUCAAAAUAAGGAUCCUCAAAUAAUAUCAUUUAAAAGUCACUUCCAAAAGGUAUUUGUACGAAUUGAUAUCUAAGUGAGGUGCAAUAUCAAUUUUUUAGAGAAACAAAAAAAUUGAGAAUGUUUUAAUUGUUAAAUCUUAGUAUUCUCUUAUUCUUUGGAUAAGAAUUUUCGUUUCUACUCAAGAAAGCCAUAACGAGUUUUCAUUAUUUGAGGGCAUUUGGGUUUUCGUUCGGAAACUACUCUCAAUACGUGACCAAAGGCUUUUUCAAUAUUAUUUUCGUGUUCAAAUGAAAGCGAAAACAAAAAAGCGAGAAAAUUUUCUCUAAACAAUAGGGAGCAAACUGCUAUUUUGACCCAUUAGGCUUUUGGCCUUUCCUCUUUCCUCUCUUUUUCUUCAUUUCCUUUAUUGUGGACCCCACACGUCUUUCACACACCACCCAACAUUUGCACGCGCUUCUCUUCUACUGGUUGACUGAAAUUUAUAAUGAAGUAGAUCAAGAGGCACCACCAAACCAUUGUUAACCAGCAAAAGUCAACUCUGCAACCUCCUCUUUCUAGCAAAAAAGAAGAAGAAAAAACUCUGCAACCUCCUCUCUAGCACUCCUUAACCCCUGCUCUUGUCUUUUGGAAAAGGCGGAAGCAGUGCUCUUCACCCUCACCAAGGACAUACUGAAUCUCGCCGGUACCAACAUCUUUUCGAAGAUCCAACUUGUACGAGGUGCGAGCGAUGAUCUCAAGGGUCUCAAGUAAACCGUCAAGACCAUCCAAACUAUGCUUUUGGAUGCCGAGAAAAAACAAUGGGACAGCGAGCAGGUCAAGCUCUGGCUCAUGAGGCUGAAGGACGUGUUGUACGAUGCACAGGACUUGCUGGAUGAUGUCGCAACCGAAGAUCUGAGGCAGAAGGUCACUCCCGGAAACAAAAUGUCAGAAGAGGUACGCUCUUUCUUCUCCAAAUCAAAUCAGCUGGCACAGCCCUACAAAGUGGCUAAAAGGAUGCAGGAAAUUAGGAAGAAACUGGAUUGGAUUGCAAAAGAUAGGGAGUUCCGUUUAGAGGAGCAUCGGAGUGAGGCAACUGUUAGCUAUUGUGAGGAGGAGGACAACUGACUCUUUUGUGCGGAAGGAAGAAAUAGUUGGUAGACAAUCUAAUGAGAGGGAGAUCAUCAAAUCUUUGCUUGAUUCCUCCUCCGAAUAGAGUGUUUCAGUUGUUCCCAUAGUCGGUAUGGGAGGACUUGGAAAAACCACACUUGCUCGGCUGGCGUACAAUGAUGACAAAGUGAGAAACUACUUUGAGCUUAAGAUGUGGGCGUGUGUAUCCGAUGUCUUUGAUCUAGAUUUCCUCAUUAAAGAAAUACUGAAAUCUGCCCGAGAUAAGUAUAAAGGGAAUCCUGAGAAUCUACGAGACAUUGAUAAUAAGUGCAAGGAUGAAUUGCUGGGGCUUCUUCGUAAGGUACUAGACGGGAAGAAAUACUUGCUUGUUUUGGAUGACUUGUGGAAUGAAGAUCACGGGAAAUGGUCGGAGCUCCAACGUUUGCUGAUGGGUGGUUCAUUGGGGAGCAAGAUACUUGUAACCACGCGCAAUCGGUCGGUGGUGGACGCUAUAGGUACAAAAUCAGAUAUCCAUUAUCUAGAUUUCUUAUCUAAAGAUGAGUUGUGGGACUUAUUCAAGAAAACGGCUUUCGGAGAUGGGGAAAAAUCAUUAAACCAAGAACUGGAGCAGAUAGGUCAAGAUAUAGUUGAAAAAUGUGGUGGUGUUCCCCUUGCCAUCAAAACUAUAGGCAACCUUUUGUAUGCUAAAAAGGAAAAGGAGUGGCUCUAUUUGAAAGGGCAUGAAUUCUCAAAAAUAGAUACCUUGAACUCUGGAAUAAUGGAAGUCCUCAAAAUCAGCUACAAUCAUCUUCAGCCGGGGCUAAAACAUUGUUUUGCAUAUUGUGCGUUGUUUCCAAAAGAUUAUGUCUUUCAUUAACAAGACAUGAUACAGUUUUGGAUGGCACAAGGUUUUAUUGAAUCAUUGGACGGGAACGAGAAGUUAGAAGAGAUUGGGGAUAGUUAUGUCUGGGACCUACUUUAUAGGUCAUUUCUUGAAGUUGAGGAGGUCGAUCCUUACAUGGGUGAGGUGAAAAAGUUUAAGAUGCAUGAUCUCAUGCACGAUCUUGCCUUGAAAGUCACAGGAAAUGAGUGCAAGAUGGUUAGUCUCAACAAAGGCAGUCUCGAUGAAGAUACUCGACAUGCUUCAUUUGCUUUACAAUCAUUCUCAUCGCUGCAAGAAGUGACUUCUCUGCUAGAAGCAACCAAUCUACAAACAUUUCUCUCUUUGGAAGGAAUGUCAUCUAUACGAAAGUUGUCGCCAAAUGAAUGCAACGGAUUUUCUCCAAGUUCAGGCAUUGCCGAAUAUUGCGAUUGAACUAUGUAAAUUUUCGCAUCCCUUCUUUGUUGGGAAGUCAGUUGAAGCACUUAAGAUUUCUUGACAUUUUUAAGAAUGACUCCAUCAAGAGUUUGCCGGAUCCAAUCACGGAUUUGUUGAACUUGCAGACCCUUAAAAUCUCUACAUGUGAGAAACUUAAAACAUUGCCCAAAGAUUUGAGGAAAUUGGUCAACCUUAGACACCUCUCAAUUGACCAUUGUGGCUCACUGAGCCGCCUAGACAGCCUAAGUGAACUCUCUUCCCCAAGGACUUUGAGUCUCAUGUUCUUGGAUGCAUUGGAUUUUGACCCUCUUCAACAAUCUAGUACUACACGGCCCUUCUUCCCAUCUCUUGAGAGUUUGACCCUCUUCAGCUACAGAAAGUUGAAGGGAUGGUGGAGAAGAAUGCAAGUGAUGAUAGCAUGUCAAAAGCAUUAAUCAAACAAUUCUCGGCCAUUCUUCCAAAACUACGGUUUGUGAAAAUAAAAAAACUGUCCCAGCUUGAAUUUCGUGCCACCAUUCCCCCAGGUGGAAUACUUGGAGAUAGAUAACAUAAUAAUGUUGGAACAACAAUUCUUGACCAAUCCAAAUCGUCCAUAAGAACGAGCAGUGGUGUCCACAUUCAUCCCUUUCUUUAAACUAAAGGAUCUAUGUCUUCAUUAUGGGAAUCUGGAGCCGAUACUUGAGACUCUACUUCGAUUGGCCAAUAAUCUCGAGUCCAUGAGACUAUCAUUGCAACCUAAAGGGUCUCUUUUGUGGCAUGCGGCACCUUUCCUUGCUCCGGGAACUCGACAUUAGGAGUUGUGAAGGACUCGAUUUAUUGUGCCAAGAAGACGAGCAAGGCACUCAAUGGCAAUUCCUUAUAAAACUUCGUGUUCUUAAAAUCUUCGAUCUUCAUGAUCUGGUGGAAUUGCCUAAGUGGCUUCAACAUGCCAUGACUUUGCAAUCUCUUGAUAUUUCUUACUGUCAGAAUCUAAGGAAUUUGCCGGAAUGGAUUAAAAAUUUCUCUUUGCUGGAAGAGUUUGUAAUACAUGAUUGUCCAUAUUUGCCAUUUGAGAUCGCUUGAAGAGAGGGGCCUAACAGAUGGGCACGUUCUGGUCAUUAUUGGGGAGGGGAUGAAUCGGAACGAUUAGCACAGUAGAGGUACGAGAAAAGACUUAUGUCACCUAUCAAUAGUGUUCCUUUUUCAACCAUGUGACCUUCUUUAUUAAUUAACUAAUUUCUCUUCUCUUCACUAUACAUUGGCAGUGAAAUUAUUUACCAAAAAGAAGAAAGCGUCCCUCGCACUCCAGUUCGCCACCAUCUUCCUCGUUAUAUCGCGCGUGUAGAACAAACACCACCUUUGUCUCCUCGUCUUGCUCAAUCCCUCCUUCAUCUCCUCCAUCACCGCCGCCGGAAGAACCCCCGCAUCCUCUCGAUCGCCUCCUUCCUCUUUGGUCGGGUCCGCUGAGGUCGAUGAUCGGGAAGAUGAGAUUCUCGGAUCCGCCGCUCGAUUCGGAUGUCUUGUGCGGUCGGAUGAAGAAAUCCUGGGGAUUUCGGUGAUCCCGGUGUCGAUGAAGCCUUUGACGCCGGCUUUCGAGUCGUCGAACGCUUUCAGCUUGCUCGCUCUGUUGUAGCUCUCUGCUCGCCGGAGUCAGAGGCCAAAUCGAUGGUAGGCAUUGUUCCUCUCUCUCUCUCUCUCUCUCUCUCUCUCUCUCUCUCUCUCUCUCUCUCUACCUACUGUAAUUCAAUUUUCACUGUGAAUGUGUAAUAAGUUUGAAUCGAAUGUUAUGGAGACAUUUGGAUUAUGAUUUUGUGUGUUAUGUAGACAUUAUAAUGUCAGUGCAUGACAUGAGCAUCUUCUUUAUAGCUGAUUGAUUGAUUGAGAGGAGAAGUGAAGAGAACAAUGACAUCCAUUGCGAGGUUCCGCUUGACUUCAGAAUUAUGAGGCUCAUAAAAAAUGGAAGGAAAAAAUCAUAGCUUAUGAGCUACCCCUAGCUGAGAAAAUCACAAUGCUGUUUGAUAAUGGCCGAUUCUUUGGGGGAUUGGGCGGCUAGUACACAAAGUUUUGCAAAUCAUGAAAACAAAAACUGUUAGGACAGUUGAACAGUGGUAGACAGCAGGACGAUUCGAUGUUGUCUUAGCCCUUGACUUCUUCGCAAUUACCGAAAUCUUUAUGUAGAGGAAUCUUUGGUUUGUAGCCCUCCUUUGUUAUCACUUUAAGAGAGUUUCUGGACUUCUCAGGUAAACAUAACAAUUAUCUACGAGCUGGGUCCAUAUGAUCUAGUAAGCAUAUAGAAAUCUCAAUGUUCAUCUGAUUAAAACAGACAACUUGGUGAAUCUUGGACAACCUUGAUUGAUGCCGAGGCUUGUGAUAGUUUUAUAAAUCAUUUAAAAUUGGACCCUUUUGAAACUAAGGUACUGAGCUCUGUGAGGAGCAAAUUUAACAAUCAUAUGCCUUCGGACAUGAGAAGCUGAACUGCGAAAAGAUGUAGUGAUUAGAGGAAAAUCCCUUCUUGCUUUCUUUCUGGAGUCCAUGCGUUGACAAGUCGUGUUAGGACGGGGAUUUGCCUUUGCAUUGUUUCAUAGGGCGGGCCAUCCUCUCGAGCGUUACUCCAGAUGUUGCGAUGCAUUAGAAAACUGAACUAGAGCUGCUGUAAAAGUAUGGUGGAGGCCUAGGGCUUCUGAUGAGUGCUCGAACAGACGAGAGCCCAACCCCAUCACAUGCUUUGAGUACUCCAGCAUUUCUUUGCCAGAGAUGUUGCGAUGCAUCAGAAAACUGAACUAGAGCUGCUGUAAAAGUAUGGUUGGACGAAUUCCUAGAGAUUACAACAAAAGGUGUUGAUAUAUAUUAUCAACUCAGGUGCAAAAUUUUGCUACUGCUACCACUAGAACGCAAAUAAAGUCAACCGUCGAGGAACAUCCUUUUUUUUCACCCAAAAAGAACGGAACGACCACCUCUGAGGUUCCCAUCGGUGAAAAUGAUCAGUCAUUGAGGAUCUUCUUACUAAUUCGUAUCAUUGAUUGAGACUAGCUGCAAGAUUAUAUGCUAUGACGGGUAGCGGAAUUUAGGUGAGAAACUUUGUACAGAUUCAGCGGUAGCAAUUGCCUUCGCUGGCUGAAUGAAGUAACUGGUCACUUUCAUUUCAUGAGUGGUCAACAUAUAUUUUGGUCGAUUCAAUGGAAAAGUAAGCGAAUAACUCAAGUUUUGUAUGCUUGUUAUUUUAGCUUUGUUGAAGAAAAUAGAAAAGGCUAUCAAGUAUUAUAAAGUGAAAACCAUUUACUCUGCAAUUGUCUGAACUACUGCAAUUUUUUUGCAAACUGUCUUUUGUCUGAACUAUCCUUUCCUGCUCAACAAUCUCCCCUUCCUCACUCCAGUUAGCGCCCUCGGCUAAGUACACUGGAGAGUGAGAAUCGUCCUCAAGCUUAGGAUCCUUUGCAUCCACCACCGACCCAUCUUUAGGAUCUAUUAUCCCCUUCUUGAAUGUUGCCUCCAAAACGUACAAAAGUAUAUCACCUUCCGGUAUGGGACCCUCUCUUCGCCCAUCAUGGUAGUGACGAUACCACGACCGAUACUCGUGGGGCAUUAUGUCGUCUUUGCCCACAUCAAUGCAGAUGGUGGAUUUCACCAAAACAUACUCUAGUUAUUCCGGGUGGGGGUGUAUCGGAAAGUGAUAUCCUAUCUCAGUGAUCUCUUCGGGUAUACCAAAAUGCAUAGGAGAACGAGGAGGUGGAGGUGCUGCCAUGUAAGGACUUGAAAUGUUAUCUCGCAACGGGGUGAGACAACAUCUCAACGAGUUCUACCCCUAAGAUUCGAUUAGAAGGCCAAAACGCCGUAAGGGCUGCCUAAGCACAAAAUGAGUCAGAGGACUUACCUUGGUCUCAAUUCCUUCCUGCAAGUCAGUUCAAUUUCACAACUCGAAAUCAUAACACUCAAUCAAUUUGGAUCGACUCAUCAAUCAAUUGACUCAGUCGAAUACAUGUCAUCACGACCCCUUUAUUUGGUCGACUAAUCUCAUACUAUCUACUAAGUCCAUUUAUAUCUGGACAGCUCUUUAUUAAGCUGAUAAAUAGAUAGUAUAGCUCGCUUAUGAGAUAAUCAGGUAUACUGCUCUCUAUUUAAGCUGUCAUAUCACCCUUAGGCCGAUAUAGUAUACUGAUAUUGCUCAAUCUAAGCUGAUAAGGUAUACUGCUCUCUGCUAAGCUGUCAUAUUGCCCGUAGGCUGAUAUAGUAUAUCAGUAUAUUGCUCUCUACUAAGUUGACAUAUCGCCCAUAGACUAAUAUAAUAUACCCUUCCAAGGGAGAUUGGGGUGAGGACGAUUUCAUUUCAGGAGUAGGUUUCGACUCCCAUGCCUUGGAAAGAGGCAAUGGCAAAAGUCUGAGAGUGAGUGUUAGAGUAGAUUAGAGUAGGACCGACCAAAAAAAAAAAAAAACAUACAACCAAUUCCACAUUUUUACCAUUUCCGAUAAAAUAGCCGUGUGUGGGUACACGGUCGGCCUUAAUCAAAAUACUAUAAUUUCCUUUCCACAAAUCCCACCGUUUUCUAUAGUCCACCAAAAUAUUUUUGGCGCUGUCAACCGACGCCCGGUUAUUUUUCAAUUAAUUACCAAAAUUAAUUAAUUUAGGAAUUAAAUCCUUAAAUCACAAUUAAAUCAAUUCAUCACAAUUUAGCACUCAAAUAAAUAAAUAGACUACACCACGAUAAUCAGCAUAAAAUUCCGGUUACCGGCUAUUCAGGUCUAAUUUCUGGAAAAUAAAUAAAUAAUUAAUUAAUUAUGAAAAUUAAUUAUUAAAUAACAAUAAAUCCAACUUAGGCUCGUAAUGCCUAAUUGGAUGCCGAAACGGAUCCGGAAAAAUUCCGAGACUUGUUCAAUAAAUACUAGAGUUUAUAUACUUGCUAAUGGCUACAACUAAUCACCUAACAUGUACCGAUAAAUCUCUAAUUUAAUUACUCUAAUCUAAUAUAUCCACAUAAUCACACUUAAUUAAAUCUAAUCAACCCCUAAGCAUCAUUAACCUACUAAGCGAGGAUUAGUGAGUUAAACUCACUUGUUUGACGAGCGGUUCAAUGCAAAACGACGAGAACGUCGCGGAGCUCGACUUUCCUCAAGGCGGGCCUAGCAAUCGAGGCUCGGAACACCUCAAAAUGGGCCAUAAAGCUGCUGGAAACCCACUGCAUUUUGCAUCUGUUUUGAGCUGCAAAAGAGAGAAACCAAAGCUAGUUUGGCGAAGCAAGACCGGCGGAGGCAAAUGGGCGGCUGAACAAGGGUCUACGGCAGUCGAAUAGGAUUUGGCUUGGCUCCACAGGUCACGGGACAGUAGCUGGACUGGUGUGAGGGCGAGAGGAAGGUGGAGGAGCGGCUGGACGAGCGCAGGCAGCGCGCACGGCGGCGGCACUCGUGACGGCUACGGCGGUGAGGACGUGCGAUGGUGGGUGGCUUUAGCUACUCUGGUGGCUUCCUUGGCUGCUGUGGGGUUUGAAAUUGCACAAAGAAGGCUGAGGAAGGGUGGUUGGUUGCUUGGAGGGAGAAGGAGGAAGAGAUAGGGGACAAAGGGGGCCUAACUUGGCCAUUUUUUCCAUUCAUUAGUCUCAUUGACCAUUCCCAAACAUGGCUGGCUUCCAUGGACACCAAUCAGCCACCAAGGCCUUCAUCUAGAAGCUUGAGAUGGUCCAAAUGUUGUGGGGAUGGGGGACAUAUGAAUUUCAUGGGUUUUGGUAUCAAAUAGACACUAAUUGCUUCUUAAAUCAAAUCCCCUUUGGCCCUCACAAAUUCAAUUGGUACCUCAAUUAUCAAAUUGGUAUUUUUCCUCACCAAUUGAUUCUACUUGUUUCUUCUUAAUUGCGCGAUCAAAGACGGUCCCGGCGUUUUUUCGGCAUUAGGACGACUUUUUCCCAAAAAGUUUCAGGUUGUAGAAAAAAUGCCCCUAAAAUUUUUUGUGACAUUACAUAAUCUUCAAUUUCUAAAUCGGACUCAAAUACGCGGUUAAUUUCCAUUCGGUGCGUUUUUAGUGUGACUAGGCUACCGAGUAACUUUCAGAAAUUUUUAGUACAAAUGACCCGUGGUCAAUUUUCUUCGAGCCACAAUGAACUCACUCGACACAUUGGGGACUCUCGGUUGUUGUGAAAAUCUCGAUGAUUCAAAUACGGACACAUGGUACAAAAACAAUAAGAAAAUCAGUCUAGUGCCAGUCGACAAGAAUUUUCUAAUUUAGUGGUGUCAUCGACACGUCUCCGUUGAACCAACCUAUCUCUGAUCUCAAAUCGAUUUUUAAUUGUGCCGUAAUAGCCUCUAAAGAUGAACACAGUUGAGAAAUCGAUUCCUAGUUGCAUUCUCAAGUCUAUUGCCUUAAAAUUCCGUAAUGACUUCUCCAGAUAGUCUAGUUAUCUCGAGAGUGAUCAGUUCUGAGAACAGCCUUAUAAGCGCGUCAAUGAAAUGCCAAAUUUAUUCAAUAGAAAACAUGAUCGAAAAUCUGGGAUGUCACAGACCAUCUCCUUGUGCUUGCUGAAAUCUUCAUGAACUCCUUCCAAGUCCACGAUCAGAAUGCCGAAGAUCGGAGUGGUUGGGCGAUCAAGGCUGGCGGUCGAUGAAGAUAUAAGGGAGCUUGGAGACUCUAGAGCCAACAAGGUCUUUCACACCGGUCCUUGAGGUGUUGAAGGCUUUCAAUUCGCUCUCGCGAUUGUAUCUCGGCUCUGCUUGGUCGGGGGCUUUGUCCGAGUGGGUCGCUGCCAUGUUGAUCGGUGAAAGUAUGUGAGUAACAGUGAUGUUACAUGGAAGGAGCUGCAGUGCAGAGGAUAUUGGAGACAACCUCCACCAUUUUUUAAAAAAAUGUGGUCGGCCCAACGGUCACGGUCACUUACACAGUGACUUGGAAGUUUGGCCGACCACCUUCGCCACUUCAAUUUCUUCACUCCUGGCUACUUAGGAACCCACCUAUGACGAGACAUGACAAUUAGAUGAUUAUUUGUGAAUUGAAGUGGCGAUAGUGGCCCACACCCCUUCCUGAGGGGAUGUCGACAUCCCUUCCCUCGGCAAAACUUUAUAGCUAACUCUGACGAGGAAUGAACUUAGGACGAUGCGGCGCAGGCUUCACAGCUAACUCUGACGAGGAAUGAACUUUGGACGAUGUGGCACAGGCUUCACGGUGUCGAACAUCCAUUGAUAAGCAUGAAGUUGGUGGCAUGCACGGUUUGUAGGAAAAAGUUAUUCACGAAAUUCGGAGGUGGGACUGGCCAUCUGAGGAAGCACCAAGAUAAGCAUGAAGCUUUAAUGUCCGAGCUCAAUGAGGGCGGUCAAUACUUUGACAUGUCGGACAAAGAUUAUCUUCAGACAAUGUCACUGUGGCAAACCUGUCGCUGGGACCUUGUUCAAACGGUUUCGGCCAGUAUGCGACGUGUUUUUGGCCAUGCACGAUGCCAUGUAUCACGUCAAGUAAUCUCUUCGUGCAAGGUGGAGUGCAUGAAUUUUGCACACAUCGUAUACAGAGGUGGGCCAAGCAUUGGCAUCAGGGGUACGACACAUGGGCUUGUUGUGCAUGCAAAGUGGAAGGGAACACGAGAAACUGCUGCUGCCGGCAGAUGCGAAAAUCAGGUGGAAUUCUACUUAUUUGACGUGGAAGAAGGCAUGCGAUCACCCUUAGAUGCUGGCAUUGAUUUUAACCUGCUAUCACAUGACUACCAAGCUACAGCCAUUGAAACUGUUAGGGUUCAAUGCACAAUCACAAAGUAAUAGACUAAAAGCGAGGAAAAAAAAAAUAGAGUGGAAGUGAGGAAAAAAAAUUGGGACACAAGCUUCUAUCAUGCUUCACUCUUAAAUUAGAGCUACAUCUAAUAGAAAAUUCUACAAUAAUUAACACAUCACACAUCUCUAUUACAUCUAUCAAUUUUAAGAAAAAGAGAUUAUACAUUGCAGUAACUCUUCAUAAGCUCAAACUCAAACUAUCAAGAAAAUAUUAGCUGAAACUAUAAAAUCCCUCUGGCUUCACAAAAGCCCUACCCCUCACAACCCCACCCGAGAAGCUCAAGUUCAGCAUAAAAGCUUUCUUCGAUGUGUGAUAUACACGAGGUCGAUGGGCACUACCCUACAAACAUAUAAUUUAUCCUAUCUAGCUAUAUCUAGAUGCUUUGCCUAGGGGAAAUGCAAUGAGAAACUGCAUAGAUCAGAUGUGUACGACUGUCAUUCCAUAGCGAAGACCCUCGAAUUCUCAUGUCCAACAUAAUUCAUAGCUUGAAAUGUUCAAGUGCAAAUGUGCUAUCAAGUCCUUUCACAUAAUAAUGAGUGACCAAGUCCUUCAUCGCGAUUUCCCGAUAAAUUGGGGGAUUUUCUUCUGAUAGCAACUCCUUAAUCAGGCCAUACAACCUUGAAAUAUUCUCCGAGGGAGAUGCCUGAGGAAGUACGCCAUUGAACUCUGUGACUAACAUUUACGAACUUAUCUAUCGUUCGAGAUCAGCUGCAAGAUGGUGGAGGAAAUAGUGAAGUGAUUAUGAGAAGAUCAAAAGCCAAACACGCUCUAAAACAACAAUCUACUAAUUGAAAUUGGAUCGCCAAAGCAAGCCCCUUUUCCGCCUUGAUGUCCAUUAAAAGACUAAAUUGUCAAAUCAGCCAAGACGGAGAAGCGCUGAUGAGGCUAUAAAUGCAUCGGCUCAUGCAAGAACAUAGGAAUAAGAAACUCACCGAUAGAAAUGGAAAUUGCAAAUCUCCUGUCUACUGAUGUAAAUCGUUGCGGAAGGAUCGUUCUAUGAAGGCCCAGAUGGUGCGAAUUGCAAACCUUGACCUCCAAUCAAACAUGUGAUUGGCAACCUCGGUAUGAACGUAACCUGUUGACGAGGACGUGUCAACCAACCAACGUUAUAAACGCCACGAGUGAAAGAAUUCGCUAUCUCGCUCGAUAAGUCGAAUUGACCGUCACAAGAGAAUCUUGAUUAAGUCAAGUCCUCAAAAUAACAGUAAAAGAGAACCUCUCAAUUUUUUUCCUCAAAAAUAAAAUAUAUCUGUCCCCAAAGAAAUUUGGCAAAUCGUUUAUAUAGGCUGCCACACAAACCCUAAAAAUCAACUCUAAAAAUCUAAUACGUCAUAUUCUAGAAUAUUCUUAAAGAAGAAUAUAUAUAAAUUAACUUGGUCAAUUAUUUGGUGACCAGAUAAUUAAAUUGUACCAAGAUUUCCAAGAUUUUUCAAGAUUUGAUCCAAGGUCAUUUUCACGCCAAAGAUCACGAACCAUGAUGCCAACAGCUUGCCUGAAUUGUUUGGCCCGCACUCGAGUAAUCGAACCAAUAGAAAUAGACAAUGGGUCCCUAGCACCUCCUCCUCGAUAUGACUCGAUGUCCACAUCAUUCCCUCCCCCGUGCAAAGGAUUUGUCCUCAAAUCAUCACUGGCAUAGAAAAGAGUCAAGUAAAAAACAUUAAAUGUGGCACUAACAUCAUACUUACCUGGAAGAUCAAGCUUGUAAGCAUUAUUGUUAACUCUUUCCAAAACCAUGAAUGGUCCAUCCCCUCGCGAUAAUAACUUAGAAUGUCGCUGCUUAGGAAAUCUCUCUUUGCGCAUAUGAACCCAAACCCAAUCGCCCGGUUCAAACACCACUUCCUUGCGCCCUUUGUUGGCUUGCCUUGCAUAUUGCUCAGUCUUGCGCUCAAUAUUUGUGCGCGUCUUCUCAUGCAACGCCUUGACAAAUUCAGCUUUCUUUGCUCCAUCUAAAUCCACACGCUCAUCAACAGGUAAAUGGGUUAAAUCUAACGGAGUUAAUGGAUUAAAACCAUAGACAACCUCAAAUGGUGUAAAUUUAGUAGCAGAAUGCAUGCUCCUAUUAUAUGCAAAUUCAACAUGCGGGAGACAAUCUUCCCAAGAUUUUAUGUUCUUUUUAAUAAUAGCACGCAACAAUACCCCUAAAGUUCUAUUAACUACUUCGGUUUGACUAUUCGUCUGUGGAUGACAAGUAGUAGAAAAUAACAACCGUGUUCCUAGUUUUUUCCAUAAUGUUUUCCAAAAGUAGCUAAGAAAUUUAGAAUCUCGAUCUGAAACAAUUGAUCUAGGCAUGCCAUGCAAACGUACAACCUCCUUAAAGAACAAAUUAGCAACAUGAGAUGCAUCAUCAUUUUUAUGACAAGGUAUAAAAUGAGCCAUCUUUGAAAACCGAUCAACUACCACAUAAAUAGAAUCUCUAUCAUACUUAGACCUAGGCAAUCCUAACACAAAAUCCAUAGAAAUAUCAAUCCAAGGAUGUGUUGGAAUAGGUAAUGGUGUAUACAAGCCAUGAGGUUUAGUUGUAAACUUCGAUUGCUUACAAACAAUGCAUCUCUCACAAACACGUGUGACAUCUCUCUUCAUAUGUGACCAAUAAAAAUAUUCAUGCAGCACUUCAUAAGUCUUAUUAAUGCCAAAAUGCCCCAUUAAACCACCACUAUGUGCUUCUCGCACCAACAAUUCACGCAAAGAACACUUAGGCAAACAUAGUUUGUUUUCACGAAAAAGAUAACCUUCAUGCCUAUAAAAGUUAUCAAAUGCAGCGUGUUCACAUGCUUCAUACACUCUCCCAAAAUCAUCAUCAUUAGUAUAUAAGCCCUUGAUAUGCUCAAAACCUAGACACUUUGCUUCUAAAAUAAUUAGAAUUGCAUACCUUCGAGAAAGUGCAUCGGUACCACAUUCUCCUUACCUUUCUUGUACUUGAUCACAUAUGGAAAAGUCUCGAUAAACUCCAUCCAUUUGUGUUGACACCCAAAAUUUUCGUCGACAUUUUAAUCAUCCAUUUUGCAAAAAUAUAAAAAAAUAAAGAGCCAAAAAUAAAUAAAUAAAAAGAAAACAAAAGAGAGAGAGAAAAAGAAAAAAAAAAGAAAGAAAAAAAAUAAUAUAAAAGGGGAUCGGGGGGUUCUCACUCGGCGGCUCUCUCACGCUCUCUCUCUCUCUCUAAAAUGCUCGGACGCUGAUUCUCUCUUUGGCUCUCUCUUCAUCUCGAUCUUUCUCCGGUUGUUCUGCGGUAACAACCUCCUCUCUCUCUAUCUCUUCCCCAUCGCAGAGGCCGACGAAAAGCCCUUCGGCACCGGCCAUGACUCCGCUCUCUGCCUUGACGGUCGCCUCCAAGUCUCGCCGUGCUCCUGUUGAGAAGUAGUGCGCUGGAUCCGACAUCCUCACAAUCGGAUACUCUCUCUCCCGAUCAACUCUAGAAGACGGGAGCAACUAUUGAUCGAGGAACUUGUGGUGCAAGACUCGAAAUCGUGCCGAGUUGUCGGAGAUAUCAAUUUGGUUCUGAGGGUAGAGAUCCGAAGGCGGUGACAUCGGCGGUCGGAGAUCAGUGCUUUCUCUCGGUUGGAGCUCGAUCAGUUAGGGUUUUCCUUUAUUGGCGUGAUCGGAGGUGCGAGAGCUCGCCGGAUCGGACUCUCUCUCGAUCGAACGCUCCCCAGCUCUUUCCCAGAGAUCUGACGCUCGCUCAUUCGAUCAUCAACUCUCGAAGACGAAGUAGCUGCCAGUGGAAGAACUCAAAGCGACGAAACUCGAUUCGAACUCCUCUGUUCAUCCACUGAAGUUGCAGAUUCAACCGAGGUAAGAAAAACGAAAAUCCUUUUAAUAGCAUCCGAUGAGGCAAGGGGUUCUCGUGUCGAAACACACUCCCGACAACGAAAGUUGGGGGCCAGGAUGCAUUGCAAUCUGAAAUGAUUUUUGAACUUGGAUGGGCUUUGUUCUGCAAUUUCGUAUCUCUGACCUCUUUACACAUAUGCUUGAAAAUGAGUUUGUAUAUGUGCUUUUUGGUGCUUGAUUCCUUCAUGAGAGUUGAAGAUGGUUCGAUUAGCUUUCCAACGAGCUAUAGCACGUCCCGAUCCGAUAUCAUUACCUACCCGAAAUCCUUUUAGAAAGUUAAGACGGGAUUCUGGAAAACUGAUACAUAGCAGUUUACUGUUAUACAUUGACUCGGCCUUGUCUGUUUUCCGAUUCUCUACUGAAUUUGGUGCUUGAAAUUCCUGGAUUGGUGCGGCAUGAAAGUUGCUUGAACUAUCCUUGGCUACAACAUACAGAUUUUUUAGAAUUUUUGGAGUUGAUUUGAUUAGGAAAAUGUUCAUUAAAUCGUCCUUUUGUCCUGAUUGUGGCUUGGUUGUUGUUUGUCUUGGAUGAACUGUUAAACAUGCUCUUUUAGUCUCGAGAUCUCUCUGAAAGUCAUAGUAUAUUCCAUGGGCUUUUCAAUAAUAUAAAUAUUGCAUCAAUCGACCUUUGUUCUCCCUAUCAAUUGCAUACUUGAAACUAUGCUGCAAUCUGUCAAUGUUGCUGAAAUAUUGAUCGCUAGAACGACAGAUUCAGCUUACUUUUUUUUUUUUUUUUUUGUGUGAGUUUCUCUGUAUGGAUUUUGAAUAAGAUGUUUGAUCCUAACACUGAGACCUAAAAUUAGCUGCUUUAUUCCUCUUUUCGGGUCUAUCCUAUACAUACUGUUAAUAUGAACUGAGAGUAUUUCCAUGUGAUUGAGUUUCUACUGAUAUGCUGGAGCUGGUCCCUUCUGUGCAAAUGACUUGAUAUGAGCUGGUUUUUGUGGUUUUCUGUGUUCGAAGUCUUCAUGAAAGUUAAAGAUGGUUCGAUUAUCUUUCUAAUGAGCUAUAGAAUGCCCUAAUGGGACUUCAUUAAAUAUGAUUUUUGUCUGUCUAAAGUCUGGUCCAGAAUCUGCCAAAUGUUUGUCUCUCUGUUUUGGAUGACCUUCUGUGCAAAUCACUUGAUAUGAACUGGUAGAUGAUGUUAUUAGGACUUAAUGUCUUCUAGAUAAUUGUAAUAGGCAUCUCAAGCUUUAAAAUGACAUAUUGCAUGCCUGAAUCGACCAUCAUUUGCCAUGUUUUACAUUUUUUUUUCUAAUCCAUUCUGAAAUCUGGAAUUUGCCUUGGUCAGAAAUGCAUAUUCUGUUUUUGGGUGUGCCUGAUUGUCUGCCACUUUCCUACGAUCUUUUGAGCAUAGAUUUUGAGGUUGAUAAUACCAAAAAAGUAAAUCACGUGUGGGAUGGUCUUGCUCUAUUGUUCUCUCUUUUAGCAAAGUUCUGUUGUUUGAUAAUUGAUAUUAGAUAUCCACCAUCAAACCAAUUUCCAACACUAAUCACUUUGCCCAAUAGCUUAUUUGUGUUCUACCGAUCCAAACUCUGUGUGUUUUUGUUUGUAAAGAUGUCUAGAGUUAUGUUGUUCUUUAGUAUCGAUAUUUCUUUGCUUGCUGUUCAUAUGUCCCGGUGUGUGUGAAAUUGUUUAGUUGUGUCAUUGAUGUGCUGUUUUUGCUGUUUCUUUGUGUAUUGAUUUUGCUGGUUCUUUGUUUUAAGGGCCAAAUCAUGCGUCAUUGUCUUCUUGACAUUUGAAACACGUGUUACAAGUUUCGCAUCAAUGCAUGGCAUAUCAUAUUUGAAUCUCGUUUGAUGUGAAUAUCAUGCAUCCAUUUGGCUAAUUGCAAUUGAAACUUGUCAUGCAUGACAUUCUUAGUUCUAAGUCACUUUGCAAUGUUAAUGACUUGUGUGAUUUCUUUGCAUUCUGAUUUAGGGUUAAAUGUUUACCCAAACUUUUUUUUCGCAUUCAACAUUAUGUCAUGUGCAAGUUUCACAUUUUUGUGCAUUGUCUAGGUGGUCUUGCGAACCAUUAAACAUGCAUUGUAUUUUGUCUUGUUUGUGGCUGACAUGCGCAAUUUCACAAAUAUCAAUUUUUGACCAUCAAUUAGAUCUUGAUUGGACUUGAACCCUAUUAGGAAGUCUUAAGAUUCAUCUUACUCUUUCAGAUGAUGUUAGUUUUGCAUCGUUUACAUAUAUUUGAUUUAGAAAUGUGUUUCUUUCAUUUGUUUGCAUCUAGUCACCCAAAUUUCUUAGAUUAGGUUUAAAAUAGGAUCUUGAACAUGGAUAAAGCGUGAAGAUGGUGGAGGUCGAUGUCCAUUCCGACCAUUGUCUUGUACUAUUUGUUUUCCCGACAUAUGUCUCGGGUUCUAUGCAUUGUAUAAAACCCGAUGAGUUGCGGUUUUCCUUUCUUUCUCAAUUGUCUUCUCUUUUAUAUUUUAAGAAUUGCAUGAUUAGGUUUAACUGCUUUUCUUGAUUGUUUACUUCAUGUCUUGCAAUUUCUAUUUCAUUAUUUGUUUUCCUUUCAUUUCUUAGGAAUAGAAUAGAAUGAAAGUAAUCCACCACGCAUAAUCAUUUAGUAUAGAAUUGACGAUCCUGAAAAUAUAAAAAGAAAUGGAUGAACAUAUUAGGAAAAACACAAUAAAUUGUUUAGGUACUGAAAGGUCGCUAAUAGCAAUAUUAGCGUAACCCAAGUCCCCAAACCUAGAUAUCUGGUUACGUAGGAAUCGAGGGAACACUCCCGACCCUCGAUUAGGUUUCUAGCCGACCCUUAAAAUGAGGCUAGUGGCAACUCCUGUCUAUUUUUAGGUUGUUUAAUACCUAGAUCGUAUAAAUAAAUCCGUUGUCGCAAGGGGUACGAGUUUGGGAGAGCUCGCGAUCUCAUGAGGAAACUCUCGUGAUCAAAGUAUCCCUAAACACGACCUUUCCUACCUUGGACUUUUCGAGGGCGGCGAGAUCGGGUCGCGACAGGUUUGGCGACUCCGCUGGGGACUGGUUACUAGGUUAAGAGUACUUGAAGCCGUUUAAAAAUGGUUGUUGUGUUUUAACUAACAUGUCUUAUGUAGGAUCGCCUGCAUGUCAAAGUCACAUGGAAAAUCAGGUUAGUCGCUAACCUCGUGUUAAAUGGUUUUGUAGGUGGGAGUUAUAAGGGGAGGCGUGCUUGUAAACCCUUUGUUUUGCAGGUGGUGUAAGGAUGUAUGAAUGUAUGAGGGUUUAUAUUGAAGUGCUGGAUGUUUAAAUUUAAAUGCAUGUUUACAAGCUUUAGCACGACAUUGCACACACAACCGUGGUCUAAAACCCCGAUCGCCCAAUCUAGGACCUUAGGAGGGUUUAUGGGUGGAAUCUGCGAGUGGAUGCUCGUGGUAAUCCAUUACUUACAUAAACCUGCUCAUCCCAAUCGAUAAAAAUAGCAUUGACCGACGAUAUUAGCGGUGUGUAAACUAUUUUUAUCCUUUGGGAUGAGGACCUUGAGCCUUUAGCACCCUUACCUUAGGUGUUAAAACCUCAGUUUCAUGCGACAUGUGAUUUGUGCUUGUCAUGUGUCUGGUGGGUAAGAUAUCGUUCCUUCUUCAUCAUGCUUAUCUUUUACUUUCCAUAUUUCAAUUAUGCAAUUUUUAUAUUCCAACAGCGAUAUGUUUUAAUCAUGAGUGCCCCUUUAGAUUUAGGAUUAGAUGGGUAGACCCGAAGUGGAUGUGAUCCCUGUGCCUGGAAUCUCAAGACUCUAUGGGAGAAUCUCGACCCAAGACAUCAAGAUUACAUGGAAAGAUUCCCAAGCCUCAAGGAUUUCGGCGAGCUCAUAUUAUCAAACAAGAAGACAUUGCCUUAAUCGAUGAGAAACGCUUGGCCCAUGAUAACAAGUGUCUCCACGCGAUCCCACCUAGUCCUUAGGUUUUCAUUUCAUACACUUUUCUUGUAAAGGGAAUUCAUUUGUGUUUCCCUCUUUUCUAUCAAGGUUUCCCUGUAUUCAUUUUCAUAUACCUUGUAAAAUCGAACUACUUUGUAAGCUUCAAGAAAGCAAGAUUAUGUUUCCCUUGUAAUUGUUCGAUGAAAUGAAUAACAUUCUUGAACAUUUUCAUGUAAUUUUUAGAAAAUGGGCAUUUUGAUUAAAUAUUUGUCGUCAUUCCUUUUCAAUUGUAUAAUUUCUUUUGAAGAAAUUUUGAUAAGAGGAGGUUAUAUGAUACUGGAUCAUAUACACUUCUUAUCAUUAUUUCAUCUCAAGAAAAUAUAAAAUUGACUAGGAUUUGUACUUUAAUGGUUUCUUUUGAUUGGUACUAAUUCGAGUCAUUUUCUUUUACAGAAGAUUUUGAAAAAAACGGUUGAAGAAAGAUUUGUUAUACAAACUCGCCGCCAAACAAAGAUGGAAAAUGAAGAUACCCAAGCCCGUGUCAUUAAUAUGGAGAAUCAAAUGGCGCAGCUGAUGACGUUAUUAGCUGAUCUCUCCAGCCAAGUCAAAAACUUGAUGUCUGUAACUCUUGCUUCUUCCACCAUGAAUAUUCCUACCGCACCCCCUGAAGUGCCGGUAGUAGAACCUGUGGCAAAAGGGCCUGCGGAAGAGAUUCCCAUUGCAAUCCCGAUAGUUAUUGAUCCAGAGCCUCCAUCUAAAGAGAUUCCAACCUCACACUUUGAUGAAGAAAAUGCAAGACGUCUCGCAAAGAUUGAUGAACGCCUUUGCAUGCUGCAAGGCUAUCGGUUGCAGGGGUUUGAUAAAUUGUCACCCUUUGCCAAAGUUACGGUCCCUGAAUUCUAUAAGGAGCCGGAGUUCACAAGAAAAUACGAUGGCAUCGGAUGUCCUAAGACACAUUUGAAGUACUACAUGGGCAAGAUGGCCCGUUAUUCAGAUAAUCCCCCACUCUUGAUCAAUUCAUUUCAGGACAGCCUGGUUGGUCCUGCGUUAACCUGGUUUAUAGAGUUGGACAUGGAGAAAAUCCAUACUUGGGAAGAUCUUGUUGAUGAAUUCCUUCAGCAAUACAAAUUCAAUACUGAAAUUGCUCCGACUCGGGAGGAAUUAGUCCGUGUCGAGAAAAGGAGGACUGAAUCAUUUAGAGCCUACGCUCAAAGAUGGAGGGUCACUGAGUCUCAAGUAAAACCGCCAUUGUCUGAGAAAGAGACCAUGAAGUUGCUGCUUCAAGCUAUGCCCCGUGAUUUUUUUUGAAAAGAUGUACAACCAUACUUGUAUGAACUUUGCUACAUUUGUAGAGUUGGGAGAACGCAUUGAGGGGAUCAUGCGGGAAGGAAGGUUGACGGAGAACACAAACCGUCGAUAUACCCCGAAGAGAGAUAAGGAAUCGACUGUGGAGAUCACUUAUAUACAAAAUUCCUCUUCUCAGAAGCCAUAUAAUCCUCAAGCUCAUAAACCUGCCAUGGAAGUAGGGGGGAUCUUCCAGAAACUUUGAGCGUAAAGGAAAGGUCCCUCAAAGGCAAUUUACUCAAUUGCCUAGACCCAUGUCAUAACUACUUUCAAUGCUGAUCGAAAAUCAUCUUGUGGCGAAAGAAAUCCCGAGGAAUAAUCUGCCAAAGUUUGUCGGAUUCGACCUUAAUAAGACAUGUGAGUAUCAUAUGGGUGAAAAAGGUCAUCAUGUGGACAACUGUUUGAUGCUCCGUUAUAAGAUCUAGGAUUUGCUGGAUAAAAAGCUGCUCACCUUUAAGGACUCAACACCGAAUGUCCAACAAAAUCCCCUUCCAAAGCAUUCUGAAGAUGUCAACAUGGUUGGCGCUAUUGAUGGAAAUGAAGAACCUACAGUUCCCACUGUGUAAGGGAUGUUUCUAGUUCUUGCAUUCAAUUUUUAGUUGUAUUCCAUUUAGUUCUCCCCUGUGAGGGAAUUCCAUUCAUUUCUCCCCUGCGAGGGAAUUCCAUUCAUUUCAUUCAUUUGUGCUUGUAAUAAUCUGGAUCAUAAACUUUCUAGAUCCAAGAUGAUAUACGUUGUAAUGCAAUUUUCGCAUAUCAAUAAAAUUCAUGUUUUGUUAAUAGACGUGUGAGGCCCAAAUCAGUCCUAUGAUGAUGCUUUGAGGCCUGAGCCUCCACAUGAUCUAUAGUUUCAAAAUGUUUUAGUGGAACAAAGAUGUCCAAUGACAUGAGGGCUAGUUCCUGAUAUUUUUUUAAAAUAAAAUAAACCAAAAAACAAUUUGAAUUUGAAAACAAGUUUUUCAUGACAUUUACAUACAUUGCAUUCGUUUAUAUGUAUAUAUACUAACCAUUUUUCAGUUGCAUCUCAGACAUGACAUUUCACAUCAUGAUAGUCAUUUGCAUGGCUCGGAUUCGCAUUCAAAAGACUUUGACGAACCCGAUUAUUCCGACUCAGAGAAUGAAGAUGAUCCUCAAGGUAUUGAAAAAAGAAUGGCACAUACAUGAAGAGUCCAAACCUUCUAUCACCAAACAGCCAGUCACUCUAAAUUUAGGAGAUUUAGAUAACCCUAAAGAAACCAAGAUUGGGGCAGGUCUCUCUCAAGCAAAUGCCAAUGGAUUAAUUGGGCUCUUGAAAGAAAUAUAUGAAGGAGAGUGUGGCACUCAUAUGAACGGUCAUCUCUUGGCUAGAAAAAUUAUGAGGCUCGGUUACUAUUGGUUGACCAUGGAAGCCGAUUGUAUUCAACAUGUGAGGUACUGUCAUCAAUACCAAGUCUAUGGAGACAAAAUCAAUGCUCCUCCUAAUGAGCUACAUCAAAUGUCCGAGUCUUGGCCUUUUUCAAUGUGGGGCAUCGACAUCAUCGGACCGAUUAAUCCUAAAGCAUCGAAUGGACAUCGUUUUAUCUUAGUAGCAAUUGAUUACUUCACCAAAUGGAUUGAAGCCAAUUCUUAUGCCCAUGUUACUGCAAAGAGUGUGACAAAAUUCAUCCGUCGUGAUAUCAUCGCUCGAUAUGGAGUUCCUAAAGCGAUCAUCACAGAUAAUGGAUCAAAAUUGAACAAUAAAGUGGUGGAUGAUUUACUUGGAGAAUUCCACAUUCGCCAUUUGAAUUCUUCUCCUUACCGCUCACAAAUGAAUGGAGUUGUUGAAGCAGUGAAUAAGAACAUCAAGAAGAUUUUAGCCAAAACGGCGGAAAAUUAUUGUGAUUGGCAUGAUCGGUUGCCAUAUGCUUUGUUUGCUUAUCGAACUUCAAUUCACACUUCGACUGUGGCAACACCGUUCUCAUUGGUUUAUGGGAUGGAAGCUGUAUUACCCGUGGAAGUGGAAAUUCCUUCACUGAGGGUACUUUCUCAAAUCAAGCUCUCUGAAGCUGAAUGGGUUCAACAAAGAUUUGAACGACUUAAUAUGAUUGAUGAAAAGCGGGUAAAAGCCUUAUGCCAUGGACAAAGCUAUUAGAAGAGAGUAGCUAGGUCAUUCAACCGCAAGGAUAGACCAAGGCAUUUCGAGAUUAAUGAUCUUGUUUUGAGAAAAAUUUUACCUAUCAUUCUAGAUCCUCGUGGGAAGUUUACUCCAAAAUAUGAAGGUCCAUAUAUUGUAAGAAAAGUGCUACCGGGUGGGGCAUUAAUUCUUGUACAAAUGGAUGGCCAAGAAUUGCCAAGACUUGUAAAUGCUGAUGCUGUCAAGAAGUAUUAUCCAUGAAUAAAGUGAAAGGCCUUUUAGCCAUUUUUUGAUCGAAUCCGAGCCACUUUAGGAUGUUUGCAUCGUGCAUUGCAUGCAUACAUAUUGCAUCUACAUGUUUGUUCAUUUUGCGGGAUCUCUGACGAAGAUUCUACUUGUCCGCAAGAGGUUCAUUUCAAGAGUGCAAAACUUUCAAAAGUGUCCAUUCUUCUUUAGAACUUAGAAGUGACCUUAUCCUUGCCAAAAGAGUCAGUUAGAAUUCUAGAAGUACAGUUAGAACUCUAGAAAUGAACCCAUGUGCUAAGCAAAGCCUAUUCUGUUUACAAAUUUUGUCCAAUCUUACUUCUAAAAAAUCUCCCCGGUAGGGUCAAUGAAACAUGUCCUUUCAGAUAAAAUUUCAUUAUAUUUUCAUUUCCCCAGGGAGUUGAAUUUAACCAAAGUGUGCUUUGGAAAACCUGAAAAGGAUUGUUAAAUAUGCCAAGUGGUAGUGCUUAAAAUGAUGAGAGCCAACCCUUUUACCAAACACGUCCUCAUACACUCUUUGAGAGAAUUGAGUAGAAAGAACCAUGUCUUAGGGCAUAGGAUUCAUUCACGGUGAAUACAUGAUUUGAAAUGAUCAAGGCAUUUCAUUUCUCAAUCCCAAACACUAUUGAUAUCCCUUGCAAGCCACUUUGAACCAAAUAGGGAGCAUUUCAAAAUAACCCUAUCAAGAACAACUCCACAUUAGGGCAAAAUAGGGGGUCUUGGUUGAAAAUUACGGAGCAAAAGAUUAAGAAAGAUUUUAUUGCUUUCACUUGUAUCAAUCUUCUUAUGCUAGCUUCAGGUGAUUUCUUAUCGAAACUCGAAGCAUCCUAAAGUGAUGAAGAGCAUUCCGUUCACUACCACAAACACAAUUAUCCUUUGCUUAGCCAAUUUAAGCCUUAUGCAAUUCUUUCAUAACCCCAGGUGAUGAUUAUCUCCCCACACUGGGGCAAGGCACAUGAUUUACCAACAAAAUUGAGAAUAUUGGUAAUGUUUGUAAAUGCCACUCGAGAGUCCUAGAUACUCAAAAGAGAAUGAAAACUAGGGGGCAUGAAAAAGCAGUGUGCCUGGUAAGAGCAAGGCCAAUGCCCAUGAAAAAAAUGCAAAGAAAAGCAAGAAUGCAAAAAAGAGCGAAAUCCACGAUUAUGCAAAGGAUCAUUCAUUGAAAAACAAAAGAAAUAUCUUGCAAGAGAAAACAUGUAUUGCAAGCAAUAUCAUUAGAACAAAGAGCGAAGCUCUCAUAUCUCAAGACAAAUUACCCAAAGGACUCUCGAGAUAGGUUAAAUUUCAAGAGUUGAAUUUUUGAAAAGUCAUGUGAUGGUAAUGAUGCCAAGAUAAUCACUCACUUUUUAACCCUUUGAUAUCUGAAAGUUUUUCAAGCCUUUCUAAGCCUCACCUGAACCAACACUACAACCCUUAUCCAAAGUCUCUUCCGAUUGGGAUGGUUCGAGUUGAAAUGAGAAUAUCACAUAGGAGCUACCUCUAGAAGGAGUGGAAGUAAUCCUAUCUUAUCUUAUCUUCAAGGUUCUUGACUUGUAAACCCAAUGAAGAUAUUGAUUGAAUUUUCAUUUAUUGGCCUCAAAGUGCAUACCCUUUGUGUAAGCCCAUGACCAAGCCAUCAUUACGGUCCCUUCAAAAGACCUUUUGAUCAAUGGAUUGUAUUCACUAUGAACGUUUCCGAAAACCUUAGACCUAGGUUGAGUGAGAUUUCUCCAGUAAGAUUUAAACAGUUUUCCCAUAUCAAUGGUUGGGAACAAAAGCCCUUUUUGAGAGUCAGUGUGAAAGACCCCUUUUGAUUAGGAUAUUUCCACUUGGCAUAUUUGACUUAACCCUUAGAUGGUUAAUCAAAUCUCAUUUUGUUAAAAUCAUCUCUGAAAGGAUUUGACAAUUGGCAUUAUUUCGCAAGAUUGGCUCUCAAGUAAUCUUGAAACUCUUUUUCAAAAUAUUUGUUCCUUAGUGAACCGGUUUUUGGUCAUCCUAAACCAUAUCAUUGUCUCUUAAGUUCUAGGUUAUCUUAAAACCUUGUCCCCAAGUUCUAGGUUAUCUUAAAACCUUGUCCCCAAGUUCUAGGUCCUCUUAAAACCUUGUCCCCAAGUUCUAGGUUCUCUUAAAACCUUGCCUCUUAAGUUCUAGGUUCUCUUAAAACCUUGUCUCUUAAGUUCUAGAUUGUCUUAAAACCUUGUCUUUUAGGUUCGUGGGUCCAUCCUUAAACCACACUAGGUUCGUGGGUCCAUCCUUAAACCACUAGGUUCGUGGGUCCAUCUUUAAACCACACUAGGUCCGUGGGUCUAUCCUUAAACCACUAGGUUUGUGGGUCCAUCCUUAAACCACACAGUAAGACUAUCAUACCCGGUCAAAGCCCGUUCUUACACGGUAAAACCUUUCUCCUGGUCGAAGUCCGUUCUUACACGGUAAGACUUUUCUCCCAGUCUAAACCAUACGGUUUGAGGCCAUCCUUAAACCAUUCAUUUUCCAUUUAGUGAUUUUAUAUCGUUCAUUCCAUUCCACGAGAGAGAGAAACAAAGAUAGACUGAAUAAACCUCAACAACAAUUCAGAUACCCUCAUGAGCACAGGUAAGUAUCUGGUAUGUCUCUAAUAAACUAUCAUUGCUUUUGUCUUUUUCUAUUUUCAAAAUCGAGUCGACUAAAAAUUUCAGGUAUCAAUUUUCUUUGAGCGGAACCUCUUUGAGCUCCCACCCAAAGAGGGGCAGCUGUUGACAUCCGAAAUUUUCGUCGACAUUUUAAUCAUCCAUUUUGCAAAAAAAAAUAAAAAAUAAAGAGGCAAAAAUAAAUAAAUAAAAAGAAACAAAAAAAGAGAGAAAAAUAAAAAAAAUAAAAGAAAGAAAAAAAAAACAAUAGAAAAGGGGAUCGGGGGGUUCUCACUCGGUGGCUCUCUAACGCUCUCUCUCUCUCUCUAAAAUGCUCGGACGCUGAUUCUCUCUCCGGCUCUCUCUUCAUCUCGAUCUCUCUCUGGCUAUUCGGCGGUAACAACCUCCUCUCUCUCUCUCUCUCUCUCUCUAUCUCUUCCCCAUCGCGGAGGCCGACGAAAAACCCUUUGGCGCCGGCCAUGACUCCGCUCUCUGCCUCGACGGUCACCUCCAAGUCUCGCCGUGCUCGUCUUGAGAAGUAGUGCGCUGGAUCCGACAUCCUCACAAUUGGAUACUCUCUCUCCCGAUCAACUCUAGAAGACGGAGCAACUAUUGAUCGAGGAACUCGUGGUGCGAGACUCGGAAUCGUGCCGAGUUGUCGGAGAUAUCAAUUCGGUUCCGAGGGUAGAGAUUCAAAGGCGGUGACAUCGGCGGUCGAAGAUCAGUGCUUUCUCUCGAUUGGAGCUCGAUCAGUUAGGGUUUUCCUUUAUUGGCGCGAUCGGAGGUGCGGGAGCUCGCCGGAUCAGACUCUCUCUUGAUCGGACACUCCCUAGCUCUUUCCCGGAGAUUUGACGCUCACUCAUUCGAUCAUCAACUCUCGAAGACGAAGUAGCUGCCAGUGGAAGAACUCGAAGCGAUGAAACUCGAUUCGAACUCCUCUGUUCAUCCACUGAAGUUGCAGAUUCAACUAAGGUAAGCAAAACGAAAAUCCUUUUAAUAGCAUCCGAUGCGGCGAGGACUUCUCGUGUCGAAACACAUUCCCGACAACGAAAGUUCGGGGCCAGGAUGCAUUGCAAUCUGAAAUGAUUUUUGAACUUGGAUGGGCUUUGUUCUGCAAUUUCAUAUCUCUGACCUCUUUGCGCAUAUGCCUGAAAAUGAGUUUGUAUAUGUGAUUUUUGGUGCUUGAUGCCUUCAUGAGAGUUGAAGAUGGUUCGAUCAGCUUUCCAACGAGCUAUAGCACGUCCUGAUCCAAUAUCAUUAGCUACCCGAAAUCCUUUUCGAAAGUUAAGAAGGGAUUCUGGAAAACUGAUACAUAGCAGUUUACUGUUAUACAUUUUUUUUUUUUGGUCAGUCCUACUCUAUUCCUACUCUACACUCACUCUCAGACUUUUGCCCUGCCUCUUGCAGGGCGUGGGAGUCGAAACCCACUCUUGAAACUUUCGCGUCCCCACCUCAUCCCCCCUGAGAAGGUGGGGAUUUGAACCCCUCACCUCUUCCUUCCAUGUUGGAAGGGUGGCCACUGGGGCGAAUCCUAGUGGUUACUGUUAUACAUUGACUCGGCCUUGUCUGUUUUCCGAUUCUCUACUGAAUUUGGUGCUUGAAAUUUCUGGAUUGGUGCUUCAUGAAAGUUGCUUGAACUAUCCUUGGCUACAACAUACAGAGUUUUUAGAAUUUUUGGAGUUGAUUUGAUUAGGAAAAUGUUCAUUAAAUCGUCCUUUUGUCCUGACUGUGGCUUGAUUAUUGUUUGUCUUGGAUCAACUGUCAAACAUGCUCUUUUGGUCUCGAGAUCUCUCUGAAAGUCAUAGUAUAUUCCAUGGGCUUUUCAAUAAUAUAAAGAUUGCAUCAAUCGACCUUUGUUCUCCCUAUCAAUUGCAUACUUGAAACUAUGCUGCAAUCUGUCAAUGUUGCUGAAAUAUUGAUCGCUAGAACGACAAGUUCAGCUUACUUUUUUUUGUUUUGUUUUGUGUGUGAGUUUCUCUGUAUGGAUUUUGAUUAAGAUGUUUGAUCCUAACACUCAGACCUAAAAUUAGCUGCUUGGUUCCUCUUUUCGAGUCUAUCCUAUACAUACUGUUAAUGUGAACUGAGAGUAUUUCCAUGUGAUUGAGUUUCUACUGAUAUGCUGGAGCUGGUCCCUUAUGUGCAAAUGACUUGAUAUGAGCUGGUUGUUGUGGUUUUCUGUGUUCGAAGUCUUCAUGAAAGUUGAAGAUGGUUCGAUUAUCUUUCCAAUGAGCUAUAGAAUGCCCUAAUGGGACUUCAUUUAAUAUGAUUUUCGUCUGUCUAAAGUCUGGUCCAGAAUCUGCCAAAUGUUUGUCUCUCUGUUUUGGAUGACCUUCUGUGCAAAUCACUUGAUAUGAACUGGUAGAUGAUGUUAUUAGGACUUAAUGUCUUCUAGAUAAUUGUAAUAGGCAUCUCAAGCUUUAAAAUGACAUAUUUCAUGCCUGAAUCGACCAUCAUUUGCCAUGUUUAACAUUUUUUUUCUAAUCCAUUCUGAAAUCUGGAAUUUGCCUUGGUCAGAAAUGCAUAUUCUGUUUUUGGGUGGGCCUGAUUGUCUGCCACUUUCCUACGAUCUUUUGAGCAUAGAUUUUGAGGUUGAUAAUACCAAAAAAGUAAAUCACGUGUGGGAUGGUCUUGCUCUAUUGUUCUCUUUUUUAGCAAAGUUCUGUUGUUUGAUAAUUGAUAUUAGAUAUCCACCAUCAAACCAAUUUCCAACACUAAUCACUUUGCCCAGUAGCUUAUUUGUGUUCUACCGAUCCAAACUCUGUGUGUUUUUGUUUGUAAAGAUGUCCAGAGUUAUGUUGUUAUUUAGUAUCGAUAUUUCUUUGCUUGCUGUUCAUAUGUCCCGGUGUGUGUGAAAUUGUUUAGUUGUGUCAUUGAUGUGCUGUUUUUGAUGUUUCUUUGUGUAUUGAUUUUGCUGGUUCUUUGUUUUAAGGGCCAAAUCAUGCGUCAUUGUCUUCUUGACAUUUGAAACACGUGUUACAAGUUUCGCAUCAAUGCAUGGCAUAUCAUAUUUGAAUCUCGUUUGAUGUGAAUAUCAUGCAUCCAUUUGGCUAAUUGCAAUUGAAACUUGUCAUGCAUGACAUUCUUAGUUCUAAGUCACUUUGCAAUGUUAAUGACUUGUGUGAUUUCUUUGCAUUCUAAUUUAGGGUUAAAUGUUUACCCAAACUUUUUUUUCGCAUUCAACAUUAUGUCAUGUGCAAGUUUCACAUUUUUGUGCAUUGUCUAGGUGGUCUUGCGAACCAUUAAACAUGCAUUGUAUUUUGUCUUGUUUGUGGCUGACAUGCGCAAUUUCACAAAUAUCAAUUUUUGACCAUCAAUUAGAUCUUGAUUGGACUUGAACCCUAUUAGGAAGUCUUAAGAUUCAUCUUAAUCUUUCAGAUGAGGUUAGUUUUGCAUCGUUUACAUCUCAUUUGAUUUAGGAAUUUGUUUCUUUCAUUUGUAUGCAUCUAGUAAUCCAAAUUUCUUAGAUUAGGUUUAGAAUUGGACUUUGAACACGGAUAAAGCGUGAAGAUGGUGGAGGUCGAUGUUCAUUCCGACCAUUGUCUUGUACUAUUUGUUUUCCCGACUUAUGUCUCGGGUUCCAUGCAUUGUAUAAAACCCGACUAGUUGUGGUUUUCCUUUCUUUCUCAAUUGUCUUCUCUUUUAUAUUUUUAGAAUUGCAUGAUUAGGUUUAACUGCUUUUCUUGAUUGCUUACUUCAUGUCUUGCAAUUUCAUUUUCAUUAUUUGUUUUCCUUUCAUUUCUUAGGAAUAGAAUAGAAUGAAAGUAAUCCACCACGCAUAUUCAUUUAGUAUAGAAUUGACGAUCCUGAAAAUAUAAAAAGAAAUGCAUGAACAUAUUAGGAAAAACACAACAAACUAUUUAGGUACCGAAAGGGCGCUAAUAGCAAUAUUAGCAUAACCCAAGUCCUCGAACCUAGAUAUCUGGUUACGUAGGAAUCGAGGGAACACUCCCGACCCUCGAUUGGGUUUCUAGCCGACCCCCAAAAUGAGGCUAGUGGCGACUCCUGUCUAUUUUUAGGUUGUUAAAUACCUAGAUCGUAUAAAUAAAUCCGUUGUCGCGCGGGGUACGAGUUUGGGAGAGCUUGCGAUCUCGUGAGGAAACUCUCAUGAUCAAAGUAUCCCUAAACACGACCUUUCCUACCUUGGACUUUUCGAGGACAGCGAGAUCGGGUCGCGACAAUGUGGCAUGUCUUUUAUCCAACUUUUGCUGCCCUUUCAAGUACUUCAAGGUCUCAUGGUCGGUGUGGAUCACAAACUCCUUUGGCUAUAAAUAAUGUUGCUAAGUCUCCAAACCUCGCACUAAAGCAUACAUCUCCUUAUCAUAGGUGGGAUAAUUCAACGUUGUUCCACUCAAUUUUUCGCUGAAAUAAGCUAUGGGACCCCCUCCUUGCAUCAACACGGCUCCAAUUCCUAUACCAGAAGCAUCGCACUCUAUCUCAAAAGUAGCACUGAAAUUCGGCAAAGAUAACAAAAGAUCAUUAGUUAACUUAUCUUUUAGCAGAUUAAAUGCUUUCUCUUGCUCUUCUCCCCACGUGAAACCCACAUGCUUUUUGAUAACCUCAGUUAAAGGUGCGGCAAUGGUGCUAAAAUUUCUCACAAAUUGUUGAUAAAAACUCGCCAAUUCAUGAAAGUUACGCACCUCUCCUAUGGUCUUAGGCGUUGGCCAUUCACGGAUUGCUUUGACCUUUUCUUCAUCAACCUGUAUAUCAUUAGCACUAACAACAAAUCCUAGAAAUACUAAUUUGUUGGUAACAAAAGAGCACUUCUUUAGAUUAGCGUAUAAUUGCUCGGCCCUUAAAACCUGCAAGACAGCUCGCACAUGCUCAAUAUGGUCAUCAGGAUUUCGGCUAUAAAACAAGAUGUUAUCGAAAUAGACAACCACAAAUCGACCAAUAAAAGCACGCAAAACAUGAUUCAUAAGUCGCAUAAACGUGCUCGGUGCAUUAGUUAAUCCAAAUGGCAUUACUAACCACUCAUAUAAUCCAUACUUGGUCUUAAAUGCAGUUUUCCAUUCAUCACAUUCUUUCAUCCUAAUUUGAUGAUAGCCACUUUUCAAAUCGAUCUUAGUGAAAAUGCAAGAACCAUGCAACUCAUCCAACAUGUCAUCUAACCUAGGAAUAGGAUGUCGAUACUUUACCGUAAUAUUAUUGAUUGCUCGGCAAUCGACACACAUUCGCCAAGUUCCAUCCUUCUUUGGCACUAACAAAACAGGGACGACGCACGGGCUAAGACUCUCUCUCACAUACCCCCGUUCCAAUAGUUCGCUAACUUGCCGCUGAAGUUCCUUUGUCUCCUCGGGAUUGCUUCGAUAUGCGGGUCGAUUAGGUAAUGGCGCACCAGGAAUCAAGUCAAUUUGAUGUUCUAUGCCUCGAAUUAGUGGUAUCCCUCCAGGAAGUUCAUCAGGAAAGACAUCUUCAAAUUCAUGCAAUAAAGAUACAAUAGGACUAGGCAAACUUGGGUCAAGAUCAUUAGUAGAAAACAAAACCUCUUUGUACACAAGUACAAGCAUUGAUCGAUCUAGAACUAAGGCUCUCCUCACUUUCACUUGAUUUUGCAUAAAAAUUAUUUUGCCUCUUUUCUUUCCUCUCUUCUUUUCCCUCGGUUUUUACCACAAUUUUUCUCUCGGCCUCUCAUUUUCCUUGCGUCUCAGACACACCACGCAAGCCCUCGGAUUUCUCACCUUUUCUCUCUCUCUCUUGGCUUCUCGUUGUAACUUUAAUUGAUCUUGAUACACUCACUAGGUGUCAUCGGUACCAAGGUAUAAAUCUUUUGAUUCAUCAUCAAUGAAUAACAAUUAGUAUACCCAUCAUGAUGUACCUUCGAUCAUAUUGCCAUGGUCUCCAAGUAAGAUAUGACCCACUUGCAUAGGUACAACAUCACACUCUACCUCGUCCUUGUAUCUCCCUAUCUCAAAUGGAAUUCGAACUUGCUUCGAUACUUUCACCUCACCACUAUCAUUUAACCAUUGAAGUCUAUAAGGCCUAGGGUGUUUUGUCGUCUUCAAACCCAACUUAUUCACCAUAAUACAACUUGCCACAUUCGCACAACUACCUCAAUCAAUUAUCAUACUACAGAUCUUACCAUUCACCACGCAUCUUGUAUGAAACAAAUUAUCUCUUUGUUGGUGAUGCUCCUCCUCCUUUACUUGCACACUCAGAGAACGCCUAACCACCAAUAAGUCUCAUUUUAUAGCCACUUCUCCAUCACUACAAUCCUCCAAUGGUGGCAUCUCAUCAUCCUCUUCUUCCUUUUCACUUUCGAACUCAAUAACACCAUGUUUAGUCAUGAUCAUCACCCUCCUAUUAGGGCAUUGAUUCGCCAUAUGACCCCUGCCCAAACACUUAAAACAUUUAAUUUCACGAGUUCUAGUGUUAUGGUUUUCGGUUUUACCUGAAACCGGAUUCAUUCCAACUUUACCGUCCCUCUCCUUCUCGUUUGAGGUUUCGGUUUUGGUGUUGUUUUCUCUCCAAUUUGGCUUCUCAUCUCUCUUUCAAUUGGAUCUACAAUUCUGAUUUGAACCUCCUCCACUCUUGUGAUUUCGGUCCAACUUCAAUUGCCGCUCAACUUUGAUGGCUUUGUCUACCAAUUCCUCCAAUUCAACAUAGUGUUGCAGCUCUACCACCCUUGCUAUGUCUCGGCUCAAACCACUCAAAAAUCUUGAUAUUGUGGCCUCACGAUCCUCCAUCACAUUAGCACGGAUCAUGGCAAUCUCCAUCUCCUUGUGAUAUUCUUCCACGCUCUUAUUGCCUUAUGUGAGGUUUUGUAACUUUUGAAACAAAUCUCGAUGGUAAUGACUUGGCACAAAAUGCCUCCUCAUCACUGCUUUCAUCUCAUCCCACAUCUUUAUCGGUCUUUCACCAUUGCACCUCCUACUAGUCACAAGUUGAUCCCAUCAAAUUAUAGCAUAAUCAGUAAAUUCAACAGCUACAAUUUUUACCUUUUUGAGCUCAGAGUAUCGUUGGCAAUCAAAUAUCAUCUCCAUGCGCUUCUCCCACUCUAUAUACUCAUUGAAAUCAUUCUUCCCUUGGAAGGAAUGAAUCUUCAUCUUGAUGUUGCCAAGUUCAUCAUCUCCUCGGUGUCUAAACCUUUGGCCUCCAUUCCACCUUUCAAAUCGAGCAUCUCGAUCAUCCUCCAUGUCAGCCUCAUUAUCAUCAUAUUGCCGUUGCCUUCUAUGUUGUGUUCUAGAGGCAUCUCACUGAUGUUGCGGCCUUCCUCGGGGUAUCUCUCGGUCACCAUCAACCCUCAUGCCAUUCCCCAUCAUUCGGCCACUAAGCUCCUCCACUACGGCCCUCAAUUGCUGGAUGCUUUCCAUGAACGCUUCAUCCCUUCGUUUGGAGUCAACCUCCCGUUGAUUCACGCUUUCUUCGUGCGACAUAUUUUAGACCUACAAGUAAAUGUUAGUCUAAAAAAUUCUCACCAAUCUCUCCCUCACAUGUUUCUCUCGAGAUAUUUGUCACUCCCCGCGUGUUUAACUCAAGUUUAGGGUUUUUCCACCCUCAAUUAAGCUUACACACUCUUGCCUUCUUCCUCUCGUAUUCUCUUUUCACAAACUCUUUAUUGGUCUCAAAACCUGUCUCUCAACCCCCUCAUGACAAUCAAUCAAACUAAUCAAACAAUAUUAUAUCACUAUUGAUUUUGUUUCAGCAAGUAACAAUUUCAAACCAACAAGUACAACUUUCGAAAUUCCAAUUGAAACGCAUAUCACUACUGAUUUUGUUUCAAUUUGGUCUACUAACAAACGAGUCGCCUUCUUGAUUUGAUUUUUUCUUUCUGUUCGGCUAGUUUUUUUUUUUUUUGCCGAAUCUGUUUUUUUUUCUCUUGCACACUUUUUUUUUUGUGCGUUUUCUUUCUCUUCUUUUUUUUUCUUUUUUUUUUGACGAACUCAGAUACAAUUUAAGAUGUAGAAAAGAAAAUUUAAAACUAACAACAAACAACUACGUAUGAAAGCACAAAAGCAAUCGGAUCCAUAAAUUAGCUAGAACCGAAACCCUAACUCAAUAAAUCUCAAAUUGCUUAAUAUCAACAAAAAAUUAAAGAUAAAUAGACAUUGUAGAAGCAAGCUUUGAUACCAAACCGAUGUGAAUUGUUGCAGAAGGAUCGUUCUACGAAGGCCCAGAUGGUGCGAAUUGCAAACCUCGACCUCCAAUCAAACCUGUCAUUGGCAACCUCGGUAUGAAGGUGACCUGUUGACGAACACGUGUCAACCAACCAAUGUUAUAGACGCUACGAGCGAAAGAAUUCGCUAUCUCGUUCGAUAAGUCGAAUUGACCGCCACAAGAGAAUCUUGAUUAGGUCAAGUCGUCAAAAGAACAGUAAAAGAGAACCUCUCAAUUCUUUUCCUCAAAAAUAAAAUAUAUCUGUCUCCAAAGAAAUUUGGUAAAUUGUUUAUAUAGACUGCCACACAAACCCUAAAAACCAACCCUAAAAAUCUAAUACGUCAUAUUCUAGAAUAUUCCUAAAGAAGAAAAUAUAUAAAUUGACUUGGUCAAUUAUUUGGUGACCAGAUAAUUAAAUUGCACCAAGAUUUCCAAGAUUUUUCAAGAUUUGAUCCAAGGUCAUCUUCACGCCAAAGAUCAUGAACCAUGACGCCAACAGCUUGCCUGAAUUGUUUGGCCCGCACUUGAGUAAUUGAACCAGUAGGAAUAGACAUUGGGUCCCUAGCACCUCCUCCUCGAUAUGGCUCGAUGUCCACAUCAUCUACUGACCUGCAUCAUGUCUCCCAAGUUUAUAAUGAGGGCUCUAGGAAAUGGGGUUACAUUGACCCAUCGAUUCUGGCAGCAGACCUGGAGACCAUUGUUUACACCUAAAUUUUGUCUAAUCAUUUAGUAAUUAGUAGCAUAAAAAAAUAGUAAAAUUACAUUUCAUGUAGUUGCAUUUGCAUCAGUACUAAAAGGGCAACAAGACGCAGUGGCUCGUAGUCGAUUACAUGCACAACAGAAUGGUCUCUCCUUGCUGGUCUGAACAUGCAAAAGAGCGAAAGUCAAAAAAGGAGGAAUGAAGUUCUUGCAUGUCUGUUGUCUCUCCCUCAUUAAUGCAUACGCAUGCAUGCACAAGUUCGGCGGAUGUGCAAAUUCUAGAGGAACCCUCAGAGAAGCAAAAUGAGCCUAUGAUAUAUUAUAUAAUAUGCUCUCUCUCGAGUGUGGGUGUUAACUCUAGUGAAGCAACGAGAAAUUUGCUGAAGAAAGAAGCAAGUAACAAGCAAGAAAACUCAAAAGUUGCGGCAAUCCUAUAGAAGGGAGGGACAAGUAGCCCCAAGCAUAAAGAAGAAAUAACAAUCCAACGUCCAUUUUCUCCCCCCUCAUUAAUGCAUGCACAUGCACGCAUGAAAUGGGAGAUGUCAAAAUUCUAUAGACGCCUGCAAGAAGAUGGACUAACAUUUUUAUAAUAUUAUCCUUGCUGAAGAGCAUAUGGGUAGCCACCAUAUUUGAAAAAAAGAACCGAACGUGAACAGCAAGGAAAAGUUACGGCUGCCUCCUGUUCACCUGUUCACACUAAAGUCGGUUGUUGCCUAUAAAUAAGCAAGGAUCCUCGGCUUAAAAAGGGAGGCUCGAAAAAAAAAUUCCCUGGAGAGGUUUGUGAGAACUAUUAAAAAAAGAGAGCCCGUAGAGACACACGAGUGGGGAGAAAGGAAGAGAUUAAAAAAGGGAGAGACGCUCGUCAGAGAGAAACAAGAAAAAAUGAAGUUAGGUGGAGGAGAUUAAAAAAGAGAUGAAUAGAGAGUCUGUCAGAGAAAAACCAAAAAGAAGGUGAAGUCAGAGAGGGCAACAAAGAGAGAAAGAACGUGAGAAAAAAUAAAAAAGAUGGGUUGUCUUCUUCCCAUGGUGUCUUUUUCCUAAGGGGCUUCAAGCGUCCGUUCUCGUACAUAGCAACCCGCAGCCGACUCCAUCCUUCUGGUGAUCUGCGGAUGUAGACGCUGCAGCAACCCUCUACUACCUUCCUGCUCCCGGCGAGUUUCGAACGCUGCUACCGCUGUAGUCCCAUGCCUCCGCUUGCCCGCCUCCUACAGCUCGAAGCUUUGAGCGACACCUGCAACUCCCCCACCGCAGCUGCUGUCUCGCGGUUGUCGGAGCUCCGAACACCGUCGCUGUUGCAGCCCUCAGCCUGCUUAUCGCCGCACCACCGCAACACCUUCAUUCCGUCUCCUGCAGCAACCCACACCCGAUGUCAACGACUUGCAUCACCUUCGCCCGCCGGUCGUAGCGCAUCUCCGCCCAGAAGCCUACAAGCUGCAACACCCGUCGCUGCGCCCUACCCGUCGCCACACCUCCGCUCACCCGUCGCCACGUCUCCUCCAUCUUCGCCUGGCCCGAGCUGCGCACUGCUGCUUCUUCCCUGCAGGUGCACCAGCGACGACUAGCCAUGUUAAGCACCACCAACUAUGAUCUUUCCCUGCACACGACCCUGACCUACAGUGCCAGAAGCCCCGACGCCCUGCUCCGCCUCUGCCGUCGCCGAUCUGCUGCGACUGCCGGCCCCGAGUCCUCCGCCUGAGCGCUCCUGCUCCACCGGUCCUUGCUGCCCGGCGUCCCCUACUCGCAUGUGUUAGUCUUACACCAGCAAACCGCACGCGACUCCUGCUUUGGUCUUGUCGGAGCUCCUCGCCGGUGUCUUCCCCCUGCCAGAGCUCCGACCAGUGUUGCCCCUCUCAAUUGAUCGAGCAGCCAAGCCGUGCGUGGGAGCAAAACAAAAAGAAAAAAAAAAAAGGAAAAGCAAAUUAGGUAGUUUUUUUUUUAUCUAUUUUAGUUUGUUUUUUAUUUUAAUUUACUUUUUUAGUGGAAUCAUUCCUUAGUAUAAGAUUGAGAAUGUUCGACCUAAAAUAGCUUGUUUGUGAUAGUCUGAUUUUUGCGCCCGAAAUCCGACUCGCAAUUGCUUGAAAAAUCGUCAAUCCAAUCUCACACCCGAGAUUCGAUUUUCGAUUUAUUUAAAAUUGGCCAACCCGAUCUCAUGCGCGAGAUAUGGUUCGUCAAUUUGGAUAUCAAUCUUGCUCUGAUUUGUCGUCGUGCCGUUUAAGUUAAUUUCGCUUUCAUAAAAUAAAUAAAAAAUACAAAAUAAUGUAGGUUAGAAUUAGGUUUAUUGCUGUUUUAGGGUUUGCAUAUUUAGAAUAGGAAUUUUAUUUCGAAUUUAAUAAAAUCAAAAAAUCAAAAAUAAAAUCAAUCAAUUUAGGUUGCUAGUUUUUUAACUUAGGUUUCAUGUUUAAUUACUUGACAAUUUUUAAUUUCGAAAUUAAUACAAAAACAUAAAAUAAAAAUUAGAAUUUUGGCACUCUUCACAUGUCAUUGCAUUUUAGGGUAAAAUUUCAUAUAGUUUAAUUCUAGAUAAUAGUUUUUUUUUAAUUUAAGUUUAGAGAAAUUUUUUAGAUAGAUUGCAUUUUAGGGUAAAAUUUCAUAUAGUUUAAUUCUAGAUAAUAGUUUUUUUAAAUUUAAGUUUAGAGAAAUUUUUUAGAUAGAUUGCAUUUUAGUAAGGAAUUUCUAAAUUACGAUAAUAUUCUAGUUUAAAUUAGGAUUUGGCUUAACCUCAUUCCUAAUACAAAUUAGAUGAUAUUUUAAUUUAGAUAGAUAAAUUUCAUUUUUCUAAUUCCGAAUUUCAUGAAAAAUACAAAAAAUGUCUUAGAAUAAAUUAGUUUUAUUUUCUAGGAUAUAUUGCAUUAAAAAAAAUGUCAUGCACAUGUCAUAUAAAAUUAGGUUCAUGAAAUGCACGUCAUUUAGUGAUUGUUGCUAGGUUCAUUUAAUUGGAAACUACCCGUCAUUAGAAUUAGGUCAUUUUGUUAGUUUAGAUUGCACAUUUAAUUAUUGAACAAUUUUAAUUUCGAAUUUCAUGGAAAAUACCUAAAAAAAUUGUCUUUGAAUAAAUUAAUUUCAUUAUUUAGGAUAGAUUGCAUGCUUAUUAAGAAAACAUAAAAACAUCUCAUUUGCAUCAUGUAACUUAAGCCAUGUUAUUAUGUCAUAUCAUUUCAUGUUAAAUUAGAAGCAUUGCAUUGCAUAUGGACUAUAUCCUCAUUAAAUAAGUGAAGAAAAAAAAGAAAUCGCGUGUUAAUUAGAAAUCAUAUCUUGGAUUGUUGAUGUGAAUUCUGAUCUAACAACGCAGAUACUUUCGUUGCUAUGAGGUAAAUCUUGUAAUUUAUUUACUGCUUUAUCCGGGUGUUAAAUUGGUGGUUUGUACACCCGUAUGAUCACCUCAUAUGUUAGGGAAAUAGAUUUAAAAUCAAUUCAAGCUUUCUGCAAAAUAUUUUUUUUUUUUUAAAUAAAAGAGAAAUGUACCGAAAGGGCAUUAGAGAAGUCUAGUGUAACGAAGUACCCGAACUCAUUUAAUCUCUAGUUCGUAGGAGUGAAGUAAUUCUCCCAUUACUUUACUUGGUUUCUAAUCGACUCACCAAAAAUAGAUUAGUGGCGACUCCAUGAUAAAAAUCAUUUGCAUAUUAAGAACUUAAACCCUAAGUUGCGAAUUGGUAUGGGCUUGGGAGAGCUUGAGCUAAGUCUAGGCUUAGCAAUCCAUUAGCAGAACCCUUAGGUGGUCCAACCCGCUUCGAGGAGGUCGCGACAACCACCAACAUGGUCUUGAAGAAGAAUGGAGAUAAAGCUAUUGUCUGUAUGAUCACCAGACCACCAACAUGGUCUUAAAAUAACUUUUUUCUUUAACACUAUACAUAUUAGCUUUCUAGAAAUGAGAAAUUUCCAGAAAAUCUUAUUCUUUUUCAAGUUGCCAAGCAAAUUUAUGGAUUAAUUAUAAGAAAAUCAAAACAAAUUUGAGCAUCAACGGCUUUUUAACAUUAUAAAAUUUUAUUUGUAUUGUGCAUAUUACCACUGAGCUAUCUGACUUUUUAUAUACACAUGAUGAAUUGUUCAGAUGAAAUAAAGAAAACACUCUUACAAAGAUUUGUCAGAAUAAAAUUGCUACUACACUCCCUAAUGCAGAAUUUAAUAGAUGAAAAAUAAUUAAAUAAAAAAUUUGCAUGAAAUAAAAGGUCAAAAUGACUUUUACAUGUAAUUCGUUUUGGACGAGGAGUUUACGAGAAAAAUAUCAAGGUGUCUACAAAAGCAUUUUACAUCGUUGUUUUUAACUACUUUUUAGAUGCUCUUUUCACUCUCAUGAUCUAUGCAAAAACUAUGUAACUAAAUAAUAUGAAAAAUUAUAUAACAUAUAAAAGGCUUGAUUAUGUUUUAAAACUAAUCGAAAAACAAAUUCACCAUGAAAGUUACCAUUUGAGGUAGAAAUGAUGAAAAAUGGAUAAGUUGCGAUAAGAUUAAUGAUGAUGAGUAAGAAGCUAAUCUUCAUUCUCUAAGCAACCAAAUUUUUUUUUUUUAUUAAUGGUCGAAAGCAACUAUAAACUUUCUAAGCUAAAGGAAACUGUACAAAUAUAGAUAUUGUCAAGAACGAUUUUGUCUGUCUAAUGAAAAUAAAAAUGGAUUUAAUCAUCUAAGGAUGGAAAUUAGCCCUCUCUAAAUCUUAUUGUCAAGGCAGGGGUUAUUUAGGCUACAGCUUGUGCGCAUUCUUUCUUUUCUUCUGCUGACUUGCUAUUAUUCCAGAAAAAAUAAAAUAAAAGAGAAACCGUUUUGGAACCUUCGCAAACGGUCACAGACACGUGCACGCAAAAACACGUACACAUCGAUCCCCGACAGAGACACGCACAGACCUUACCGACAGACGGCAGCAAACUUCUUAGGAUCCGGACCACGAGGAGCCAAGGCGCAGGUCAGCGUGUCCAUCCAGUUCGCCGCCGGAGCUUGACACAGGUUGAAGUUGCUGUUGUACGCCACCUUCCUUGACCCGUAGUCUCGCGAGUACCACUCGCGCUUCGCCUCGAGGUCCUGCUCGUGGAACCUCCUCACCCCUUCGACCAUCUCCUCCAUUAGGGAUGCCGGCAUGCCGUGGUUCACCGCCUGGAAUCUCCCCCACCUCUGGCACGCCUCCCGGACCCGGUUGAUCAUCCUCUUUCGCUCACUAGGGCUUCAAAUUCGGCCAAGGCCUCGAAAGUCUAUGACAGGAACGCUCAGGCUCGAUUCUCGUGAUUCCGAGGCACGAUGUAGCCUGAGCUUCAGGUAGCAAACAACGAAGAUUCUGGGUACUUUGGUCAAUUUGGCAUCGGCGAGUCCCUUCACACUGGCCUUCGAGUUGUCGAAUGACUUUAGCUCGGCUUUCUGAUCGUAACCACCAUCGCAAGUGGACUCUACAAAUUGAGCAGUUAUAAGCACAUGGGAUAUGUGAAAGUGCUAGUACGAGCACCUAGAGAGAGGUGAAUAGGUGCGAAAACAAAAUUUGCAAAAUAUAGUGUAAAAUUUUACUUUUAACCUGAGUCUGGUUGACAAUAGACUUUGCAGAGGAAAUCAGACUCUAACAAUUAAAUAGAGUUACGAACAAAAUAAAAGAGUUUAGGGAAGAGAAAAAGAACACAAGGUUUAUAGUGGUUCAGCUUAAUCCAAGCCUACGGGGGUGUUUGGUUGGGCAUUUUCAAGGGGCUUUGGGCCCCCAAAGCCCCUCGGGAGAAAUCUUGAGUGUUUGGCAAAAUAUUUGAAAGUCCCUUUGCCCAAAUAUGAGCAUUCUGAAGGCCGAAUGCUGAAAGCUGGAGAGGGGCGGCAUUGGGCAUUCUAGAAAUGCAAAAAUCACUAUUCAUUUAUCUUCCACCUUCGUCUUCCUUCUUCACGGCGUCUUCUUCUUCCCCGCUCAUUGGGCUUCUCCGGCAGUUGCCACCGCCGCUUGAGGGUCGUGCUUCCCCGGUGACCACCGCCUGGGGGUGGCGUGACCCGCGACCCAGGCGGCAUCGCCUAGGUCGCGCGAACCUCAGGCAGCGUCGCCUGGUGUGCGCGAACCAGGCGAUGCUGCCUGAGGUCGCGAGGACCUAGGCGGCGUCGCCUGGUUCGCGUGAACCAGGCGACACCGCCUAGGUUCGUGUGACCUUAGGCCACUAGAUCUGGCCUCAGGCACCUGAGGUCGCGCCGCCUGGGUCCCCGCGACCUCAGGCCGCCAGAUCUGACGGUACGGAGGCCAGAUUUGGCCUCUACGCCUCCAGGCACCUUAGGUCGCGCCCCCAAGCGGCCGGACGGCUAGAUCUGUCCGCCGGAGUUGGCCGGCGGUUAGCCGGCCGCCAGAUUUGAUUUUCAAUUUUUUUUUAAGUAAAAUAAAAGCAAAAGCCCAUUUGUAUGUAAAAUUUGCCAAAUGGUAUUUAUGCUAAAAUUGCAUUUCAAUGCCAUUUGAGACUACAAAUUACCAAACGGUGUAACAUUUCGAAAAACGUCUUUAUGUCAAGGAUAUUUGCAUUCUCCUAAGGGCAUUUCCCCAAAGCCGAACCAAACGGGCCUUACGUCCACUCUCCUACACUGACAACCCACCGGCUGGAUUUCACUUUGAAUCAAAAGAGUCAUUAUAGUAUCACGUCCUUAAUUCCACAAUGUAGAGACUCUGCUACACUUCCUCAAGGCCUCACAAAUAUCUAAACUCUAUUUUGAGUACAAAUUUACGCUCAACAAUUGAAUCAGCAAAGAAUAAGGAGCUUCAAACUUUAGAAUUUAUCUAUCGCGCACACACUCGAAUAACUAGAGCGUCUUCCUUAUAUACUCCUCCAUGCCUUCAUAUCCGUUGGCACUUUCCAAAGGAGUUCUUCCAAUCUGCCCAUUGGACAUAAUCAAUUAGGGAGAUCUCGAGAUACUUAAGGAAUGUGAUGAUAGCCCAUCAAUCAUGCUCGCCCAUACAAUCAGGAAUUAGGUUUCCAUAAGUAUAACCUUCCAAGUAUACUUUGCCAAUCAACGGAUCCAAAUUACUCGAAUUAAUUUCAAAACGAAUAAUAGAUCUUGAGAUGUUAUCUCCAACCGUGAGAACUUCUUUAGCCGCUCGAAUUAAAACCUUAAAGAAAUACUCGCAUCUGGAUAAGUCUUCUUCGUCGGUCUAUAAACUGUCAAUGAGGGCAGACUUUAAAUCUUGAGUCUGGCGAUCUUCAGACUUUUACGAAAGAGUCUGCAAGUCUUCAGACUAGACUGAUGGAAACAUUUUGUCAGCUUCAAAACAAAUAAUGAAGUUUUCUCCAACAAUCUCCCCCUUUUUUAUGGUGACAAAACUUUCCUACAAAUUUGGAUACUUUUGACCUGCAAGAUAAUACUCAAGCAAACAAGGAUAUCUCAUAAAAAAUAAAUGGGUUAGGAUAAAGAUAGUAUCGAAUAUGCAUCCAUAGGAAAUGAGUUAAUCCUGUAAAAACAACUAUCUUUGCCAUGAAUACCAACAAUGCUUAAGAUACUGCAAGUAUUAAACGAUCAAAACACAAUCCAAACCAAACCAGUCACAACCAAACAAAAAUAAAGUCACAAAAAUAAAAUCAAAUCUAAAAGUCAAAUUUGCACCAACUUCUCCCCCUUUUUGUCGGCAUUAAAAAGAUAGAGACGAAAAAGAGAAUUUGAUAAAAUUAAGAUUGUUUAGGAAUGCGAACAAGUUGGAAAUCUCUCAUUGACUUGACAGUCUCCUCUAGCUUUCUCAGAUCCUUCUUCAGUUGCGCUCCUUCCUCACCCUUGGCAGUUGCUUGAACUUGAAGAUUAAGGGCCUGAACUUGAUUGAGCAAUGAAACUGAAGUGGCUUGAUUGGCAUUCUGCAUAUUCUGAAAUUCGCAUCCCAAAGCAUAAAUCUGACCUCUCAUCUCCAUAAGAACAUCAAGCAACCUUCUAAAGUCUACGGAGUUGUCAGUUUGAGUGCUUGCUUCAGCAUGAUCAAUUUGUGGAGUGUUGGCAGAUGAUGGUGUUGGAGAAAACUUCCUUGAGUGUUUUGAAGUUGACAAAACAUUUUCAUCAGUCUAGUCUGAAGAUUUGUAGACUCUACUAUCAAAGUCUAAAGACCUCCAGACUGCCAGACUCAAGACUCAAAGUCUAUCCACAUUGACAGUUUCUAGAUCGUCGAAGAAGGCUUAUCCAAAACAGAGUAUUUCAUUAAUGAUUUGAUUCUGUCGACUAAAGAAUAUCUCUUGGCUGGAUAUAGCAUGUCAAAAUCCAUUAUUCAAAUCAAGAUUGAUUCGAGGAUUUUGGAUUCGUUGAUUGGCGAAGUAUACUUGGAAGGUUCUACUUAUGGAAACCCAGAUCCUGAUUGUAUAGGCGAGCAUGAUUGAUGGGCUAUCGUCAUGUUCCUUUAAUAGCUCGAAAAUCUUCCUAAUUGAUUCUGUCCAACGGGUAGAUUGGAAGAAUUCCUUUGGUAAGUGCCAACGGGUGUGAUGGCAUGAAGGAGUAUAUAAGGAUUGUAUAGGCGAGUAGGAUUGAUGGACUAUCAUCAUGUUCCUUUAAUAGCUCGAAAAUCUUCCUAAUUGAUUCUGUCCAACGGGUAGAUUGGAAGAAUUCCUUUGGUAAGUGCCAAUGGGUGUGAUGGCAUGAAUGAGUAUAUAAGGAAGACGUUCCAGUUGUUCAAGUGUGUGCGCGAUAGAAUAAUUCCAAAGUCUGAAGCUCAUUGUUCUUAGUCAAUUAAAUUGUUGAGCGAAAUCUUGUACGCAAAAGAGAGUCUACAUAUUUGAGAGACCUUGAGAAAGUGUAGCUGAGUCUCUACAAUGUGGAAUCAAGGAAGAGCCUUAUUGUAACAAUUCUUUUGUUUAAUAGUGAAAUCCAGUCGGUGGGCUGUUAGUGGGGAAGAGUGGACGUAGACUUGGAUUAAGCCAAACCUUUAUAAACUAUGUGUUCUUAUUCUCUUCCCUGCGCUCUUUUACUUAGAUCGUAACAAGUUUUAUUUACAGGAGACAAAUUUCCUUUUCAUAAUCUAUUGUUGAUUAAGUGCUACACAAUUAUCUCUGAAAUUUGUUUCUACACCUAUUCACCCCCCUUUAGGUAGGGGUGAGCAGUUCCAGGUUCCGGUUCGGUUCCGCCUGGAACCUGGAACCUACCCUGGGGUAUAGGUUCCAAAAAAUUUGGAACCUGGAACCUACCCGUUAGAACCAAGAACCUGGAACCUACCCUGUCAUAGGUUCCAGGGUCGGUUCCAGGUUCCAACAGGUUCUUUUUUUUUUCCUUCAUUUUCAGAUCUGAAUUAUAACGUACGCGCAUAUUAUCGGAAUCUUCAGCACAGUCAAGAUGCUGGCUGUCACCAAUCUUUCUUCUCAAACCAUAUGUUUUUAUCAAAACAUGGAAAUCCUUUUUGUAAGUCUCUGAAAAAGUUCUGCUAUGCUUAACCUGUUAACAGCAGGUUCAUAUUAGGAGCAAAUCUACCAAAAAUCAUGCCGGUGCAUAUUUCUGUUUUCAAGCACUUAAAUAUCACUAUGAACACAAAAAAACCUAAUCCAAUCCUUAGAACAAAAGAAAACGACAAACUUAGAAAAACGUAGAUUGGAGCAGUAGAAUGAUGUAAGCACAAUCUUUGUCUCCUUUGACAUGCAAAGGCGUCGAAUAACAUCUUCUUGAACAUAGUUACUAGCAGUAGCAGUCAAAGCCAUUAGUGGGAUGUCAAAUUUCAAGAACUUCAUCUUGGAGGUGCUGAAGUUCUCUCUUAACACAGAUAGUUUCCUGAAACGUGAAAAAACUUCAAUCAGGAAAGAAUCCUUACCAUAAUCUUUAAUCAUCGUAAUUGUCCCCUCUAUCGACUAGGAUAAUUAACAUGCAAAGCUGAACCAAUGGUCAAAGUCAUGGUAAAUAACCGAGCAACAGGUAAGGAUAAAGGAUGUGAAACCCCAAUCGCUCUCUCUAGCAGUGAAAAUGUGUUUUGUCUCUGCAAGAUCAGCGGGAGUUUAGUGGUUGCGAAGGAUGUAGAUCAUAAAUAGAGUGUGCAUAUAAUAAUAUAGACAUUUACCAUGUUAUGCAGGAGCGACAUUCGCCAGCAGAUCAAACAACUGGAGUAAAGUUGAAACAUGUUUGAAUAAAAGAUUCAAAACACAGCACCAAAAUGUUCUAAUUUACUUCAGCAAAACAGAUUCAAAACACAGCACCAGAAUGUUCUAAUUUACUUCAGCAAAACAUCAAUUUGGUCCUUCAGAUUUCUUCAGCUUCAAAUCUACACUCGCCAGCCACUUUCAACAUGGUGAAUAUUCACUCCAAAACUAAUCUGGGUGUCUAAAGAGGGGUAGAGUGACAAAAUCACAUGUUUCCUGUUACUUGAAUUUUAUACAUCUUACAUGAACCAACAAAAGAACUCAGAUCAUCACUUAUCAUCCUUUCAGAAAUAUAUUAACGGCAAGAUUAAAUAAAAGAACCAUCUAGCCGGGGGAAAAGGAGGCCCUGGAGUAGACAAUUCAUACCCUUUCUCUUUGAAGAACUAGGAUUUAUCUAAUUAACCAAAGUCAAUUUGAACAGUGCAAAUCUAGACCAUCUGUCUGGAAGUCCUGUAGGAUCGGCAACACUCAAAUAUAGUGCCAAAGAGUUAGUUCUAUUGCCUUUUGGGUAGAUCAACAAGCACCUGCUCAGAAUCAAGCCAAUCGCCUAAGUAGAUACAUCAUUUUACAACCGCUGAAAAUGAAACAAUGUUUACCAGUCGUGGCCGCCAACUGUGAAUACUUGAGAGUAGUACCUGACUGAACUUAAGCUAUUGAAGUUGGUGAUUUUCCAUAAGUAUUUCCAUGAGGUUACAAGUUGUUCACCCACCAUUUCCUGCUUCCCCAUUGGCAAGAGUUUUAGCAAAACAGAGUUUCAUGAAUGAUCCUCUAACAUUAAAAUCACGCCAUAAAUAUACUUCCCCAGCUAUGAAAACAAUAAAAGAAAAAGAUAUGAUGUUCGACUUCAUGUGAAAUUAGUUAUGACUGCAAGUCGGAGACAAACUUGGGACUUCUGACAGAGAAAGAACACGCACCUCUCCGUUUGAACAAGGGACGAGCUCAGAUUCCUCAGUUAUUGCUACAAUAGUCCGAGGAAGAGAAGGUAAUUCGCAAAAGAUAUUUCUGAUAUUCAUCGUGCUUUUCAGCAGACCACUUUGCUCAGAUCAGAAAAUUGCACUUAAUUGCAUUAUUAAACACUUGGGUGGACGCGGCUUAGUUGACCAGAGACAUCAAGUAAACCAUGCAUUAAACUUAUCAAUGGUGACAUCACAACAACCACCUUCCCAGUCAAUAGGGCUAGAACCUGGAAACACGGUGAUUUACCUGCAAAAAAAAUUUACGUUUGAGAAAGCCUGCAAGUCCUCUAAGUCAUAAACAGGUGAACACGUAAGUAAUCUGGACUCACAGAAAUAACAGGUGUACAUGGGAUAGAAGAAUCGUUCCUUAUCAACAACAACAAGAGAAUCUGUGGAACAGUAACGAACCCAAAAGAAAGGAAGAGACAGUCAUUCGAUUCUUAAAAUUAUAUCAUGGUGAGGAUCUCAGCUUUUGCAUCAAAAACCAUCGAAAUCCGCAACCAAGCAAAUCCUAAUUCCAACAAACAUGAAACGAACAAGAAAAGAAAUAAUAAAUGACAGGCUUAUGCUUUUUGGCAUGUUGGGCUUCUGGUGCGAGCAAAGGCGGUGGGUCGCGAGCGGAGACUAGCUCGGCUCAGAUCUGCCGGCGUCGGGUAGUCGCGGCAGGCAAGAGUUAGAGCGGCAUCAGUGACAGGCAGAGGUAGAGCACGGCAGCGACUGGCGUUGAGCGGCGAGGGUUCGCGCGAGCGGCGACAGCAACUGGCAUCCAGCGGCGUCCGGUGGUGGCGGCCUUGAAGGCGAGCCGCGUCCGGCGGUGAGAGUCAGAGCGGUGUCGGCGACGGGCAGAGGCAGAGCACAGCAGCGACGGGCGUCGAGCGACGAGGGUUCGCGCGAGCGACGUCGACGACUAGCAUCCAACGGCGUCCGGCCGCAGCGGCCUUGAGGGCAAGCGGCGUCCGGCAGCAAGACUUAGAGCGGCGUCCGACGGCGUGAGUUCCAGAUCUGAAAUCAUAGUAGGGAUUAGAAAAUAGAAAGGGAGUCUCAGUGCUGAGCGAGGGAGGGGGAGCGAGCGGGGGAGGGGGGUAUCCUCUUGGAGCCCUAACCGGUUCCGAACCGAUUCCGGUUCCGGUUCCGCGCCGGUUCCGGUUCUGGUUCCGGUUCUAAUAGGAACUGGAACCGGAACCGGGAACCGGAAUCGGUCCUUUAAGAACCGGGAACCGCGCUCACCCCUACCUUUAGGUGCUCGUACUAGCUUUCACAAUUGGUAUCAGAUCCUGUGUACUCACUUAAGUUGAAGUGUUUUACUUCAGAGUUAAAGAUUCAUGGCUAGUAUGUUGGCUCCUGGACUGGUUGAAUGGCAAAGCAAUACCAGACCGCCUUAUUUUGAUGGAAAGGAAUACAGCAUUUGGAAAAACAAGAUGAAGGCAUUCCUAAGAUCAAAGGAUCAUCUAGAAUGGGAUGUGGUAGACAAAUGAAUCAUUCUGAAAGCUGCACCUGUCUCAAAAAGAGGAAAAGAAGCCAUUGAGUCUCGUGAAAUGACUCAAGAAGAGAUAACUAAGAGACAAGCUCUUGAUGCAAAAACAAUUUAUUCUUUAUAUUGUGCAUUAUCACCUACUGAAUAUAAUAGAAUAUCUUCUUGUGAUACAGCUAAAGAAGUCUGGGAUAGAUUACACAUCACCUAUGAAGGAACUGAUCGAGUGAAAGAAACCAGAAUCAACAUUCUGCUCGGUCAAUACGAAGCAUUCAAAAUGAAAUCAGGAGAAUCUAUCACUGACAUGUGUAGUCGUUUUACAGAAAUCAUGAAUGGUCUUGAAAAUCAAGAUCAACCAAUUUCUAAUCCCAUGAAAGUAAACAAGCUACUGCAUGGACUCUCUAAGGAUUGGAAUCACAUAAAGACCUCAAUAAGGGAAACACAAAGAAUUAUGCCACUUUCUGUUGAUGAAUUGGUUGGGACUCUUUAGUCUUAUGAAGUAGAGCGAAUCAACGAAGAUGAAAAUCCUAAAGGUAAUGAAUCUAUUGCAUUAAAAUCUAAUGAUGAUUAUGAUGUCACAUAUUCUGAAGACGAUAUGGAUGAUGAAGAGCUUGCUCUCAUGAUAAGAAGAUUCAGAAAGCUAAACAGAAAGAGGAGAAGAUUCAAUCCAAAGAAACAAAGUUUCAAAAUCAACAAUCUAAGUCAGUUGAGGAUGAUGGAUCCAAUAAAGAUGUAGUCUGCUUUGAACGUAAGAAAAAGUGACACAUCAGACCCAACUGUUCUCUUCUGAGGAAAAAGAGAGGAAAAGCUGAGAAAUAUCGAAAGACACUUAAAGUAGAAACUUGGAGUGAUACAGAAUGUGAAGAAAGCGAUGAUGAUUAUGCCACUAUUUGUCUCAUGGCACAAUCAGACUUAGAUUCAAACUCCGAGACAGACUUAGAUUCAGACAGUGAAUUCAAGGUAAGUAAUUUGAAUAUCCCUAUUAGAGUCUCUAUAUAUAUUGAUGAAUUGUGUCUUAGUCUCAAAACUUCUCUCAAAAUGAUUUCUGAACUUAAAAGAGAAAAUUCUGCACUAAAACAACAUGAAAAUGUUUUGAACGAAAAUGUCAAAAGCUUAGACAAAAAUGUUACUACUUUGAAAGAAAACGCAGACAAUCUUUCGAAAGAAAAUGCAUUAUUGAAAAAUAAUAUCUCAAGCAUUUCCAAAAGAUUUUCUAUAGGAUCUGAGAAACUGGAAAAAAUUCUUUCAGCUCAAAGACCUUACUUUAACAAAUCAGGUUUAGGAAUAACUGCCGAAACCAUUCCUCUAAUUUAUUUUCCUAAAGUAAAGGAAAUAAUUAAGCAAAGACCUACUAGAGAUGAUUACAAAAGUCAUUUCCAAAAAGUUUUUGUAAAACCAGUAGGUCGUAAUGCUCUUAAAUGCUCUAAGUGCAAUAGUUCAGAUCAUUGUGAGAAAAUAUGUCCUUUGGUUUGGAAACCUGUUGUUGACACCUAAUUUUGGAAAAAUAAAAUUGCAUUUUGAACAAAUAAAAGGAAGAAAAAAUAAAAAUGGGGAAGAUUGAUUUGAUUGAUUAUGCAUGGAAGUUUGAAAUUCUGAUGAGUAUUCAGAUUUUGAUAAAUGUAGAAACAAUUGAAAAAUCUGGCGAACAAAGGGCAAGGAUUUUAAUAAAAUGAAAGCCAAACCCAAAAUCGGUGAGGAUAAUGAUCAGAUUGAUAAAUCAAAAGGAAAGUAUCAAAAAUUAUACUCAUCAGAUGAACCGUUUGCAAAAAUGAAAACGAACCUGGAUGCGUUUUUUGGUAAAUGAGUGAAAAACCGAAAUGUAAAUUUGCGAUGGCAAAUCGGGGCUAAAAUUCUGUAAUUCCCGCAAUCAAGGAAGCGCAACUUUCUAAAGAUCAAUAGAAGUUUUCACUAUAAAAGGGCUACAGUUCGUGAGAAAUAGGGGGAUUUGGAAAAAUCAGGAGGGAAUUCGAAAAAAAAUUCGAGAGAAAAAUUCGUGCGAGGAAAAAUCCUUCGUCUGUCUUGGUCAAAGGAGAAGCCAUUUCUCUUUUCUUUCUCUGACAAGAAAAGGGAAAAGUCAGGAAGAGGUACAGAGAGGACGUGAGGGAGACGUGAGAAGAGAGAGAAAGAAAUAAAAAAAGAGAGAGAAGAACACUGUUUCUUCUUCGUGCGGGUGUUCUUCCCACCGCCGGCCUCCGUUCGUGACUACCUGCGCAGCUCGCCAUCACCCGCGAGCACCAGCAGCAGCCUGCUCGUCGUUGCUGAUCGCCCAGCACCGCUCGCCCGACGACCGCGCUGCUGUCCCCUGCCGCCGCUGCACCAACGCUCGACGUCUGCAAUUCACCCGACGCCGCAGCAGCCCGCUGCUCCCGCGCCUCCACAGCCGCGAGCACCCUCGCCCGCGCUCCCGACCUCGUCGUGCCACCGCGCCGCUCUCCUCAGCCCAGCAUUCGGUGCCUUCGCCGCCCAUCUCCGCUCACCGGACGUUGCGACCGCGAUCCGGACGACCGCGCUCCCGCCCUCGCCGACGCCGCGCCAUUUCAACACCUCUGCUCCACCCGCGACGCCGCCCGUCGAUCUCCGAGCUCCGCCGCGCCUCCGCACCGCCACCUCGCUGGUCCCCUCGUCGCCGCCCAGCUUCGCCGGAGCUCCGACCGCAACGCCCUUGCCAGACCUUCGAUUAGCCACCCUUGGCCGAGCCCCACGGCUGCCAAGCCCAAUUUUUGAGAAAAAAAGAAAAAAGAAAGAAAAAGAAAACACAUUAGGUAGUUUUCUUUAGUUUAGUUUAUUUAUUUUAUCUUGUUUUUUUAGUAUAAUUAGUCUUUAGUAUAUGAUUGGAAAUUCCAACAUAUCACCUGAUUCGCAACCACGCCGGGAUUUUUUAUUUCAUCUAUAAGGCCUUAGAUGAAAUAAUUAAUUAAGCGGGAAUAAAAUUGAUAUUUUGAUCUUUAAGGUUUAAGAUCAAUUUUUCGAUUUUAUCAGCGAAAUAUUAUCCCUUGAUCUGAAUGAUGUGUGAUAUCCUUGGUUUAGCUUGUCAUGAUCGCUUUGUUUAUCUUCAAAUGUCUUCGGGUUAUAAUGUUGCAUAUUUUAGGGUUUACACAUUUAGAAUAAGAAUCUUAUUUCGAAUUUUAAAAUCAAAAACCAAAAAAAUCAAAUCAAUCAAUUUAGGUUGCUAGAUUUUUAAUUUGGAUUGCAUGUUUAAUUAUUUGGCAAUUAUUAAUUUCGAAAAUUAAUUAAAAAAAACAAUAAAAAAAUCAUCAUGCAUAUGUCAUGUAGAAUUAGUGCAUAUUUUGUACGUCAUUGCAUAUUAGGGUUAAAUUGCACUUAGUUUAAUUCUAGAUAAUAUCUUUCUUAAUUUAUUAUGAGUUUAGAUAUUUUGCAUUUUAGGAUUAUCUAGGUUAAGAUAAUAUUUUAGUUUAAAUUAGGAUUUGGCUUAAUCUAAUUCCUAAUUCAAAUUAAAUAGAAUCUUAAUCUAGUUAAAUAAAUUUUCACAUUUUUCCUAAUUCCGAAUUUUCAUGAAAAAAAAUACAAAAAAUGUCUUAGAAUAAAUUAGUUCUAUUCCCUAGGAUAGAUUGCAUUUUUAGGAAAAACAAAAAAUAUCAUUGCGUAUCAUUAAAAGCAGAUUCAUGAAAUGCAUGUCAUUUAGAUAUUGUUAUUAGGUCCAUUUAAUUAGAAAUUGCGUGACAUUAGAAUUAGGUCAUUUAGUUAAUACUGCAUUGCAUAUUGCAUGAUUUUAUUUAAGUGAAAAUAAAAAGAAAUCGCAUGUUAAUUAGAAACCAUAUCCAGGGUUGUUGAUGUGGUUUUUUUUUAACUUAACAUUGCAGAUGCUUUCGUUGCUUUGAGGUAAGUUUUUGCAAUUUAUUUAUUGUUUAUCUAUGUGUUAAAUUGGUGGAUUGCGCACCCGCAUGAUCACCUCACAUGUUAGGAAAAUAGAUUUAAAAUCAAUUUUAGCUGCCUUCAAAAAACAUUUUUUUGAAAAUAAAAGAAUGGUACCGAAAGGGCAUUAGAGAAAUCUAAUGUAACCAAGUCCCCGUACCCAUAGUCUCUGGUUCGUAGGAGUAAAGUGAAACUCCCGUUAUUUUACUUGGUUUCUAAUCGACCCACCAAAAAAUAGAUUAGUGGCGACUCCUGAUUAAAAAAUCAAUUGCAUGUUAAAAAACUUAAACCUUAAGUCGUGAAUUGGUAUGGGCUUGGGAGAGCCCGAGUUAAGUGUAAAAACUUAGCAAUCCAUUAACCUAGUUUUAAGUGGUACACCCAAAAAAAUUAGGUCACGACACCUGUUAAGAAGGUAUGGGCAAAGACCGCAUAUUGCACUAACACCAAUGGACCUAAGAAAAUAUGGGUACCAAAGAAAGCUUGAGUCUCUUUUCUAAAUGCAUGUCACUAUCAAGAAAAAUGUUAAAUGGUACCUGGAUAGUGGAUGCUCAAGGCAUAUAACAAGAGAUUCAAAUUGCUUCAUAAAACUUGUUCAAGUUAAUGGUGGAAAAGUUUUUUUUUGGAGGAAACAGCAAAGGAAGAAUUGUGGGAUUCGGAAUUGUAAAGAUUGGAAGCCUCGUGAUCAAUAAUGUUUCCUUAGUUGAAUGACUCAAUUACAAUUUGCUAAGUAUCAGUCAGCUGUACGACACCGGUUUCAAAAUCAACUUCCAAGAAGGAAUAUGUUUAGGAACCAGUAAAGACUCUUCUCAGUCUUUCACGGGUCGAAGACAUGGGAAUAUCUACCUCUUGGAUAUCAAACCAGAUGAAACCAAAUGUCUAAUCUCAAUCCAAGAAGAAGCAAACUUAUGGCACAUAAAACUUGGGCACAUCAACAUGAAACAAAUAGCCAAAAUCUCAGCAAAGAAGCUUGUUCGUGGACUACCCAAUCUGUCAUACCAAAAUUCUGAUCUAUAUACACCAUGUGUAUUGGGAAAACAUGUAAGAAACUCAUUCAAACCAAUAAAUCAAGUUUCCACUAAUCGUGUACUGCAGCUCUUGCAUAUAGAUCUCUUUGGACCAACCAGAACUCAGAGCAUUGAAGGUAAGAAAUAUUGCUUAGUGAUUGUGGAUGAUUUUUCACGAUUCACUUGGGUAUACUUUCUGGCAAGUAAGUCUGAAACAUUUUAUUAUUUUACAAAGUUUGCUAAAAAAGUCCAAAAUGAGAAAGGGUAUAUUAUUUCGAGUAUACGGACAGACCACAGAGUUGAAUUUGAAAAUCAAAACUUUACAAAAUUCUGUGAUGAAUCUGGUUUUCAGCAUAUGUUCUCUUCACCAUAUACUCCAGAGCAAAAUGGAGUAGUAGAAAGAAAGAAUAGGUCGCUUCAAGAAAUUGCUAGAACUCUUUUAAUUGAAAGUAACAUUUCUUCUCGUUUUUGGGCUGAAGCAGUUUCUACAGCAUGUUAUAUUAUUAAUAGAGUCUUUCUAAGGCCUAUUCUGGAGAAAACUCCCUAUGAAUUAUUCAAAAGGAAGAAGUCUAUUGUUUCAUAUUUUCAUGUGUUUGGAUGUAAAUGUUUUAUAUUGAAAAAUGCAAAUGACCGUGUUGGUAAGUUUGAAGAAAAGUCAGAUGAAGGUAUUUUCCUUGGAUACUCUAUCACAAGCAAAGCUUACAGAGUUUACAACAAGAAGACUCAAUCUGUAGAGGAAUCGAUGAAUGUCAAAUUCCAAGACUUUAUGCAGAAUCAAUCGAUUCAUUCUCAUCUCGAAGAAUCUGAAUCUGCUCUAGACUCUACAAAGUUUAAAUCUCCAGAAGCAGUUCAACCUUCAGUAGAUGAGCGACAAAUGAUCAACAAAGAUUCAAAUGAAGAAAAAGAUCAACAAUCUGACAAAUCAACUAGCAACUGGAAGCAUGAGUCUAGUCAUCCCAAAGAUCUCAUUAUUUGCAAUAUUAAUGAAGGAAUUCGCACGAGAUCCAAAAAGCGCGAAGAGUCUAGUGCUGUGGCUCUUAUUUCUGAAAUAGAACCCAAGAGCAUAGAAGAAGCUUUAACUGAUGAAAGUUGGAUUGAAGCUAUGCAAGAAGAACUCAGGCAAUUCAGCAUCAAUGAUGUCUGGGAAUUGACUCCUAAACCGAAAGGCAAAUCCAUCAUUGGAGCUAAAUGGGUUUUCAGGAACAAGAUGAACGAGAAAGGAAAAGUUGUAAGGAACAAAGCUAGACUCGUGGCCAAGGGAUAUACGCAAGAAGAAGUGAUAGACUAUGAUGAGACUUAUGCACCAGUAGCAAGGUUAGAAGCAAUUAGAUGGUUACUUGCUUUUGCUUGUUAUAAGAAUUUCAGGUUAUUUCAAAUGGACGUCAAAAGUGCUUUCCUAAAUGGAUUUAUCCAAGAGGAAGUCUAUGUGGAACAACCACCCAGUUUUGAAGACCCAAGGAAACCAGACACUAUAUUCAGAUAGAAAAAGGCUUUAUAUGGUUUAAAGCAAGCAUCUCGAGCUUGGUACGACAGACUAAAUAAGUUUUUAAUUCAAAAUGGUUUUGUCAAAGGUAAAGUAGAUACUACAUUAUUUAUCAAAAGAGAAAGCAAAAGUUUUCUACUUGUUCAAAUUUAUGUUGAUGAUAUUAUUUUUGGAUCUUCUAAUGAAAAUCUAUGCAAGAAAUUCUCUAAGUCUAUGCAAGACGAGUUUGAAAUGAGCAUGAUGGGUGAACUCACAUUCUUUCUCGGGCUUCAAGUGAAACAACUAAAGGAGGAAACUUUAUUCAUCAAUAAAAAUAUGCUAAAGAACUUGUCAGAAAGUUUGGUCUAGAAAAUUGCAAAAAGACUCAUAUACCAAUGUCAAGUUCUUUAAAGCUGGACAAGGAUGAAGAAGGAAAGAGAGUUGACCAGAAGCUAUAUAGGAGUAUCAUUGGUUCACUUCUUUAUCUAACUGCUUCUAGUCCUGACAUUUUAUUUAGUGUUUGUAUUUGUGCCAGAUUUCAAUCAGACCCUAAAGAAUCUCAUUUAAGUGCUGCAAAGCGUGUUAUCAAAUACAUUGCCUCAACUUCAAAUUUAGGUCUCUAGUAUCCUAAAGAACGAGAUUUUACUCUUCUUGGAUACUCAGACGCAGACCUAGCCAGAUGCAGAGUUGAUAGAAAGAGCACCUCGAGCACCUGUCAACUACUUGGAAGAAUGACAGUAUCUUGGUUUUCAAGGAAGCAAAUUAUAGUAGCUCUUUUUACAGUAGAAGCAGAGUAAGUAGCUCUUGGAAGUUGUUGUUCACAAAUUUUGUGGAUAAAACAACAGCUAAGAGACUUUGGAAUUGAAGACUCAUGCACCGAGAUCAAAUGUGACAACACCAGCGCAAUCAAUCUCACCAAGAAUCCGAUUCUUCACUCAAGAGCAAAACAUAUAGAGAUUCGACAUCAUUUCAUUAAAGACCAUGUUCAAAAUGGAGAAGUUUCGAUUCAGUUUAUUGAUUCAAAGAAUCAACUGGCGGAUAUAUUUACAAAGCCUUUGGAGAAAAAUCAAUUUGAAGUUAUUCAUUCUAGACGCAAUAUCUUAAAGUCUGAAGAAGUUCAGACUUAGGACUGAAAGUCUAAAGGCACUCAGACUCAGACAAUCAAAAUAUACUACUGUAAGUUCUUUCUAUUUUAGAAACUUAUCUCUCGGAUCAAAACUUGAAAAUGUACGAUUAUCUGUCCGAAAUUGAUUGGUGCUAUUUUCGUGAUUGUUGCAAUCCUUCCUUUUCGAAAAAGAAGUUAUUCUUAAAAUAACAGUUAAUGGAUUUUUGAAAAAGACAGUUAUUUUUUUAAAAGGCAUUUUUAUAUUUCCUUUUUUACGUCGUUUCAUAUGCCUCGCUUCGACUGCCUUAUAUACUGUUGGUUCCUCUUCGUUUUACUCACAAAAACCCUAAGAGAGCACAGAUCGUCCACUUCUGUCUUCUUCUCUUGUUUAAUCCUCGAAAAGUUUUCAUUUUUCUCAGGAACCAAGCUUGGAAUCUCUCAAAGAUUGUGAAAAAUGUCGUCUCAUAGAAAGUCUUCGAGGAUCGCGAAUAGGGGACCACAGCAAAUGCGUGAGAGGCCUACGCACUUUGAUCUCACAGAGGAAGAAGAAUCUCCUAGAUAGCAGCAGAGCCCACAUCAUUCUCAGCAGCAUCCAUCUCCUCCUUCUAGCCCUCAGAAUGUUGCACAUCAAGAAGAGGAAGAAAUCAUCAAAGAGGCAGAACCCGUAAGUACUCAUAAGUCCUCUUUUAUCUACAAGCUUUACCGUACUUUGAAGAGGAGUGGUACUCCGUUGAACUACAUAGAUGGAUUUCUUAAGGAUAAAGGGUAUAAAAAUGAGACUUUCUUCUUACGCACAAUGGAACAAUUAGGAAUUGCCCCUGCGGGAUCGGCAAAAGAAGCUAUGGCGAAUAUCCUAAGCGAUCCACAUGUUAGAGGACUGAGUCAACCAGAUGGGAAUGACGAUGAUAGGAUGUACAGUCAGUUUAAACCUAGAAUGGGUGUUGCGGCAAGAAUUUGUAACAAAAGGACAGACUUGUUUUGUUCAGAGGAGCACAAGAAAUUGUACUCAAAGUUGCUAAAGCGUGAGGUGAUAAACCCUAGAAGUGUGGAUUUUGAUUUCCUUGACUCUGUGAAUGUCAAUCUGCGAGAAAAGUUCAGUCUUGUUUAACUUGAAUAGUUUUGUUCUGAACUGACAAAAGCUCAUGCUGAACUUACUGCUUAUUUCUAUUCGAAUCUUAGCUUUUUGGAUGCGAAUAGAUUCUCUUUCAGUGUUCGAGAUCAGGACUAUGUAGUUGACAUAAAUACAUUGGUUGAUGUGAUUGGGGUUGAAAGAGGGAGAUAUCAACCUAUCAGUGUGUUUGUUGCUCGUGCAACGAUUGAGCUUGUUCAGGAUAGAGAAGCGGAAGGAAAGAUUUCCUAUUCAAUGAUGAAUGCGUCCAACAUUUUGCUUCACAAGAUAGUGAUUAACUGCCUCAAACCAAAAUCUACUUCAAAGACCGACGUUUCAAACUCGGAGGCAAAACUGAUGUAUGCCAUCAAUGCUGGGAAAAAGUUCUCUCUUCCACACACUAUAAUGUUUCACAUGUACAGAACAAUGGUAAAGGACAUGGGUCAACUUCCGUACGCAGCUCUUGUGACCAAGUUAUUCAGACAUUUGAAUGUUCAGCCUCCUCGAAUUCUUUGUGUUCGAACAUGCGAUCAAAUGGUGGUGGGACUGAAAAUGGUCUCUAAAAUGCGUCUGAAGGAACUUAACAAGGCGUUGGAGCAGUUCAAGGAGAAAACUCCUGUCAAGACUCAUUUAAUCUCUUCGGCGGCAAAGCGAAAAGGGAAGGAACCCAUGGUUGCUUCAUCCAAGAAAAGAAGAGCUCUCAUCAUUAAAGAUGAAGAUGAUGAGAAUGAUGUCACCAUUUUUGCAAUGGCAUUGAGAAACUUGCGUCGUUCUGUUCCAGAAACAACGGUGAGACAGGAAAAAGACAAGGAUGAAAUAGAACAGAGGACUGAAGAGAGAGAAGAUUUGGAGAGAGAAGCAGAGGAGAGAGCAGCAGAGGAAGAAAAAGAAGAAGAAGAGGAGAGAGGAGAUCAAGCAGAAGCAGAGCAUGAGAAACACUCUUCUCCACCUGAAGGCAUGAAAACUGGGGGAGAUCUUGAGAAAAUAGGAACGUCCUCAUUCCCUGCCACCGGUGAAGGAGUAAGUCGUUCUCCAGCAGAUCUAAAGGACAUCUUUGCCUCUCAAUUUCCAGAGGAAGGACAUGAUGUUUCAUCGCCCAAUCUACGUGAUCGUGCUGAACUGCCAUCAUCUACCAAUACUCCAUCUGAUCGUGCAGAAGCCAGUACUCAAACAGACAAUUCGGCAGACUUCCACAUAAUUCUUGAUGUUCUUUUGGAAAUGCGAUGACAAAUUUAUGCUCUGGGAUACGCAAUUUAGACCUUGCAUAAUGCAAAACAAGCCUCUUCAGUGUCUUUGGAUGAUCAGAUCAAUACCCUUGCUCUUCAAGUUCAAGCAAAUGCUAAGGGUGAAGAUGUAGCGCAACUGAAGGAGGAUCUGAAAAAGCUGGAAGGGAUUGUCCAGUCCAUGGGAGAUUUCCAGCUUGUUCGUGUUCCCAAGCAAUCUUAAAGACAUUCCCUUUUCAUCUCUAACUUUUUAAUGAUGACAAAAAGGGGGAGAGAUGUGCAGAUUUGAACUUUGAACUCUUAACCUUUUUUUUUUUAACAUUUGUGACGAUUUUGUUUGUUUGACUUGACUCUUGUGUUUGGUUGUUUGGAUGUGGACUGGAUUUGGACUUUGACUGUUUAAACGAUUGUCUAUCUUCUGUAGAUGCAGAUUCUGAUGUUAAGCUAUUUAUCUUUUGUGAGAUAUCCUUAUUUGCUUGAGUAAUGUUUUUGCAGGUCAAAGUUAUCUAAAUCUGCAGGAAAGUUUUGUCACCAUCAAAAAAGGGGAGAUUGUUGGAGAAAACUUCCUUGAGUGUUUUGAAGUUGACAAAACGUUUCCAUCAGUCUAGUCUGAAGACUUGCAGACUCUACUAUCAAAGUCUGAAGACCUCCGGACUGCCAGACUCAAGACUCAAAGUCUAUCCACAUUGAUAGUUUCUAGAUCGUCAAAGAAGGCUUAUCUGAAACGGAGUAUUUCGUUAAGGAUUUGAUUCUGUCGACUAAAGAAGAUCUCUUGGCUAGAUAUAGCAUGUCAAAAUCCAUUAUUCAAAUCAAGAUUGAUUCGAGGAUUUUGGAUUCGUUGAUUGGUGAAGUAUACUUGGAAGGUUCUACUUAUAGAAACCUAGAUCAUGAUUAUAUGGGCGAGCAUGAUUGAUGGGCUAUCGUCAUGUUCCUUUAAUAGCUCGAAAAUCUUCCUAAUUGAUUCUGUCCAACGUAGAUUGGAAGAAUUCCUUUGGUAAGUGCCAAUGGGUGUGAUGGCAUGAAGGAGUAUAUAAGGAAGACGUUCCAGUUGUUCGAAUGUGUGCACGAUAGAAGAAUUCCAAAAUCUAAAGCUCCUUGUUCUUAGUCAAUUAAACUGUUGAGCGAAAUCUUGUACGCAAACGAGAGUCUACAUAUUUGAGAGACCUUGAGAAAGUGUAGCUGAGUCUCUACACUGUGGAAUCAAGGAAGAGCCUUACUGUAACAACUCUUUUGUUUCAUAGUGAAAUCCAGCCGGUGGCUGUCAGUGCGGAAAAGUGGACGUAGGCUUGGAUUAAGCUGAACCAUUAUAAACUCUGUGUUCUUAUUCUCUUCCCUACGCUCUUUUACUUUUAUCGUAACACGUUUUAUUUACAGGAGACAAAUUUCUUUUUCAUAAUCUAUUGUUGAUUAAGUGCUGCAUUAUCUCUGAAAUUUGUUUCUACACCUAUUCAUCCCCCUCUAGGUGCUCGUACUAGCUUUCACAGAUAGAACUUCAGCAUGAGCACCUAUACUUGGAGAUGAAACCUCAUUACCUUCUUCAGGAAAUUGAGAAGCAUAUACAUCUUCUGGAUCGGCAAAAGAACGACUGACAUCAUCACUAGUAAAAACAAGUGAUGGAGUACCUCUUCUAUCAGAAGCUCCCCUUGUUUUAAUGCCUUUAGGUGGAGAGAAGUACUCUUCAUACUCUGUCUCUUCUUCAAUGACACGAUGACCUUGUUCUCCUCUUCGCUCUUCUUCUGCAGUUCUUCCUUCCUCUACUUCUUUCCUCAUCGUUUCCCUCUCUUCACUCCUCUGCUCUGUUUCCUCUUUGACUUGGUUCUCUCUAUCCUUUGUCUCUAGAAAAAAACGUUGUAAAUUCCUUAAGGCAAGAGCAUAAAUGGUGAUGUCUUCCUCAUCUUCUUCAUCCUAUAAGACGAGUGCUCUCUUUUUCUUAGAUGGGGCUGUCAUAGGCUCCUUGCCUUUCUUUUUUGCAGCCACAGAGUCUUGACGAGUCUUGACAGGAGUCUUCUCCUUAAAUCUCUCUAAAGCCUUGUUUAGCUCCUUCAGAAGCAUCUUUGAAACCAUCUUCAAUCCCACCACCAUUUGAUCACAGGUUUGAACACACAGAAUUUUGGGAGGCUGAAUUUUAAAAUGUAUGAAUAGCUAAGUAACAAGUGCUGAAUAAGGAAGUUGGCCCUUGUCCUUUACCAUUGAUCUAUACAUGUGAAACAUGAUAGUGCAUGGCAAAGAGAACUUUUUACCAGCAUUGAUAGCAUACAUCAGCUUUGCUUCUGAAUUUGAGACGUCAGUCUUUGAUGUGAAUUUUGGUCAAAACAAUUAAUCACAAUCUUAUGAAGCAAGAUAUUUGAAGCACUCAUCCUCGAGUAUGAAAUCCGACCUUCUUCCAUUCCAUCUCGGACAAGCUCCAGAAUUGUGCGACCAAUAGACACACUAAUUGAUUGGAACAUCCCUCUCUCUACUCCAAUCACAUCAGCCAGAGUGUCCAUAUCAACAACAUAAUCCUGGUCUCUAACACUGAAAGAAAAUCUAUUCGCAUCCAAAAAGCUUAGAUUAGAAUAGAAAUAUGCAGUAAGUUUUGGAUGAGCUAUAGUAUUCUCAGAGCAAAAUCGUUCAAGUUGAAGCAAAGUAAAUUUCUCCCGCGACUUCAUGUUCAGAGAGUCGAGAAAAUCAAAAUCCGCACUCCUUGGGUUCAUCACCCCUCGCUUAAGCAACUUAGAGUAAACUUGCUUAUGUUCCUCAGAACGAAACAAAUCUUCUCUUCUUCCUCGAAUGUUCGCAGCAACACCCAUUCUAGACUUAAAAUGAGUGAACAUCUUUUCAUCAUCAUCUUUUCCAUCAGUUUGACUGAAUCCUCCAACACGUGGAUCACUUGGGAAAUUUGCAAAAGCUCUUUCUGUCGAACCAGCAGGAGCAAUUCCCAAACGUUCCAUCAUUUGUAAAAAAUAUGUUUCAUUUAUGUACCCCUUUUCUUUCAAAAAUUCAUCAAUAAAGAUCAUUGGAGAACCUCCAUCCUUUAAGGCAGAGUAGAGUUUGAAGGUAAAAGCAGGCUUAAGAGUCCUUAUAGGUUCGGUAUCCUCAAUAAUUUCUUCCUCCGCUUGUUGCUGAACAUUCUGUGGUCUAGCAUGAGAAGAAUGGCGCGGUUGAGAAUGUUGUGGACUAUGCUGUUGCCUUGGAGAUUCUUCUUCCUCGGUCAGGUCAAAAUGCGUAGGACCCUCACGCAUAUAUUAUGGUCCCCUGCUUGCAAUCCUUGAGGACUUUCUUUGGGAAGACAUUAUCACAGUCUUUGAGAGAGUUUCCAAACUUGAUUCGCGAGAAAGAUGAAAACUUUUAGGAUUAAACUAGAGAGAAAAAGUAAGAAAGCGAAGUUCUUUGCUUCUAGGGUUCAUGAGUAAAAAUGAAGAAGAAAAACAGUAUAUAAAGCAAUCGAAACGAGGUAUAUGGAUCGUCAUAAAUGGAAAAAUAAAAAGUGCAUUUUCAAAAAAUAUCUGCCUUUUUGAAAAUAUAUAACUGUCAUUUCAAAAAGAUAACUUCCUUUUCAAAAAAGAAUAAUUUCCAUAAUUUCAAAAACUUGGAAAGAUAACAUCAAUCAAUUGUAGAUUAAUAAACAAUCGUACAUUUACGAGUUUUUUUUUUAAUUGGAAAGAUAAAUUGCUAAAACUGAAAUAACUUAUAGUCGUGAUUUUUGAUCUUCUGAGUCUGAGCAUCUUUAGACUUUUAUCCCUGAGUCUGAGCUUCUUCGAACUUUAAGAUAUUAAGUCUGGAUCAAAGAGACUCAAAUAGACUUUUCUCCAGUGGCUUUGUAAAAAUGUCCACCAGCUGAUUCUUUGAGUCAAUGAAUUGAAUCAAGACUUCUCCGUUUUGAACAUGGUCUCUAAUAAAAUGAUGUCGAAUCUCUAUAUGCUUUGCUCUUGAAUGAAGAAUUGGAUUCUUGGUGAGAUUAAUCGCGCUGGUGUUGUCACAUUUGAUCUCAAUGCAUGAGUCUUCGAUUCCAAAGUCUCUUAGUUGUUGUUUUAUCCAUAAGAUUUGAGAACAACAACUUCCAAGAGCCACAUACUUUGCUUCUGCCAUUGAGAGAGUUACAGUACUUUGCUUCAUUGAAAAGCAAGAUACUGUCCUGUUACCAAGCAAUUGACAAGUGCCCGAGGUACUCUUUCUAUCAAAUCUGCAUCAUGCUAAAUCUGCGUCGAAGUAUCCAAGAAGAGUAAAGUCUCAUUUUUUAGAAUACCAAAGACCUAACUUAGAGGUUGUUGCAACGUAUUUGAUUAUGCAUUUCGCUGCACUUAGAUGAGAUUCUUUGGGAUCUGAUUGAAAUCUGGUACAAAUGCAAACACUAAACAAAAUGUCAGGUCUAGAGGCAGUAAGAUAAAGAAGUGAACCACUGAUACUCAUGUACAACUUCUGGUCAACUUUCUUUCCUCCUUCAUCUUUGUCCAGUUUCGAAGAACUUGAUAUUGGUAUAUCAGUCUUUUUGCAAUUCUCCAAACCAAACUUUUUAACAAGUUCUUUAGAAUAUUUUUCUUGGUGAAUGAAAAUUCAUUCCUUCAAUUGUUUCACGUGUAGUCCGAGAAAGAAGAAUAGUUCACCCAUCAUGUUCAUCUCAAAUUCAUCUUGCAUAGACUUAGAGAAUUUCUUGCACAGAUUUUCGUUAGGUGAUCUAAAAAUAAUAUCAUCAACAUGAAUUUGAACAAGUAAAAAGUUUUUACUUUCUCUUUUAAUAAACAAAGUAGUGUCCACUUUACCUUUAACAAAGCCAUUUUGGGUUAAAAACUUAGUUAACCUGUCGUACCAAACUCGAGAUGCUUGCUUUAAACCAUAUAACGCAUUUUUCAGUUUGAAUACAGAGACUAGUUUCCUUGGGUCUUCAAAACUAAGAGGUUGUUCCACAUAGACUUCCUCUUGGAUAAAUCCAUUCAGGAAUGCACUUUUGACGUCCAUUUGGAAUAACUUGAAAUUCUUAUAACAAGCAAAAGCAAGUAAUAAUCUAAUUGCUUCUAACCUUGCUACUGGUGUGUAAGUCUCAUCAUAGUCUAUCCUUUCUUCUUGCGUAUAUCCUUUGGCCAUGAGUCUUGCUUUGUUCCUUAUAACUUUUCCCUUUUCGUCAAUUUUGUUCCUAAAAACCCAUUUAUCUCCAAUAACAGAUUUACCUCUUGGUUUAGGAGAUAAUUCCCAAACAUCGUUAACACUGAAUUGCCUGAGUUCUUCUUGCAUAGCUUCAAUCCAGUUUUCAUCAGUUAAAGCUUCUUCUAUGCUUUUAGGUUCUAUUUCAGAAAUAAGAGCCACAACGCUGACUCUUUAUGCCUUUUGGAUCUUGUACGAAUUUCUUCAUCAAUGUCACUAAUAAUGAGUUCUUUGGGAUGACUAGACUUGUGCUUCCAGUUGCUGGUUGGUCUAACAGACUGCUGAACAUUUUAUUCAUUUGAUUCUUCAAUGUUCGUUUGUUGUUAACCUUCUGAAAUCUAAGCUGACUUUGUAGAGUCUAAAGCAGGUUUAGAUUCUUCAGGUUGAGUCUGGAUCGAUUGAUUUUGUAUAAGGUCUUGAAAUUUGACAUUCAUCGAUUCUUCCACAGAUUGAGUCUUCUUGUUGUACACUCUGUAAGCUUUGCUGGUGGUUGAAUAUCCAAGGAAGAUACCUUCGUCUGAUUUUUCUUCAAACUUACCAAUUCGAUCAUUUGCAUUUUUCAAUAUAAAACAUUUGCAACCAAACACAUGAAAAUAGGAAACAAUUGGCUUAUUUCUUUUGAAUAACUCAUAGGGAGUUUUUUCCAGGAUAGGCCUUAAGAAAACUCUGUUAAUGAUAUAACAUGCCGUAAAAACUGCUUCAGCCCAAAAACGAGAAUAAAUGUUCCUUUCAAUUAAAAGUGUUCUAGCCAUUUCUUGCAACGAUCUAUUCUUCAUUUCCACAACUCCAUUUUGUUCGGGAGUGUAUGGAGAGGAGAACAUAUGCUGAAAACCAGAUUCAUCACAGAAAUUAGCAAAGUCUUGAUUUUCAAACUUACCUCCAUGGUCUGUUCGUAUGCUUGAAAUAACAUACCAUUUCUCAUUCUGUACUUUCUUAGCAAACUUUAAGAAAUAAGAGAAUGUUUCAGACUUACUUGCCAGAAAAUAUACCCAAGUAAAUCGUGAGUAAUCAUCCACUAUUACUAGGUAAUAUCUCUUUCCACUAAUGUUUUGAGUUCUAGUUGGUCUAAAGAGAUCCAUAUUUAGGAGCUGUAGCACACGAUUAGUGGAAACUUGAUUUAUUGAUUUGAAAUAACUUCUAACCUGUUUUCCCAACACACAUGGUGUGCAUAAUUCAGAUUUUUUGUAUGUCAGAUUGGGUAGUCCACGAACAAGCUUCUUUGCAGAGAUCUUGGCAAUUUGCUUCAUGUUGAUAUGGCCAAGUUUUCGAUGCCAGAGAUUAGCUUCAUCUUGAAUUGAAAUUAGACAUUGAGAUUUUUCUGGUUUGAUAUCCAAAAGAUAGAUGUUCCCAUGUUUUCGCCCCGUGAAAGUCUGAGAGAAGUCUUUACUGGUUCCCGAACGUAUUCAUUCUUGAAAUUUUUUCUUGAAACCUGUGUUGCACAGUUGACUGAUACUCAGCAAGUUGUAAUUGAGUCAUCCUACUAAGGAAAUGUUGUUGAUUGUGAGACUUUCAAUCUUUACUGUUCUACAUCCGACAAUUCUUCCUUUGCUAUUUCCACCAAAAGAAACUUUUCCACCAUUAAAUUGCAUAAGCUUUAUUAAACAACUUGAAUCUCCUGUCAUAUGUCUUGAGCAUUUAUUAUCCAAGUAUCAUUUGACAUUUUUCUUGAUAGUGACCUACAUUAAAAAAGAAACUCAAACUUUCUUUAGUACCCAUACUUUCUUGGGUCCAAUGGAGUUAGUGCAAUAUACAGUCUUUGCCCAAUCCUUCUUAACAGGUCUCCAAACCAUAGGACAUUCUUUCUUAAAGUGUUUUAUGUUGUUGCACUUAGAACAUUUAAGAGUACUAUGGUCAACAGAUUUUACAAAGACUUUUUGAAAAUGAUUUUUAUAAAAGUCUUUUGUAGGUUUUUGUUUGAUUCUUUUCUUUACUUUUGGAAAAUCAAUUAGAGGAAUGGUUUCAAAAGUCAUUUCCGAGCCUAAUUUGUUAAAGUAAGGUUUUUGUGCUGAAAGAAUCUUUUCCAAUUUCUCAGAUCCUACAGAAAACCUUUUUGAGAGAGAGUCUGCAUUUUCUUUCAGAGUAAUAAAAAAUUUUAUCUAAAUUUUUGAACUUUUCUUUCCAAACAAUCUCAUGUUGCUUCAAUGUAGAAUUUUCCCUUUUUAGCUCGAAAAUCCUCUUGAGAGAGGUUUUGAGACUAAGACACAGUUCAUCAAUAUAUUUAGAGACUUUAGUAGGAAUUUUUAAAUUACUUACCUCGAUUUCACUGUCUGAGUCUAAGUCUGUAUCUGUCUCAGAGUCUGAAUCUGAUUCUGAUUUUGCCAUUAAACAAAUAUUAGCAUAAUCAUCAUUACUCUCUUCGCAUUCGGUAUCACUCCAAGUUUCUACUUUGAGUGCCUUUCUAUAUUUCUCAACUUUUCCUUUCUUUUUCUUCAGCAAGGGACAGUUGGGUCUGAUGUGUCCAUUUUUCUUGCAUUCAAAACAAAUCACAUCUUUGUUGGAUUCAUCGUCCUCAUCUGAUUUAUUUUGAAACUUUUGAGAGCUUUGUUUCUUCUAAUUGAAUCUUCUUCCCUUUUUGUUCAGUUUUUUGAACCUUCUUAUCAUGAGAGCAAGCUCUCCAUUGUCCAUAUCAUCUUUAGAAUCUAUAACAUCAAAUUCAUCAUUAGAUUUUAAAGCAAUAGAUUUUUUACCUUUGGGAUCUUCAUCUACAUUGAUUUGCUCCACUUCAUAAGACUAAUGAGUGCCAACCAAUUCAUCAACGGAGAGUGACAUGAUCCUUUGUGUCUCUCUUAUUGAAGUCUUUACAUGAUUUAAAUCUUUGGAAAGUCCACGUAGCAGUUUGUUAACCUUCAUGGGUCCUGAGAUUGGUUGACCUUGAUACUCAAAACCAUUCACAUUUUUUGUAAAACGACUAAACAUGUCAGUGAUAGAUUCUCCUGACUUCAUUUUGAAGGCUUCAUAUUGACCGAGCAGAAUAUUGAUUUUGGUUUCUUUCACUCGAUCAGUUCCUUCAUAGGUGAUGUGCAACCUAUCCCAUACUUCUUUAGCUGUUUCAUAAGAAGAUAUUCUGUUAUAUUCAGUAGGAGAUAAUGCACAAUAUAAGGAGUAAAUUACUUUUGCAUCAAGAGCUUGUCUCUUGGUUAUCUCUUCUUGAGUCAUCUCACUAGUCUCUGCAACUUCUUUUCCCCUUUCUGAGACUGUUAUAGCUUUAGGAAUGAUUCAUUUGUCUACCACAUCCCAUUCUAGAGGAUCUUUUGAUUUUAGGAAUGCUUUUAUCUUGUUUUUCCAUAUACGGUAUUCAUUUUCAUCACAGUAAGGCGGUCUGGUGUUGCUUUGCCCUUCAACCAAACUUGGAGUCAACAUACUAGACAUGGAUCUUUAAUUCUGAAGUAAAAACACUUCAAUUAAAUAAGUAUAUAGGCUCUGAUACCAAUUGAAAGUGCUAGUACGAGCAUCUAGAGUGGGGUGAAUAGGUGUGAAAACAAAUUUUGCAAAAUAUAGUGUAAAACUUUACUUUUAAUCCAAGUCCCGUUGACAAUAGACUUUGCAGAGGAAAUCAGACUCUAACAAUUAAAUAGAGUUACGAACAAAAUAAAAGAGUUUAUGGAAGAGAAUAAUAAUACAAGGUUUAUAGUGGUUCGGUUUAAUCCAAACCUACGUCCACUCUCCCGCACUGACUGCCCACCAGCUGGAUUUUACUAUGAAUCAAAAGAGUCGUUACAGUAUCACGUCCUUAAUUUAACUAGAGUAUUUUCCUUAUAUACUCCUCCAUGCCUUCAUAUCUAUUGGCACAUUCCAAAUGAGUUCUUCCAAUUUACUCGUUAGAUAGAAUCAAUUAGGGAGAUCUCGAGUUACUUAAGGAAUGUGAUGAUAGCCCACAAAUCAUGCUCACCCAUACAAUCAGGAUCUAGGUUUCCAUAAGUAGAAUCUUCUAGGUAUACUUCCCCAAUCAACGGAUCCAAAUUACUCGAAUUAAUUUCAAAACAAAUAAUAGAUCUUGAGAUGCUAUCUCCAGUCGUGAGAACUCCUUUAGCCGCUCGAAUCAAAACCUUAAAAAAAAUACUCGCAUUUGGAUAAGGCUUCUUCAUCGGUCUAAAAACUGUCAAUGAGGGUAGACUUUAAAUCUUGAGUCCGGCGGUCUUCAGACUUUGAUGAAAGAGUCUGCAAGUCUUCAAAUCAAACUGAUGGAAACUUUUUGUCAAUUUCAAAACAAAUAAGGAAGUUUUCUCCAACAAUAUGUACAACAAUUGCUAAAGGGAAAAUUGCAAUUUUUCCCCCUAACACUUGUUCUACAAAAAAAUAAAAAAAAAUUAAGGGCGCUUUCAAAAUGAUUUACUUAUCAAGAGCACUUCAUGGUGUGUAAGCAUUUUUUUCCUCUUUUCAAAAUUUUAAUAUUUUAAACAAAUAACCGAGAAUUUGGAAAUUAGCCUUUUUUCAUGGUAAUUUUUUUUUUGCAGACAUUAAAUGUUAUUCCUAAUUAACAUAAUAAUUUUUACUUAUUUAAAUUUAAAGUAUAUUAUAAUAUCAAAUGCCGGUAAAUUUAUGUUAUAAUAACAUAAAAAGGAAAAUUGCUACUGAUUAUUUAAUUUCAUACUAUAUAAAGAAUAUGUAAAAUUCUCCAAAACUCUCUUUAGAAAGAGGCAAUUAGUUUCACAUGGAAAAAAUAAUGUUAAUUAUCAGUAGAAAUAUAAUUCUUUAUGAACCCCGAUUUGUGGCAUGUAUGCAUUUCUUUUCUUUUUCUUUUUUUUUUCAAAAAUUUAAUAUUUUAAACAAAUAACAGAGAAUUCAAAAAUUCACCCUUUUCACAGUAAUUUUUUUUUCAGCAGACAUUAAAUGUUAAGUAUGAUAAGAAAGGUUCCUAAUUAAAAUAAUACUUUUUAAUUAUUUAAAUUUGAAGUAUAUUAUAAUAUCAAAUGCAAAUAAAUCUAUGUAAUAAUGACAUAACAAGUAAAAUUGAUACUAAUUAUUUAAUAUCAUACUAUAUAAAAAAUAUGUAAAAUUCUAAGUCUCUUUAGAAAUAGACAAUUAGUUUCACAUGGGAAAAGCAACGUUAAUAUUAGUAGACGUAUAAUUCCUUAUGAACUUUCCUAAUAUAAUCUUCUAGAGGCAUGACUCUAUUUCGAACUCAAAAUAGUCUUCUUUAAAAAAAAAAGACGACCGUUGCGAGAGUCUCCUUCCCCUGACCCGAUCGUCUCGUCAGGCGUUCCUGGCUAUGCUCGCGUUCCUCUCUCUCUCUCUCUUGCGUGACGGGCCUCUGCGAAAUCCUCUUCGGAGAAGGUCAGUCUCUUCUUCCGUUCUUAGUAGUCGAUUGAUUGUUUAUGGAUUGAUCAAACGGUUGAUUGUCGUUUGGUGAAUUCGCAGUGGAUUCUUUUCCCAUUGAGUGAACUGGUCAGUUUGUUUCAUAAAACAAAGCGUUUUUGCUUUUUGGAGGACUGAGGAUCUGCUUCGCCAUUUUUCUUUGGUUGAGAUGAUGAACUAUUAGUAGUCUCUGAUCACCUCCUUUUUUUUCUCUGGGCAAUUAUCGGUUUUGAUUGAUACUUGUUUUAAAUUUUUUUUUUUUUUUUUUUUUUUUUUAACUCUGGGAGAUGAUCAUGGGCUAGUUCCAAUUCUUGGGCUGGAGAAGUGGUGAUCUGUUGCGUUAACUUUGUGAUGUCGAGUUGAUGAUCUCUGACAAUCAGAUAAAGCUACCACAUUUCAAGACAGUUACUGGUUUGAAUGGAGUUUGUUCUUCAGUGCUGUUAUUUUCCGAUUCAUGUGAAAACCAAUUCUCAUUCCUUCAGAGGUCAGAGUUUGGUUGAUGUAUGAACUGUCAUGGUGCUUUCUAUGCAUUGUGUAUGCUCACUUCAGAUCAUUGCUGUCGAAAAUCUAACGCCGGCAUCCUUCCUAGAAAUAGUCCCUCCCUCAUGUCCUCAUCCUUUAUUCUCGUGCUGCAUCUUUGAUUGUGCGUGCAAUUCCUCUCUUGUUUGCUCUUUGCUUGACAUCCUCUGCCGAGUACUCUUCAGAGGAGACAUCGUUACUGAACCGCACUCUUGAUCCUAUUUCUUUGCCUUCUGUUAGUCAUAUUUUGUAUGUUUUUUAGUUGAGUGAAAUUGAAUUAGCAUAACAUUUUCCUGCAGGGGAUAAAAUUUGGUUUGAGGUUUUCACACAUUUGGUGAGUAUGGAGUUCAGUCUGCUUCUCUUUUUAAGCUGUCUAUUUGCUGCAACUGGGCAAAAGCUUCCCAUUUACCCUUUUGAUUCUUAUCAUAUUUUGAUCAGAUGAUUAACAUCUUGGUUAUUUUUAUUUUAUUUUAUCAACGAUGACCAUCACACUCGCUCAAGUGGAAAAGUUGAGCAGGAAGUUUUUACUUUUCCUUCUGAUUUCAUAUGAUAUUUCAAUAUUUGGAUGGUGAUAUUAAUUUGUAUAUUUAACCUAUUUGACACAUCAAGCAUAGCCGUUGAAUCUAUUUAUAAAUAACAUCACCAUUUGCAACAUGACCCUUUUGUUGUAGAUGAUUUGUCUGCCAGAUAAUAUAACUUAUGGUUCUGAAUGCAUCUUUUUUUAUGGGCUUUACAAAGGUGGUUUGUGUUCAUUUUUCUACUAAUUGGAAUUGUCAAACAAUUUCGUUUCAUUUGUUAUAUUGCCUAUGAAGGCACAGAUUUUGUAGUAUCCAAGUGGUCUCUUGCCAGAACAGAAUUGGUUUAGGUCCAUAUGGAAUUUGUAUGAAUGUCUUGAGGUUCAUCGACAUUAUCUGGUUCAAGUUUCCCUCUGAUUAUUCUAAUUAACAAAAUUGCUCGCAUGAAAUGUAUGGACUUAUUCAGCCGUUGACAGGUGCUUGCUCCAGUUUGGAGCAAUCUCUUCAGCUAAGUGUGUCACGUGGAGAUGGUAUAGGAUUCAUUGAUCAAAGUAUUCAAGUUUGUCAAGUGACUGAAAACAGGAGGUUAUGAACCAUUGCAAUCACGUUUAGCUGAGUUGCCGAAUCGUCUUCUUUGUGGAUCGGAGCCAUGAGCUGACAUUUGGAUCCUUCUAAUAUGGAUUGUCUAUAGCUUCUUGAGAACCCUGGAUAGAGAUCUGGUUCUAUCUUCAUUUACAAGGAUUAAAGGAAAUGCGUGGAAUGUGUAGUGUUCUCCUCUUGUAGGUUGGAGUCUUCUUGCUGCAAAUCAUGUUGUGCUUCUCGUCUUUGUCUGCAAAAUUCACUGGAUAAACUACAAUUAAAUUGUGUCCAAAGCUAUGGGUACUUUUGAAUUGUGCUUCCAACCGUAGUUGUUGCUUUCUUGGUCAUUAGGUGGCACACAUUGUUGGGAGUUGUCUGACUAUGUUCCUUAUCUCUAUCAGGUGGUUCAGCCUUACACUUGUGAUGUGGGAUAUUCAUUGCAGUUAUUCACUAAUAUUAUGCCAGAUCAGAUUAUCCAUGUCUACAUUCAAUUUGUUUGGUUCACUCUGUAAUCACUCUCAGGGAGUUCUCUCUUCUGGAUGCUCUUAUUUUAAUCUCCUCCUGAUCUAAAUUUGCCUCACAAAUGAUUUUCUAUGUGUUGUUUAUUGACAUUGUGAAUAACUUGGCCACAAGUUUCCUCAAUCCCUGCACAUGGAUUGCCCAAUUACUCCGCAAAACUUAUCAAGCAGUACCAAUUUCUCCUCAGGACGCUGGCAUCGAUAAACAUUCAAAUUAUAUCUGCAAGAAUCAUGAAUGUGGGAAUUUAGAUGACGUGGAUGGACCUUUUUUACGCCUACUCUUUGAUUGAGAUGGUAUGCUGUUGUUUCUUUUGGCAGGUCGUAUGAUGAUUGAGCUAUGUAUAAGUUAGCUGAUGUUGAAUUUGAGGAUUAACAGUUCUCAAGACCUCACAUAGGAAUUCAUGCUUCCUGCACAGGAUGUGUGGAGCUGUUCCUAUCAAUUUCUUACUUUGUCGAGCAAAUUUUUGUGAUUUUAUAUAUUAGGACAACUACAACAGUUGUGAUUAGCAGAAUAUAGAUCAAGCAUAAUUGUGCAGAUCUUAGGAAAAAAUGUAACAGGGGGGUGGUGACAGCAAAUCCAUCAUAAGUGUGGUUCCUAGAAGAUCUGAGGUCCAGUCUCUUUACACAAUCUUGCAUCUUCCUAGCUCCUGUUGGGUUAAAGUUUUGUCGAUAGUCUUAUUAUUAAAAGGAUUUUGAUUGACUCUCGACGAUCCUGUUGCUCAUACAUCUAUAUGUUCUUGGUUGAAUUUUGACAUAGGCACAGACUUUGAUGAAUUCUAUGGCUGGUCUGUUUAUUCCUCUUCUCUCCAAGGGAAAUGACUUUGACUUUGCUAUUAAAAAAAAAAAAGAAAUUUUGCUUAUGCUAUCUUUUUUUGGAAAAAGUGAUUCACCAACUUAGUGUGGAAGAAGCAAGUUGGUACCUUGUAUCAUUCAUUUUUCAUAUGAAUUUUAGGUUGUUGGAGUAAUGCAAGUAAGAAUUAUUGAAUGAAGUCUGUUUAGUUUUGUUGCCUUCUCCCCCUUUGGGAUUCAAAUUCCAGAUCUAUGUUGAGCCAAAAGUUCUGUCGGGAGGCUGCAACUAUAUUUGUGUGAGCUGCAUCACAACUGGUAAACAAUGAUGCAAUUAAACUUUUUUGGUCACUUCUUACUUGAUUUCUUUUUUCUGUUUAGGUAUGAGGACCUUGGUUGCUUUUUUCCCCAUUUUAUUAUUGAGGUGUUGGAUUCGGAUUCCAGAUCCAUGUUGAGCCAAAAGUUCUGUAAGGAGGCUGCAACUGAAAUUGCAAACCGAUCAUCACAACUGGUAACCAAUGAUGCAAUUAAACUCUUUUUUUUUUCACUCCACACUUGAUUUCUUUUUUCUUUGGUAUGAGGACCUUGGUUGCUUUUUUCCCUAUUUUUGUUAUUGAGGUGAAUGUCAUAGCACUCUCUUGUCAGCCUAGUGGCGGCUUCCCCAUUGGUUGCAGAAGGAUAUCAUUCUAUUUUUCUUCACCCUAACAAUCUUCUGCCUGUUAAAUGGCUUGCAUUACUUUGGUCUUCCCAACUUACAGAUUUUUGUUGGUCUAUUUCCUGUUAUUGAAUGGUGCAAAUCUCUGUAAAGCGUACUUUGGUCUUCUGUAAGGCAUAUUCUGAGCUUAUGGUACUGCAUCUAAAUAAUCCAAUAUAAUCACUAGUUACCAAGUUCUCUUAUUGAAACUCCAAUUAUUGUGCACAUAAUAAGAUUUUAUGGAUGCUCACUCAUUCUUUUACCGAGAAAAGGAAUCAAAUCACUAGUCGUGUACUUAAGCUUAUAGAUUAGAAAUUAGGUAUAAUUGCAAGUCUCCAAUUGGCAGUUUGACUAUGCUAAAAACAAUGGAGAUUGUGCUUUCUCUUCCAAAAAAUCUUACCCGGAAACCUCGAAAACAACUUAAUGAAAUUUUGUACAUUUUUUGUAUGUAAGUGCUAUAUCCAUUCUUGCUGUUAUUAUCUGUUUUCAACAGUGUAUAUCAACUUCCACUAUUGUACAAAUCUAGUUGUUUGUUAUGUCUGUCUAACUUCAUGUUUCACUUUCUUUCUUAGAGGUCUGGAAAGAGGAUCUUUGUGCUCCAACUAUGGAAGUGGGAAGGUUCUCUUGAUUUUGUUUAACUUUGUGGAGAUUGGAUAUUUUUAAAAUAAAUGAGGAGGAAGCGUUUUUUGUAUAGAUCUAUUUGCGUUUCACCUUUUCUAUAUAAGAGUAUUGUCUGAUUCUACAUUUGUUAGGUGUUGGCUGGAUGAUGUUAUAAGCAUCCGCUCCCCGACACUUUGGUUACAUAUUUCUUUUCACAUCUCUUAUUAUCCAAUUUCUUUAUUUCAUUUGUUUUGCAAGUUUAAUCUUUUGCGAUAGUGUGAUAGACCAUCAUAUUAAUAUCAUUACGAUCCUUUUUUUCCAACAACUUCACUUUCGUGGCUUACGUCCUAAUCCUUUGUACUGCUUUUGUUGUUAAAACUUUCAAUAUUGCUUUCUUCAUACAUUUUCAUUAGCAAGCAGUCAUUAUUCCUUGCUCCUUAAGGUUUUUGUCGAUAUGGAUUUCCUUGAAGAGCAUGCCUUUCGGCUAGGAAAAUAGCAUGCCCUUUACCAUUUGUCAGAACUGUUGAAUACGGAUAUCAACUGCCUAAUCUUUUCCCAGAAUAGGAUGCUAGUGUCUAUAAGAAAUGUUUUUAAUCAGAAUAUAUGUCUCUUGGUGGGUGCCUGCUGUCCAGACGAUGGCAAUAACUGUGAUAUGGUGGGCAUUACUUGAUCAAACCAAAUGCUGCCUACACUUGCUUCAUCUUGGCUUAGUAAAUAUUUUUCACCGCAUCGUCUAGUUUUUCCUUUCUAGUAAUUAUUGCUGCCGCAAUGAUGGGAUCUCAAUGCUGUAAUCAGUACAUGCACUACAUCAGUAGCAUACAUGAAUCAAUAGUCAGGUCUUAUCUGGAUGGCCUUUUCCUUUGAUAUUGAAUGUGGAUAUGUAUUUAAUCAAUGGAUGUUUAUUUUAUUGGAUAAAUUUAGAUAAGUGAACUGUGUCUUUUUUUGUUCAGUUUAGUUUUUGAUAUUUGUUUGUUUUCAGUUGUGGGUAGCACUGUGAUUCUUCGUUAGGAACAUUGAUCCGGCAACUGGACAUAUUACGCUUCCUUGCUUCAGUGUUUUGUCUGUGUUUUUCUUUACCAAUUUCUAAUAAGGAAAUUUGUGUCACCUAUACUGAACAUUUCUGGGGUGACAUCCUACUUUAGGAUCCUGCUCAGAUUGGAUGGACUUGGUAGUGUAUUUUGACAUUUUGCUUCUCAUUGAAUUAGAGGUUUAGCCUCAUCUCAUUGGGUUCUCAGCUAUUUGGCAAAGUCCCUUUGUUACCCUGAUCAUCUACAAGGUGAAGAUAGUUUGCAGCCAUCAAAUGCUGGGAUUGCACUUGCUUUAAACACGCAUGGAUUGUACACUUUGCAGUAGCAGUUGGAUGAUGCUCAAAUAUCAUUCAAAAAGGAUUUUAUGGUGGCUUGUUUCUUCCCUCAGUUUUUUUACCUUUUUGUGGAACAAAUACUUUGCGUGAGAUGUGCACAUGACAUGUAAUUGUCAGUUUGCAGGGUGGGAUAUUGUUGCUGGAUGACUUAUAUUGGUGGUUUUCAGCAUGAAAUUGGAAUACAGUAACAAAUAUAGCAAUUGAAGCCUUAUUCAGAGCUUCAAAUGAGUAGUGAACGCUGUAUGAAUCCAUCUAUAACAUGACUAGCAUUCUUGUUAAAAAAAUUUAGAUUUGUGCGUGCAGAAGCAUGGUUUUGGUAUUAGUUAUAGUUUUUGGUUUGUGGCGUGUGUGUUUGAAGACGAAUAGUGCGUACCUUUUCCGAUCCUUGAAAUUCUUCUCGUAGUAUAUCCCAAGACUCUUUUGCAGUCCUUGCUCCAAUUAUUCUCGGAAAUACGGUUUCCGAGAGUGCUUGUUGGAUAAAAUAUAGCGCCCUUGCAUCCUUUUGUAGUUGAUCCUUCGAAACACUUGCACCUUCUGGCGGAGCCUCGUGACCUUUUUCCACGAUGUCCCAUAAGUCUGGGGCCAUCAAGGGAUGGACAAGGGAUGAUAGUUUUUGGUUAGUGAGGUGUGCAAGUGUAUGGUAUAGUUUGUAGAGGAUGGACAAGGGAUGAGAUAUGAUAAUUGAAGGACAAAGAACAUGGGAUAUGGGAAAUAGUUUCAUUAGUUGGAUAAAAUAAUUUUACAAUAGUUGAAGGAGGUGUUGGUGAGGGAGCAUGAUGUGGUUUUUAUGGUUAGCUCCCUUACACAAAACAUGGAGCACUUGCUCCUUUAUAUAGGCUUCCAAAGUAGGUGGAGGAAGUCUCUAGACUUGAUGAAACUUCUAGACACAUAAAACUUCUAGACACAUGAGCUUGUAGACAAUUCUAGAGACUUCUCUUAAAUUCUUUCCUUUUCUUUUUUCUUCUAGAAAAUUCAUCUAGGGAAUUCUAGAGAAUUCUAGAAGUUUACCAACUCUAACAAAUUCUAGAAAAUGGAUCACUAUUUCCAACAAUUCUAUAUUAAGCUCUCUAGGAUCAAAUUCUUCAAAUAUUUUUCAUUGUCUCUUUCCUCAUCUUUUUGGCUCUUCCUUCGUACACACACUUCAUAAAGAAGUUUGUGCUCCGAUGGAAUUGGUUCAAAUCAACAUCUUUGAUUUUCUUUUGCUAGAUACUUGUAAUGCAAUAGUUGUAUUGUCCUGACAUCAGUAAAACCGAUGCUAACCUGAAGUAGUAGCCAAAUUUGUGAUUGUGAUAUAUGGUGGACUUUACUUGAUCAAAUAUUGUCUAUGCUUGCUCUAUCCAUGUUUAAAUCAAGAAUUUUUAAUUUUUUACUGUAGUUGCCCUAUAUAUAUAUUAUUCAUUGGUGCAAUCUUGUUUCCCAGAAUGUGCCGGACAAUAAAUGUGCUCCACUGUUGGCACAUGCUUGAAGCAACUGUCCUGGUCUUACCAGAACUGCUGUCUUACAUUGAAAGUCAAUGUGGAUCUACUUCGUCAAUGGAUGGCUUCCUUGUUGGAUAAAUUCGCAGAAACAUGAAGUAACUUGUUUGUCAUGUUUAUUGUUUGAUAUUGUUAAAAUUUAAACGUAUUUUUGGAUGUGUGCGCUGCGGAAGCAUGGUUUUGGUAUUAGUUAUAGUUUUUGGUUUGUGAUAUGUGCAAGUGUACGGUAUAGUUUGUAAAGGAUGGACAAGGGACAAGAUAUGAUAAUUGAAGGACAAAGAACAUGGGAUAUGGGAAAUAGUUUCAUUAGUUGGAUAAAAUAAUUUUACAAUAGUUGAAGGAGGUGUUGGUGAGGGAGCAUGAUGUGGUUUUUAUGGUUAGCUCCCUUCCACUCAAAACAUGGAGCACUUGCUCCUUUAUAUAGGCUGCCAAAGUAGGUGGAGGAAGUCUCUAGACUUCUCUACAAAUAGCUACUAACUUAAGAUAGAGAAUUCUAGACUUCUCUUGAAGCAUUCUAGAAUUCUAGACUUCUCUUAAAGCAUGGACUUCUCUAGACUUCUCUUGCUUGUUCUAGGAUUUUCUUUGAUGCUUGGCUUUUGCUUGCUUGCAUUCCCAUGUGAAUCUUCUAGAUUCAACUAGCAAUCUCCAUUCUCAACAAUUCUAGAAGGUUCUCACCUUCAUGAUUAAGUUAGUAGUUUCUAGAUAUUUUUAGAGAAAAUGGAUCAUAAUUUCCAACACUCCCCCUUGAUCCAUUUUCGGGAUAAUCCGGACUUGUGUUAUAAAGCCUCGGACGUACCUUGAAAUUUCUCUUGUAAUUUGUCCCAUGUUUGUUAUUCCGUCUUCGUUCCACAAUCCCCUGCAUUCUCUUGUCGAACCACUUGCACUUGCCUCUGAAUAUACAUGUCUUUUCUUCAACGAUGUCCCAUAUGUCUCGAGGCAUCGAAAUGUUCUUAGUUGUAGUUGUUAGCUCGGGCUCGGGCUCUGGCUCUCGUCGGCUCUGGCUCUGGCUCCGGCUUGGUUCUGGCUCCGGCUCCGGCUCUGGCUCCGUUGGCUCUCGCUCGGGCUCUGGCCUUCGAUUUUGGCUCUGGCUCUGGCUCCGGCUCUAGCUCUGUUGGCUCUCGCUCGGGCUCUGGCCUUCUUAGUUGAGGAUGGUGAGGACAAACGCCCAUAACCAUCCGAUAUGCCUAGUUUUGGCUUCAUGGUCCCUUACGCCUGGCUCAGUUACGAACCUGGGCGUAACUUGGCUCUGAUACCAAGUUAAAAAAUUUUGAUUUGUGCGGAGCUCUCGUAGGCUCUGGCCUUUAAUUCUGGCUCUGGCUCCGGCUCUGGUUUUGGCUCUGACUCCGGCUCUGGCUCUCUUGGCUCUCGCUCGGGCUCUGGCUCUGAUACCAUGUUAAAAUUUAAACGUAUUUUUGGAUGUGUGCGCUGCGGAAGCAUGGUUUUGGUAUUAGUUAUAGUUUUUGGUUUGUGAUAUGUGCAAGUGUACGGUAUAGUUUGUAAAGGAUGGACAAGGGACAAGAUAUGAUAAUUGAAGGACAAAGAACAUGGGAUAUGGGAAAUAGUUUCAUUAGUUGGAUAAAAUAAUUUUACAAUAGUUGAAGGAGGUGUUGGUGAGGGAGCAUGAUGUGGUUUUUAUGGUUAGCUCCCUUCCACUCAAAACAUGGAGCACUUGCUCCUUUAUAUAGGCUGCCAAAGUAGGUGGAGGAAGUCUCUAGACUUCUCUACAAAUAGCUACUAACUUAAGAUAGAGAAUUCUAGAUUUCUCUUGAAGCAUUCUAGAAUUCUAGACUUCUCUUAAAGCAUGGACUUCUCUAGACUUCUCUUGCUUGUUCUAGGAUUUUCUUUGAUGCUUGGCUUUUGCUUGCUUGCAUUCCCAUGUGAAUCUUCUAGAUUCAACUAGCAAUCUCCAUUCUCAACAAUUCUAGAAGGUUCUCACCUUCAUGAUUAAGUUAGUAGUUUCUAGAUAUUUUUAGAGAAAAUGGAUCACAAUUUCCAACAGAUAUUCUCUUCUUAUAAAUCCAAUUUGCACUUUUUUUUUAUUAUUUCUAUUGUUAGAGAUUCUUCACCAAGAACAUUGAACUGGCGGCUGGACAUAUUACACUCCUACCAGAAGGGAUUCCCUGAGAUGUUCAGGUCUUAAGCACCCACAAUGGUCUCCCCACACUCUGUGCUUCAAGUUUUGGGUUUUUUUCUUUUUAUUAACUUUUUUUUUUUUUUUUUUUUGCGAUUUCUACUCUGGGAGUUGGUGUCACUUAUGCAGAAUUUUGUCAGAGGUUUGAUUCUUUGGUAGAAUCAUGUUUAGAUUGGCUGGACUUGGUAGUUUUUUUGAUAUUAUGCUUUUAAUUAGUUGACAGCAUGGCUAUCGGAAAUGCCAUUAGAUCUAAAAGUAAGUACUUAUGUCUACUUUCUGGUGCUAUUGACAACCUGUAGUAAUGCAGAGCACUUCCGAGUUUUCGCUAUUGUAACCUCCUAGUUCUUGUUUAAAAAUGAAAGUUCCGGAAGUAAGUGCUUACGUCCAGUUUCUGGUACUAUUAACAACCUGUUGUAAUGCUGAGCACUUCCAUGUUUUCACUAUAGUAACCUAGUUCUUGUUUAAAAAUGAAUGUUCUGGAUUAAAUUUGCUACUUACCUACCACGAGUCAUAUGUAGCCAUAUGAAAGCUAUCUAUGAAAGCUAUAUCUAAUUCUGAUUUUUAAGUAUUUGUUCGUAUUACUCAUUUUCCUUCUUGUUGAUGCUUACCUUGCAAGAAUAUAUCGUUUGCCCCAUCAUAUAUCAAAAGAGGUAAUGAAAAUUGAGAACUAACUGAGAUGCCAGUCAACUUAUAGAUAUUUGUACCAAAGAAGAGUUCCUGGUGUAUCUCCUUCGCUUUCAAGGGACCUGAAUUUGUUAUUGGGAAUUUGUCUGCCUAUGGUUUUUUCUUGACAGGUUGGCCAAGCACGAUAUAAUCUCGACUGACUGUAAACUGUUUUUGCGGCCACAUGUUACUCCACCCUCUUGAGAUUUACUUCAGAUUUUGAAACAUAUUUAGGAUAUACCAUUAUGAUAAUGGAGCUAUCUGUAGAAGUUUGAUGUCUGUAUUUGACUUUUUUCAGAAUCCCUCUCUUUAAUCUGAAGUUUGAAUAUGGUUUUGACUUCCUCUCUGGAUGAUCAUCUCUUUCUUAGGAUGACAAAGUGGAAGAAGAGGGGUGUCUUGCUGAUUCUGACUCUGUUUAUCUGAAGAAACUGGGACUUUCUAUUUGCACAUCCCUUAUCUUUGGGUUGUCUUGCUGAUGUCGAAUCUCUAGCUUGAUGCAUUGAUAUGUGUGUUCACAGCUCCUUCGUUUCUUCAUCAUCGCUGACAAAUAUCGAGCAUUGUUGAUAAUGGAAUGCCAGAGAUUUUGCUCUUCCUUAUAUUUGGUGGCAUAAUUGGGCUGAACUGCAACAAGGUAUUGUCAAUCCAACGUUACUGAACUGUUCGCAAACUUUCUGCAUUUCCAUAUUGCUAAGAUUUGGACAGGUUAGUGAGGUCAUGCUUCAAUCUCAAGUUCACUUCACUUGGCAGAGGUGAGAUUUAGAAUGACACAUGUCCUCUGUACUAGCUUAUGUGCUGUGAUUCUUAUUUUGGAUUUUACAUCAGGUGUCACGUUUGUUUUCAUAUUUAAAAAGGAGUUUCUACGGGAAAAGAAAUUUUUUUGCAGAUUAUGCAACUAUAGUGCCAACCUUAGAAAAAAAUGGAAAAGUGCAGCGAGGAAGGCUAUUCUCAACAAUGGAGUGGCCAUUGAAUUUAAUAGAGCGCUAAUGCUGAUAGGUUGGCUAGAGAGAAUCCAAGUUGUGUGAUUCAAAGAACAAUAUCUGUUGUGGAGCACAUCCUAUCUGUGGUUUAAGAUUGUCUGCUCUUUUUGAACACUUAUGUUUUCUUUUGUCGUAGUUAAGUCACCAAAACAUCUAGAAGAUAAGAGUUAUCAGGCUUUCAUUGUGGUGUGGCCAGAUAAGAGAAGAACCAGAUCCUUUUGUUGCUGCUCAAGUAGUGAUGGAUGCCUUGAGAUUGCAGGAAACGUGUGUUGCCAACAGAGCAAUAGACAUGUUUUUGGCAUCUAGGCGGCAGCCAUAUUGUAAUUCUUGCUUCAUAAUGAUUAUGUGAUCUUUUUUUGAUCUGUGGGUGAAGUUCAUACUGGCCAAACCACUUAACCAUGCUUUGUUUAUAUACGUGUGGUUGGUUUAGGUUUGAUGAAAUGACAAAACAGAAAAAUAAACAAGUCCUUUGGUAGUUGUUCGAACCAAAUUAAGUGAUGAUCUAUUGCCUUUUCUGAAAGGGUGAGUCCGGAUGGUGAACGGUUCCAGUUGAUUCUAUUCCCUUCAAUUUUCAUCAAAGAGGAUGUUAUUGAGUAGUUCUCUUUCUUUUGUAGGUCAGAAUUAACUACGAUGUGGAGUGUCCUUCAAUCCGUGAUGGUUUUUUCUAGCUGGAUAUUAGAGUAAUGAUUUGCUUGGACAAGAUCUUGAUUCUUAGGCAUUUUAAUCUGAGUUCAGUUGGUUUUGGAAGGUCAACAACUAUAGACUUUCUGUGGUUGUAGGAAUUGUUUAGGAGUCUGGAAAGCACGAGGUCCACAUUAGUUCUGGCUUGCUUCUCUUCAUUCUUAUCUCUUAUGUGAGCUGCAAUCACUGAUUGGAUCGCUUGUAAAUUAUGUAGAUAGUUUGUGUAAGUUUUAUUGAUCAUGGUGCUCUUACAAUAGAUAAUUGGAAAAUCUUAGUUUGGUUGGCACUUCUGACUUUUGAUUUAUUAAUUCUCUUAACUGAUUUCGGAUGGGUUUUUUGAAUGCUGUAAGAUAUAGCUCAUGUGCUUUGGCAGAUUAGAGCCUUUCUCUGUGGGAUUGGAUGAAGAACUUUUCAUUGGCUUGGUAGUAUGACUGGUAUGCUUUCUAUCAAUGAUAUUUUGUUUGUUUUACCUUCUUUUUCUUUCAUGAAACUAUUGUGAAUGUUAUUUUUUCACUGAAUUUUUGCUUUUGAUCUUCUUAGGCGCACAUUCACUCAGAAAUACAUUUUUUUGCAUAUGUAUUGACUUGGUGUAAGUCUAUUUGAAUUGAGUGUGGUAAAUUUGGCUUAAUUGAAGAACUUUUGUCUGGUUAUUUAUUGUACUUAAAUUAGAUGAUAUUUGAUAUUGUUGAGUGAUUAAGAUGGCAAUCUUUAAUGCUAAGGUAGUAUGCUGGUGUGACCUACUGCCAUUUUUUUCUCUAUAUUAUUUGGGACUGUGCUGGAUAGGUUUUUUCCUACUUUUUUUUUUUUACACUGUUUUUUGCAUUUACCUGAGUAGUUUGCCAAAUCUUUUACUAAAUGCUGUCAUAUGUAGUGUUUUUCAAUUGUAGUUGAUGUUGUUUGUCCAAUGAUCUCUUUCAUCUUCUAAGGAUGAUAAGUACAAUAAAAGUGGUCAUUAUGCAUUGAAUAUUGUGUUUAGGCUUCUUGGAGGGGAGUGAUGACCCUUUUUUGCAGUCCUGUUUGGUUCAGUUGCUGAGUGGUCUUCAGGAUGGACUAUGGACUGAAAUUGUGAAGAUUUCUAGGCAUUUUCUAGCUUUGAUUGAAAUUCUUCUUCAGUUUAUUAUAUCUAGUUUCAAGUUCUAGUCCUUCUACAGGGGUCGGGUCAAGCCAGGUUAGAAAUGUGGUGAUCUACUGCUUUUUUCUGCGGGGCUAACUUGAUGAUCGUUUGAAAUUGGAGAAGCAGCCACUUCUUGGUUUCUAGGCAGUCUUUGGUUUGAAUGAAGUUCGUUCUCAAGAUUCCGUUUUUUUUUUUUUUUUUUUUAGUGAAGGUGAGACGAUCAGGGCUAUUUUUCCUCCACUGGUAAGAGUUUUUGGUCAAUAUAAUUCUCUUCAGAUUCGAUGGGAAAUGUCUUCAAUCUGGGAUGGUUCUUCCUAGCCUAUAAUCUUUAUUUCUUUAGUCAGGCUCUUCUUUCUUUGAGCACUUCUAUUGGUUUUUGUUUGGGUUUAACAUUAACUCUCUUCCAUUGUAAGGAUUUUUUACAAGGCAGGAAACUUUGAGGCCCGCUAAGUUCUGGCUAGUACCUCUUCUUUCUUAUAUGCAUGAGCAAUAAUUACUAAUUCGAUUGCUGUGUCUAAAUCAUGGAGAUAGUUUAUUAUGUGCAUGCGCAGUAUCUUUCUUAUGUGGGAUUUAUUCAUCUUUGCUUUUUUUCGUUGUUCCAGCUCCACACAAUACCUAGUUUUCUUAGGCUUUCAAUUUAUACGAUCACCGUGUUUUCUUUUGGUACAGAAUCUUUGGUGAAAUGUUUUUAUUAAUCAGAUGAUUUAUGUACUAUAGUUUUUUGUUGAGGAAUGGUCUUGAUCAAAUCUUAGAAGUUUCUGGUUUGCUGCAGAAAAUUUCUUCAUUUUCGCAUUGCCUCUUCGAAAUUCUGCCAGGAUCAUGCACAUCAUUUGUGUUCACGCUCCUUCUAUUUACUUGUUUUGCAAGCUAUUCUGUAUUUAUAAUACAGAAGAUUAGUAGUAGUUACUUUUAUCUUGGAGCAAUCUCUUUGAUUGGAUAAGCUCUUCAUUCUUUGGCACGUGACUUAUCAUCCCAUUUUCUCUAAUCUUAUUUAGCACUGUGGUAACAGGAUAGGUAUUUGCCCCCUUAUGCAUAUAUGAGUUGUUCUAAUAUGUGUGUUGUCUGCUUAUAAUAUGACCGAGAAUGUCAUUACAUCAAGAAUUGAAUGGCUAUCGAGUGUGUCAAGAAACAUUCAUUAUUCAAGAAAUGUUCGAUCGUGUUGUCUGCUUAUGAUAUGAAUUAGAUCUGAGUUACAUCAUGAAGUAAAUGACAUUGAGGGUGACAAAAUGAAAAAUUCUUUAUUCAAGAAUUGUUCAUUCUCCAUUAUCAUACCUUCUCAAUUUGUGUGUAUUUUGUUUUUUACAUUAUGUGGUCAUUUUCCAUGUGCAUGUAUUUGGUUCAUCCCUAAUCACUUUGGUCAUGCUUUUAUGAUAGGGUCUCUAAGGACUAGUUUCACUACGCUUUGAGGGUUUGACCUUCGAUGUAAGAUCUCUAGUUGUCAUUGGAUCGCCACCUAUUUGAAAUACAUGCAACAAGAGAGUACUUUAGUCUUCUUAGUUGAAAUAAGACAAGUGGGUUUUCUUAGCCUAAAUUUUUCACAGCAGUAUGCAAUUUUUUUUUUUUUUUUUGGUGGUGAGGAACAUUGUUUGGGACAUUUUUACAAAUCAAAUGAUUUUGUAGGUGAAAUAGGUUGUUUUGAGUUUGUAGUGCCAACUUGAUUUUAGGUUCUCUUUGAUUGCUGGGACUAGGAAGACUUUUCUGCGAGGACCUUGAUAUUUACUUUGUUGCAGACUGUUGGCAUCUCGUUCUGAAAAAGAUGUACUGGGAGGGGAUGAUGCAGCAUAGCCACUGAAACAUAACUUCCAUUGGCAUUGCUUGCUCUCUGACCAGCUGCUGAUAUUCUCAAUUUCUUAUCCAUCACAAAACUGUGUUGUUUCAUUUAAGUUGUGGUCAGUAAAUGGCUGGUCAGGCUGGGAGGAUCAGACACUGGGUGCUUAGUUGGCAUAUUUGUCAUAUUUUGUAGUUCUUUAAGAUGGGUGAAUUUCUGUUCAAAAAAAAAAAAAAAGAUGGGUGAAUUUGAAGUGGCAUAUGACCAUCCUGCAGGGGAUAAGCUUUGGUUGAGGUUUUAACAUAUCUGGUAAGCAUGAAGUUUAGUCUACUUCCUCUUUGCAUUUCUUAUGAUAUCCUUAUAUACAGAUGGUGACCUUCUACUGCAUACGUAUAGUUUAAUUUAUUUGUCAAGCAUAGUUCUUGAAGCUCUGUAGGGCUUUGAGUUAAUAGAUCUCAAUUUAAUAUACAGUUCUAGAUGUAUCUCUUUCUCAUCAGUUCUAUGAGGUUGUUUGGAGUCAUCUUCCUUGUAAUUGAGAUAUUAAACAGUUGCUUUAUGAUCGAUUUCUUUUGCUUUGAUAUUUUCUUUGAAGGCACAAAUAAAGAUCUGGCUGGGUCUAUUUCCUGAAAAUUGUUGGUGAAUGUUCUGCUUAUAGUCAAAAGGUUUAUCAAACUCAUUAAGGUUUAAGUCUGCCUCUGAUCAAAUCAAUCAGUUUGGUGGCUUCCAGGCUGUAUGGAUUUUUUGAGUCUUUUGAUGGGAGCUUGAUAAAGUUCGGAGCGAUCUCAUUAAGAAUGUUAUGUGAGGAUGCUAAUGUAUCAAGCAAUUAAAGAAUUCAAGUUCUCCAGUUGGUGAAUGUAGGAGUUUAUCAUCUAAUGCAUUUAUGUUCAGGUGAGCUACUUAAUGGUUGAUCUCCCUUGUGGAUUUGGGUGACAAGCGAUGUUGGAAUCUUUCUAUAUGGAUUGUCUAUAGCUGCUUAAACUCCACAAAUAUUUGGUUUAUAAUACGUCCAUUUUUAAGGAUUAGAGGAGACACGACGAAUCAUUAUCUAGAUCUGGUUUAUAGUUCUCCUGUUGUAGGUCGGAGUCUUCUUGUCGCAAAUCAUGAUGAAGAUUUAAUAAAACUAAGUCAUCCUCUUGACAUUCAACUAUUCUAAACCGAAAGGAUGAUGUAUUAUUACUGAGAAAAAAUACGAGAAGCUGAAAAAAUCUUUACGAGAUUAUAUAUAUACUCUGUCAAAAUAGAUGUUACAUAUAUCCUCUAUGUCAUCAUCCUUUAUAAAGAUGUACAACAACAGUUUACACGAGAAUGAGAGUUCCACUAGGUGUUUGAUAUACCGGCCAUCUCUAGGUCUUUUUCUGCCAUAGAAAUCAAGUCUAUGAGAAGGAAAUCUUCAUAUAGAUCUAUUUCUUUUUUACCAGAUUAAAUUGAAUUGUUUUUUUCACCUUGGAAUUUCUGCCUUGAUAGUGGAGGAAUGUUGCUUCCAUAAAUAUAUUUCCCUUUCACUUUUCCCUUGUAUUGGUAGUUUCUGAUUAUAUUUUGUUAAGCGUGGCUGGCUGAAUGUUGUAACCAUCAGUACAUAGAAUGGGUAUUUUUUCCAUUUACCAAGUCUUUUUAUUCGAUCUACAUGCUUUGUUUAUGCUAUGGAACUUUCCCAAGGUUUUACCUCGCCUCCAAGAUUUUGCCAUGGUUAUGGGCAUCAUUAGUUUAUUGUCGAUUCAUUCAUCAUUGAUCUUUUGGUUAAUUUGUUAACGUGCUGAUUCUGGAUUUGAUUAUUUGGUGAAUUGGCAGUGGCUUCUUUCUUCUUGGAGCAUUCAUUUUGUCUGAGGAUAAUUAAUACAAUGAAACUUGGUUAGUUGGCUACGUAGAGUAGGGUACUUGGGCUUUGUAUGGAGGACUGAUGAUCUAUUUUGCAGUCUUUUGAUCGUCAUCAGGAUGAACAAUGUAAUGAAAUUUUGACAACCUUCUGGGCACUUACUCGUUCUUCAGUUUAUUAUCUUUAUGGAGUGUCUAGAUGAUUAUUGUCCAGUUGUAAUUCUUUUAACAGGUCGAAAGUUCAUCUGGAUUUGACAGCUGAUGAUCAGACGUCCUUUAAUGGGGGCUGAAUUGAUGAUUUUUUGAAUGUAAGUUAGGUCCUGCUUAUUGGAUUUUAGGCAUUUAUUGGGUUGAAUGAAAUUUGUCCUCCACUUUUCUAGUUAAGGUAAAACGAUCAAUCAGUUCCAAGUUCCUCUUUUCCUUUGCAAGUCAGAGUUUGGUUGAGGCAACACUGUGCCUCAUGUGAAGUUGCAGCAUAAGCAUCAAUUCAUAGGACAAGCUCUUCUUGCAGAGUUCUUUCUUGUCUGCAAAGGUCACACAAGGUAUGGCUUGUUCCUCUUCAUUCUCAUGUGUGUGCUACAAUUUCAAAUUGGAUUCUAGUAAAUCAUAGAGAUAGUGUAUGUACGAUUGUAUGUGUCAUGCUUCUUUCCCUAGCCUAGAAUUGGCUCCAGCCAGUACCUAGUUUGCUCCUCUUUUGUUUUACACGUCUUCAAUGUCUUCUUUUGGUAUAGCGCAUAAGGUGCUUUCAUGCUUUUUCGGCACGAUUAGGUCCUCGGGUUGGUUGGACACUGUUAAUGGCUAUAUAUGUCUAUUUGUUGGUUUUCUUUGGUUAUUGAUACUAAGAGGACUUGUUGCUGAUAAAAUUGAACGACUUCAGUGCAUGCUGGUGGCAUCUUAUUUGAAAUGUCGAACUUCAGAUAUUUAUCAUGAUUUUUAUUCCAACAUCUUCUUAUUUUGUUCUAUCUGUCAAGCUUGAUGAGCCAAUUACUUUCUUGGUCUAAUUUUAGAAGCAUCUAGCUUAUUGCAAAAGCUUAAUUUCUUUCGUUUAGCAUUGCCUCUUUGGGACUGCCACAGUCAUGGUCAUCUUUACAGUCUACACUCCUUUUAUUAUUCUGUUUAUGGAUUUGUUAUUCAAUGGAUUGGAAGUAGCUUCUUUUCCGUUGGACCCCAUCUCUACUCGUCCGAGGAAGUUUGUGUAAGGCGUCUGAGCUUCGUUUGGGACUGACGACUCCUUUCGAUAAGGGUUGUCGGGUGAUGAAACUGAAAUGACGAUAACCUCCUGCAUGGAUACUUCUGCUCUGACUGAAAUUCAUUCUUAAUUAAGGCUUCAUUUGUUUCACUAAAAAUAUUUUCCUAGGAAAGCUUUUUCCACGAUUUUUCAUUAACCGGAAAAUACCCUUCUAAAACUAAGAAAAUGAUUUAUCGGGCUUCUUUGCGCAUCCUCUGUCUCCUUCUCCAUCUCGUGAUGGAGAGAGAUGGCGAGCUCAUCUCUUCCCUGCAAAUUUAAAGCCCUCUGCCUCAGCGCCUCUUCUUCUCCUUCUUCUUCUCGCAGUCGCAACGCUUUCAAUUCCCUCGGAUUCUCCGCUAGCCUCUUGCACGACGUUUUCUCCGGAGAAAACCUCGACGGCAACCUUCCGAUUCCACAGGCUGGCUUUAUUCCUCAAGUCUGACUUUCGUGUUCGGUCUUCGUUUUCAAGUCGUUUGUUGGUGAGCAAUGGCGAGAAGAACCCGCCCCAUUUCUCUAUCACGUGUGAGGCCACUCCGACGAAGAGGUCGGACUCCGCCGCCAAGAGGGCUCGCUAGGCCGAAAAGAGGCGCAUUUACAACAAAGCUCAUAAAUCUGAGAUUAGGACGCGUAUGAAGAAGGCGUUUGUUUCGGUUAAUUUGAUUACUGUGCGAAGCAUUCUAUAAUACGCGCUACCGGACCACCGUCCUUCGGUGAAGUCGUCCGAAUGAUUUUUGCUGUAUAUGCUGGGGUGGUGGUUCUGCUACAUCGAAUUUUGUUGAUUAGGUUGUGGCUAUUAAAUUUGUCAAAAUGAAUCUUAAACUCAUAUACGACCCAAUUUAAAACGUAAAUGAGUCUUAUAUGAGUCACUUAAUUUUGACAAGACCAUCUUAAAUGGGUUGAGUUUAGAACCCAUUUUCAAUUCAUUAACUCAACCCAUUAGGCUCAUUCACACUUUCUCUUCAUCUUUUAGAGAUAUUUAUAAAAAAAAUCGAAAUUCCUUUUUUUUUCUUUUCUUCUUCCUUCUUCCAUUUCCUUCACUAGUGGCUGGUGACGGCAACCGCUGGCUAGGUGAGCUUGAGCUCAUCGAUCGGGCAAGGCCGAGACCUCUCUGAGGUCAAUCCUCGCCAAUCCAGCGAGAAUUGACCUCGUCGACGACUGGGCGUAGACCUUGCCGAUUUAUCAAGGCUCGAGCUCGACCUCAAAUGAUAGGUGAAGCCUCAUCUGAGGUUGGCAAGGUUUGGCUUGCUAGCCAUCGCAGUGGCCGGUAAUCAGUGAAGGAAAAGGAAAAAGAAAAAAAAAAAAAAAGAGGCCAUCUUAAUAAAUGCAAAAAGGAAGUGGCAUGGAGCUCAUCUUAAUAAAUGCAAGGUGGUCUUUGUGAACUUGAGAAGAGAGGCCAACGUACAAGAUGUCUCUUUCCCAUGUGAGCAUCAUGAAGUGCAGUAAUAAUUAUUCUAUGGUCAUUGCAACCGGAUGAUGGAGACUCACUUCUACAUUAUAAAAGAGAGCAAGAGAUGUGGGACAAGAAUUGCACCGAGGUGGCUUAGAGAGCACCAAGUUCCUUUGGUGGCUAAGAGUGCACCAAGUCCUUGGUGGCUAGAGAGAAGAGAGUGCGCCAAGUUCUUUAGUGGGUGAGAGGGUUGAGUAUUGUUGUAAUUACACCUGAGUAAUUUAGCUAGACAAAUUCUAAAAUUUGUUUAAUUCCUUGAGUGAGGUUUCACUAAAAAUUGUGAGGGGCUAAAUACUCUGAACUUGAGAAGAGAGGCCAACAUACAAUAUGUCUCUUUCCUAUGUGAGCAUCUUGAAGUGCAAUAAUGAUUAUUCUAUGGUCAUUGCCACCAAAUGAUGAAGACUCACUUCUACAUUAUAAAAGAGAGCAAGAGAUGUGGGACAAGAAUUGCACCGAGGUGGCUUAGAGAGCACCAAGUUCCUUUGGUGGCUAAGAGUGCACCAAGUCCUUGGUGGCUAGAGAGAAGAGAGUGCGCCAAGUUCUUUAGUGGGUGAGAGGGUUGAGUAUUGUUGUAAUUACACCUGAGUAAUUUAGCUAGACAAAUUCUAAAAUUUGUUUAAUUCCUUGAGUGAGGUUUCACUAAAAAUUGUGAGGGGCUAAAUACUCUGAACUUGAGAAGAGAGGCCAACAUACAAUAUGUCUCUUUCCUAUGUGAGCAUCUUGAAGUGCAAUAAUGAUUAUUCUAUGGUCAUUGCCACCAAAUGAUGAAGACUCACUCCUACAUUAUAAAAGAGAGCAAGAGACGUGGGACAAGAAUUGUGCCGAGGUGGCCGAGAGAGCACCAAAUCCCUUUGGUGUCUAAGAGUGCGCCAAGUCCUUGGUGACUAGAGAGAAGAGUGCGCGCCAAGUUCUUUGGUGCUUGAGAGGGUUGAGUGUUGUUGUAAUUACACCCGAGUAAUUUAGCUAGACAAAUUCUUGUGAGUAGAAUUUGUUUAAUUCCUUGAGUGAGGUUUCACUAAGAAUUGUGAGGGGCUAAAUACUCUGAACUUGAGAAGAGAGGCCAAUGUACAAUAUGUAUUUUUCCCAUGUGAGCAUCAUGAAGUGCAAUAAUGAUUAUUCUUUGGUCAUUGCCACCGAAUGAUAAGACUCACUUCUACAUUAUAAAAGAGAGCAAGAGACGUGGGACAAGAAUUGCGCCGAGGUGGCCGAUAGAGCGCCAAGUUCUUUUGGUGGCUAAGAGUGCGCCAAGUCCUUGGUGGCUAGAGAGAAGAGAGUGCACCAAGUUCUUUGGUGGUUGAGAGGGGUGAGGAUUGUUGUAAUUACACCUGAGUAAUUUAGCUAGACAAAUUCUUGUGAGUAGAAUUUGUUUAAUUCCUUGAGUGAGGUUUCUUCAAGAAUUGUUAGGGGCUGGGAAACACUGAGAGAAUGUUUGAGUGCUCAAGUGAUUGUAAUCUCCAUUGUCUCACUUGUUUUUUAGUGGAAUUCCAUACUGCUCUUCCCAUGAACAUAAGUUCUGAUAUUCAAACCGUAUCACAUAAAUUUGAUGGUCAAUUUCCUUUCCCUCCUUCCAAAUAAUUUUAUCCUACUCGUUUGUCUAUAUUCACAACAAUUGAUAUCAAAGCUAGUGUUGGCUAACGUGAAGCGAAUUGAUAACGAUGGAGGAAGAAAAGGUGAGAAUCACCGAUUUGACGGGAACGAUUUUGCUUUCUAGAAGAUGCAGAUUGAAGAUUAUCUGUACUAGAGAAAUUUGCACUUACCAUUAUAUGGGGAGAAACCAUAAUCAAUGAAGUAUGCCAAGUGGGAAUUGCUAGAUAGACAAGUGAUGGGUGUUACUCUGUUGAUGUUGGCUCGUAACAUCAUGUUUAAUAUCGUGAAGGGGAAAACCACUACGGAACUAAUGAAAGCCCUGUCAAAUAUGUACAAGAAGCCCUCCGUGAUCCAAAAGGUCUAUUUGAUGCAACAUAUGUUUUACUUAAAAUGGGCAAAGAUACAUUAGUGGUUGAGCAUAUCAAUGAAUUCAAUGAAGUCGUUAACCAAUUGAAUUUGGUUGAAAUCAACUUUGACGAUGAGAGAUGUGCACCGAUUUGGUUGAAAUCAACGUUGAAGAUGAGAUAUGUGCGCUGAUUCUAUCAUCCUCAUUACCUGAUAAUUGGAAUACUACUAUUACUGUUGCUAAUAAUUCAUUUGGGUCAAGGAGCUUGACAUUUGAUGAGGUUCAUAAUUUGAUUUUGAGUGAAGACAUUCUUAGGAAAAAAUUUAGUGAACCUAUACCUAUUGCCUUAGUAGGUGAAAGUAGAAGAACAACUAAUACAUGUGUUAAUAAGAGUAGUAUAAAUACGAAUAGAUGUAGUCAAUUUAGGAUUAUAGGAGUUGUCUAUUGGACUUGUGGCAGGAGUGGGCAUGGUAGAAGAGACUCUAUUAUGCUGAAAAAUGAAAAGGGUAAGAGAAUUAGAGUUGAGUCUAUAGAAUAAUUCUGAUAAUGUAGAUUGUGUCUUGUCUAUCAUUGAGGAUUCAUCAUUUGAUGGAUGGAUAAUGGAUUUUGGUUGUUCAUUUCACGCUACACCAAAUUGGAACUAGUUUAUCACUUAUCAGUGCACGGAAAAUGGUAAAGUCCAGUUAGCAAACAACACUGAGCAUGAUGUUGUGGGUGUUGGUGAUGUUAACAUCAAAAUGUAUGAUGGUAUUGUGAGGACAUUGACCAGAGUAAGUCACAUCCCGAAGUUGAAAAAGAAUUUAAUUUCCUUAGGUUCCUUAGGUUCAGUUGGCUAUGGGUAUUUUUUAGAAGGUGGAAUGUAAAGGUUAUUUGAGGUGCCCUGGUGAUAUUGAGAGGAAUCAAGCACGGAAACAUGUAUGAACUUCAAGGUGAGACAGUGACAGGUUUCAGUUUGAAGACAUCAAAUACAUCUGUUCAAGAGUCUAUCAACUACUUGAUAAAGACCUGGGCGUUUGUACCGAUGCACAAAUUUGAUGCCGUUGUCAGGAACAUACAAUUGAAAACUUUGAUUGAGAUGAAGACUGAUUAGUCGAUCAAGCAUAUGUGAAAUAAUAAUAGCAUGGAAGUUUGCUCAAAGCUAGUAAAUAAAUUCUGCAUGAAGGAAGGCAUAAUGAAACACCGCACUAAUACCAAUAAACCAUAACAAUUUUUUGCAAAAUUGAUUAGCAAAUCAUUAUUAAAGACUGACGGUAGAAUGAUCUCUAGUGCUGGUGUUGGUAGGAGAAUCUUGGCUGACAUGCUUAGUAUGGUGAGCUACUAGGUAAAUACAUCCCCAUCAAUUGCUAAUGAUUGGUGGACUCCCGAAGAAGUAUGGUCAAGUAAUGUUACUAGUUAUUCUAUUCUUAGAAUGUUUAGUUGCGCGUGUUAUUUUCGAGUGAAUGAUGGUAAGCUCGAUGGGAGGGCAAGGCAUAUUCCAUGGCUAUGCAUAAAGCGGGGCAGUCAAUUGUGGUGCCCUGAUAUAAAAUCACCUGUUAAUAGCAGAGAAGUUACCUUUGACAAGUCUCCAAUACUUUUGGCUAAGAGUGUUUGUGGCAGUGUUGAUAUGGAUCUGGACGGUGUUUAGCUCAAGGUGAAGUUACAACCAGAAACUCUUUAGGUAGUAGGUACUAGUAGAAUAAUUGACACAUAUGAUACUAGUAGCGAGAUGGAGUUAGUAAAGCCAACGGUUGCUUUAGUUACUAAAUUUGACAAUGUGCAUGUUUGACCUUCUGUCAAAUACGAAAGCAACGAUGGUUUUGUUUUAUUUGUGGUACCGGAGGUUAUGUCGAAAAUCCUUAUGGACUAGCUAACUAUGCAAGUGGAGUUGGCAUCUUGAUAAGGUCCACGGUUGUGGUAAAAUUUAAGUGUGGCUCAAACUUGGAAGCACUUUGUGGUGGUUGAUCCCAUUGGGGCUGUGGGAGAGUAGUGGCGAGUUUUUCAUUGAAGCGAUUGUGACUUGACUUAAACGUCGAGCCAAGGUGGAGAUUGUUUAAAAUAUGUCUUGAGUUUGAGCAUAUUAAACAAUACUCGAUGUAAAAAAAUAAGACUGACCGACCUUGUGAUUUUGUAAGACUUCUUCUUCGAUCCAGCUACACAUGAUUGCAUUUAUGUUUAGCCCCUACUGUGAUAAGAAGAAAAUUGCGUAUGGAUUUCAUUUUGCAUUUAUCUCUCUACAUGUGUAGAAAGCAGUAAAAAAAACUUGCGUGUUUUAUUGACUCUCUUUCCUCGGUUCUAUGCGGAGCUGUGAUCGAAGUCAAUGAAGAGACUUGCCCAAGCACUAAAUAUGGGAAUUCCUCUAUCUACGUAUGAAAUAAAGGAAUCCCUGUGAAGAAGCACGUGGAGGCUUCAGUCGGAAGAGCAAUUAAAAAGGAAGUUGCUUGGAGCCCAUCUUAAUAAAUGCAAGGUGGACUUUUUGAACCUGAGAAGAGAGACCAAUAUACAAGAUGUCUCUUUCCCAUGCGAGCAUCAUGAAGUGUACAAUGGUCAUUGCCACUGAAUGAUGAAGACUUACUUUUGCAUUACAAAAGAGAGUGACAGACGUGGAACAAGAAUUGUGCCAAGGUGGCCGAGAGAGCAUCAAGUCCCUUUGGUGGCCAAGAGUGCGCCAAGUCCUUGGUAGCUACAGAGAAGAGUGUGCCAAGUUCUUUGGUAGUUGAGAGGGUUGAGUAUUGUUGUAAUUACACCUGAGUGAUUUAGCCAAAUAAAUUCUUGUGACUAGAAUUUGUUUAAUUCCUCGAGAAAAGUUUUACUAGAAAUUGCAAGAGGCUAAACACUGUGAAUUAUUAGGUGUAACUGGGGGCUGAGAAAUACUAAGAGUGUUUGAGAGCUCAAGUGAUUGUAAUUUCCAUCAUAUCACUUGUUUCUAUAGUGGAAUUUCUAUGCCGCUCUCCCAUGAAUGUACGUUUUGAUAUUCGAACCAAACCACGUAAAUCUGGUAUUCGAUUUCCUUUCCUCCCUUCGGACUAAUUUUAUCCAAUUUCUUGUCUAUAUUCACAAUAGAUCUCCUCAUGCUAGAUAACACAGCCUCAUCUUCUCUCGGCCACUCCAAGAUAAACCCCAUCGCUUCUUGAGAUGGAAAGAAGUAGGUGUAACGAUAUUCUUGGAAGAACGAGUUUACAAGAAUAUAGGACUUCCAAGCGUUGACGGAUAAUCUCGGAUUCAAUAUUAGGAUUUGGAUUUAGUUUUCUACUUAAAUACACAUCGUGUGAAAACUGGAAUUUUUCUUAGAUCAAAUUGUUGUUCCAGCCCAGUUCUUUAGUUUAACAGUACUGGCGCAAAUCUAUCUAUGAAGAAAAUCGGUGCUUGGUUUAUAAACUAUGUAGACCAACGCUACAUCAAUCAUUAAUUAUGUGGGUCCGAGAAUGUGAGAUUCAUAUGAUGGACAGCCUUGACAUUGGAUCUCCAUGCUAUGCAUAUUUGGGUAUAUUGAGUAGUCUCUAAAGCACUUACACCAGGUGGCUCGAUCGUAUGACAUAGUCAAAUGAUGAAGUCUCUUUGCAUAUCAAAGCUAAGACAUAAUAUGAAUAAUGAAAAGUAAUACACUAACCAGCAAACUCAUAUAAUGCUCCGGUUUAAUUUCUGCUAAGACAUAAUAUGAAUAAUGAAAAGUAAUAAACUAGCCAGCAAACUUGUAGGACGCUCGGGUUUAACUUCUGCUAAUGUAGGCAUUCCCUUUCCAAUUUGUAGCACCAGAUUUUUGCCACUGCCAAACUCACAGCUUGAACUGCUGCAGAGCUGAAGUCCCAUCGCCUUUCGCAUUCGCGCUGAAGUGGGAAACGUACUCCAUGAUGGUGGUUUCUCUGUACUUUGGUGGAUCGCCCUCGGAAAUCAACUCCUUAAUGGGUCCGUACAGUUUUGGUGAUGGCGGCGUUGCUGUGUAGAAGAAGCACGCCACAGACGCUCUCGGCCCCAUGUUGUUCGCCACAACUCUGUGCUCGGAGCUCUUGAAUAUGUCAUUUGAGAUAAGCUGAAAAAAAUAGUCUGGUUUGUGAUUAGAAGUGCACACUCAACUGCUGGAUAAAGAGUUAAGGCAUAAAGUGCUGUUUGUUGAUUCAUUCGUGUGCCUAACAGGGUCUCUAGUGAUAAAACGUAGGGAGAGAGAGUACGUUAGGUGAGACUUGCCUGAAGCAGAUCACCGAUGUUAACUAUCAGUGCUCCUGGCACGGGGCUCACAUCGAUCCACUGAUUCUGAUAAAGAACUUGGAGGCCUCCGACAUGGUCUUGCAGGAGCACGGUGAGGAAGUCGCUGUCUGUGUGCCUGCUGGUCCCCAGAGUGAGCUCUGGUUGUGGGCAUUUGGAGUAGUACUGGUUCAGAAGGACGAGUCCCUUGGCGCACUCCAUGUCCUUCAGAUGGUUCGGCUUCAACCCCAGCGCCUCCGACAGUAGUUCGAACAAGGUGGUUCCCAAAUUCAUCACUCGCUUCGAGAAUUCCAGCAUUAUGUCACUAGGGUGUUCAAAAAUUUAGUGGGUCAAUUCGUCACAAAUUCCUAGUCCGUUAGAAGCAGACACCCCAACAAGUUAUUAUAAGAGAUUGCGGUUAUAUAUUCUGUGGAAUAGCUUACCCGCAUACCGCUGGCAACUCCUCUGCCUCGAGAGCAUUAGGUGCCAUAACACAGAACAGGGUGUCCCUCCAAUUAGCCGCCUCUGUUUUAUACAGAUUGAAAUUGCUGUGGUAGGCGACGCUUGUCGUGAAAUCUCGGGAAUAGAACCGUCUCUUCUCUUCAGCACCUUGCUCAUGGAAACGGCGCACUCCAUCCAGCAUCUCCUCCAGAACAGUCGUGGGGAUCCCGUGAUUCACCACCUGAAAGAAGCCCCAUGUUUUGGAUGCACUUCGAACUUCAUUUACAACCUCCUUGCGCCGAGAUGGAUCUUUCACAAUAUCUGCGAGGUCAACUAUAGGAACAUGGAAGUGGCCGUUGCUCGAUGCCAGUGCACUUUGCAGGUUCUCCGGGUGAUCUACGAAAAUGCGAGGAACUUCUGUAAUCCCAGCAUCAACAAGGCCCUUGACACCUGCCAUUGAUUCAUCGAAAGCCUUUUUCUCGCGCAUCCGAUCGUACUUCUGUGUUUUUUCAUGCGCUUCAUCUCUGCUGAACACUUCCAUUUUUCUUCCUUAGUGAAAACACUUGAGGGUUCCAAGUCCGAUCUUACAUUAAAUAUGGGAGAAAUCGAAAGACAAAGGUCCUGUGGUAUUUAAUGACUGGAUCCAAAAACAGUUGAGAAGAAAGAAAAAUAUUUAAUGACUGGAUCUAAAAACAGUUGAGAAGAAAGAAAGAGAACAAUUAUGUACAUGGCAUCACAAUGAAAGCGGAAAAAGUAUCAAAAUAGUCAUAAACCUUUUGUAUUGGUACCAAGUCAGUCUAAAACUUUUCAAUUGGACCAAUUUCGUCAUAAACCUUUUCAUAUUGGUAACAAUUUAGUCUAUCCAGCUAAUUUAAGUUGGAAAUUGCAAAUGUGGUCGCCGACGGUCUUAUGUGACCGACCAUCGCUGGCCACAAGCUGGUCGGGGCGAGUAAGACCGUCGGCGACCACAUUUGCAAUUUAAACUUAAAUUAGCUGGACGCCGUCACUUGUGGCCGGCGAGGGCGGGGGCCCCUUGCCUUGACCAGCCUGUGGCUGGUGAUGGUCGGCAGGCCAACAACCUCACCGACCAAGGGCUAAGGAGAAAAGAAAAAGAAAAAGAAUUAGAAAAAUAUAAUUUAAAAAAUUAUAAAAUUUGUCCACGUGGCAUCACAUAAGAUUGCCAGCGACCACAUCAGUAAUUUCUGGCUUAAAUUAGCAAGAUGGACUGAAUUGGUACUAAUAUGAAAAGAUUAAGGACUAAAUUUGUCUAAUUGAAAAGUUUUUAANNNNNNNNNNNNNNNNNNNNNNNNNNNNNNNNNNNNNNNNNNNNNNNNNNNNNNNNNNNNNNNNNNNNNNNNNNNNNNNNNNNNNNNNNNNNNNNNNNNNNNNNNNNNNNNNNNNNNNNNNNNNNNNNNNNNNNNNNNNNNNNNNNNNNNNNNNNNNNNNNNNNNNNNNNNNNNNNNNNNNNNNNNNNNNNNNNNNNNNNNNNNNNNNNNNNNNNNNNNNNNNNNNNNNNNNNNNUUAUUCUCUUGUGCCUCGGCCUCCCCCUCAGCCACCAAGUCCGCCAUAUCCUCCACAACUUCCUCCAUCACUCCUAAUUCCAUUGCUAAUUUUAGAUUGGGACACAAGAGCUGAACUAUCUAUCAUAGAUGUACCCUAAAAAGACUCACGAGAUACUCGAAGAACCCGUGCAAAUGUAUCAAUGAGUAACGCAACAGUCUCUCCCCCAAUGAAACCUAAUAGUUUCAUAUUUAGGGCCUAGAUCUCCUAAAAAUCCCAUCAAACAAUUGAAAAGGGGGUCAUCAUCUUGGACCACAUAAGUUAUGAGGAACAUUAGCCAGCUCAUCUUCUAUACUUGAGUACUUCAACGACUUAAUGAGCAUCAUCUAUAUCUAUGUCCGACCGGCCACAGCCAGUUCUGAAACUGAUGUCCAAGUGUAAUUCCCAUCUGCAAAUUGAUAUCAAAUUGAUUUCUGCAGAUUAAAUCAAUUUGCUUGUUCAAAUAAGAAGUCUAUAGCAACAUAGGCUCUCAAUAUGGUCCUUCGACACAAUGAUAGCAUGAAAAAACAUCCUGUUCCAUACACAAUCAAUACAAAUGGCUACUGAGCAAAUUGAAAUUCUAAAACUUGUACUGACGACACUAAUUGUUCAAGAAGGAUUCUGCAUCUCUUCCUUACAGAAAACAUAGAGUUCACAGCUUGAAGUGUUUGAGAGGGGAAGUUUCAUCAAGGCCAUGUUCAUUGAAGUGGGCAAGAUAGUCCCUCACUGUGGUCUCUUUGUAGAUUGGAGGACUGUCCUCGAACGACAGUUCCCUAAUAGGCCCAAAAAGCUUCAAUGACGACUGGAAGCUCGUGCUGAAAUUGUAUCUACUUUCACUCAAAAGUUAAAAUUAACAAGUUAUGGUCCACCAAAUGACUUACAUCACACGAAUUAUUCAAUGUGGGAUUUCUAUAGCAAAACCAAAAAGUUGGCUUUGUUUAUGUGAAAAACAACUUAUUUUAACUUUGCAGUCUAAAAGGCAUUGUUGCCUCCAGGACCGGGACCGCAUUAAUGGAGUUAAAUCUUUCUUUCUUGCUCUCUCUUACAACGAAGAAUACAAGACUGACAAGCAGGAAUACAAUGAAGAUGUUGCUUGGAGUUGUAGAGGAAGACGCAGCUAAGAAAAGACGAGGACAAGUUAUCUUGAAAAGAAAGAUGAUGCUGGGAAUUUCAGGACCCUCGCAUUGUUGGAACACGAAGAAACAACAAUGGGAGGAUCCUUAAAAAUGGGAGCCCGAGAGGAUUUCUCAAUGAGCAAGUCAUGCUGGUAUUGUGCAGCAAUUGGAAGACUGGGACAGGGAUUCAAAUGGCGAGUUAAAGAUGACGAGCAAGGAAUGUUGAUAAGAGGAAUCUGAUGACUCGUUAGCUAUAUCGAAUACAAGCAAUAAUAAAGCCAAGACGGCGACUGCUCCAAGCUUGAAGUGACUGAGAAACGACGUGGAAUGAGGAAGCAAGUUAAUACAAAGAUAUGCUGAAACUUCAAUUGAAAGUGGCCUUGUAUCAUCCCCUAAACUAUACUUAAAAGAGGGAGAAAAGCAUACCCCAAUGUUACAUGAUCGAAACUGAAUAGAAACUCACCAAAGUGGCGAUUUAGGCUAGCCAAAUGCCCCAUGAGAACGCUCCUAAAAAAGGGUUGUUCUACCGUGUCGUGCCCCUGCACAUGGCAAUCCAUCGUGCCCGAGCUGUAGGCUAACAUAAAACAUUAGUGAUCUAACCAUCAAAAUUGUUAAUGACAUUCAACUGCUAAUAUCGUAGAUAAAGCAUUACACUCUUAGGUAAGAUAGGAAACCCUGCCACAGCUGUGAAAAAUACGUGAAGCACUAAAACACCGAUUUCAAAAGAGUAGUCUUCCUCAUGAUAGUUUAUUUGAAAUAUAAUCCAACUAAUUAUCCACGACCAUAAAAACAAAGCUCGCAAAUGAGCACUUCCAAUUCACACCCCCCCCCCCCCCCCCCCCUUCUUCAUUCAUGAUCUUAAAACAUCAUAGAUCAGUCGAACAAGAUAAUCCUCUACAGAGUUUCACUUUGGAUCAGUAAACUCGGCGACUCAGGCAACUCACAGAUUGGAGGGAUCAACAAGAACAAGUACGGUAAACCUAACCAUGAUUCCCUUUCUUAUUUUUCCUUCGAAAGCAGAAAGCCUCUUCUAAAUGCACAAUAGUUACAUAAGCACGAGCUUGCCAGGCACUACAAACAUAUACUCUAUUCAAUUUAACCACAUCUGGAUGCUUUGCCAGGGAGCUAAUGCGCUGAAAAGCUACACAGAUCAAAUGUAUCCGACUGUCAUUCAAGAGAGAACAUCCUUGAAUUGUCGUAUUUCAUAGCUUGAAAUGUUCCAGUGCAGAUACACCAUUAAGUCCUUUUGCAUAGUAGUGAGUGACGAGGUCCUUCACUGUAGUUUCCCGAUAAAUUGGGGGAUUUUCUUCUGAUAGCCGCUCCUCGAUAGGGCCAUACAACCUUGAAGAAUUCUCUGGAGGGAGAUGCUGCCUCAUUAAACACGCCACUGAAAUCCUUGGCCCGAUUUUCUGGGCUAGAACUCUGUGACUCACGCUAAUGAACUCAUCAUUCGAGAUCAGCUGCAAGAUGGAGGAGGACAUGGCAAAGUGAAGACCAAAUACUCUGGAAUAUGGAUCACACAUAAAUAUAGCAUACGUAAUCAAACUUGUUUAAAAGGGCCAAAUUUUAUCAAGUCAUUCUCACAUGUACUCCUAGCACAGUUGUCAAAAUAAUUAGCUAAGACCAAAAGAUUGUGAAGACAAACAACAUUCACAUAGAAAUAUCAUAAAAACGGAAUUGACUUACCUCAGUUAAUGUUGCAAGAGCUAACUGGAAGUUCCACAGUUGUAAACAGGAUACUCUACAAUCCAUCUGUUAGACCUCUACACCGACUUAGGGAAGUAUUUGGCAUCUCUAACACACUACAAAACAGUUAGGAUAGAAGAACAUAGAUGAAAGAGCUAUCUUCCAUUUCACUUAUUCAGAUUGUAACACCAGAUGUGUGUCCAUGGACUAUGAUAACAAAUUGACUGAAGGACCUACUCGUUAGAUCAGCCACACAAAAAAGCACAGAUUGGGCUAGAAAUGCAUUGGCUAAUGUGAGAACAUUGAAACAAGAAACUAACUGAUAGAAAUGUAAACUGCAAAACUCUGAUAAACGGACCUGCAUCAAGUCUCCCAAGUUUAUUACAAGGGCUCCAGGAAUUGGGGAAACGUCGAUCCAUUGGUUCUGAUGGUGGACCUGGAGACCACCAAUUUGGUCUUGGAGAAGAAUGGUGAGAAAGCCACUAUCAGUAUGAUCACCAGUCCCAAGGGUUAAGUCCGGUUCUGGGCAUGCUGGAUAGUAAUGGCCGACAAAGAAGAGUCCCUCCCCACAGUGGAUAGUUUUCAGGUAGCUAGGGUCGAGGCCAAGAGCUUCCGACAGUAAUUCAAAUAUGGUAUCUGACAAUUCCAGAAUUCUGUCCUUGUACUCAAUUAUUACGUCUCUGCAAGUCGAUUGGUUACAGAGAACAGGUGAUUAGUCAAAUGCCGUGGAACAUCAGAAGAUCAAUCUUUAUCCCACUCUCUCAAAGACCAGGUCUAUUUACUCUGCAUAAAAAAAUCAAGCUUCUAAAAUACAAGUCCAUAAUUCGUGUAACAGAGCAGCCAUUCUUGCAGACCAAAGAGGAAGAACAGAAAACGCAAUUAGUUUUUCCAUUUAAACUGAAUCUAUCGGCACUCCGACUCUGAAUCCCCCAAAGAUCUACGCCCCACAUGAUCGUUUCCUUCAACUGAUCUAUGACCCCAAAGCCCCUUGAGAAAAUGGCAGGAACUCCUGGCACACCAAGCACACGUUUCGCCAGGGCCAAGAAGCAGCUCCAUCUAUUCCGAAAGCCCCAUUUUUUUACUUAAUUAUCAGAUCUUAAAUCUUAUUUAGGAUUGAGCUUCCUGGCUCUCUUUCUUUUCUUCCACUGAAUUGCUAUGCGUCAAAGAAAACUAUCAUGGAACUUUCAAUUCCUCUCACAGGACACAAGUGGGUAUCGCAAGCCUAAAUUUGAAAGCUUUUAUAUCGCUAGUCCCAAAACUAGAAUUAGUUUCAGCCCUUCAAGCACGCACACGCAAAGAUUACCGACAGACAGCAGGCAAUUCCUGAGGAUCCGGACUACGGGGAGCCAAGACGCGGCUCAGCGUGUCCCUCCAGUUUGCCGCCGGGGCCCGGUACAGGUCGAAGUUGCUGUUGUACAGCACCUUCCUCCCGCCGUAAUCCCGCGAGUACCACUCGCGCUUCGCCUCGAGGUCCUGCUCGUGGAACCUCCGGAUCCCUUCCACCAUCUCCUCCGUGAGAGCCGCCGGCACGCCGUGGUUCACCACCUGGAAGAAACUGUUGGAGAAAUCUCAGUGAAAGUGUUUUGAAGUUGACAAAACGUAUCCAUCAGUCUAGUCUGAAAGUCUGCAGACUCUGUUAGUUAAAGUCUGAAGACUUUCGGACAGCCAGACUCAAGACUCAAAGUCUAUCCUCAUUGACAGUCUCUAAUCCGUUGAAAAAAGGUUAUCCAGAACUGGAUGUUUUGUUCAGGAUUUAACCUUAUCAUCUGGAGAAGAUCUCGUGGCUAGAGAAGACGUAUCAGAAUCCUUUGAUUGAUCAAGUUUGAUUCAAUGACUGAAGAUUCGAUGAUUGUCUAAAUAUUAUUGGAAGGUUCUACUUAUGGAAACCGAGAUCCUGAUUGUAUGGGCGAACAAGAUUGAUGGGCUAUCAACACGUUCCUUUAAUAGCUCGAACAAUCUUCCUAAUUGAUUCCAUCCAACGGGUAGAUUGGAGGAAUUCCUUUGGUAAGUGCCAACGGGUAUGAUGGCAUAAAGGAGUAUAUAAGGAAGACGUUCUUAGUUGUUCGAGGUGUGCGCGAUAGAAGAAUUCCAAAGUCUGAAGCUCUUAUUUGUUUAGAUAAAUCCUUUGAGCGAAUACUUGUAUACAAAAGAGAGUCUAUAUUUGUGAGAGACCUUGAGGAGGUGUGGUAGAACAUCUACACUGUGGAAUCAAGGCAAAGAUGUGCUAUAACUUCUCUUUUGAUCAUAGUGAAAUCUAGCCGGUGGGCUGUCAGUGCGGAAGAGUGGACGUAGGCUUGGAAUAAGCUGAACCACUAUAAAUCCUGUGUUCAAAUUUCUCUCUCUCUAUCUCGAUCGUAUUUCAUUUUGUUAAGAAUUGCUUUCGUAUUUGGGACAAAUUUUUUGUGCGCCUAUUCACCCCCCUCUAGGUGUUUAUACUAGCAAUAUCAAUUGGUAUCAAAGCCUGUGUACUUACUUUAUUUGAAGUGUUUUACUUCAUAGUAAAAGAUACAUGGCUAGUAUGCUAGCACCAGGGCUGAUGGAAGGGCAAAGCAAUACCAGACCACCCUACUUUGAUGGAAAGGAUUACAACAUCUGGAAGAACAAGAUGAAAGCUUUCCUACGAUCAAAGGAUCCUCUGGAAUGGGAUGUCAUAGAAAAAGGAAUUACUCCUACCACUGCAUCAGUCUCUGAAAGAGGAAAAGAAACUGAAGAAUCCAGCGGAAUGUCUCAGGAAGAAAUAACCAAGAGACAAACACUCGAUGCAAAAGCAAUUUACUCCUUAUAUUGUGCUUUAUCACCAACUGAAUAUAAUAGAAUAUCUUCUUGUGGUACAGCAAAAAAAGUUUGGGACAGAUUGCAUAUCACCUAUGAAGGAACAGAUCGAGUGAAGGAAACAACAUUCAACAUUCUUCUUGGUCAAUACGAAGCCUUCAGAAUGAAACCAGGAGAAUCAAUAUCUGACAUGUUUAGUCGUUUUACAGAUAUUGUGAAUGGUCUUGAAAAUCAAGGUCAACCAACUUCUGAUCCCAUGAAGGUAAACAAGCUACUGCGUGGACUCUCCAGGGAUUGGAAUCACAUAAAGACUUCGAUAAGAGAGACGCAGAGAAUUAUGCCACUAUCUGUUGACGAGCUGAUUGGAACUCUUCAGUCCUAUGAAGUGGAAAGGAUCAAUGAAGAUGAAGAUCCAAAAGAUAAGAAAUCCAUUGCAUUAAAAUCAAAUGAUGAUUCUGAUGAUACAGAUUCUGAAGAUGAUAUGGACGAUGAGGAGCUUGCUCUCAUGAUAAGAAGAUUCAGAAAACUAAAUAGAAAAGGAAGAAGGUUCAACUCAAAGAAACAAAGUUUUCAAAGAUAGCAGACCAAGUCUGUUGAUGAUGAGGAACCAAAUAAAGAUGUAGUCUGCUUUGAAUGCAAGAAAAAGGGACAUAUCAGACCCAACUGUCCUCUUCUGAAGAAGAAGAAAGGAAAAGCUGAAAAAUUUCGAAAAGCUCUCAAAGCUGAAACCUGGAAUGAUACUGAGUGUGAAGAAAGUGAUAAUGAAUAUGCCAAUCUAUGUCUGAUGGCACAAUAAGACUCAGACUCUGGAUCAGACUCAGGAUCAGACUCAAACAGUGAAUUUGAGGCAAGUAAUUUUAAAAUUCCUGUCAAAGUUUCUAAAUAUAUUGAUGAACUAUGCUUUAGUCUUAAGACUUCUCUCAAAAGAAUUUCGAAACUAAAAAAGGAAAACUCAGCUCUAAAACAAAAGGAAAAUGUUUUAGCAGAAAAAGUUAAAAGUCUAGACUUGUCUGUUUCCUAUCUUAAAGAAAAUGAAGAAAAUCUUUUAAAAGAAAAUACUUUUUUAAAAACAGAUUUAUCAAAUAUAUCAAAGAAAUUUUCUAUAGGGUCUGAAAAACUUGAAAAAAUUCUUUCAGCACAAAGACCUUACUUCAAUAAGUCUGGUCUAGGUAUGACAGAAGAAACAAUUCCCUUGAUUGAUUUUCCUAAAGUAAAAGAAAGAAUUAAGAAAAGGCUUUCGAGUGAGGUUUACAAAAAUCACUUCAAGAAAGUUUUUGUAAAACCUAUAGGAAGAAAUGCUCUCAGAUGUUCUAAGUGCAACAGUCCGGAUCAUUUUGAAAAAGAGUGUCCUAUGGUAUGGAAACCUGUUAAGAAAGUAUGGGCUAAUACUGUUUAUCUUACUAACACCAAAGGACCCAAGAAAAUUUGGGUACCAAAGAAAGCUUGAGACUUUAUUUUAAAUGCAGGUCUCCGUCAAGAAACAGGUAAAGUGGUAUCUUGACAGCGGAUGCUCAAGACACAUGACAGGAGACUCAAAUUGUUUUAUAAAGCUUGCUCAAGUAGAUGGUGGAAAAGUUUCAUUUGGAGGAAACAGCAAAAGGAAGUAUUGUGGGAUUUGGAACCGUGAAAAUUGGAACUCUCACAAUAAGUAAUGUUUCCUUAGUGGAAGGACUCAAUUACAAUCUUCUCAACAUUAGUCAAUUGUGUGAUACUGGUUUCAAGAUCUUCUUUCAAGAAUGAACAUGUUCUGGAAUCAGUAAAGACUCUACUCAGUCUUUCAUGGGUCGAAGACAUGGAAAUAUUUAUCUUCUGGAUGUGAAACCAAAUGAAUCGCAAUGCCUUAUCUCAAUUCAAGACGAAGCAAGCUUAUGGCACAAAAAGCUAGGUCAUGUCAACAUGAAGCAAUUAGCCAAAAUCUCAUCAAAGCAGCUUGUUCGAGGUCUACCAAAAUUGCCAUACCAAAAGACUGAUUCAUGCACUCCAUGUAUUCUGGGAAAGCAAGUAAGAAAUUCUUUUAAGCCAAUAAAUUAUGUCUCUACUAAUCAUGUACUACAGUUGCUGUAUAUGGAUCUCUUCGGACCAACCAGAACUCAGAGUAUUGGGGGUAAGAAGUAUUGCCUAGUAAUUGUUGAUGAUUACUCCCGUUUUACUUGGGUAUAUUUCCUUUCAAGUAAGUCCGAAACCUUUUCGUAUUUUGAAAAAUUUGCUAAAAAGGUUCAAAAUGAAAAAGGAUGUGUUAUCUCUAGUAUAAGAACAGAUCAUGGAGGUGAAUUUGAAAAUCAAGAUUUUACAAAAUUCUGUGAUGAAUCUGGCUUUAAGCAUGUGUUCUCCUCUCCAGGUGUGCGCGAUAGAAGAAUUCCAAAGUCUGAAACUCUUAUUUGUUUAGAUAAAUCCUUUGAGCGAAUACUUGUAUACAAAAGAGAGUCUAUAUUUGUGAGAGACCUUGAGGAGGUGUGGUAGAACAUCUACACUAUGGAAUCAAGGCAAAGCUGUGCUGUAACUUCUCUUUUGAUCAUAGUGAAAUCCAGUCGGUGGGCUGUCAGUGCGGAAGAGUGGACGUAAGCUUGGAAUAAGCUGAACCACUAUAAAUCCUGUGUUCAAAUUUCUCUCUCUCUAUCUCGAUCGUAUUUCAUUUUGUUAAGAAUUGCUUUCGUAUUUGGGACAAAUUGUUUGUGCGCCUAUUCACCCCCCCUCUAGGUGUUUAUAUUAGCAAUAUCAGAAACCCCACGUCUCGCAGGCUUCCCGGACCAGGCCGACCGUCCGCUUCCGCUCACCGGGCUCCAGCCCCGGCCCGCACCUCCGAAGUCCACGACCGGAAUGCUCGGGCUCGGUCUUGGCAACUCUGAGGCGCGGUCGAGCUCGAGGUCGAGGUGGUCGUGGACGAAGAAUCUUGGUAUCUUGGUCAGCCCGGCGUCGGCGAGGCCCUUGACGCCGGCCUUCAAGUCGUCGAAGGACUUCAGCUCGGCUUGCCGAUCGUAACCACCGUCGGGGGCGAGUAUCAGCUCCGGUGCCAUCUCUCUUUUCUUCCGGCACAGGAGUCAGCGGCAGCGCAAGCGAAGUGAGGCAAAGAGAAUGAGAGAAAUCUCAAGAAGACCAUAUUGGAAGAUAAUUUCCGACGGUGGAGUGCUCGGAAAUGCGUCCGCCUGGAGGCUCUUGUCGUUUCUGGCGAACAUUGGUCGAUCCAUGGAACUCCAUUGUCAACUCAAGCUUGCGUAGGCCAGCCAGCCAUAGUGAUCCGCAGGAAAGGGAGGGAAAAUGAUAUAAAAUUUCUGAAUUUUGACUUAAUAUGUAAAAUAAUCUUUAAAAUUUUAAUUUAUUCAAUAUAAAUUAUGAAUUAAAUUAAAUCUAAUUUAAUUCAUAAUUUAAUAUGUAAAAGACUAUAUUGUAUAUUAGGAUAAAAUCUGUAGAUUAUAUUGAAUAAAUUAAAAGUUCAAUGACCGUAUUAUAAAUUAAGCUAAAUUCAAGAUCAUUUAUGUAGUUAUCUCAUAAUUGUAACCAUACAUUCUAUAGUGGAUGUUUCUAGUGCAAUGAAUAUGAGAUUUUUUUAUGUAACGUGAGUGACUAACACCAAUCACCCCUUAUCAUCUUUUUUUUUAUAAUCAAACCGCUGUUGUCGUCUUGUGAUUUUGAGCAUGACAAGAUAUGCAAAAAUUGAGAAAUAUUAAAAAAGUAAAAACACAGUUCGAGAAGCCACUGCUGCUAGACAGAAGAGACAACGCUCUUCAAUAUUCUAUUUUUGCAAUGAUUUGAGAGCAUUUGUCACGUUGUAAAUUGUAAUUCUCGAAUUAUGUAAGUUGAAAUAAGUGGCACGUCUUACUUCCUAAUUUGAAUUUAUGAUAUAUUGAGUAAAAUCUCAUGAAAUACUUGUGUCAAGUGACUUGAUCAAAUGACAUCAUCUCUGUAUUGGAAACACUUAUAUAUACCUAUCUUGAGGUGAAAAAAAAAAAGAAACUUGAGAUAUAAUUUGUAACAUCUAAUUUGCACGUAUAACUGAAAUUAUGCACACGAUUCAGCUAUUGUCUCUGCAAGUUUGCGUCCAGUUCCCUGUGCCACUUAAAUUUCGUGAAGAACCAUGCACUCAAACAACAUUGUCGGGAACUUUUUAAAACUUUUCUAAUUCUUAUCAUUGUCCUAUACUCCAUUUACUUUGGAAAACAAAAGACAUUGUUUAACUAAUGGAUUAGCAUCACCCAAUAACCCAAACUAGUACACAUGAACCAAAUUUAUUGUCACAAGAAUUCUUGAAUCGGUAGUCUUGUGCCGCCGAAAUGGCUCUUCCUCAGGGUUAAAUCUGCACCCAUCUUUCUGCAGUGCGUGAGGACGCAUUGCCAGUCCCGUCUAUAAUCUCUCGGUAGGUCUUGCGGACUUGCAUAACGAGAAGAGGCCUCUGCUGCUUAGAGCUUAUGACACCAGAACGUAGCGGUAAAAACAUAGCUCGCUUUACCCACAAAGGUUGGACCUUAGGACACCAAAGCAUUGCGGCAAUGGAAGCACACUCUUUCUAUUUGAGGUCGUCUUCUGCUUUAACUCUUUAUUUUGUUUUCACCUGAAAAGGUUGGAGCUUAUGACACCGGAGCAUAAACAUAGCAGCAAAACUGAAACAAGCUCUUUUUGUAAUAGAGUCGAAGUACUCCCCUACUCCCCCUCCCUCAGCCAGCCUACGUCGCCGUUUUUGGUGAAAUUCUUGUUUGUUAAUUCAUGUAACGUUUUCCCACCUUUUAACUAUAGUUUUGGAGAUGAUAAGAGAGACCGCUUCCUGCAUUAUAAGAGAUUUUUGCUACUUCUGUGACAAACUCAUUGUUGUUACUUGAUUCAUUGAUCUACUCAUGCUAGAUAACCGUGAUCACUCCGUGAGAUGAAGAAGAAGAAGUAGGGUAACAAAAAAAAAAACAUUGUCUGGGCAAAAAACUGAUAUUUUUGGAAGAACAAGUUCACAAGAAUAUUGGACUUUUAGGCACUGACGGAUGACUAGGAUUCGAUAUUAGAAUUUGGAUUUAGUUUUCUACUUAAGUACACGUCAGGUAGAAAUCUAAAAUAUUGUAGAUUGAAUUGUUGUUCCAACACAUCUCUUUAGUUUAAUAGUGCAGGCGCAAAUCUGUCCAUGGUAACAUGGGAUUCACAUGAUCAUCAGUUGAGAUGGACUUGACAUUGGAGCUUCAUGCUCUGAUCAUAUCGUAGUCAAUUGAUGAAGUAUUUUGCACAUGAAAGCCGAGACAUAAUAUGAAUAUGAAAAGUUACAAACUAGCCAGCAAACUUGUAUCACGCUCGGGUUUAUUUUCUGCUAAUGUAGGUAUCCCCUUUCCAAUUUUUAGCACCAGUUGUUUGCCACUGCCAAGCUCACAGCUUGAACUGCUGCAGAGCCGAAGUCCCAUCACUUUUCGUGCUAAAGUGGGAACUAUACUCCAUGAUGGUGGUUUCUCCGUCUUCAUCGGAUCACCCACAGAAAUCAACUCCUUGAUCGGACCACACAGUUUUGGCAAUGGCGGCGUCGCCGUGUAAAGAAGCACACUGCAGACACUCUCAGCCCCAUGUUUGCCACAACUCUGUGCUCAGAGCUCUUGAAUAUGUCACUCGAGAUAAGCUGAAAAAAAAAAUGGUCUGGUUUGUGAUUAGAAGUGCACACUCACCUGCUGGAUAAAGAGCUCAGGCAUAAAAUGCUUUGUUCAGUAAUUCAUUCAUGUGCCUAACAAGGUCUCUGGUGAUAAGACGUAGGGAGGGAGAGUGAGUAAGGUGAGACUUGCCUGAAGCAGAUCUCCAAUGUUAACUACCAGCACUCAUGGCACAGGGCCCAUGUCGAUCCACUGAUUCUGUUGAAGAACUUGGAGACCUCCUACAUGGUCUUGCAGGAGGACGGUGAAGAAGUCACUAUCAAUGUGUCUACAAAUCAGCAGCAGAGCUCACAACAUUCUGAGCAGCGUCAUUCUCCUCCAUCUAGUCCUCAAGAUGUUGAUCAUCAUCAAAAUGAAGAAAUCAUUGAAGAUGCAAACCCUGUAAGAGUUCAAAGGCCCUAUUUUAUUUAUAAGCUGUAUCGUGCUUUAAAAGGGACUGGUACUCCGUUGAACUAUGUGGAUGAUUUUCUUAAGGACAAAGGAUAUGGAAAUGAAUAUAUCUUUUUGCGAAAAAUGGAAAGUUUGGGAAUUGCUCGUAAGGGUGUGGCAGAAGAAUCCCUUGCGAAUAUCCCAAGUGACCCUUGUGAUUGGGGAGUUAAUCCGGUGGAUGGAAAUGAUUAUGACAAAUUAUAUAGCGAAUUUCAGCCAAGAAUGGGAAUUGCGGCGGAAAAUCGAGAAAAAAUGGGAGAGUUGUUUAGAUCAAAGGAACAGAUGGAUCUAUACUCAAAAUUGCUGAAGCGUUGGCUGAUAAACCCUAGGAGUGUAGAUUUUGACUUUCUGGAUGCUGUAAAUGUGAACUUAAGGGAAAAGUUUGGUCAUCUUCAACUUGAGAAAUUUUGCUCUGACUCCACGGAGGCCUAUCCUCAACUAUAUGCAUAUUUCUAUUCAAAUCUUAGUUUAUUGGAUGCGAAUAGAUACUCCUUCAGUGUCAAAGAUCAAGACUUUGUUGUGGAUAUGGAUAUGCUGGCAGAUGUGUUAGGAGUUGAGAGAGGAAGGUAUCAACGGAUCAAAGUUUCUAUUGCUCGUACUACUCUGGAACUUGUUAAAGACAGGAAAACAGAGGGAAAGAUUUCCUAUUCAAGGAUGAGUGCAUUUAACAUCUANNNNNNNNNNNNNNNNNNNNNNNNNNNNNNNNNNNNNNNNNNNNNNNNNNNNNNNNNNNNNNNNNNNNNNNNNNNNNNNNNNNNNNNNNNNNNNNNNNNNNNNNNNNNNNNNNNNNNNNNNNNNNNNNNNNNNNNNNNNNNNNNNNNNNNNNNNNNNNNNNNNNNNNNNNNNNNNNNNNNNNNNNNNNNNNNNNNNNNNNNNNNNNNNNNNNNNAUUCAGCCUCCGCAAAUUCUUAUGACAACUUCUAUCCAGGUCUUGUAACAAAGUAUUCAGACAUCUAAACAUUCAGCUCCGCAAAUUCUUUGUGCUCGAUCGUGCGAUCAUAAGGUGGUAGGACUGAAAAUGGUGACCAAGAUGCAUCUGAAGGAACUAAGCAAGGCAUUGGAGAAAUUUAAGGAGAAGACUCCAGUCAAAUCUCAUCAAUUCUCUUCUGCAGGAAAAAGGAAAGGGAAGGAGCCCAUGGAUGCUCCAUCCAAGAGAAAAAGAGCUCUCCUCGUUGAGGAUGAAGAUGAUGAGGAUAACAAAACUAUCUCUGCUUUGAAGAAUCUCAGUCAAUCUGUUCCAGAGAAAGAGACAGAACAGCAGACAGAAGAAAGAGCAGAGAAAGAGGCAGAGGAAAAAGAAACAGAAGAGCAAAGAGAUCAAGAAGAAGGAGAACAUGAGGUGCGCUCUCCACCUGAAGGCAUAGACACAGGGGGAGACCAAGAGAAAAGAGGAAUGACCUCAAAUCCUGCAACCAGUGAGGGAGUCAGUCGAUCCCCAGCAAAUCCAGAGGACGUUUUUGCCUCUCAGUUUCCUGAGGAAGGUCAUGAGGUUCUUCGCCAAAUCUACGUGAUUAUGUUGAUCUUCCAUCGUCUGCAUUUACUCCAUCAGAUCGUGCUAAUGCCAGUACGCAGACUGAAAAUUCAGCAGACUUUCGCAGAGUGAUGGAUAUUCUCUUGGAAAUGCAAGGUCAGAUAUAUGCAUUGGGAUGUGAAGUUCAGAACUUGCAGAAUGCAGGACAAGUCUCUUCGGGUUCAUUAAAUGAUCAAAUCCAAGCCCUUUCUCUUCAGAUUCAAGCUAAUGCUAAGGGUGAGGAUGUUGCUUAGCUGAAGGAAGACUUUAAAAGGCUGGAAGGCAUCGUUCAGUCGAUGGGAGAUUUUCAGCUUGUUCGUAUUCCCAAGAAUCCUUGACUUCAUUUUCAUCUCAAUAUUUUUAUGCUGACAAAAAGGGGGAGAAUUUGGUCGCAACUUGAAAAACUUUGAACUUAAACUUUUGGCUUGUUUGGUUUGUGGUUUGUUUUGACUUGACUUGUGUCUGGAUGUGGACUAAAUUUGGGAUUUGGAUUUGACUGCUUAUUAUUAACUACUAUUGAUGUCUUAUGGAUGGGUUUAUAGCAUACUGGACCAACCUAUUUUUUGUGGUUGCAGAUUCUAGUGUUAUUCAUUUAGCCAUUUUAAUCUAUAAGAUAUGCAUAUGUGCUUGAGAAAUGUUUUGCAAGUCAAAGUUUUCCAAAUCUGCAGGAAAGUUUUGUCACCAUAAAAAAUGGGGAGAUUGUUGGAGAAAUUCCUCAUGAAGUGUUUUGAAUUUGACAAAACGUUUCCAUCAGUCUAGUUUGAAGGAUUGCAGACUCUACUAUUUAAAGUCUGAAGACCUCCGAACAGCCAAACUCAAGACUCAAAGUCUAUCCUCAUUGACAGUCUCUAAUCCGUUGAAGAAAGGCUAUCCAGAACUUGAUGUUUCAUUAAAGAUGUGGCCUUAUCGACUGGAGAAGAUCUCUAGGCUGGAUAUGACAUAAUGGAAUUCUAUAUUUGAUCACAAUUGAUUCGAAUAUUAAGGAUCCGAUGAUUGGCAAGGUUUACUUGGAAGGUUCUACUUAUGGAAACCGAGAUCCUAUUUGUAUGGGCGAACAGGAUUGAUGGGCUAUCGACAUGUUCCUUUAAUAACUCGAAUGAUCUUCCUAAUUGAUUCCGUCCAACGGGUAGAUUGGAGGAAUUCCUUUGGUAAGUGCCAACGGGUAUGAUGGCAUGAAGGAGAAUAUAAGGAAGACAUUCUAGUUGUUCGAGAGGGUGUACGAGAGAAGAAUUCCAAAGUCUGAAGCUCCUUAUUUCUAGUCAGUUCAUUUGUUGAGCAUAAUCGUGUAAACAAAAUAGAGUCUAUAUUCGUGAGAAACCUUGAGGAAGUGUGGUAGAACAUCUACACUGUGGAAUCAAGGAAAAGCUGUGCUGUAACUUCUCUAUUGUUCAUAGUAAAAUCCAGCCGGUGGGCUGUCAAUGCGGAAGAGUGGACGUAGGCUUGGAAUAAGCCGAACCACUAUAAAUCUUGUGUUCAUUUCUCUCUUCCCUAUCCUUUACUUUACCUUGAUUGUAUUUUCCUUUCUAUCGAUUGCCUAAAAUCGCUUUCGUAUCUCGAAAAUUUGUUAGUGCACCUAUUCACCCCUCUCUAGGUGAUUAUACUAGCUAUCUCAGAGGCAACACUGUACCUGAUGUGAAGUUGCCGCAUAAGCAUCAAUUCAUAGGACAAGCUCUUCUUGCAAAGCUCUUUCUUGUCUGCAAAGGUCCACACAAGGUAUGGCUUGUUCCUCUUCAUUCUCAUGUGUGCGCUGCAAUUUCAAAUUGGAUUCUAGUAAAUCACAGAGUAGUGUAUGUACGAUUGUAUGUGUCAUGCUUCUUUCCCUAGCCUAGAAUUGGCUCCAGCCAGUACUUAGUUUGCUCCUCUUUUGUUUUACUCGGCUUCAGUGUCUUCUUUUGGUAUAGCGCAUGAGGUGCUUUCAUGCUUUUUCGGCAGGAUUAGGUCCUCGGGUCGGUUAGACACUGUUGAUGGCUAUAUAUGUCUAUUUGUUGGUUUUCUUUGGUUGUUGAUACUAAGAAGACUUGUUGCUGAUAAAAUUGAACUACUUCAGUGCAUGCUGGUGGCAUCUUAUUUGAAAUGUCGAACUUCAGAUAUUUAUCACGAUUUGUAUUCCAACAUCUUCUGAUUUUGUUCUAUCUGUCAAGCUUGAUGAGCCAAUUACUUUCUUGGUCUAAUUUUAGAAGCAUCUAGCUUAUUGCAAAAGCUUAAUUUCUUUCGUUUAGCAUUGCCUCUUUGGGACUGCCACAGUCAUGGUCAUCUUUCCAGACUACACUCCUUUUAUUAUUCUGUUGAUGGAUUUGUUAUUCAAUGGAUUGGAAGUAGCUUCUUUUCCGUUGGACCCCAUCUCUACUCGUCCGAGGAAGUUUGUGUAAGGCGUCUGAGCUUCGUUUGGGACUGACGACUCCUUUCGAUAAGGGUUGUCGGGUGAUGAAACUGAAAUGACGAUAACCUCCUGCAUGGAUACUUCUGCUCUGACUGAAAUUCAUUCUUAAUUAAGGCUUCGUUUGUUUCACUAAAAAUAUUUUCCUAGGAAAGCUUUUUCCACGAUUUUUCAUUAACCGGAAAAUACCCUUCUAAAACUAAGAAAAUGAUUUAUCGGGCUUCUUUGCGCAUCCUCUGUCUCCUUCUCCAUCUCGUGAUGGAGAGAGAUGGCGAGCUCAUCUCUUCCCUGCAAAUUUAAAGCCCUCUGCCUCAGCGCCUCUUCUUCUCCUUCUUCUUCUCGCAGUCGCAACGCUUUCAAUUCCCUCGGAUUCUCCGCUAGCCUCUUGCACGACGUUUUCUCCGGAGAAAACCUCGACGGCAACCUUCCGAUUCCACAGGCUGGCUUUAUUCUCAAGUCUGACUUUCGUGUUCGGUCUUCGUUUUCAAGUCGUUUGUUGGUGAGCAAUGGCGAGAAGAACCCGCCCCAUUUCUCUAUCACGUGUGAGGCCAUUCCGACGAAGAGGUCGGACUCCGCCGCCAAGAGGGCUCGCUAGGCCGAAAAGAGGCGCAUUUACAACAAAGCUCAUAAAUCUGAGAUUAGGACGCGUAUGAAGAAGGCGUUUGUUUCGGUUAAUUUGAUUACUGUGCGAAGCAUUCUAUAAUACGCGCUACCGGACCACCGUCCUUCGGUGAAGUCGUCCGAAUGAUUUUUGCUGUAUAUGCUGGGGUGGUGGUUCUGCUACAUCGAAUUUUGUUGAUUAGGUUGUGGCUAUUAAAUUUGUCAAAAUGAAUCUUAAACUCAUAUACGACCCAAUUUAAAACGUAAAUGAGUCUUAUAUGAGUCACUUAAUUUUGACAAGACCAUCUUAAAUGGGUUGAGUUUAGAACCCAUUUUCAAUUCAUUAACUCAACCCAUUAGGCUCAUUCACACUUUCUCUUCAUCUUUUAGAAAUAUUUAUAAAAAAAAUCGAAAUUCCUUUUUUUUUCUUUUCUUCUUCCUUCUUCCAUUUCCUUCACUAGUGGCUGGUGACGGCAACCGCUGGCUAGGUGAGCUUGAGCUCAUCGAUCGGGCAAGGCCGAGACCUCUCUGAGGUCAAUCCUCGCCAAUCCAGCGAGAAUUGACCUCGUCGACGACUGGGCGUAGACCUUGCCAAUUUAUCAAGGCUCGAGCUCGACCUCAAAUGAUAGGUGAAGCCUCAUCUGAGGUUGGCAAGGUUUGGCUUGCUAGCCAUCGCAGUGGCCGGUAAUCAGUGAAGGAAAAGGAAAAAGAAAAAAAAAAAAAAAGAGGCCAUCUUAAUAAAUGCAAAAAGGAAGUGGCAUGGAGCUCAUCUUAAUAAAUGCAAGGUGGUCUUUGUGAACUUGAGAAGAGAGGCCAACGUACAAGAUGUCUCUUUCCCAUGUGAGCAUCAUGAAGUGCAAUAAUGAUUAUUGUAUGGUCAUUACCACCGAAUGAUGAAGACUCACUUCUACAUUAUAAAAGAGAGCAAGAGACGUGGGACAAGAAUUGCGCCGAGGUGGCUGAGAGAGCACCAAGUCCCUUUGGUGGCUAAGAGUGCGCCAAGUCCUUGGUGGCUAGAGAGAAGAGAGUGUGCCAAGUUCUUUGGUGGUUGCGAGGGUUGAGUAAUGUUGUAAUUACGCCUGAGCAAUUUAGCUAGAUAAAUUCUUGUGAGUAGAAUUUGUUUAAUUCCUUGAGUGUGGCUUCACUAAGAAUUGUGAGGGGCUAAAUACUCUAAACUUGAGAAGAGAGGCCAACGUACAAGAUGUCUCUUUCCCAUGUGAGCAUCAUGGAGUGCAAUAAUGAUUAUCCUACGGUUAUUGCCACCGAAUGAUGAAGACUCACUUCUACAUUAUAAAAGAGAGCAAGAGACGUGGGACAAGAGUUGCGUCAAGGUGACCGAGAGAGCGCCAAGUUCCUUUGGUGGCUAAGAGUGCGCCAAGUCCUUGGUGGCUAGAGAGAAGAGAGUGCGCCUAGUUCUUUGGUGGUUGAGAUGGUUGAGUAUUGUUGUAAUCACACCCGAGUAAUUUAGUUAGACAAAUUCUUGUGAGUAGAAUUUGCUUAAUUCCUUGAGUGAGAUUUCACUAAGAAUUGUGAGGGGCUAAAUAUUGUGAACUUGAGAGGAGAGGCCAACAUACAAUAUUUGUCUUUCCCAUGUAAGCAUCAUGAAGUGCAGUAAUAAUUAUUCUAUGGUCAUUGCAACCGGAUGAUGGAGACUCACUUCUACAUUAUAAAAGAGAGCAAGAGAUGUGGGACAAGAAUUGCACCGAGGUGGCUUAGAGAGCACCAAGUUCCUUUGGUGGCUAAGAGUGCACCAAGUCCUUUGUGGCUAAGAGAGAGUGCGCCAAGUUCUUUAGUAGGUGAGAGGGUUGAGUAUUGUUGUAAUUACACCUGAGUAAUUUAGCUAGACGAAUUCUUGUGAGUAGAAUUUGUUUAAUUCCUUGAGUCAGGUUUCACUAAAAAUUGUGAGGGGCUAAAUACUCUGAACUUGAGAAGAGAGGCCAACGUACAAUAUGUCUUUUUCCCAUGUGAGCAUCAUGAAGUGCAAUAAUGAUUAUUCUUUGGUCAUUGCCACCGAAUGAUGAAGACUCACUUCUACAUUAUAAAAGAGAGCAAGAGAUGUGGGACAGGAAUUGCGCCGAGGUGGCCGAUAGAGCGCCAAGUUCCUUUGGUGGCUAAGAGUGCACCAAGUCCUUGGUGGCUAGAGAGAAGAGAGUGCACCAAGUUCUUUGGUGGUUGAGAGGGUUGAGGAUUGUUGUAAUUACACCUGAGUAAUUUAGCUAGACAAAUUCUUGUGAGUAGAAUUUGUUUAAUUCCUUGAGUGAGAUUUCAUCAAGAAUUGUUAGGGGCUGGGAAACACUGAGAGAAUGUUUGAGUGCUCAAGUGAUUGUAAUCUCCAUUGUCUCACUUGUUUUUUAGUGGAAUUUCAUACUGCUCUUCCCAUGAACAUAAGUUCCGAUAUUCGAACCGUAUCACAUAAAUUUGAUGGUCAAUUUCCUUUCCCUCCUUCCAAAUAAAUCUAUCCUACUCGUUUGUCUAUAUUCACAACAAUUGAUAUCAAAGCUAGUGUUGGCUAACUUGAAGUGAAUUGAUAACGAUGGAGGAAGAAAAGGUGAGAAUCACCGAUUUGAUGGGAAUGAUUUUGCUUUCUAGAAGAUGCAGAUUGAAGAUUAUCUGUACUAGAGAAAUUUGCACUUACCAUUAUAUGGGGAGAAACCAUAAUCAAUGAAGGAUGCCAAGUGGGAAUUGCUAGAUAGACAAGUGAUGGGUGUUACUCUGUUGACGUUGGCUCAUAACAUCAUGUUUAAUAUCAUGAAGGGGAAAACCACUACGGAACUAAUGAAAGCCCUGUCAAAUAUGUACAAGAAGUCCUCCAUGAUCCAAAAGGUCUAUUUGAUGCAACAUCUAUUUUACUCAAAAUGGGCAAAGAUACAUUAGUCUCUAAGCAUAUCAAUGAAUUCAAUGAAGUCGUUAACCAAUUGAAUUUGGUUGAAAUCAACUUUGACGAUGAGAGAUGUGCCCCGGUUUGGUUGAAAUCAACUUUGAAGAUGAGAUAUGUGUGCUGAUUUUAUCAUCCUCAUUACCUGAUAAUUGGAAUACUAAUGUUACCGUUGUUAAUAAUUCAUUUGGGUCAAGGAGCUUGACAUUUGAUGAGGUUCAUAAUUUGAUUUUGAGUGAAGACAUUCUUAGGAAAAAAUUUAGUGAACCUAUACCUAUUGCCUUAGUAGGUGAAAGUAGAAGAACAACUAAUACAUGUGUUAAUAAGAGUAGUAUAAAUACGAAUAGAUGUAGUCAAUUUAGGAUUAUAGGAGUUGUCUAUUGGACUUGUGGCAGGAGUGGGCAUGGUAGAAGAGACUCUAUUAUGCUGAAAAAUGAAAAGGGUAAGAGAAUUAGAGUUGAGUCUAUAGAAUAAUUCUGAUAAUGUAGAUUGUGUCUUGUCUAUCAUUGAGGAUUCAUCAUUUGAUGGAUGGAUAAUGGAUUUUGGUUGUUCAUUUCACGCUACACCAAAUUGGAACUAGUUUAUCACUUAUCAGUGCACGGAAAAUGGUAAAGUCCAGUUAGCAAACAACACUGAGCAUGAUGUUGUGGGUGUUGGUGAUGUUAACAUCAAAAUGUAUGAUGGUAUUGUGAGGACAUUGACCAGAGUAAGUCACAUCCCGAAGUUGAAAAAGAAUUUAAUUUCCUUAGGUUCCUUAGGUUCAGUUGGCUAUGGGUAUUUUUUAGAAGGUGGAAUGUAAAGGUUAUUUGAGGUGCCCUGGUGAUAUUGAGAGGAAUCAAGCACGGAGACAUGUAUGAACUUCAAGGUGAGACAAUGACAGGUUUCAGUUUGAAGACAUCAAAUACAUCUAUUCAAGAGUCUAUCAACUACUUGAUAAAGACCUGGGUGUUUGUACCGAUGCACAAAUUUGAUGCCAUUGUCAGGAACAUACAAUUGAAAACUUUGAUUGAGAUGAAGACUGGUAAGUCAAUCAAGCAUAUGUGAAUUAAUAAUAGCAUGGAAAUUUGCUCAAAGCUAGUAAAUAAAUUCUGCAUGAAGGAAGGCAUAAUGAAACACCGCACUAAUACCGAUAAACCAUAACAAUUUGCAAAAUUGAUUAGCAAAUCAUUAUUAAAGACGGACGGUAGAAUGAUCUCUAGUGUUGGUGUUGGUAGGAGAAUCUUGGCUGACAUGCUUAGUAUGGUAAGCUACUAGGUAAAUACAUCCCCAUCAAUUGCUAAUGAUUGGUGGAUUCCCAAAGAAGUAUGGUCAAGUAAUGUUACUAGUUAUUCUAUUCUUAGAAUGUUAGUUGCACGUGUUAUUUUCGAGCGAAUGAUGGUAAGCUCGAUGGGAGUGCAAGGCAUAUUCCAUGGCUAUGCAUAAAGCGGGGCAGUCAGUUGUGGUGCCCUGAUAUAAAAUCACAUGUUAAUAGCAGAGAAGUUACCUUUGACAAGUCUCCAAUACUUUUGGCUUAGAGUGUUUGUGGCAGUGUUGAUAUGGAUCUGGACGGUGUUUAGCUCAAGGUGGAGUUACAACCAGAAACUCUUUAGGUAGUAGGUACUAGUAGAAUAAUUGACACAUACGAUACUUGUAGCGAGAUGGAGUUAGUAAAGCCAACGGUUGCUUUAGUUACUAAAUUUGACAAUGUGCAUGUUUGAUCUUAUGUCAAAUACGAAAGCAACGAUGGUUUUGUUUUAUUUGUGGUACGGGAGGUUAUGUCGAAAAUCCUUAUGGACUAGCUAACUAUGUAAGUGGAGUUGGCAUCUUGAUAAGGUACACGGUUGUGGCAAAGUUUAAGUGUGGCUCAAACUUGGAAGCACUUUGUGGUGGUUGAUCCCAUUGGGGCUGUGGGAGAGUAGUGUCGAGUUUUUCAUUGAAGCGAUUGUGACUUGACUUAAACGUUGAGCCAAGGUGGAGAUUGUUUAAAAUAUGUCUUGAGUUUGAGCAUAUUGAACAAUACUCAAUGUAAAAAAAAUAAGACUAACCGACCUUGUGAUUUUGUAAGACUUCUUCUUCGAUCUAGCUACACAUGAUUGCAUUUAUGUUUAGCCCCAACUGUGAGAAGAAGAAAAUUGCGUAUGGAUUUCAUUUUGCAUUUAUCUCUCUACAUGUGUAGAAAGCAAUAAAGAAAACUUGCGUGUUUUAUUGACUCUCUUUCCUUGGUUCUAUGCCGAGCUGUGAUCGAAGUCAAUGAAGAGACUUGCCCAAGCACUAAAUAUGGGAAUUCUCUAUCUACAUAUGAAAUAAAGGAAUCCCUGUGAAGAAGCAUGUGGAAGCUUCAGUCGAAAGAGCAAUUAAAAAGGAAGUUGCUUGGAGCCCAUCUUAAUAAAUGCAAGGUGGACUUUUUGAACCUGAGAAGAGAGACCAAUAUACAAGAUGUCUCUUUCCCAUGCGAGCAUCAUGAAGUGUAAUAAUGAUUAUUCAAUGGUCAUUGCCACUGAAUGACGAAGACUUACUUUUGCAUUACAAAAGAGAGUGACAGACGUGGAACAAGAAUUGUGCCAAGGUGGCCGAGAGAGCAUCAAGUCCCUUUGGUGGCCAAGAGUGUGCCAAGUCCUUGGUGGUUAGAGAGAAGAGUGUGACAAGUUCUUUGGUGGUUGAGAGGGUUGAGUAUUGUUGUAAUUACACCUGAGUGAUUUAGCCAAAUAAAUUCUUGUGAGUAGAAUUUGUUUAAUUCCUUGAGAAAAGUUUUACUAGAAAUUGCAAGAGGCUAAACACUGUGAGUUAUUAGGUGUAACUGGGGGCUGAGAAAUACUGAGAGUGUUUGAGAGCUCAAGUGAUUGUAAUUUCCAUCAUAUCACUUGUUUCUAUAGUGGAAUUUCUAUGCUGCUCUUCCCAUGAAUGUAUGUUUUGAUAUUCGAACCAAACCACGUAAAUCUGGUAUUCGAUUUCCUUUCCUCCCUUCCGACUAAUUUUAUCCAAUUUCUUGUCUUUAUUCACAAUAGAUCUCCUCAUGCUAGAUAACACAGCCUCAUCUUCUCUCGGCCACUCCAAGAUAAACCCCAUCGCUUCUUGAGAUGAAAAGAAGAAGUAGGUGUAACGAUAUUCUUGGAAGAACGAGUUUACAAGAAUAUAGGACUUCCAAGCGUUGACGGAUAACCUCGGAUUCAAUAUUAGGAAUUGGAUUUAGUUUUCUACUUAAAUACACAUCAAGUGUGAAAACUGGAACGUUGUAGAUCAAAUUGUUGUUCCAGCCCAGUUCUUUAGUUUAACAGUACUUGCGCAAAAUCUAUCUAUGAAGAAAAUCGGUGCUUGGUUUAUAAACUAUGUAGACCAACGCCACAUCAAUCAUUAAUUAUGUGAGUCCGAGAAUGUGAGAUUCAUAUGAUGGACAGCCUUGACAUUGGAUCUCCAUGCUAUGAAUAUUUGGGUAUAUUGAGUAUAGUCUCUAAAGUACUUACACCAAGUGGCUCCAUCGUAUGACAUAGUCAAAUGAUGAAGUCUCUUUGCAUAUCAAAGCUAAGACAUAAUAUGAAUAAUGAAAAGUAAUACACUAACCAGCAAACUCAUAUAAUGCUCGGGUUUAAUUUCUGCUAAGACAUAAUAUGAAUAAUGAAAAGUAAUAAACUAGCCAGCAAACUUGUAGGACGCUCAGGUUUAACUUCUGCUAAUGUAGGCAUUCCCUUUCCAAUUUGUAGCACCAGAUUUUUGCCACUGCCAAACUCACAGCUUGAACUGCUGCAGAGCUGAAGUCCCAUCGCCUUUUGCAUUCGCGCUGAAGUGGGAAACGUACUCCAUGAUGGUGGUUUCUCUGUACUUUGGUGGAUCGCCCUCGGAAAUCAACUCCUUAAUGGGUCCAUACAGUUUUGGUGAUGGCGGCGUUGCCGUGUAAAAGAAGCACGCCACAGACACUCUUGGCCCCAUGUUGUUCGCCACAACUCUGUGCUCGGAGCUCUUGAAUAUGUCAUUUGAGAUAAGCUGAAAAAAAUAGUCUGGUUUGUGAUUAGAAGUGCACACUCAACUGCUGGAUAAAGAGUUAAGGCAUAAAGUGCUGUUUGUUGAUUCAUUCGUGUGCCUAACAGGGUCUCUAGUGAUAAAACGUAGGGAGAGAGAGUACGUUAGGUGAGACUUGCCUGAAGCAGAUCACCGAUGUUAACUAUCAGUGCUCCUGGCACGGGGCUCACAUCGAUCCACUGAUUCUGAUAAAGAACUUGGAGGCCUCCGACAUGGUCUUGCAGGAGCACGGUGAGGAAGUCGCUGUCUGUGUGCCUGCUGGUCCCCAUAGUGAGCUCUGGUUGUGGGCAUUUGGGGUAGUACUGGUUCAGAAGGACGAGUCCCUUGGCGCACUCCAUGUCCUUCAGAUGGUUCGGCUUCAACCCCAGCGCCUCCGACAGUAGUUCGAACAAGGUGGUUCCUAAAUUCAUCACUCGCUUCGAGAAUUCCAGCAUUAUGUCACUAGGGUGUUCAAAAAUUUAGUGGGUCAAUUCGUCACAAAUUCCUAGUCCGUUAGAAGCAGACACCCCAACAAGUUAUUAUAAGAGAUUGCGGUUAUAUAUUCUGUGGAAUAGCUUACCCGCAUACCGCUGGCAAGUCCUCUGCCUCGAGAGCAUUAGGUGCCAUAACACAGAACAGGGUGUCCCUCCAAUUAGCCGCCUCUGUUUUAUACAGAUUGAAAUUGCUGUGGUAGGCGACGCUUGUCGUGAAAUCUCGCGAAUAGAACCGUCUCUUCUCUUCAGCACCUUGCUCAUGGAAACGGCGCACUCCAUCCAGCAUCUCCUCCAGAACAGUCGUGGGGAUCCCGUGAUUCACCACCUGAAAGAAGCCCCAUGUUUUGGAUGCACUUCGAACUUCAUUUACAACCUCCUUGCGCCGAGAUGGAUCUUUCACAAUAUCUGCGAGGUCAACUAUAGGAACAUGGAAGUGGCCGUUGCUCGAUGCCAGUGCACUUUGCAGGUUCUCCGGGUGAUCUACGAAAAUGCGAGGAACUUCUGUAAUCCCAGCAUCAACAAGGCCCUUGACACCUGCCAUUGAUUCAUCGAAAUCCUUUAUCUCGCGCAUCCGAUCGUACUUCUGUGUUUUUUCAUGCGCUUCAUCUCUGCUGAGUACUUCCAUUUUUCUUCCUUAGUGAAAACGCUUAAGAGUUCCAAGUCCGAUCUUACAUUAAAUAUGGGAGAAAUUGAAAGACAAAGGUCCUGUGGUAUUUAAUGACUGGAUUCAAAAACAGUUGAGAAGAAAGAAGAGAACAAUUGUGUACGUUGCAUCACAAUGAAAGCGAUAAUAAAGCCAAGACGGCGACUGGGACAUGGAUUCAAAUGGCGAGUUAAAGAUGACGAGCAAGGAAUGUUGAUAAGAGGAAUCUGAUGACUCGUUAGCUAUAUCGAAUACAAGUGAUAAUAAAGCCAAGACGGCGACUGCUCCAAGCUUGAAGUGACUGAGAAAAGACGUGUAAUGAGGAAGCAAGUUAAUACAAAGAAAUGUAUUUGCCUCCAAAAUAACUGAAACUUCAAUUGAAAGUGGCCUUGUAUCAUCCCCCAAACUAUACUUAAAAGGAGGGACAAAAGCAUACCCCAAUGUUACGUGAUGGAAACUGACUAGAAACUCACUAAAGUGGCGAUUUAGGCUACCCAAAUGCCCCACGAGAACGCUCCUAAAAAAGGGUUGUUCUACCGCGUCGUGCCCCUGCGCAUGGCAAUCCAUCGUGCCCGAGCUGUAGGCUAACAUAAAACAUUAGUGAUCUUUGACUGCUAAUAUCGUAGAUAAAGCAUUACUCAGGUAAGAUAGGAAACCCUGCCACAGGUGUGAAAAAUACGUGAAGCACUAAAACACCGAUUUCAAAGGAGUAGUCUUCCUUAUGAUGGUUUAUUUGAAAUAUAAUCCAACUAAUUAUCCACGACCAUCAAAACAAAGCUCGCAAAUGAGCACUUCCAAUUCCCCCACAAUUAAAAAAAAAAAAAAAAAAAGUAACUUCUCCACUACUAAUCACUAUCGCCAUCAUGCUGCCAAACAGGAUGAUAAACAUGAUGUUUAUGCUAUUACCAUAUUCAUGUCUAGUGCAACUACAUGUAAUAAAAAGUUUUUGAUCAUGCCAUCAGCAAGUCUUACUCACCCCCCUCCUUCAUUCAUGAUCUAAACAUCAUAGAUCAGUUGAACAAGAUAAUCCUCUAGACAGUUUCGCUUUGGAUCAGUAAACUCAGCAACUCAGGCAACUCACAGAUUGGAGGGAUCAACAAGAACAAGUAUGGUAAAUCUAACCAUGAUUCCAUUUCUUAUUUUUACUUCGAAAGCAGAAAGCCUCUUAUAAAUGCACAAUAGUUACAUAAGUACGAGCUUGCCAGGCACUACAAAUAUAUACUCUAUUAAAAUUUAACCACAUCUGAAUGCUUUGCCGGGAAGCUAAUGCUCUGAAAAACUACACAGAUCAAAUGUGUCCACCUGUCAUUCAAGAGAGAACAUCCUUGAAUUGUCGUAUACAAUAUAUUUCAUAGCUUGAAAUGUUCCAGUGCAGAUACACCAUUAAGUCCUUUUGCAUAGUAGUGAGUGACGAGGUCCUUCACCGUAGUUUCCCGAUAAAUUGGGGGAUUUUCUUCUGAUAGCAGCUCCUCGAUAGGGCCAUACAACCUUGAAGAAUUCUCUGGAGGGAGAUGCUGCCUCAUUAAACACGCCACUGAAAUCCUUGGCCCGAUUUUCUGGGCUAGAACUCUGUGACUCACGCUAAUGAACUUAUCAUUCGAGAUCAGCUGCAAGAUGGAGGAGGACAUGGCAAAGUGAAGACCAAAUACUCUGGAAUAUCGAUUACACAUAAAAAUAGCAUACAUAAUCAAACUUGUUUAAAAGGGCGAAAUUUUAUCAAGUCAUUCUCACAUGUACUCCUAGCACAGUUAUCAAAAUAAUUAGGUAAGACCAAAAGAUUGUGAAGAAAAACAACAUUCACAUAGAAAUAUCAUGGAAACGGAAUUGACUUAGCUCAGUUAAUGUUGCAAGAGCUAACUGGAAGUUCCACAGUUGUAAACAGGAUACUCUACAAUCCAUCUGUUAGACCUCUACACUGACUUAGGGAAGUAUUCGGCAUCUCUAACACACUACAAAACAGUUAGGAUAGAAGAACAUAGAUGAAAGAGCUAUCUUCCAUUUCACUUAUUCAGAUUGUAACACCAGAUGUGUGUCCAUGGACUAUGAUAACAAAUUGACUGAAGGACCUACUCGUUAGAUCAGCCACACAAAAAAGCACAGAUUGGGCUAGAAAUGCAUUGGCUAAUGUGAGAACAUUGAAACAAGAAACUAACUGAUAGAAAUGUAAACUGCAAAACUCUGAUAAACGGACCUGCAUCAAGUCUCCCAAGUUUAUUACAAGGGCUCCAGGAAUUGGGGAAACGUCGAUCCAUUGGUUCUGAUGGUGGACCUGGAGGCCACCAAUUUGGUCUUGGAGAAGAAUGGUGAGAAAGCCACUAUCAGUAUGAUCACCAGUCCCAAGGGUUAAGUCCGGUUCUGGGCAUGGUGGAUAGUAAUGGCCGACAAAGAAGAGUCCCUCCCCACAGUGGAUAGUUUUCAGGUAGCUAGGGUCGAGGCCAAGAGCUUCCGACAGUAAUUCAAAUAUGGUAUCUGCCAAUUCCAGAAUUCUGUCCUUGUACUCAAUUAUUACGUCUCUGCAAGUCGAUUGGUUACAGAGAACAGGUGAUUAGUCAAAUGCCGUGGAACAUCAGAAGAUCAAUCUUUAUCUCACUCUCUCAAAGACCAGGUCUAUUUACUCUGCAUAAAAAAAUCAAGCUUCUAAAAUACAAGUCCAUAAUUCGUGUAACAGAGCAGCCAUUCUUGCAGACCAAAGAGGAAGAACAGAAAAAGGAAUUAGUUUUUCCAUUUAAACUGAAUCUAUCGGCACUCCGACUCCGAAUCCCCCAAAGAUCUACGCCCCACAUGAUCGUUUGCUUCAACUGAUCUAUGACCCCAAAGCCCCUUGAGAAAAUGGCAAGAACUCCGGCUACACCGGGCACUUGUUUCGCCAGGGCCAAGCAGCAGCUCCAUCUAUUCCCAAAGCCCCAUUUUUUACUUAAUUAUCAGAUCUUAAAUCUUAUUUAGGCUAGAGCUUCUUCCCUUUCUUUCUUUUCUUCCACUGAAUUGCUAUGCGUCAAAAAAAAAAACUAUCAUGGAACUUUCAAUUCGUCUCACACAACACAAGUGGGUAUCGCAAAGCUAAAUUUGAAAGCUUUUGUAUCGAAUGUCCCAAAACUAGAAUUAGUUUCAGCCCUUCAAGCGCGCACACCCAGAGAUUACCGACAGACAGCAGGCAAUUCCUGAGGAUCCGGACUACGGGGAGCCAAGACGCAGCUCAGCGUGUCCCUCCAGUUCGCCGCCGGGGCCCGGUACAGGUCGAAGUUGCUGUUGUACAGCACCUUCCUCCCGCCGUAAUCCCGCGAGUACCACUCCCGCUUCGCCUCAAGGUCCUGCUCGUGGAACCUCCGGAUCCCUUCCACCAUCUCCUCCGUGAGAGCCGCCGGCACGCCGUGGUUCACCACCUGGAAGAAACCCCACGUCUCGCAGGCCUCCCGGACCAGGCCGACCGUCCGCUUCCUCUCACCGGGGCUCCAGCCCCGGCCCACACCUCCCAAGUCCACGACCGGAACGCUCGGGCUCGGUCCUAGCGACUCCGAGGCGCGGUCGAGCUCGAGGUCGAGGUGGUCGUGGACGAAGAAUCUUGGUAUCUUGGUCAGCCCGGCGUCGGCGAGGCCCUUGACGCCGGCCUUCGAGUCGUCGAAGGACUUCAGCUCGGCCUGCCGGUCGUAACCACCGUCGGGGGCGAGUAUCAGCUCCGGCGCCAUUUCUCUUUUCUUCCGGCACAGGAGUCAGCGGCAGCGCAAGCGAAGCGAGGCAAAGAGAACGAGAGAAAUCUCAAGAAGACGAUAUUGGAAGAUAAUUUCCGACGGCGGAGUGCUCGGAAAUGCGUCCGCAUCGAGGCUCUUGUCGUUUCUGGCGAAUAUCUGUGGAUUCAUAGAACUCCAUUGUCAACACAAGCCUGCGUAGGCCAGCCAGCCAUUGCGAUAUGCAGUAAAGGGAGGGAAAAUGAUACGUAUAGUUUCUAAUUUUGACUUGAUACGUAAGAUACUCUCUGAAUAAUUCAAUAUAGUCCCUAAAUUCUUAAAUUAUUCAAUAUGAUCUGAAUUUUUAAUAUAUGUUCAAUUUAAUUCAUGGACGAUAUGGAAAUAUUUAAUGUUGUCCUUCCAUCAAUUCAAUAUUGAAUAUUUUCAUAUACUUUAAGGAUUAAAUUGAAUAUGUAUAAAAUAUUCAAUGACCGCAUUAUAAAUUAAGUUAAAAUUUGAGACUAUUUAUGUCUUUAUCUUGUAAUCGUAACCAUACAUUCCGUAGUGGAUGUUUCUAGUGCAAUGAUUAUGAGAUUUUUUUAUGUAACGUGAGUCACUAACACCAAUCACCCCUUAUCAUCUUUUUUAUUAAUCAAACCGCUAUUGUCGUCUUGCGAUAUUGAGCACGACAAGAUAUGCAAAAAUUGAGAAAUAUUAGAAAAGUAAAAACACAGGUGAGAAGCCACUGCUGCUGGGUAGAAGAGACAGCGCUCUUCAAUAUUCUAUUUUUGUAAUGAUUUGAGAGCAUUUGUCACGUUGUUAAUUGUAAUUCUCAAAUUAUCUAAGUUGAAAUAAGUGGCACGUCUUACUUCCUAAUAUGAAUUUUAUGAUAUAUCGAGCAAAGUCUCAUAAAAUACUUGUGUUGAGCGACUUCAUCAAAUGACAUCAUCUCUGUAUUGGAAACACUUAAAUAUACCUAUCUUGAGGUGAAAAAAGAAAAAGAAAAAAAGAAAUGUGAGAUAUAAUUUGUAACAUCUAAUUUGCAUGUUAACUGAAAUUAUGCACACGAUUUAGCUAUUGUCUCUACAAGUUUGCGUCAAGUUCCCUGUGCCACUUAAGUUUCGUGGAGAACCAUGCACUCAAACAACAUUGCCGGGAACUAAAACUUUUCUAAUUCUUAUCAUCGUCCUAUACUCGAUUUACUUUGGAAAACAAAAGACACAUUGUUUAACUAAUGGAUUAGUAUCACCCAAUAACUCAAAUUAGUACACAUGAACCAAAUUUAUUGUCACGAGAACUCUUGAACUGGUAGUCUUGUGCCACAAAAGAUAUACAUAUGCCACAUUUAUUCUAAAUCAAUGCAUCUUGCCAUACUUACCAAGAAACUCAAAUUUAUCAAAUAUACCAAUUUUGGGUAAAUAUGACAUGGAUGAACCGGUUUGGAGUUUUUUAUGGCACAAGUGUAUUAAUUUGGAAGUUUCUACUAGGCACAGGUGUAUCAGUUCAAGAUUUUUUGUGACAUAAAAAUUAAUUUGGAAUAAAUGUGAUGCAUAUCUAUCAGUUAGAGAUUUUUAGUAGUAUUAUAUGUAAUACCCGGUUACUCAAUUUUUAUUUUAUUUUUUUCUUUGAUAUUUAUGCAUGGCUAAUCUAGUUCAAAGUAUUAAGAGAGGCUGAUUCUUUUUUUUUUUUUUGUGCCAUCAAUGACAACAAAGACACGCUAAGUCAGGUAAGAAUAUAACGAAGACGAUGCUAGGAAUUGUGCAGAAGGCACCGUUGGGAGAGGGAGGGAGGGCAGGAAAGUUCGCGCAAGCCGUAAACCCCUAAAAAGACCUUCAAGGCCACUUCUGUCACUUAAGCAAAAGAAACCUGCGCCCGAAGCUAACUAAACCGCCGGAAUGGCUCUUCCUCAGGGUUAAAUCUGCACCCAUCUUUCUGCAGUGUGUGAGUACGCAUUGCCAGUCCCGUCUAUAAUCUCUCGGUAGGUCUUGCGGACUUGCAUAAACAUAGCAGCAAAACUGAAACAAGCUCUUUUUGUAAUAGAGUCGAAGUACUCCCCUACUCCCCCUCCCUCAGCCAUCCUACGUCACCGUUUUUGGUGAAAUUCUUGUUUGUUAAUUCAUGUAACGUUUUCCCACCUUUUAACUAUAGUUUUGGAGAUGAUAAGAGAGACCGCUUCCUGCAUUAUAAGAGAUUUUUGUUACUUCUGUGACAAACUCAUUGUUGUUACUUGAUUCAUUGAUCUACUCAUGCUAGAUAACCGUGAUCACUCCGUGAGAUGAAGAAGAAGAAGUAGGGUAACAAAAAAAAAAAAAAAACAUUGUCUGGGCGAAAAACUGAUAUUUUUGGAAGAACAAGUUCACAAGAAUAUAGGACUUUCAGGCACUGACGGAUGACUAGGAUUCGAUAUUAGGAUUUGGAUUUGGUUUUCUACUUAAGUACACAUCAGGAAGAAAUCUAAAAUAUUGUAGAUUGAAUUGUUGUUCCAACACAUCUCUUUAGUUUAAUAGUGCAGGCGCAAAUCUGUCCAUGGUAACAUGGGAUUCACAUGAUCAUCAGUUGAGAUGGACUUGACAUUGGAGCUUCAUGCUCUGAUCAUAUCGUCGUCAAUUGAUGAAGUAUUUUGCAUGUGAAAGCCAAGACAUAAUAUGAAUAUGAAAAGUUAUAAACUAGCCAGCAAACUUGUAUCACGCUCGGGUUUAUUUUCUGCUAAUGUAGGCGUUCCCUUUCCAAUUUGUAGCACCAGUUGUACACUGCCAAGCUCACAGCUUGAACUGCUGCGGUGCCGAAGUCCCAUCGCUUCUCGUGCUAAAGUGGGAAAUGUACUCCAUGACGGUGGUUUCUCUGUACUUUGCCGGAUCACCCACGGAAAUCAACUCCUUGUUGGGACCAUACAGUUUUGGCAAUGGCGGCGUCACCGUGUAAAAGAAGCACACUGCAGACACUCUCGGCCCCAUGUUUUGCCACAACUCUGUGCUCAGAGCUCUUGAAUAAGCUGAAAAAAAAUGGUCUGGUUUGUGAUUAGAAGUGCACACUCACCUGCUGGAUAAAGAGCUCAGGCAUAAAAUGCUUUGUUUAGUGAUUCAUUCAUGUGCCUAGCAGGGUCUCUGGUGAUAAGACGUAGGGAGGGAGAGUGAGUAAGGUGAGACUUGCCUGAAGCAGAUCUCCACUGUUAACUACCCGCACUCCUGGCACAGGGCUCACGUCGAUCCACUGAUUCUGAUGAAGAACUUGGAGACCUCCUACAUGGUCUUGCAGGAGGACGGUGAAGAAGUCGCUGUCAAUGUGCUUGCUGGCUCCUAGAGUGAGCUCUGGUUGUGGGCAUUUGGGGUAGUACUGGCUCAGAAGGAUGAGUCCGUCGGUGCAUUCCAUGUCCUUCAAAUGGUUCGGCUUCAACCCGAGCGCCUCCAACAGGACCUCGGACGAGGUAAUUCCCAAAUUUGUCACUUGCUCCGAGAAUUCCAGCAUUAUGUCACUGGGGGUGUUCAAGAAAAUUUAGCGGGUCAAAUCGUCGCAAAUUUUUAAUGUGUUAGAAGAAAAGACUACAAGAAGUUAUUGCAAGAGAUUGCGGUUGAAUAUUCUGCAGAAUCACUUACCAGCAUACUGCUGGCAAGUCCUCUGCCUCAGGAGCAUUAGGUGCCAUAACACAGAAUAAGGUGUCCCUCCAAUUAGCCACCUCUGCUCUAUACAGGUUGAAAUUGCUAUGGUACACAACGCUUCUCGUGAAAUCUCACGAAUAGAACCGUCUCUGCUCUCCAGCGCCUUGCUCAUGGAAGUGGCACACUCCGUCCAGCAUCUCCUCCAGAACAGCCAUGGGGAUCAUUGAAAGCCUUUAGCUUGCAUUGACAAGGCCCUUGAUACCUUUCUUUGAUUCAUUGAAAAUCUUUAGCUCACAUAUCCAAUCGUACUUCUGUUUAUUUUUAUUUGCUUCAUCUCUGCUGAACAUUUCCAUUUUUCUUCCUUAGUGAAAACACUUGAGUUCCAAGUUCUGAUCUUAUAUUAAACGUUGAAGAAUUUGAAAGACAACGGUCCUGUGGUGUCCCAUGACUGCAUCAAGAACAGUGAGAAGAAAGAAAAAGUACAUACGUUGCAUCACCAUGAAAGCGAUUGGCAUUCAAGAGCAAGGCCAAGAAGCGACAGGCUAUUAUUGUGCAGCCAGUUCGUCUGACUUUCAAGAUUUUAGUUUGGCAUUUUCUAAGUAGUGCUGGUCAAACGCAGGUAUAUCGGAAAAGCAUUUGGGAAACGAAUGGCUUCAAAUACAAGAAGUGAUGAAGUUGAAGAAGCAGUCAGAAAAUUGUAAACAGGCUCAUCAUCUUUGACUGCGCAAAGUCAUGAGAAAAUUAUCAGUUAGCCAACUCAUCUUCUGUAAUUGAGUAAUUCGAAAACUCAAUGAGCAUCAUCUAUAUCUGUGUCCGACAGGCCAUGGCCAGUUCCGAAACUGAUGUCCAAGUGCACUCCCCAUUUGCAAAUUAUUACCGAAUCAAGUUCUACAGAUUAAAGUAUGGUAUGUUGGUACAAUGGUAGCAUGAAAAGGAAUUUUAUUUUAUAGACAAUCAAUACGAAGCUACAGCGACAUGGCUAAUACACUGCAAGCAAAUCGAAAUUCUAAAAUUUGUAGCGAUGCCAUUAAUUGUUCAAGAAGGAUUGUGCAUCUCUUCCUUAGAAGAAAAAUGUAGAGUUUACAGCUUGAAGUGUCUCAGAGGGGAAGUUCCAUCAAGGCCAUGUUCCUUGAAGUAGGCAAGAUAGUCCCUCACUGUGGUCUCUCUGUAGAUCAGAGGAUUGUCCUCAGACAACAGUUCCCUAAUCGGCCCGAAAAGCUUCGACGACGGUUGGAAGCUUGUGCUGAAAAAGCAGGCCACUGAGAUCCUCGGCCCCACCAGGUUUGCUAACACUCUGUGCCCCACGCUUUUGAAUUUUUCGUUCGUUAUGAGCUGAAAGGAAGAAAAUAAGAGGGACAGACUGUUGGAGAAAUCCUCGUGAAGAGUUUUGAAGUUGACAAAACGUUUCCAUCAGUCUAGUCUGAAGGUCUGCAGACUCUGUUAGUUAAAGUCUGAAGACUUCCGUACAGCCAGACUCAAGACUCAAAGUCUAUCCUCAUUGACAGUCUCUGAUCCGUUGAAGAAAGGUUAUCCCGAACUGGAUGUUUUGUUCAGGAUUUAACCUUAUUAUCUGGAGAAGAUCUCGUGGCUGGAGAAGACGUAUCAGAAUCCUUUGAUUGAUCAAGUUUGAUUCAAUGACUGAAGAUUCGAUGAUUGUCUAAAUAUUAUUGGAAGGUUCUACUUAUGGAAACCGAGAUCCUGAUUGUAUGGGCGAACAGGAUUGAUGGGCUAUCAACACGUUCCUUUAAUAGCUCGAACGAUCUUCCUAAUUGAUUCCGUCCAACGGGUAGAUUGGAGGAAUUCCUUUGGUAAGUGCCAACGGGUAUGAUGGCAUAAAGGAUUAUAUAAGGAAGACGUCCUUAGUUGUUCGAGGUGUGCGCGAUAGAAGAAUUCCAAAGUCUGAAGCUCCUAUUUGUUUAGAUAAAUCCUUUGAGCGAAUACUUGUAUACAAAAGAGAGUCUAUAUUUGUGAGAGACCUUGAGGAGGUGUGGUAGUACAUCUACACUGUGGAAUCAAGGUAAAGCUGUGCUGUAACUACUCUUUUGAUCAUAGUGAAAUCCAGCCGGUAGGCUGUCAGUGCGGAAGAGUGGACGUAUGCUUGGAAUAAGCCGAACCACUAUAAUUCCUGUGUUCCAAUUUCUCUCUCUCUACCUCGAUCGUAUUUCAAUUUGUUAAGAAUUGCUUCCGUAUAUCGAAAAACUGUUUGUGCGCCUAUUCACCCCCCCUCUAGGUGUUUAUACUAGCAAUAUCAAUUGGUAUCAGAGCCUUUGUACUUACUUUAUUUGAAGUGUUUUACUUCAUAGUAAAAGAUCCAUGGCUAGUAUGCUAGCACCAGGGCUGAUGGAAGGGCAAAGCAAUACCAGACCACCUUACUUUGAUGGAAAGGAUUACAACAUCUGGAAGAACAAGAUGAAAGCUUUCCUACGAUCAAAGGAUCCUCUGGAAUGGGACGUUGUAGAAAAAGGAAUUACUCCUACCACUGCAUCAGUCUCUGAAAGAGGAAAAGAAAAUGAAGAAUCCAGCGGAAUGUCUCAGGAAGAAAUAAUCAAGAGACAAACACUCGAUGCAAAAGCAAUUUACUCCUUAUAUUGUGCUUUAUCACCAACUGAAUAUAAUAGAAUAUCUUCUUGUGGUACAGCAAAAGAUGUUUGGGACAGAUUGCAUAUCACCUAUGAAGGAACAGAUCGAGUGAAGGAAACAAGAAUCAACAUUCUUCUCGGUCAAUACGAAGCCUUCAGAAUGAAACCAGGAGAAUCAAUAUCUGACAUGUUUAGUCGUUUUACAGAUAUUGUGAAUGGUCUUGAAAAUCAAGGUCAACCAACUUCUAAUCCCAUGAAGGUAAACAAGCUAUUGCGUGGACUCUCCAGGGAUUGGAAUCACAUAAAGACUUCGAUAAGAGAGACGCAGAGAAUUAUGCCUCUAUCUGUUGACGAGCUGAUUGGAACUCUUCAGUCCUAUGAAGUGGAAAGAAUCAAUGAAGAUGAAGAUCCAAAAUGUAAGAAAUCCAUUGCAUUAAAAUCAAAUGAUGAUUCUGAUGAUACAGAUUCUGAAGAUGAUAUGGACGAUGAGGAGCUUGCUCUCAUGAUAAGAAGAUUCAGGAAACUAAACAGAAAAGGAAGAAGGUUCAACUCAAAGAAACAAGGCUUUCAAAGACAGCAGACCAAGUCUGUUGAUGAUGAGGAACCAAAUAAAGAUGUAGUCUGCUUUGAAUGCAAGAAAAAGGGACACAUCAGACCCAACUGUCCUCUUCUGAAGAAGAAGAAAGGAAAAGCUGAAAAAUUUCGAAAAGCUCUCAAAGCUGAAACCUGGAGUGAUACUGAGUGUGAAGAAAGUGAUAAUGAAUAUGCCAAUCUAUGUCUGAUGGCACAAUCGGACUCAGACUCAGACAGUGAAUUUGAGGCAAGUAAUUUUAAAAUUCCUGUCAAAGUUUCUAAAUAUAUUGAUGAACUAUGCUUCAGUCUUAAGACUUCUCUCAAAAGAAUUUCCAAACUGAAAAAAGAAAAUUCAGCUCUAAAACAAAAGGAAAUUGUUUUAGCAGAAAGAGUUAAAAGUCUAGACUUGUCUGUUUCCAAUCUUAAAGAAAAUGAAGAAAAUCUUUUAAAGGAAAAUGUUUUUUUAAAAACAGACUUAUCAAAUAUAUCAAAGAAAUUUUCUAUAGGGUUUGAAAAACUUGAAAAAAAUCUUUCAGCGCAAAGACCUUCCUUCAAUAAGUCUGGUCUAGGUAUGACAGAAGAAACAAUUCCCUUGAUUGAUUUUCCUAAAGUAAAAGAAAGAAUCAAGAAAAGGCUUUCGAGUGAGGUUUACAAAAAUCACUUCAAGAAAGUUUUUGUUAAACCCAUAGGAAGAAAUGCUCUCAGAUGUUCAAAGUGCAACAGUCCAGAUCACUUUGAAAAAGAGUGUCCUAUGGUAUGGAGACCUGUUAAGAAAGUAUGGGCUAAUACUGUUUAUCUUACUAACACCAAAGGACCCAAGAAAAUUUGGGUACCAAAGAAAGCUUGAGACUUUAUUUUAAAUGCAGGUCUCCGUCAAGAAACAGGUAAAGUGGUAUCUUGACAGCGGAUGCUCAAGACACAUGACAGGAGACUCAAAUUGUUUUAUAAAGCUUGCUCAAGUAAAUGGUGGAAAAGUUUCAUUUGGAGGAAACAGCAAAGGAAGUAUUGUGGGAUUUGGAACCGUGAAAAUUGGUACUCUCACAAUAAGUAAUGUCUCCUUAGUGGAAGGACUCAAUUACAAUCUUCUCAGCAUUAGUCAAUUGUGUGAUACUGGUUUCAAGAUAUUCUUUCAAGAAGGAACAUGUUCUGGAAUCAAUAAAGACACUACUCAGUCUUUCAUGGGUCGAAGACAUGGAAAUAUCUAUCUUCUGGAUGUGAAACCAAAUGAAUCGCAAUGCUUUAUCUCAAUUCAAGACGAAGCAAGCUUAUGGCACAAGAAGCUUGGUCAUGUCAACAUGAAGCAAUUAGCCGAAAUCUCAUCAAAGCAGCUUGUUCGAGGUCUACCCAAAUUGCCAUACCAAAAGAUUGAUUCAUGCACUCCAUGUAUUCUGGGAAAACAGGUAAGAAAUUCUUUUAAGCCAAUAAAUCAUGUCUCUACUAAUCAUGUACUACAGUUGCUGCAUAUGGAUCUCUUCGGACCAACCAGAACUCAGAGUAUUAGGGGUAAGAAGUAUUGCCUAGUAAUUGUUGAUGAUUACUCUCGUUUUACUUGGGUAUAUUUCCUCUCAAGUAAGUCCGAAACCUUUUCGUAUUUUGAAAAAUUUGCUAAAAAGGUUCAAAAUGAAAAAGGUUGUGUUAUCUCUAGUAUAAGAACAAAUCAUGGAGGUGAAUUUGAAAAUCAAGAUUUUACAAAAUUCUGUGAUGAAUCUGGCUGUAAGCAUAUGUUUUCCUCUCCGUAUACUCCUCAGCAAAAUGGAGUUGUGGAAAGAAAGAACAGAUCUUUUCAAGAAAUGGCUAGAACUCUUUUAAUUGAAAGUAAAAUUUCUUCUCGAUUUUGGGCUAAAGCUGUUUCAAAAGCGUGCUAUAUCAUCAAUAGAGUCUUCUUAAGAUCUAUUCUUCAGAAAACCCCUUAUGAGUUAUUCAAAGAAAAGAAGCCUAUUGUUUCAUACUUUCAUGUAUUUGGUUGUAAAUGUUUUAAAUUGAAAAAUGCAAAAGAUCAAGUUGGUAAGUUUGAAGAAAGAUCAGAUGAAGGUAUCUUCCUUGGAUAUUCCACAUCAAGCAAAGCUUACAGAGUCUAUAACAAGAAGAGCCAAUCUGUGGAGGAGUCAAUGAAUGUCAAAUUUCAAGACUCAACGCAAAAUGAAUCAAGUCAGACUCAUCAAGAAGAGUCUGAACCUGCUCCAGACCCCCCAAAGUCUACAACUCAAGAAGCAUCUCAGACUCUGGAAAACCAGCAUCAGGUUGUUAGUGAAGAUCCAAAAAGAGAUCAUCAACCAGACAAAUCAACAAGUAACUGGAAGCAUAAGUCCAGUCAUCCCAAAGAUCUUAUAAUUGGCGAAAUUAAUGAAGGAAUUCGCACAAGAUCCAAAAGGCGAGAAGAGUCUAGUGUUGUGGCACUCGUUUCUGAAAUUGAACCAAAGAGCAUAGAAGAAGCUUUAUCUGAUGAAAGCUGGAUUGAAGCUAUGCAAGAAGAGCUCAGACGGUUCAGCAUAAAUGAUGUCUGGGAAUUGACAUCCAAACCAAAAGGUAAAACUGUUAUUGGAGCUAAAUGGGUGUUCAGAAACAAGAUGAACGAGAAAGGAAAAGUCGUACAAAAUAAAGCAAGACUCGUGGCCAAGGGAUAUACGCAAGAAGAAGGAAUAGACUAUGAUGAGACUUACGCUCCAGUGGCAAAGUUAGAAGCUAUUCGACUUUUACUUGCGUUUGCUUGUUAUAAGAAUUUCAGGUUAUUCCAAAUGGACGUCAAAAGCGCCUUCCUAAAUGGAUUUAUCCAUGAGGAAGUAUAUGUGGAACAACCACCAGGGUUUGAAGACUCAAAGAAGCCAGACUCAGUCUUCAGACUGAAAAAGGCUUUGUAUGGUUUAAAGCAAGCACCUCGGGCUUGGUACGACAGAUUAAGUAAGUUCCUAAUACAAAAUGGUUUUGUCAAAGGUAAAGUAGAUACGACUUUAUUUAUCAAGAAGGAAAACAAAAGUUUCUUACUUGUUCAAAUAUAUGUGGAUGAUAUUAUUUUUGGAUCCUCUAAUGAAAGUCUGUGCAAGAAAUUUUCAAAGUCUAUGUAGGAUGAGUUUGAAAUGAGUAUGAUGGGAGAGUUAACAUUCUUUCUUGGUCUUCAAGUAAAACAAUUGAAGCAAGGUACUUUUAUUUAUCAAGAAAAAUAUGUUAAUGAUCUUGUCAAAAGGUUUGGACUGGAGAAGUGUAAAAAGACCGACAUACCUAUGUCAAGUUCUUCGAAGAUAGACAAAGAUGAAGAAGGGAAGAAAGUUGAUCAAAAGCUGUACAGGAGCAUUAUUGGAUCACUUAUUUAUCUUACUGCCUCUAGACCUGAUAUUUUGUUGAGUGUUUGCAUCUGUGCUAGGUUUCAAUCAGAUCCUAGAGAAUCUCAUCUCAGUGCAGCGAAACGCAUCAUUAAAUACGUCGCUUCAUCAUCAAGCAUCGGUCUUUGGUAUCCUAAGAAGGGAGACUUUAAACUUCUGGGAUAUUCAGACGCAGAUCUGGCCGGUUGCAGAGUUGAUAGAAAAAGCACUUCAGGAACUUGCCAGUUGCUUGGAAGCAGAACAGUGUCUUGGUUUUCAAGGAAACAAAGUACUGUGUCUCUUUCAACAACAGAAGCAGAGUGUGUAGCUCUUGGAAGCUGCUGUUCGCAAAUUCUAUAGAUAAAACAACAGCUAAGAGAUUUUGAAAUUGAAGACUCAUGCACGGAGAUUAAUUGCGACAACACCAGCGCUAUCAACCUCACCAAAAAUCCAAUUCUCCAUUCAAGAGCAAAGCAUAUAGAGAUUCGACAUCACUUUAUUAGAGAUCAUGUUCAAAAUGGAGAUGUUUCAAUUCAAUUUGUUGACUCAAAGAAUCAACUGGCUAAUAUUCUCACAAAGCCUUUGGAGAAAAAUCAAUUUGAGUCUAUACGGACCAGACUCAACAUUUUGAGGUAUGAGGAUAUCAAAGUCUAAAGACUCUCAGACUCAGACUUACAAGACUUUAUCUACAGUCUUGGUUCGUCCUUCAGACUGUAAGUCUUUCUCUCUCCAAUCUUAUAUUGAAAAGGUACGAUCAUCAGACUUGUUUAAAUUGUUGCUAUAUUUAAUUGACGUAAAUAUUGCAUCGAUUCAUUUUCAAAAGGGAAGUUAUUUUUGAAAUAGCUAUUUUUGCGGAUAAGGACAGUUAUUUUGAAAAGGCAUAUUUUUAUUUCCUUUGUGACGGUUCGUUUACUCUUCUUUUUAACUGAACGAACACUGUCAAUUUCUCUUCACUUUUCUAAUCACUUCUCUCUCAAAAACCCUAGAAAGCAUCGAUCCUCCAUUCCCGUUUGUCUUCUUCACUAAAUCUUCAAAAAGUUGUCAUCUUUUCUAGGAAAGUCAAGCAAGGAAUCUUCCAAACACUGAGAAAGAUGUCUUCUUCACGAAAGUCGUCAAGAAUCGCAAGCAGGGGACCACAGAGAAUGAGUGAGGGGCCUACGCACUUCGAUCUUACUGAAGAUGAAGUUACUCCAGAUCAGCAACCGAGCCCACAACAUUCUCAGCAGCGUCAUUCUCCACCAUCUAGUCCUUAAGGCGUUGUUAAUCAGCAUUAGGAAGAAAUCGUCGAGGAUGCAGACCCCGUAAGAGUUCAAAAACCCGUUUUUAUUUACAAGCUAUAUCGUGCUUUAAAAGGAAUUCGUACUCCUUUGAACUAUGUUGAUGAUUUUUUCAAAGAAAAAGGAUAUAGGAACGAGUAUAUCUUUCUGCGAAAAAUGGAAAGUUUGGGAAUCGCUCGUAAAGGGGUGGCUGAGGAAACCCUUGCGAAUAUCCCAAGUGAUCCUCGUGACUGGGGGCCGAAUCUUGUAGAUGGGAAUGACGAUGUCAGUCUAUUUCAACCGAAAAUGGGUAUUGCGGCUGAAAUUCAAGGAAAAAUUGGAGAUUUGUUCAGAUCAAAGGAACAAAAAGAUCUGUACUCGAAAUUGCUUAAGCGUGGGGUAAUAAACCCUAGGAGUGUGGACUUUGAUUUUCUGGAUGCUGUGAAAGUGAACUUGAGGGAAAAGUUCAGUUUUCUACAACUUGAAAAGUUCUGCUCCGACUCAACUGAGGCUUAUGCUAAAUUGACUGCAUAUUUCUAUUCAAAUCUUAACUUUUUAGAUGCGAAUAGAUUCUCCUUCAGUGUUAAAGAACAAGAUUAUGUUGUGGAUAUGAAUAUGCUGACAGACGUGUUAGAAGUUGAGAGAGGCAGAUAUCAACCAAUCAAAGUUUCCAUUGCUCGGGCCACACUUGAACUGGUGAAGGACAGGAGAACGGAUGAAAAGAUCACCUACUCAAGGAUGAAUGCAUUCAACAUCCUGCUUCACAAGAUUGUGAUUAAUUGCCUUCGGCCGAAAUCCACUUCCAAAACUGAUGUUUCAAGCUCAGAGGCAAAGUUGAUGUAUGCAAUCCUCUGUGGAAAAAAGUUUUCUCUCCCUCAUACUGUUAUGUUUCACAUGUAUAAAGCAGUGAUGAAGGACAGAGGUCAACUCCCUUACCCAAGCCUUGUUACGAAGUUAUUCAGACAUCUGAAUAUUCAGCCUCCGCAAAUCUUUUGUGUUCGACCAUGCGAUCAUAUGGUGGUAGGACUGAAGAUGGUAACCAAAAUGCGUCUGAAGGAACUGAGCAAGGAAUUGGAGAAAUUCAAGGAGAAGACUCCUGCCAAAUCUCAUCGACUCUCUUCUGCUGCUAAGAGAAAAGAGAAGGAGCCCAUGGUUGCUCCAUCAAAGAGAAGAAGAGCUCUCCUCGUUGAGGAUGAAGAUGAUGACGAUGACAUCACCAUCUCUGCAAUGGCUUUGAAGAACUUAAGUCGUCCUGUUCCACAGAAAGAAUCAGAACAAAAGACGACAGAAGCAGAGGAGAAGGAAGAAGAAGAAAGAGAAGCAGAGCAAGAAGCAGAGGAAGAAAGACCUAAAGAAGAAGAAAGAAGAGAAGAAGGAGAACCUGAGGAAAUCUCUUCUCCACCUAUAGGCAUGGAAACAGGGGGAGAUCAGGAGAAAUGAGUGACGUCUUCAUAUCCUAAUGCAAGUGAAGGAGUCAGUCGCUCACCUGCAGACCCAGAAGAUGUUUAUGCAUCUCAAUUUCCAGAGGAAGGUCAUGAAGCUUCAUCGCCAAACCUGCGAGAUUAUGCUGAUCCAUCAUCGUCUACUUUUACUCCAGAUCGAGCCGAAGCAAGUACUCAGACUAAUAAUGGAGCAGAUUUUCGCAGAAUCAUGGAUAUUCUCUUGGAGAUGAAAGGUCAGAUUUAUGCCUUGGGAUGCGAAGUUCAAAGCUUGAAGAAUGAAGGUCAAGCUUCUUCCUGUUCAUUGAAUGAAAAGAUGCAAGCCCUCUCUAUUCAGAAUCAGGCCAAUGCCAAGAGUGAGGAGGUUGUACAGCUGAAGGAAGACUUUAAAAGGCUGGAAGGCAUUGUUCAGUCUAUGGAAGAUUUCCAGCUUGUCCGCGUUCCCAAGCAAUCUUGACUUCAUCUCAUCCUUUUUAAUGAUGACAAAAAGGGGGAGAGAUGCAAGAUUUGAUUCAAAAACUUUUCAUUAAACUUUUUGUUGGACUGUUUUGAGGUUUAUGGUUUGAACCUGUUUUUUGACUUUGUUUUGUGUCUGGAUAAGAACUGCCUAGACUUGGACUUGACUUGACUGCUUCUAUUAAUCAAUAUUGAUAUCUUAUGAAUGGCUUAAUCAUAUACUGGACUAACCUAUUUUCUGUGGUUGCAGAUUCUAGUGUUAUUCUAUUAGUCAUUUAUUUCUAUAAGAUAUGCAUAUGUGUUUGAGAAAUGUUUUGCAGGUCAAAGUUAUCCAAAUCUGCAGGAAGGUUUUGUCACCAUCAAAAAGGGGGAGAUUGUUGGAGAAAUCCUCGUGAAGAGUUUUGAAGUUGACAAAACGUUUCCAUCAGUCUAGUCUGAAGGUCUGCAGACUCUGUUAGUUAAAGUCUGAAGACUUCCGUACAGCCAGACUCAAGACUCAAAGUCUAUCCUCAUUGACAGUCUCUGAUCCGUUGAAGAAAGGUUAUCCCGAACUGGAUGUUUUGUUCAGGAUUUAACCUUAUUAUCUGGAGAAGAUCUCGUGGCUAGAGAAGACGUAUCAGAAUCCUUUGAUUGAUCAAGUUUGAUUCAAUGACUGAAGAUUCGAUGAUUGUCUAAAUAUUAUUGGAAGGUUCUACUUAUAGAAACCGAGAUCCUGAUUGUAUGGGCGAACAGGAUUGAUGGGCUAUCAACACGUUCCUUUAAUAGCUCGAACGAUCUUCCUAAUUGAUUCCGUCCAACGGGUAGAUUGGAGGAAUUCCUUUGGUAAGUGCCAACGGGUAUGAUGGCAUAAAGGAGUAUAUAAGGAAGACGUCCUUAGUUGUUCGAGGUGUGCGCGAUAGAAGAAUUCCAAAGUCUGAAGCUCCUAUUUGUUUAGAUAAAUCCUUUGAGCGAAUACUUGUAUACAAAAGAGAGUCUAUAUUUGUGAGAGACCUUGAGGAGGUGUGGUAGUACAUCUACACUGUGGAAUCAAGGCAAAGUUGUGCUGUAACUACUCUUUUGAUCAUAGUGAAAUUCAGCCGGUAGGCUGUCAGUGCGGAAGAGUGGACGUAGGCUUGGAAUAAGCCGAACCACUAUAAUUCAUGUGUUCCAAUUUCUCUCUCUCUACCUCGAUCGUAUUUCAAUUUGUUAAGAAUUGCUUCCGUAUAUCGAAAAACUGUUUGUGCGCCUAUUCACCCCCCUUCUAAGUGUUUAUACUAGCAAUAUCACAGACAUCAUUAGCAUCCACCCCUUUACCAAAAUGCUCACCAAGGGCAAGAAAUCCCUUGGCAAAGAGUAUCUCCCAGGAUCCCCGAGUCAUCGCCCAUGCUGUUCACAUAAAUUUCGGGUGUUUUGAUAAUUUACUCGGUACUUUGUAUUCGGCGAUAUCAGAUCAUGUGCUAGCAAUGCUUUGUCAAUGCCCUUUGAAAUUAACUUCCAGCACUAGUUUCCCUAAAGACAAUUGACAUGGUGACGUCGUUUUCAUUUAUCCAAGGGGUUGCUUGCAAAGUGGUUAAAUGUUACAUCUAAUAUCGCUAGAUAUAAUAAUAGGGUCGAAUCAAAUCAAACAACAAGAGAAACUUGCCUGUAGGAGGUCACCGACAUUGACCACCAGAGCUCCAGGGACCGGAGGAACAUCAACCCAGCGGUUGUCAUGGAGGACUUGGAGGCCUCCGAUAUGGUCCUGCAGGAGCACCUUGAGGAAGUCGUUGUCGGAGUGCUUGCUCGUCCCCAUCGUCAGCUCAGGCCUUGGGCAUGCCGGGUAGUAGUGGCAAAUGACCACGAGGCCCUCCGCGCAAUCCAUCUCCCGGAGGCGAUCCAAUCUCAACCCAAGAGACUCAGACAAGAGCUCAAACAGCAACCCACCUAAGCUCAUCACUUGUUUGGAGUAGUCCAUCAGUAUGUCCCUACAAUUUUAGUCAUGAAAGUCAUUUAGGCUAGAUCCACUUAUAAAAUUAUGGAAUAAGUGUAUUGGAAGACAUAAAACUUAUUACAAAAAUAUAAAAAAAAAAUCAAAAAAAUACUCUUAAAUCAUAAAACUUGUCAAAUUUGUUUAACCAAGUCAUUUCGUUAAUUUCACUUUUUGAAAAUUUUAAAAUUCGAUGGUACUUUCAUGAUAUAUUUUAAAACUUGAUGCAUAAAUUUUCAUAAUAAGUUUUGCAACUUAAUUAUACUUUUUAAAAAAUUUAGAAUUAAAUUGCACUUUUCAUGAAAAAUGUUAGGAUUUUUAGUAAAUUUAUCCCUAAAUUUACUUUUUAUAUUGAGAUUUUUUAGGUAUUUCAGUGAAAUAGAAUUAGAUUUAAAAAAGAAAGUCAUCCCAAAGGUAAAAAGGCGGCUUUGUGAAAAACAACAUAUUUUGUAACGUCGCAGGUGAAAAUGGCAUCGGCGACUCCGGGAUGGACGGCACGUUACCUGCAAACCUCCGGCAGCUCCUCCGGCGACGGCGGGCUCGGCGCCAUGUAGCAGAAGAAGGUGUCCCUCCAGUUAGCCACCGCCGCCGUGUACAGGUCGAAAUUGCUGUUGUACACCACCUUCCUCGUCACGUCCCGCGUGUAGAACGCCUUCUUCGCCUCGUCGUCUUGCUCGUAGAACCGCCUCACCCCCUCCUUCAUCUCCUCCAUCGCGGCCGCCGGCACCCCGUGGUUCACCACCUGGAAGAACCCCAGCGUCUCCGACGCGCGCCGCAUCCCCUCGAUCGCCUCCUUCCUCUUGGCCGGGUCGCGGUCGAUCCCGCCGAGGUCGAUGACCGGGACGCUGAGAUUCUCGGUACCGCCGCUCGAUCCGGAGCUGUCUUCGGAUGUCUCGUCCGGUUGGAUGAAGAUUCUGGGGACUUCGGUGAUCCCGGCGUCGACGAGGCCUUUGACGCCGGCUUUCGAGUCGUCGAACGCUUGCAGCUCGCUCGCUCUGUCGGAGCUCUGCUCGCCGGAGUCGGAGGCCAAAUUGAUGGUAGGCAUCGGUACUCUCUCUCUCUCUCUCUCUCUCUCUACUGCAAUUCAAUUCUCUGUGAAUUUGAAUUUGCUGGAUACGAGCUUGAAUUAUGAAUUGAAUGUUAUGGAGACACAGCAAUGCAUGACAUGAGCAGCCCUUUUUUUAUAGCUGAGAGAUGGAGAUAAGAGAAUAGUGACAUCACAUUGGGUUGUUCCAUUUGACUUUAGAAUAAUGAGGUCCAUAAAAAUGGAAGGUGAAAGUCAUAGCCUAUGAGCUACCACGUGCUUAGAAAAAUGACAAUGCUGUUUAAUAAUGGCUGAUUCUUUGGGGGACCAGGCGGCUAGUACACAAGUUUUGCAAU
rnacentral:lncRNA from 1 species